rnacentral:lncRNA from 1 species
CGAUGAAUCGCACCACAAGGGACAGUCAUAUGUUUUGCUAUUCACCACUCAAUCAGAACAAGCACUAGCUAUAGAACCCUAAGGUUGGUAAGGAAGGCCACACAAAAUUCCAGGAAGAGGAGCUGAGGUCCAGUAACUCUUUGCAUAUCUAGCAAGUACUUGCCAUCCCUGGUCUUGUAAAGCUGGAGAUAAAAAAAAUUAAAGUUAGAACCAAAUAGAUAGUAUAUACACUACCAUGCGGGCGAAUUGUAAUUUCUAACACCAACACUGUGCAGCUUUAAAACAUGGGAAGUUAUUUCUACCAACAUGCAUGAGUCAGUCGACAAUAGUUGUUGGCACUAGCAGACAGAUGCAAGACAUGAUAAUGAUCACUUGGUAACAAUUAUGAAUCAAAUAUAUUGGCUCCAGCAAAAUCGUUUUUUUAUCUAGUGACGCCACUGUGAAGGCGAUAUUGAGUAGAAAAUCCCUUUUUUUCUUAUUGCAAAAAAAUACUUUAGUAGUAGAAGAUGUUGCAGACCUGAAUUUCAAACAUGAUCACAGCAGGUAGCCUCCUAUUAACAUCACCAUUAUCCAUGAUGGUAGAGUCAUCAACAAAGCUGUGGUUGGCAUCUAACAACAUAUCAUUGACCUGAGGAAACCCAGGGCACCAACUGCAUUUCAUGUUGUAGUCCACAUUCUUCUUCCAAUAGACAUUUAAUUCCUUAAGUGCCUUUAGAACCUCAAUCAAUAUCGCGCGAGGUUGAGCUCGAGACUGCUGGAUAAGUGAUGCAUUAGCUCAACAUCUGAAUGUGCAAAACAAAGCAAAGUAAAGUUGACAGUUUGCAAGAUCUGGAGUACAAGAGCCCAUUUUCUUUCAACGCGGUAAUAUGGCCGCAAGCCACUACCUUGAGAAUCAUUACUUCCUGGAAGAUAAUUCCAGGUACUUGGGCUUGCUGAUUCCGAUAGAGUAAAAUGAUUAAAACUCAUAUCCUAGAGAAUCAUCCAUUCAUAAAGUUAAUAGUGCUUAAACCUUUAGUGCAUUAAAUAGGUCACACAUGAUGCAAAUGUGGACUAACCAUUUCUUGUUGAUAUUCAGCCCCCAAAUAGCCACUAGUAGCCCGGAACCGAUUGUCCAAGAGUAAGUAAUAUGCAACAGUUUCCUGGAAACAUAUAGUAUAAAGUCACUUAUGAAAACUGAAAGGACUGAACCAGUGAUUUUUGUUUGAAUAUACCUCAUUUUUCAGCCUAUUGCACAAUGAUUCACACACAUGAUCUUUAUCAUAUCCCAGAUUGGCAACAUCUUGAAGUGUAUCUUCAUCAAUCUCCUGAAAUGAACAUCUAGCAAAUUAGCAUAUCAUUGCCAUGGAAACGGUAUUUGAAUGCUCGAUAAUAAACGAUUUUUUUAUAAAUAAAGAGCAGCAUUGCAUGGAAACUUACGUGAUACCUUUCUGAAACCAAGGGCGCAACUAUGGCCAUUGAUUUCUAUUAUAUUUUCUUUGCAAAUAUUACAUUGAUAUUAUACCCAUAAAAGAGAGCAUUUCACGACAAAAGUAUUGUUCUUAGUUUUCCUAUCAUCCAUCCAAAAUCCUGUAUAUAUUAGUGGAUAAAGGCUGAAAAGUUUUACUGUGCAGAUAUGAUAGUCGCUUGAAAUGUGAAAUAGAUGGGGUACCAUUUUGGCUUGCUGUGCUAUCUUUGGUGGAGGCACUGCCAGGUAGCGAGGAAGGCGAUUCUGAAACCAUGGGUGAUCUCGAAUUUCACAGAUUGUGAUUCUCUUCAUGGGAUCAACAAUAAGCAUUCUUGGGAUCAAAUCCAUUGCAAGAUCAGAUAAAUGAUUUGGAAGGAUAUAGAAACCUCCCUGGAACACCAAAUAAGGGGGAGUCAAAUCUCCGGAAAAAAUUAAUUCUAAAGUCCAACUAAUCUACAUGAAUUUGUUGAUUUCCAGAAGAAAAAAAAGGUAAACACUUGUCAGAUCCAACUUAAUCUACAAAUGUUCUGUCACAUCUUUAUCUUAUUGAACAGUUUGGAAAUAUUGUCAUCAUCGAAUGGAACAGCACCACAAAGAAGAGCAUAAAGUAUCACCCCACAGCUCCAAACAUCAACCUCAGGUCCAGCAUACAAUUCACCUGAGAUAACCUAUACAGAAACACUCAUUAAAGCUAUUAACCCAGAUGAUGUGUGAGAAGAAGCAUCAGGAUAAGGACUCAAAUAAUAAAAUAAGUGAAUACCUCUGGUGCGGCAUAGUUUAUACUCCCGCAGCUAGUCUUCAAAAAAUGGCCAUCAUGCAUCACAUUGCUUAACCCAAAGUCAGCAAGUUUCACAUUAUAUUUGGAAUCAACUAGCAGGUUUUCUGGCUUUAGAUCACGAUGAACAACCAUGUUUGUGUGGCAGUAUUCAACAACAGAUAUAAUCUGUUUAACAAAAAAUUAAUUGAAAAAACUAUUGAGACAAAACCUCAGUAUGCAUUCAGUGAAUAAGAAAGAACCCUUCAAAUUACAUAUUCGCGUUCAGAAGGGAUAUACAUUCUCUUUAUGUUUUAAAGGACAAUUUAAUUUUAGGAGUGAAAUUAAGACAAUCAUGAUAUGAAGAAUAAGACUCCAUUUAGAUAAAAAUUGAUUUAAUUAGUGAUACUAAGAUAAACAAGGCAUGAAAAGAUGAAGAUGCCAAAUGAUACAAAAACAAAAAAAAAGAAUCGGCAAAAACCAACGAGCUUAAACAUAAUAUAUUCUGACAUUUUCCGUAAACCGUGUUUUUCCGGCCAAAAAAAUGUUAUCGAGGAAAAAAUUAUCGGUAAAACUUAGUCAACGAAUGCAAACCAAGCAAAUUGAUCGCGAUUUGCACAGUAAACACAUGAGGAAGGUCGACAACUAGCAAGCAUGUCCAUACAUUUGAUGGUUGAAAUAGGAAGCUCAACAUAUCGUUAUUCCCAAAAAAUGUGUUCCUACAUGGUAAGAGCAGAAAAGGCACCUGCUGGAAGAUUCGACGGGCCACAUCUUCCUGUAACCGCCUUUUCUCAACAAUGUAGUCCAAAAGGUCACCAUUCUGGCAAUAUUCCAUCACAACAAAUAUAUCCUUCGGUGUCUCAAUGACCUCAUAAAUCCGGAUGAUAUGAGGGUGAAUGAAGUCAAUGAACGACCUCAAUAUCUUGAUUUCUCUAUUUGCUGGAAAUACGAUAUGAGAAAACAAUAGAAGUAAAGUGUUAGACAUUGAUCCUAUGAAGAAAAUGCGUAUGCAAAUUCUACUAACUCGCAGCAACAACACAUGCUGAACUUUCUUCUUAACUAAAGCCGAAUGUAUCCUAUACUAAUGUACAUUAUCUCGACUAAUUGAUUAAGUGGGAAUUCGGAACACACCCACAAGUCUGACUAGCACUCUGAAAGCAGAUAACUCAAAGUCCUGAACAAGCAUGUCAAAUGUAUCCUAGACUAUUGUACAAGGAGAAGGAGGCAUACCUUUCUCUUCCAUUUCCAUAGUUUUCAUUUUACGACGGUUCAGAAUCUUUACAGCAACUUUGAGUCCUGUAAGCUUAUGAUCUGCAAUUAUCACUUUUCCAAAUGUGCUUGCACCUAACGUUUUGCCCAGAUUGUAGCUCUUCAAUGCUUCAUAAUGUCCACCUCCUCUGGUGUUCCCAUCCAUUUUCACUAUGCAAAAACACGAGAAACAGUAUAUGUGAUUCAGCAAACAGAUUUAUAGUUCAGACUGAAACUGGUAAAACACGAGUUAUGCUAUAUACAGAUCAUGAAUAACAUGAAAUAUUUACAGCAUGUCACUUCUUAGAGACCGGCCUUGAGUGUGUGAAAUGAGUGGGCUGGCCAUAAAUGACCACUAUGGGACAUGAUUGGCGAGGGCAAGUGUGGUUCAAAUAAAGGUCAACGAAAUGGGUCAAGUUCCCUUCUCAAAUAGGGAGAGCCACAACAUAUUCGAUCGCUGAAGUAUGGUACAGUGAGAUGAUCAGCAACCAACAAGUACUAUCUUGUACGGAUCGAGUAGGAUCAUAAUAUAUUACCAUAAAACUGCCUGCACACGCAACACUGAAUGACUAUAGGCCUUUCUUGAUAUGUAAUGUAUCAGGUCUGCUUAGGAUAGUUGGGAUAACAACUAUUGAAAAUGCUCGCUCGUGCUUUGGGUGCCCGGCCCUGGCGCGAAGACACAGAUGACACAUAGAAUCCUAGCUAGUGGGUUAACAUGGAAAGUAUUCUUAAAUAGGUUCACAAAUAAAUACCAUGAGUCGGCAUAUAUGUGUGAUAAACAUGGAAGAGACAUGCAAAUGCAGUCAUGCAACAAUGAAUGAGCUUUUUAGGAUCUGUUACUAGUACUACUCAGAUCGGCUGAGUGGGGGCAGCUCGAGGAAGCGCCCGCGGACGAUGACCCGUGGGCGUGGCGGCACGGAUCCACGCUGCGGAUCGACGGGGGUACCGGCGGCGGCUCGAGGAAGCGCCCAUGGGCCCGCGGGCAUUGCGCCACAGAUCCGCGUUGCGAAUCGGCGGAGGGGACCAGUGGCGGCUCGAGAAAGCGCCCGCGGACGAUGACCCGCGGGCGUGGCGGCUCGGAUCCGUGUUGCGGAUCGAUGGAGGGGACCGGCGGCGGCUCGAGGAAGCGGCCGCGGACAAUGACCCGUGGGCGUGGCGGCACGGAUCCGCGCUGCGGAUUGACGGAGAGGACUGACGGCCACGACAUCCGGCCAUCGGAAGGAGGGAGGGCGGCGGAUCGGGGCGGGGUUGCGCUAGCGGCAGGGCUGCGGGGAGAAGAGGAGGUAGGUGAGAGGAAGAGAGAAUGGCGAAUUUUUACACGGCCGCCACGAGCCAGAGUAAAUAUAAGGAGAAGAUUGGGGUUGGAGUAAAAAUAUUUACUCUAGUAAUGGUAACAAGGGAUCGGCUAGGUGCGGUUUAGAGAAAAAAAAGCCAAAUAUGCUUCCUUAUGCUUACGAUGGGAUAGGGGACCGGUUAGAGUUGCCCUAACAUGGAAUGUAUUCUUAAAAAGAUUCACAGAUUAAUACCAUGACUCAGCAUAUAUGUGUGGUAAACAUGGAAGAGACAUGCAAGAAAUGCAGUCAUGCAACAAUGAAUGAGCUAACACAUGAAUCUGCCAGUACUACUCAAUAAUUGUUCACAGUAGAAGAACGCCCGUGCGUUGUAACGGGGCCACAUUAACUUUAAGAGUUCAAUAUUAUGACAUUGGCAACCUUUUUUACCAUCAAAUCCUCAUACACACUCUCUCUCCCCCUCCCUCUUCCUCACUCUCUCUCCCUCUAACACACGCACACAUAGCCUAUUCUCCCCGCCAAUAAGACUUACUCAAUUGGCAAUAAUGUGUGGACUUGUGGUGAGUUUGACUGAACUAAUGGAUAGUGUGAUAUAUUCCCCAACCAUUUAACAAUGAAAUUUCAGAAAUGGGAAGAUUAUGUAACACCUCAAGUCGUUAGCUACAGUGACCUCCCCCUAAUGUUGCCAUGUCAUCAGGCUUGCUAAGCCAAACUGCCACUUGAUAAAAAUCAAAGCCCAAUUCAAAUUUAAAAUAAAGUCAAAUAAAUUAUUUCAUCAAACAGUAAAACUAAAAUGUUCACCAUAUUAUAUAAAUUCCACAGAUCUUUGACAUGUUGAGCCCAACAUUAUUUGACACCCUGCUUCCCCUGCCCCCAUGGCCUCACUCCUCCUCGACGCCCCCUCCCAGAUCCACUUCUCCUCAUCGCUCGCUCGAUCCCGGUGAUCUGGACGAACUCAGAUGCCACAACCACCAUGACCGACCCUGUCCACACGAUCACUGCCCUACCUGCUGGCUAGGAGCUUGUCGAGGAGCUCUGAAUGCCUCCACUACUUCGUUUGCGCCAACGAGAUCAAGUCCAGUACCCCCAGAUCGACGUCGUUGCCGUCUUCCUCAACCUUCGGCCACCGCAACAUUGCCGUUUGAUCCGCGCCACCCGGAACUCCCCUGUCUUCCCCUAGGGUGCCAUUGACACCGCCGUGAUCUCCUCUUGCCUUUCCCCAGUUUCCCCUCUCGUUUCUCUCGUUAGGUAUUUCACCGUGGCCGAAAACCGCCAUCCGCCAUGGCCAUUGCAGGGGUAGCCACUGAGCUCCUCGGAUGGACCCCGUGGCACAUGCCCGCUCCUAUGCGUGCCCAUGGGCGAGCCUUCAGCUCUUCUUCUGCGCCCGCGGGGCCACUCCCUCUAUGGAUUUCCAUGCCCACGCACGUGCCACACCGCGUCCGUCGCGCCCGCCGUUGCCAUCAUGCUCGCCACAGCCACCGCACCACUGUGCCCCGCGCGACGCACACCCUGGCCGUGCGUCACACUCUCGCUGGCUGCGCUCGCCCCGUCUGAUGUCGCCUAUCCCUUCGCUCGCCCCGCUGUCGUGCCCCUGCCUCGCGCCGCCUCCUGUCGCGGCCAUCUUCUGCCGGCCGCCCCCUCAGCCACGCCGGCCGCGUCUUUGCCCUCCACCGCCGGCCGCUCCCCUCACGUGCUGCGUGCUUCUUCCUGCUGCUAUGCGCUGCUCUACCACUGGUACGCUGUUGCGCCAUGCCCUCGACACCGCGGUGGACAAACGUGGCGGAGGGAUUGUCAAUGGAGUACGAGGAGGAGGUGGCGGAGAAGGUGUGGAGAGGAAAGAGGUCUAGGGUGGCGUCAGCUGGCUGUGGUGGAGUUGAUUAUGCGAGAAGGAGACGGAGCGGAAGCAGAGGUCACAAUUGAAAAGAAUCGCAAAAAAUCAUACCCGGAGAUCUUAUUCCAAAAAAAUGAUAAUAUCGAUGGAGGGGUGAUUUCUUUCAAUAGGUGGAAAACAUAGGAAAUAUUGGAUGUUAUCAAGGAAAGGUAAAAAUUUAGGAAAGUUAGCAUUUUGAACUAAUUUCUAUGCAAAUGGGGUUUUAUUGUUUGGUAACAUGAUAUCAGUACCUGCCCGUUUGUGACGUGUCUGAUUAGGAAAGUUUGCAAAUGUUAAGAAACUAUUUAUUGGGAGGAAAGUUUGUGACGUGUCUGUUAUUUGUUUGCUAAAACAAAUUUCACUAAUGAUAGAAAUCGAUUGAUUUAGAUAAGUUAGGAAAGUUCAAUUGAUUAUUUGUUUCUUAAAAAUUUGUUAUUUGUUUACUAAGACAAAUUGAACCAAUAAAAUGAAUUGAUUGAUAUGAAUAAUAAGUUAGAUCUCUGAUUUGUUAUACGUUAGGAAAGUCCUGAUUGUAAUAAAGAGUGGAGAGAAAAAUAAUCCGAUGGACCAUGAUGGGAUGGGGUGGUGGGAGGAGAGAUGAAAAAAAACCAACGAAAAUAAACCGUGAAGACUAUUCACCAACCGUGGAGAUAAGAAUUACGCGUACCACGGUAGCAUCAGAAUCAGAAUCCCCCGAUUGCUCUGUAGGAUCUUUUCGACCAGCAACAGAAUCAGAAUCCAUCAAUCUCUCUGUAGGAUCCUUUCGACCAUAUAUAGAGUGAAUUUGGGGAAAGUGAGAUCGAUCGGCAAUCAAGACUUUCAAUUCCGAGCAUGCUGACUUGCUGAGGUCAAUGUUGGUCCAGGGCUCCAGGCGAUCUGCGGCAAAGAUCUCCAUUGUCGUUGGAGGGAAGAAACAAGGACAAACAGGAAAGGCACCGAAAUCCCCACACAACCACAAGCAGAGCAGCACACAAACUAACAAAUUCCCUACUUGUUGGUCGAACGGAAAAAAAGCAGCGUCCCUCCCUAGAAGUAGAAUUAAGAGCACGCGCUAACCACCCCUGGUCUCUACCAAGCGAAGCAAGCAACCAUGGCGCAGAAUCACUAAACUCCGGCGAGAAUUGCAGCACAGAUGAGCAGGAUCAUUAUUGCCUUAAUUACCUGGCCAAAUCCCGUGGUCAGAAGGAGAGCAGAGGAGGCCUCAAAUCGAGGGGGUUUUGGGGUCGAUCGGCUGCCGCUGCUCGUUCUGCCUCCGGCGGUGGGAUGGAGGCUUCAGGCUUUAGGCUUUAGGCGAGAGAGCUGCUUAGGCGGGGGCGGCGUAACCCGGGGAAAGGGAAAGGUGGGCGUCCGUGUCAGCAUCAGCAUCGCGCACGUACGUGUCGGCUCCCUCUCGCGCCGCUCGCUGACCUGCUGCUGUGCUCGGUCGCCUCGCGCCGUUUGGCUCUCCUUGUGGCUGUCUUCCUCUUUCUCCUCUGUCGUUUCCAUAUUUCCCUCCUUCCGUUCGCGUGCGUCGGUCGAUUCCUCCGUCCGUCCGUCGUCGGUUGAUUUAGACGGUAUAGGAAUAGGAUGGACGGCAGAGACGCUUUUCGGUCGCCGGUGACGCGCGCGCGCCUGGCGUUAGCAGUGGGUAGGAUUAACUGGAACGUCGCUGUUACGUGCGCAACGACGACGCUGGCUAUAUUGGGUGCAUGCGCGUUGGUGAUUUCUGUGGAUUUCACGUGUGCAACACAGGUUGUGUACAUGCGCGAGGAGGUGUGAUGCAUGCAUGCAGACGCGCGCGAAAGGGGUGCUGCAUGCAUGCGCGGGGGUGUGAGGGUCUACUCCGCGGCGCCGUGAAGCUGCGUCGCCUCAAGGCGUGAGCGUGAAGGUGAACUGCGCGGUGUGACAAGGUGUACUGCACGCACGGCGUCAAAAGUGUUAGCCAUAAUCCCGUUGCAAAUUCAGCUAGUUUCCAUUUAGUAGUACAACACUACUACUAUACUUGGCAAAAUAAACGGCCAACUGACGCGUGCGUGUACAUGACUUUGUCGACCAACAUUCUGGUUUUUCUUUUUGAGGGAUAUACGUUCCGUUGGUUAGUUAGCUAGUUAGGGGCGGCCUAGAUCAAGUCGUGGGAUGGCAUGCGAAGGUGAUCACGGCAUGCAUACGCACCUUGCCCACAUCGAGCGUCGUGGGAUGACAUGUUUUACUUUCUGUAAUCAUUGGAGAAAUAAAUAGGGAGAAAUAAGAGAAAGCAUCAAGUUGAAUGUUACACAAACACUUGUCUCCUACCUCAAUUCUCUCUAUCGUGAUCGCCUUCCUCUUGCGGCAACAACACGUGGCAUCAAAGCCAUGGCUUUUGACCAGAAGAACUACGGCACGGUAGCACGGGUCACUGACUGGCGCACUCCGCCAGGGAUGUAGGCGAUGAGCCCUGGGUGGAGCAAGACGAGGCGAGGCACGAAGGUGAAGGCAUGGUGAAGGAGCACAUUAGCUUCACCUCAUAACUCAUGCUCACCCGGGCCAACUAUACUGAGUGGGCGAUCAUGAUGCACGUCAAGAUGCAGGAUCAAGGGAACUAGGAUCUUAACGAAGAUGGCAUCGGAUCUGAGCCUGCAGAGAGAAUGCGCUAGCGACGACCCUACAUGUAGUCCCACCAGAAAUGCCUCACGCCAUUGCCGCGAAGGACAAUGACAAGGACUCUUUAAACUCCAUGUGAACGAUGGCCGUCGGCGUCAAGCGUGUCCAGCAAGUCAAGGCACAGAAAUUGUGUCGGGACUACAAGAAUCUGGCGUUCAAAGUUGGUGAGUCUAUUGAGGAUUUCGCUCUGUGACUUUCUGGGAUCGUCACUUAUUAACAAGUGCUCGAAGACGAGAUCUACGACGAGUGUGUCGUGAAGAAUAGUUCUACGCGUCGUACCGGCGGGGUAUGCUCAGGUGGCAAUCUCCAUCGUGACGCUCAUCGACCUGAGCAUGCUCUCGAUUGUGGAGUCCAGAGGAAGGUAUCUCGCCUUUGAGGAACACUUCACCGCGAGAAGCGGCGAGCCGGCAGCACACGUUUGCUCCUUACCGAGAAUGAGUGGAAGGCAUGUGAAGGACACCACGAAAGCGGGAGGGCUCGUCCAGCGGCGGCGGCAAAACAUGCAGGAAGGGCAAGGCCAACACCCCGAGCUGAUAGCCCAUAGACAACGGUGGCAGCUGUGGCAAGCCACGACUGGGGCAUCAAGGGGCCACUGGCCCUGGAGUGUCAUAAGCCACAUCACGACCAUGACCACCGAGAGGAAGCUCACCUCGUGUAGGGAUGGUAGUUUUGCCCAUGGGUGUGUGUACCCAUGGGUACCCUACCCGAAGACAACGGGUAUAGGUAAGACUUGGAGAGAUUUUAUACCCACUGGUAAUGCGUAUCCAUACCCGUAAAAUAUAUGGGUAGCGUAUGGGUAUGAAAUUACGCCCAUGGGUAACCCAAUGGAUACCUAGAACAAAUUAAUAAAUGAAAAUAACCCAUAUGACAUGCGGGAUCAACAUCCAACACCUAUUGCCCAUCCCAAAUCUCGUAUUCCUUAAACAUGCCAUAUCUCAUAGGCCUGUAAACACCUUCCCACCACUCCUCCUGUGUCCUACAUGACACCUCGAAAAGAUGAAAUCUUGACUCUUUGCUACCGCACUGCCAUCCAACAAUCCCUCAUUCCCAUCGCCUCCCACUAUGCUGGGCUUCCAGCUCCGCCACUCAUACUCCCUUGAUGCCCCCAAGAGCCACCCAACUUCGAGGCCGCAUUAGUGAUAUAUUGCUCGUCCAUCAACACUUGAAUUUUAAACUUAUUUCUCUAUAUUCUAAAAUUUUGAAUGCUAUACAUUCUACCCACUGGAUACCUAUUGGGUAUAGGAUACCUGAUGGGUAUCGGCAUGGGUGCAAAUUUAUGCCUAUGGGUAUUGUGGGUAUAGAAAAUUUCUGUGGGUAUGGGUUUGGGCAAAAGAAGGUAGUACCUGUCCUUGUGUAGUGUAAGGAGGGUAUGGUUUGCCUAUUUCAAAUAGUUCUACAGGAGAACCACGCACUGUCAAUGUGGCUCUUGCGCUGAUACCAUGUGGAGAAAGGCUGUGGAUGAAGAAGUUCAUGCUCUUCACAAAAACUAUACUUGGUAUCUGGUUCCUCCACAUCCAUGUAAAAAUGUGAUUGACUGCAAGUGGGUGUUCAGAAUAAAAAGAAGGUCUGAUCGUUACAAGGCCAGACUUGUUGCAAAAGGGUUCACACAGAGGUAUGCCAUAGAUUAUGACGACACUUUCAAUUCUAUUAUUAAAGCUGCCACAAUUCGUCAUGUUGUAUUGUUGUCAAAGCUGCCACAAUUCGUCUUGUUCUAUCUGUUGUUGUGUCCAGACGAUGGAGUGUCAGACAUAGCUAGAUGUGCAGAAUGUGCUCCUUCAUGGUGUUCUAGAAGAGGAAGUCUAUAUGAGGCAACCUCCCAAGUUUGAGGAUAAAAAAAACCAUUUCAUGUGUGCAAGCUUGAUAAAUCUCUCUAUGGACUGAAACAAGCUCCAAGGGCAUGGUACUCUCAUUUGAGCUCUAAGUUGCAAGCACUUGGUUUUGUUCCCUUUAAAUUUGAUACAUCACUUUUCAUUUAUAACAAGUCACAUACAUCCAUCUUUGCGCUUAUAUAUGUUGAUGACAUUAUUGUUACCAGUUCCUCAAAUGAAGCAGUAACAACACUUUUGAAAGUUUUGAACUCUGAAUUUGCACUUCAAGAUUUAGGGGAUUUGCAUUUUUCCUUGGCAUUGAAGUUAAGAAAAUCAAAGAAGGUGGACUUCAUCUUCCUCAAAAAAUAUGCAACUGGUUUAUUGAGUAAGGCUGGCCUACAGGGGUGUAAACCAUCGUCAACACCAUUGUCUAGUUCAGAAUAACUCUCUCUUGUAGAGGGUCAACCCUUGAAUCAAGAGGAUUGCACCAUGUAGAGAUGUCUAGUAGGUGCACUUCAGUAUUUGACACUCACCAGGCCUGAUAUUUCUUUUACAGUUAAUAAAGUGUAUCAGUUUCUUCAUGCACUAACUAUAGCUCAUUUGAUAGCAGCCAAGCGUAUAUUCAGAUAUGUAAAGAGUACAUUGAGCGUUGGAUUAACUUUUAGCAAGUCAUCUUCUCCUCUUGUUAGUGCCUUCUCUGACUUUGAUUGGGCAGGAUGUUUGGAUGAUAGAAGGUCAACAUGUGGCUUUACAGUAUUUUUUCGACCUAACUUGAUCUCAUGGUGUGCAAAGAAACAGGCAACAGUUUCUAGAUCAAGCACUGACGCAGACUAUAAAGCACUAGCAAAAACAAAAACAGAGGUUAUCUGGGUCAGAUCCGUGCUCAGGGAACUUGGCAUACUUCACAUACAAAAUCCAUGUCUUUGGUGUGAUAAUAUUGGUGCUACAUAUUUAUCAGCUAACCCUGUGUUUCAUGCAAGGACAAAGCAUACUGAAAUUUACAAUUAUUUUGUACGAGAUAGGCUGCUAGUAAAGAGUUGGGCAUACGUUUCAUUCCAUCCAGAGAUCAAGUUGCAGAUGGGUUUACAAAGGCCCUAGCGUCAUGACCAUUUGAAAUGUUCAAGCGUAAUCUAAACUUGUGUAGUUUAGGUUAAGGGUGAGUGUUAAACAAGAUAUUAUGGUGCAUGUGUUGCAGCCGUAUUAGAGUUGUUAGUAGAUAGGAGAGGUUGUUCAAACCAUAACGUAUCUCUAUCACUUAUCCCCAUAUUUUUCUCCCACGGUUGAAGUAUAUCUUCGACCAAACCUUGUAGUCCAAGCAUCAACCAAUAUACAUAACCUGCGGAGCCCUGGUGUUGUGGGGGUUAGAGACACUUCUUCAUAAUUUUGACACAUGUAUAUAUUAGUGGAUAAAGGCUGAAAAUUUUACUGUGCACCUAUGAUUAUCGCUUGAAAUGUGAAAUAGAUAGGUACCAUUUUGGCUUGCAGUGUUAUGUCUAGUGGAGGCACUGCCAGGUAGCGAGGAAGGCGAUUCUGAAACCAUGGGUGAUCUCGAAUUUCAUGGAUUGUGAUAUCUUCAUGGGAUCAACAAGAAGCAUUCUUGGGAUCAAAUCCUUUGCAAUAUCAGAUAAAUGACUUGGAAGUAUAUAGUUACCUCCCUAGAAUACCAAGCAAGGGGGCGUCAAAUCUCCUGACAAAAAAUGAAUGCUAAAGUUCUACAAAAGGUAUACACUUGUCAGAUCCAACUUAAUAUACAUAUGUUCUGUCUCACCGUUAUCUUUUUGAACAGGCUGGGAGUAUAUUCAUCAUCAAAUGGAACAGAGCCACAAAGAAGAGCAUAAAGUAUCACCCCACAGCUCCAAACGUCAACCUCAGGUCCAGUGUAUAGUUGACCUGAGAAAACCUGCACAGAAACACUCGCUAAGCUAUUAACGCCGACGAGCAUGUGAAGAAGCACGAGGAUAAAGACACAAAUUAUACAAAUAAGUGAAUACCUCUGGUGCAACAUAGUUUGUACUCCCGCAGCUUGCCUUCGAAAAUGGCCAUCAUGCAUGACAUGACUUAACCCAAAGUCAACAAGUUUCACAUUAUAUUUGGAAUCAAGUAACAGGUUUUCUAGCUUUAGAUCACGAUGAUCAACCAUGUUUUCGUGGCAGUAUUCAACACCAGAUAUAAUCUGUUCAGGAAAAAGUUAGUAAAAAAUAUUGAUACAAAACCUCGUUAUGCAUUCAGUCAAUCAAAAAGAACCUUUCAAAUUACAUAUUCGCUUUCAAAAGGAAAAACCAUCUCUGUAUGUUUUAAAGCACAAUUAUUAUUAAGGACAGUAUAACCGCACCUAAAGCGAGCCCUGUUAGCGCUUCACAUUUCUAGCCAUCUAUUUUUGUGAUCUUUGCAUUCUGGCCGUCUGAUCUGCUGUUCGCUCACGCCCGGGCCAUGGAAUUGCAGAAUCGUGGGCUAGCUAUCCUGCAGCGCAACUACUCCGGCCGAAACGGAGCUCGUAGGUUAAUUGGGCCUUCUCUCUCUAGCGCACAACCCAUCCUGUGAAUUCAUGCUAAGCGAUGAUGCCUCUACGAAGAAACAAAUCCAUGACCUCUCUCUUCCCCGACCUCUGCACUCUCACGAGGCGGUGAAUCCUAGCUGCUCCCAUCACCGCCAGAUCCUAUUGCUCUUCCCCACCGCGUACGCUAUUGAGUCCCCCCUCCCACCUCGUCGGGCUCGCGCGAUGGUGCAGGUGCCAACCGUCUCAUGCUCCACUAAUUUGAUCGCCACUGUCCCAGGCUCCCAGCAUAUUACCUGCACCACCACGAUGUCGGUGCCUCCAGCUACCCGCGACGCUGCUGCCUCCUCCUAACGCUUCUUCGUGCUGGGCUAAGGGGAGAUGAAGAUGAUAGGGCGAACGACCCAAGAAUAGGAGGGCAAGUUUAACUGGUACAAGGCGGAGGCUUGGAACACCGAGGAACUGUUCUUGCGUCGGCUUGAUGCCACUCCGCUACUGCACAUUUUGGCAUAGGUUCAGCUCCUCUCCCAUAAUUUUGUCCAUCAGAAAUGAUUGUAGUAUUGUAAAUAUUUAUCACUUGCAGUUCUAAUAUGAUAAUCAUGGUAUUCAGUGCUGUCAGCUGCUUGAAGCAAAUAAUUGAUUCGUACAUUUGCUGGAGUAGUACGAUGUGAAAUGAUAAUGUUUGUUUCUAUUAAUUAGUAUUUGAAGAAUACAUCUAAACUAACUGCUGUCAAGAAUACCAGUUGGUGGCUGGGAUGAUGCUAUUUGAGGAAUGAGAGGCACGGAUUGAUGAAUCCAUUAGAAUCCAAUAACAUUUCAGUGGCUCCUUUUUUUACGUUGCAGUUGUUAGGCGAUGUAGUUUAAGAAAGAGGAUAAAUGUUGCAAAAAAGCUGAUAAAAAGAAAAUAAUAAACUUCCGCUAAUCUGUAGAUUGUUAGGAGAUGUUGGUCGAUAGAGGUAAAUGAACCGAGCCCUUAUCAGAACAUCAUGGUCAUUCAUGCGGUGGAAUCCCACCUUUCACGUUGCCAGAGGUGCAUGUGGGCGUCGGCGACGCCCCCUCAUUAAUGCUCCCGCGGCGACGAUGGGCGUUGGCCUCCUGGUCACCUCAACAAACGACGGGCACUGGUUCGAUUGUCGCUUCAACAAGCAAAAUGUUAGCUACUCAGAUUGCUGCAGAUUUUCCUUGCCGAACCAAUGUAUGUACUCCUGCUGAUGAUGUUUCCGCUCUUAAUUUGCUGCAGGUACUUUCCCCCAGGUAUAGGAAAUCUGUUCUGCUGUAUUUGUUCAAUGAGUACUGCGAGGCUGGUUCCAAGUUUUUUACUGUGAAAUUGUUCAGUCGAGGAUCCCCAAUGUCUGUUGAUCAGGUUAGUUAAAGCGGAAUGUUGUAUCUUAUCCAAUAAUCAAAUAUUACUUUCAUACGAUUGCUUAGUUUCCAUCGUUUUUGUGUCCACAAUAACUCAUGCCAUGCUACUGAUGGAUAUCAUUGUUGUCGUAUAUGCAUGCCGGAUAUCAUUGUUGUUGUAUAUGCACCUGGUAGAAUAGGACGGCAGAUCCAUUUUGCAUAUGCAAAAUUUAAGCAUUUUGUUGUAAAUCUUCCCAAACACUCUUAAUUUAUUUCCAAAUUAUCAAAUCAUAGAUCUAUUGUUUAUACAUAUCUGUGAAGAAGAAAGGAUUAUUAAAAAUCUGCUGCUUCCAGUGUAUGCCUUAUUGUGGGCCCUUUUUAGCAACUUGGAUAGUUUCUACAAGUUCUGAAUUCAAUAUGAUGGUAAUAAAUUUCUAUGUGCUUGAGUAAUGACAAUGUAUUUUACCGGAGGUUCGAUAAAUCGAAUUUACCAUUCCAUCACAUGAGGACAAAUACAUCUCAAGGAUACUCGUAGUUCUUGAAAAUCAAGCGAGGUUUGAGAAAAUCUCAAUCCACCAAGAAUUAGCAAAACCGUUACCUUAGUGUGGAAAUUAGUAUGAUGAUCAUUGAUUAGAGGUACAUGCAUACAUGAUUCUUCUUAUAAUGUUUUCUAUGUUUGGAUUUCAGAUGUGAGUAUUGUGUGACCUAUCAUCAAGUAGUGUACGAUGGCAAAGCAUAGCUUUCCCAUCUAGCUGCCCUAGCUGGGUUAAUUCUUACAAUUGUGUUUAUCCGCUUUAACUUGUAAUUCUUUCCUGCAAAAUUAUGUUUUAGGUCACUGCCAUCCAUCCACUCUACGAAAGCUAACUGUUGCUCUGUGAUCUAGGCUUACUUUUGAGAUGAGGUGUAUGUUCAUAGUCCAGUGGCAAGUAUAAAUCAAAGCGAGCUAGAGUUGGACACAUACAAUUGUAAUAAACUAAAUAGACCUAUCAGCUUAUUAAUUUUCUUUUUGGUUAUUACUUUACUACUAAUUGGUGUACUUCUUGUUCGAAAAGGUAAAGGAAAACUUCUGUGAACAAUUUAUUUCAUUCUAUCUUAUAAAUCUGUAUAGUUUAUUUCCAGUUAUGCUUGGUUUUAUUUCAUGUAUUUACAAAGAUUUUUUUAUUAUUCUCCCAUAAAAAAGGAUGGGCACAGCAACACAUGCCUUCUUUCUGCGAACGAUCCCGAAUAUGGAAUUUCCUCCAAUCAUCACAUAUACUAAAUUAGAAGAGGUAUACAAAUCUUACAUGAUGGCACUCGAUACAAUGUUUCCUUCCAUCCCAACGUUGAGGUUCCCGGGCUUCAUUUCCAUACUGAUGUUAUGUAAGUUUCCAGUUGGAGAAGCAGUAUUUUCUAUUUAUUUUUAUUCAAGGUAAUGGAAGCAGUUAUGCUAUGUUUGCACUAUUCCAUUGGCAUGUCUUUUCAACUACUGGGUGAUACAGUCAACAGAGUUUGCCGAUACAUUCAGAUUAGAUGAUUGAUGUGCAUACAUUUCAAUCUGAUGGUGGCGAGUUCAUACACAUAUGAGUAGCGUAAUAUAUGUUGGCAUCUUGACUUACAUAGGUUGCUUUUGUAGUAAUUUAGUAUAUGUAUUCAUUUUUUCAAGACAAAUGCCAUGGCCUGGUCAAAAUAAUCGCUUGGUAUUGAUAUUGUAUCGCUGUGUGCAACUGGUGGUAUGCUGUUGUGAUCUUUUGGAAGAUUGUUCUUCAUAAUGUGAUAGUAUCUAAUGCUUUACUACUGCACUCCUUGGCUGCUACCAGUUAAAAUGUACUCUUCUAUUACUGUUUAAUGCGUGGACUUUUUCUUACAAAUUUUGCUACAUAUAUUCGGUAUAUAUUUACAAAUUUUCUACCAAUCCAUUGUAGAAUUUGAUGGGCGCAGCAACGCGCGCCUUCAAUGAUCUAGUUUGAUUUUAGAGCUGAGACUAAGACAAUCAAGGCAUGAAGAAUAGGAUGCCCUUGAAACAAGAAUUGGUUUAAUUACUAAUACUAAGAUAAUCAAGGCAUCAAAAGAUGAAGACACCGGAGUGAUACUAAAACAUAGACACAUCAAGGAGACGUUAACUGGUUGAUCAGUUAAAUCCAAAUGAAGAAGCAAUUACCUCAAAAGCUUGCAACAAUAUGUGGUAUAGGUCUUGAGCUAAACAAAUAAGGUUUUUCUUUCGGACACAUUUUUCUGUAACACAAUUGGUUACCAGAAAAUUUCCGUCGACCACGAGAAACGUCGAUACCAUUCGAAAAAUAAACCGUUUGAAUCCAAAUGUCAAGAUGGUGCCAAAAGAGAGUAUGUAUGAGCUACCAUAAAACUGUCCACAGCCAGGUGGUUAAGGAGGCCUACUUCUCUGCUGAAGGUCGCCAAAAGUCAAGUCGACAUUUAUCGCAUACUUUAUUUUGUUUAGUGCAUAAAAAAUAUCAGCGACAGUGCCAAUGAUGAAGAGUCGAAUGUGGGCUGUCGGAUAUCGGCACAGAAGGAAACUAGCUAACCACUGGACUAGCAACAACUUAGUCUGCACUAUGUGUUAAAUAUAAUAUAUUUAUGCACAAGAAAUUUUUGAAUUCGAAAUUAGUUUGGAAAUUUCGUGAUUUUGCGAAUAAUGCGCAAUUACUUCCGCAUCGGAGGGGUAGCCGCCGAUCUACCUUGUGGAUGGAUCGAUAAAUGCUUAGAUUUCUGCGAUUAUGUUUUACGCAGGAACCAGUUUUUCUGAACACUCCCGAAAAAAUGUCACCGAGAAAAAAAAACCAUAUCUUAAACUUAGUAAAUGAAUGCCAAACGAAGCAAAUUGAUCAUGAUUUGCACAGUAAGCACGUGAGAAAUGUGGAGACUGGACAAUUGGCCAGCAUGUCCAUAUAUUUCACAAUCAAAAUAAGAAGCUCAGCGAAGUUCAUUAAUGAACACCUCUUGGUAUUCCCAAAGAAUGUGUUCCUACAUUCCAAGGGCAGAAAAGGCACCUGCUGGAAGAUUCGACGAGCCUCAUCUUCCUGUAACCGCCCUUUCUCAACAAUGUAGUCCAAUAGCUCACCAUUCUUGCAUUAUUCCAUGACAACAAAUAUAUCCUUAGGUGUGCCAAUGACCUCAUAAACCCGGAUGAUAUGAGGGUGAAUUAAGUCAAUGAACAACCUCAAUUUCUUGAUUUCUCUAUUUGCUGGGAACAAGAUAUGAGAAAACAGUAGAAGUAAAUCGUUAGACAUUCAGCCUGUGAAGAAAUUUCAGCUGCAAAUUUACUAACAGCGACAACACAAGGUGAACUUUCUUCUUAAUCAAAGCCGAAUGUAUCCUAGACUCAUGUACUUUAUCUCGACUAAUUGAUUAACUGGGAAUCAGUAACAAGCGCACAAGUCUGACCAGCACUAAAAUUAAGGAGAUAACUGAAAAUGUUGGGCAAGCAAGCCGAAUGUAUCCUAGACAAGGAGGCAUACCUUUCUCUUCCAUUUCCAUAAUUCCCAUUUGGCGGCGGUUCAGGAUCUUUAUAGCAACUUUGUGUCCUGUAAGCUUAUGCUUAUGCUCUGCAAGCUUCAGUUUUCCAAAUGAGCCAAUACCUAAUGUUCUGCCCAGAUUGUAGUUCUUUAAUGCUUCAGAAUGUCCGCCUCCUCCUCUUGUGUUCCCAUCCAUUUUCACAAUGUCAAAACAAGAGAAACGACAUAUGUGAUUCAGCAAACAGUUUUAUAGUUCAGUCAGGAAUUGAAAUCGGUUUCAAGUAUGUCCAUCUCCCUUCUCCACUCUCUCCACUCGGAUGAUUGCUGCUGACCUAAUUAAAGCACGGACGUCGCAGAAAGAUGAUUUUGAAACACUUGAAUCGAUUCCCUAUUGCUAGAGACAGGCCUUGAGUGUGAAAUGAGCGGGCUGGCCAUAAAAGAGCACUAUGCGACAUGAAUGGUGAGGGCAAGAGUGGUUCAAAGGUCAACGAAAUGGGUGAAGUUCCCUUGUCGAAUUUGGGGAAAGUUUUCUUAAAAAGGUUCACAAAUUAACACGUACUAGCAUGAAUAGGCAUAUAUGUGUUGUAAACAUGGAAGAGAUCGAGAUACAAGAAAGAGGAAAUGCAGUCACCAACAAUUGAGCUUAGAAAACAAUGGAGAAGAGUAAGUGAGCUAAAACAUGAAUCUGCUACUAGUACUAAUCAAUAACUGUGCACAACCGUAUCAGAAUCAGGAUCCCUCGCUCUGUACUAGUUUCUUUCGACCAUAUAUGGAGUAAAUUUGAGAAAAGUGUCAUCGAUGGGCCGACCGAUCAAUCGAUAAUAAACCAACUAAUUGACCGAUCAGUCAUUAAUGAAGACUUUCAAGUCCGAGCAUGAUGAAGUGAUUGGUGGUCUGGGUGGAUCUCUCCGUUGCCGUUGGAGGGAAGAAACAAACAGGGCACUGAAAUCGCCACAACAACAAGCAGAGCAGAGCAGCACACAAAGAAACUAAUAAAUUCCCCACUUGAGCCAACCAAAAGCCGAAUGGACAAGCCACACUCCCGGCCAUAGAACUACAGUAAUUAAGAACGCGCGCGAACCAGCCCAGCUCCCUACCCUACCAAGCCAAGCAAGCGACGACGACGCAGAAUCACAAAACUCCGGCGAGAAUUGCAUCAAAGAUGAGUAGGGCGAUUGCCUUAAUUACCUGGGGUCCUGGCCAAAUCCCGUGGUCAGCCGUGGACAGAGGGAGGUGACGAGAGCGACGGCCCAAUAGAGAGGAGGAAGCCUCGAAUCGAGAGUGGUUUUGCGGUCGAUCGAUCGGCUGGGACUGAAGCAGCUUUAGGCUUUAGGCUAUAGCUGCUAGCUUAGGUGGGGGCGGCGUAAUCAGGGAAAGCUUAAGGGAAAGAUGAGCGUCUGCAUCACCAUCGCGCUUGCCUAAGUGCGCACGUCUGACGUGCCAGCUCCCUCUCCCGCCGCUCGCAGACCUCUUGCCGUUUGGCUCUCAUUGUGGCUGUCUUCCUCGUCCAGUCGUCCUAUCCUCUGUCGUUUCUAAUGCGUCGCGUGCGUCGAUCGAUUCCUCCGUCCGUAGUCGGUUGAUUUGGACGGUACAGGAAUGGGAUGGCGGCAGAGACGGUUUUCGGUCGCCAGUGACGCGGCGCUGAUGCGAAUUAUGCAUGCCCUCGUUGACGGUGGGUGGGAUUAACGUCGCUGUUACGUGCGCGACGAGGACGUCCGUUGGCUAUAUUGGGUGCAUGCACACGCUGCAAUGUUUUCUCCGAUCGAAUCUAUCUAUUAUCUAUUAUUUACUAUUUACUUAAAACAAGAGUAAAACAAACCACCACGUUCAUCCACACAGAUUAAAUUAUCUUGACCGUAAAGUUGUAGGCAUAGUCCAAAGGCUGCCACGGACGUGUGUGUAUGAAGGGAAAGUGCAUGCGUACCUAGGAAGAACACGUAGGGUCACGUACUAUAUUAAAUGAGGUGCAAUUGCUAUAACCUUGUGAAAAGAAAAAGUCACGUACUUGGACACAAAGACAUUGCCGGAGAGUUUUCUUUAUGUCUGACCAGAGAGUUUUUCUUUAGUUCAUAGCCAAAGUGCCAAACGGAUUCUACAUAACUUGGUUGUAUACGUAAUGAGAAAGAAAGUCCAUAUUUCCGGCUGCCACAAGGGAAAAAAGUGCAUAUUUCAACCUGCCAAAAAAAAACAAGGAAAUACGUGUAAACUAUUACUAGAAAAAUAGAAAAAAGUUACGUACAACAAUAAUGGUGUACAAAUAAAUUAUUACUAGACACAUUCUGCAGAAAAAAAACUGUUAGACACGUGUAAAUGUAGAACCAAUUGAUUGGAUGCACAAGGAAGGAAGCUUUUUUUAAGCCCACACAAAAGGAACGCAUGCAUAUAGCAUAGUCUAUCACGUAUCUAUGCAAGGAGGAAACAAAGAUGUUUCCAAAUCUUCCUCAACUGUUUCUAUACCACACGAAGAUAGCCGGACAGAUCGAUAGCGUCCCCUAUAUGUGACGUUCAAUGAAAAAUCAAUCCCAGCCUUCAAGGAUGACAGUGCCGAGCUGUCCCUGCCGCCGACAGCCCCACUCGAACGACGACUGAAUCCUCGCCAAGAUGUCCCAGCGCCGCAUCAUGGACCGCGUGAGGAUGACUGUUGCCGCCGCCGCCUCGACUGCAUCAUAUUGCUCGGGCACCUCGACCCCUUGCCGCAGGGGAGGCCACACCCUUCCGCUUGAAUCUACGGCGAUGCCAUGCGAGAGACCAAGAGCAGAUGUACAAGGAGCACGUGAUGAGGGAAUUCGCUAAGGAGGAAAAAUAUCCAAGGCUGCGCCUUGACCCACCCCAGCAGCGACAAAACAGCAAAAUCAUAAAGCUAUGCAUUGACAUCAACUCCGCUGAUCUCAUGUAAGGUCUAGGCGCCACUAGCGCGUUCUCUUUUUCUGGUCAGAUUUGUCCAGUGAUAGGAUCUAAAAAGGGCAACCGAAAUAAUUUUGUUUGUCCAUGGAUGAGAUGGAUAGGUAUACUCCGAUCGUCCUGGUGCAAACACAGGCGAUACAUGUAGAAAAGUUGUGAAGUGCUAUUCUGCUCAGACACUUGCAUGCCGCUCUAUCCAAGUUCCAGGUCAAUACUAAAUCAAUGAGCCUUGCUUCCUUUUUUUCUUUCUUUUUUCAUUAAUAUGAUUGUCAGUAACCAAACAAUAUUUGCUAACAGAAAAGGUGGUGCUGUGGCCUAGAACCAGAGACUAUGAAACUAAUUAUCAUUUAGAAUUCGUAAAAUCUUACUUUAGAUGGUACAAAUUAGACCCAUGUUCUCAUGACGUUUGUUUAGGCAAUGUCCUUCUCUCAAACAAUUAGGACUCUGUUUUCCUGCCUGUACAUGUGCAUAUGUCAUGUUUGAUGAAAUAAACGGGAAUUGACCUUACUAUCUUAUAUGUUUAUGACCAUAUGCUUCAUAUUACAAUUUGGUUAGUUGUGCUGAUGAUCUUCUAUGUCUAGCGAGGUAUAUUCGCUCAUAGGCAGACCUAACUUAGACUACCAAAUCAUGAAUAAUGAUUUUUUUUCUUCCUUGAAUUUGUUUUUCAUAAAAUUCCAAUCUAACCUGUUCAUAGCCUCUCUACUAAUAUGCUUAUGUUAUCUAUUUUAUCCUACAUGUUCUCAGGCUACAACUAGAUCGAGUGUUAAUAUGUUAUGCUUACCCAUUAAACACUAACUACACUUUUUCCAUUCUCCCUAUGGACAUGCCUAUUAUUUGCUGGCAAGAACCACGAUGAUUGAGCACAAAGAAAAGAGUAGAAUAACAACCGGUUAGAUACAAGCUAUUUCCGUAGUUAGUUUUACUUCAGAAGAUGUAUAUACUUCUGUUAUUGCUUCAUGUUACAAGUCGUAAGCCAAGUAGCACAUAUCUGUACUGAGCUAUUUAUCAUACAUCCCAAAAUUUCGGUUUCUCACAUUACAACUAGGUAUUAGUUUGUCUAUAGAUGUUCAGAAAAAAAAACUUGCUCUUCUCUUUUUAUUAUCUUCUGUUUCAUGCUGCUAUACUUAUUAUUCCAAAUUUGUAAAGAGGUUUGCAUCACACAUGAAACCAGUUAAACAAUUCCCUACAAGAUUUUUUUCUUUCUGAAAAUUAGCUCUAAUCACAUCAAAUUUGGCACACCAAAUCUCUUCAAUUCCACUUAAAACAUGUUUAAUUUAUAUAAGACUUCUACUUUAAUUUUCUAACUGUCUGAGCUUCAAGAUAGAGAUGAAUUUGGAGACAAAGAAUUUGCCAAUUUGUGUAUGAUUUUUUUCAUAAAAACCUGAUACUUAUUGUGUUUGUGAUCUCUAAUGUGUACUAUGGAAAAAGUAUUUUUCUCCCAUAAAUAAAUUUUGCUAUGAAUGUGCAAAUGAACCAUUCUUAAUUUCAUGAGCUGAGUUCGACAUAAUAAACCUAUAACAUCGCAGUUAAUUGGAAUUAUGUAGAUAAAGAUGGCAGGUGUACUUGAAAUAUGGGAAUUGUAAUAAUAAAAAAUCCAUUGCAUUCUUCAAGUUUACAAAUAGCUAGAUUUGAGAAAAUAUAAAUUUGAAAAAAAAAUAUAAAACAAAAGUACAGUACAAUAAAAUGAACGAUUUAAUGAGUAGGACAUAUAAAGCGGACUGUUCUUCAGUUGUACUGGAGGGCUAAUGAAAUGGUAAAUAUGAAGAAACCAACAUAUAUGUGCAAGUACCAAAUUAGAUGCAAGGCAUGCAUGAAGAGGUGAAGAAAAUGGAACUAAAAAAAUUGCAAGGUAUGCAUGACAUGGGCUAGAAGGACAGCGGAUCGUGUACUGAGUUGUAUCCUACCAAGGAAACACAAUUAUGUUUAUUCUCCUGAGAUAAGUAUGGAAGAACAUUUAAGUUGUGCUAAAUGAAAGGUGGGUGUUCCCAAAACUACUAACUUUUUUAAGGAAGUUUGUACACAUCGUGAUGGUACAAGAUAUAUGAAUCCCCAAUGAUUUGGCUAGGUGUACGACUAUGCUCCACCCAUACCAAUUUCUCACUCAUACUUAUAUUGCAAUAGGAGGCAAAGGGAAAAUAGGAAAAAACAACAUGAGUGUGAUGAAAUACGACGAACAAGUGUGAUAGAGAGAAUGUUUCAGCAAAAAGUGUUACGAAAAAUAUAUAAAGCAUGUAAUAAGGCAUUUGGUUGUGUUAACUUAAAACUAUGGAAGUAAACUAACAAUAACAUAUACACGGUAGAGAGAAUGACCCAUGAUGAUGCCACGGAAAAGUUUUAGUAAUUUUACAUAUUAUAUAGUAAUAAUUGUGCAUCCUAUUCAAUAACGUCCAACAUUAUAUGAUGACACUAUCUAUCAAGGACAUCUCCCCAUUCAAAUAUAAACUAUCCAUCCUUCUAUUUAGUAAGCAUAGGACACUUGGGGUACUAGAAGUGCAAGAUGAAAAGCUGGAGACGUAAUAGAAGUCCAUGGCCUUACAUGCAAGCCAUGACUUUAGCAACCUUUGUAAUUUGUAAUCAAUAUUUACCCUAAAUGGAAUUAUUUCUAACAACUGCAAUCAUGUUACAAGACGUAGACCUCCACUAUAAUGAUAGGCCACAAUGAAAACAAAUUAGCAAAAAAAAAGUAUAACAUCACAAUAUGAAAUCUAGCCGUGCAAAUGCCGGGCCACAUCGCUAGUUUGUUUUAUUUGUUCUUGUUCAUAGUAACACACUGCCUCUGCACCAGUCACUAUCGUGAUGGCUGCUUAUUAAUUAUACUUUCCGCGUGACACAUCUGGAAUUGGUGUUUGCUCUGGAUUUCACAUGUGCGACAUAGGCUGGCUGUGUACAUGCGCGACAAGGUGUGCUGCAUGCAUGCAUGCCCGCGCGCAAGUGUAUAAGGUGUACUCCGAUCCGAGGGGCGUCAAGGUGAACUACGCUCCGUGGGACAAGGUGUGACAAGGUGUACUGCACGCACGGCGUCAGAAGGUGUUGGCCGUAAUCCCGUUGCAAAUUCAGUUCGUUUCCUUUUAGUAGUACUAUAUGUUAGACCCAUUCGCCAUGCGCGAGGAAUUUGCUGCGCUCGUCACCAACCGGACCUGGGAGCUGGUUCCUCGGCCGCCCAACACCAAUCUGAUCAGUGGCAAAUGGGUUUUCAAUCACAAGUUUGUUAGAGUUGUGUCGAAUAUAGUGUAUAAGGUAGGUUACAGUUGGACUUGUAGUUGUACUGUGUUUAGGAUAUGGAGUCGUGUUCAAGUAGGACACUUGUAUCCUAGGCCUCUCAUAUAUAGCGGGGGUAGACACACGAUGUAACAUAUGCCAACAUAAUAGCACAGGAACGCAGGGGAAGCCGGCGGCUUGUGCCGAUGUCCAGGACGACCGGGUGCGUUAUUAUAGCGGUGUUAUGGGAAGGAGCGCCCAUAGUCAGGCCCCGGAGAUGUAGCCAUAUCGGUGAACCUCGUUAACAAAUUUUGGUGUUGUGCUCGUGUGAUUGCUUGGUCCUCGGAUGAUCGACGGUGUGCCACGGAUUUAUUCUAACAAGUGGUAUCAUGAGCUAGGUUGUCGGGAGGUUGCUGGAUUGUCGAUUCAGAGGAUAGAUCGUCGUCGGAUCGUGCGAAGAUAGUAUGCGAAGAAAUCAAUAUUGAUGUCAAUGGUGAUCGAUUGGGAAUUCUUUUGCGGAAGCCGUCAGGUGGUUUGCCAUCAGACUAGAUCAAGAAGGAGCAAUACGGCGGCAUGAAAAGUGUCUCAGCAGUUAAGGAAAUCGGCAGCGGAAUCAGUGAGUUGCAGCAGACGUCCGAGAAGUGGAAGGCUCGCGUGCGCAGCGGCAGGGAUGUGCAGCGAUCGAUCGGUUGGAUCGAUCGGGCGAGCGUUCGGCACGCGCGGCUGGCUCGCUGGCGCCUCGCGGCCCAUGGCAGGAGGCCCAUCUGAGAGAUCCUGAGCUGCACGGAAAUUGGGCGAAGCGAAGGGAAGGCCCAGGCAACGGGCAGGUUCUGCUGGUUCGCUGGAGAUGCAGAUCGAGAUACACAUAAAUCUCCCCUCUCGUUAAGGUUUCUCUCCCCUUGAGCGACGGCGAUGCCGACACCGUAGGGAUCUUGCCUCCCCGGCUGUUUCGCUCCAUGCCGGCGAUCGCUGAGGCCCUCGGCUGCGGCGGCGCACGGGGAAGGUGGCGACUUUUCGGGACCUACCGCUCACGGAACCCUAACCUCGAGCAAGCGAUGAUGGGUUCGAUUGCAUCUAGAUCGAGUACGGCUGCGUCCGAUCUGGCUGCAAUGAUGGAGGAACUUGUCCUGAAAGAAGAUGAUCUGAUUGAUGUUGUGGUGGAAGACACCGAGAUGCCGAAGGAAGAUACGCGCUGGAUGGCACUGGCUAGGGUUCACACAGAGAAAACAUAUAGCCAAUAUUGGUUCUAUAGGAACAUGAGAGUGGCCUGGGAUCUAGCUCAAGAGGUAAAGAUUAGACCACUAGAAGAUAAUCUGUACUCGAUGCAAUUCUCUUGUCUAGGAGACUGGGAGAGGGUUAUGGGAGAUGGCCCUUGGAACUUCAAGGGGAAAGCAGUAGUUCUGUUGGAGUAUGCUGGCUUCACAAAGCCGUCGACUAUAGAACUUAACAAACUGGAUGUUUGGAUCCAGAUUCAUGACCUGCCAGAUGGCUUCUUUUCCAAGGUCAAAGCUUUGUCUGCCACUGUGGGAGAAUUUAUAUAUGUUGAGCCUAGAUUUCCGGAUUUUGAAGGUAACUUCGCGAGAGUUCGCAUCAGGAUUGAUGUCACUAAACCUCUGAAGAACGUUGUUUCGCUGGUAAUAAAGAAGAAGGACUCGGUGCAGCGAGUCAUCUUUAGAGUCAAGUAUGAAAGAUUGCCAGACUGGUGCCCAGUUUGCGGACAUCUAGGUCACCAACACAAAGAAUGUGGGGACGGGGUUCAUGCCCCAAAGGCGCUGGUCUUCAAAGACAUCAAGGACACGUGGUUCAAAGGCCCUGGCAGUGGACCGGAUGAGAGCAGCAACAUUGGGAGAGGCCGAGGCAGAGGCCGCGCGGGAAGAGGAAGAGGACGUUCUUCCAACAGUGCUGACUCAUUUGACGACCAGUAACAUGAGGAACGGGAACAUCGAGAUGGAGAUGUAGCAAUGGUGGAUGCUGAUCGUAAUAGGAAGAGAGGGGCUAAUGAUCCAAAGCACGCACUCCCAACCUCUUCAGUACAACAGACCAAGCAACUGUUUUUGCCAUCACCGACGGUGCCUCUUAGCCCCCCUCCCAAGCAGGAUCCGAAGAGAUCAAAAUUAAUCUUGUCUACUAAUGAGUCGGCUCCGGAGAAGAGUACAGCUUUUACCAAUAACCCUGAUGUGCAUUUGGAGGGCUCCAAACGGGGCUGCGCCUAGCGCAAUGAGUCUUCUCUAUUGGAACUGUCGCGGAAUUGGCAAAGCCACGGCAUUCAGAGAGCUUCGCGAUCUAGCGAGGCAGUUUGCCCCCUCUAUUGUUUGCAUUCUUGAAACGCAGAUAGAGGGCAAGAGGGUUGAGAAUUUGGCUGAUAGUAUAGGCUACAAUAAAUGCUUUGCAGUUAGUAGUUCCGGUAGAAGUGGUGGUCUUGGAAUUGUUUGGAAUGAUGAAUAAAAGUGGAAGUUAUCGGUUACUCAAAGUAUCACAUUGAUGUUCUUGUUGAUGAUUUAGUUGAUUUGCAGGUAAGAAUUACCUUUAUCUGCGGCGAAGCUCAGGUACCAGAGAGAUAUAAAACCUGGGAUACCCUACGAGGCAUUGCUGAGACGCAGAAUAGACCAUGGGAGGUUAUGGGAGAUUUUAAUGAGGUUCUUCACAUUCAUGAACAUGAUAGUGUGGGACAAAGAAGCCAAGCCCAAAUAGAUGUGUUCAGGGAAGCAAUUGAUACAUGUGGUCUUUCAGAUAUUGGAUACUCCGGCUGCAGUUGGACAUUUGAAGAAAAGGUCAUAGGGGGCAGCUAUACGCGGGUUAGGUUGGACAGGUGCCAGGUGAAUCCUGAAUGGGCACUGGCCCUCACAUCAUCUGAGCCGUGGCAUAAGAGCAUGGCUAGUUCAGAUCAUCUCCCCAUCCUACUACAGCUACAUGAGAUGCAUGCAUGCAGAACGGGCCCUAGGCCCUUUAAAUAUGAAACAAUCUGGGAAAGGGUCGAAACACUGUCCGACACUGUUCGUGCUAGCUGGUGUCUGCAGGAGGGGGAAACAGAUGAUGCCCUACGUGCAAAAUUAGGGGGUUUGGCGGGAGACUUGUCGGCGUGGGACCGCAAUCAUUUUGGAUCAGUGCAUAUGGAGAUUCGCCAAUUGACAAACCAGCUUGAGAUCACGCGCUCUGCGCCAGGGCGGUCGGGGCCGACAAAUGCUGAAACCAAGGUGGCAGACAGAUUGGUCGAACUGUUCCACAGAGAGGAGCUGCUAUGGCGCCAGCAGGCCCGACUGGAUUGGCUAGUCCAUGGUGAUAAAAACACCUAUUUUUUCACUUGAGAGCGAGUAGACGCCGCCAGAAGAACCAGAUAAAAUCGCUACAGUGAGCGGAUGGGCAGUUGACCGAGGACAAGGAGGAGAUGGAGGAGCUUACCACAGAAUUUUACAAAAAAUUAUAUCUGUCCGAGGGGUCCAGGGCAUGGACAUGGUACUAGAUGCAGUUCCUGCUAAAGUAAUGCCAGCGAUGAACGGCCUUUUGAAUGCUCCUUACACGCAUGAUGAAGUAAAACUGGCGUUGUUUCAAAUGUUCCCAACCAAAGCUUCCGGCACAGAUAGAUUCCCUACCCACUUCUUUCAGCGUCAUUGGGAUGUUUGUGGUGCGGAUGUAACAAAAGUGGUACUCAAAAUUGUGGAUGGGAUGGAGUUAGCAGCAUGCAUUAACAACACCAUUCUAGUUCUCAUCCCCAAGGUAAAAAACCCCACGCUCCUUGCUCAGUUUCGGCCCAUAAGUUUAUGUAACGUGCUCUAUAAGAUUGCGUCCAAGGUAAUUCCCAACAGGCUCAAACAAAUACUACAAGAUAUAAUAUCAGUAGAGCAGUCAGCAUUUGUUCCCGGGAGAUUGAUCCCAGAUAAUAUAAUAAUGGCAUAUGAGUGUUUGCAUUUUAUGAAGAGGAACAAGGCAAAGAAAAAACAUUCAUGCGCUCUGGAAUUAGAUAUGAUGUAGGCGUAUGACUGGGUUGAAUGGGCUUAUCUCCAAGCCAUCAUGCUCAAAUUUGGGUUCAACAGAUGGUGGGUGGAUAUUGUAAUGGGCAUGGUUACAUCUGUAAAAUUCUCAGUCAUGUUCAAUGGAAAGAAUCUUGAGGAGUUCAAUCCAUCACAUGGAAUCCGACAAGGUGACCCAAUAUCACCGUACUUGUUCUUGUUAGCAGCAGAGGGCCUGUCGUGCCUUUUAAAAUCACAAAAUGAGUCAUCAAACUUGGGUGGGAUUCAGGUGGCACCUCAGGCACCACCAGUCAACCACCUUUUAUUCGCAGAUGACAGCCUGUUGUUCUUCAAGGUAAAUAGUGCGGGUGCAACAGAGCUUAACCACUUGUUGGAGGUUUAUAGUCAAGCUUCAGGCCAGCGAAUCAACUAUAACAAAUCCUCAAUAUUUUUUAGCAAAGGUGUGCCGGAGGUCACACGCAAUGAAAUAAAAGGUAUGCUUAAUGUUCCCAAUGAAACUUUGAAUGAUAAGUAUUUGGGUAUGCCAUCUGAUAUAGGGAGCUCAAAAAAUGGGGCCUUCAAGUUUUUAAAGGACAGAUUGUGGAGCAAAAUUCAGGGAUGGAUUGAGAGAACAUUGUCAGCAGCAGGGAAGGAGGUACUAGUCAAAUCAGUUGCCCAGGCAGUGCCAGUAUUUUCCAUGUCUUGUUUCAAACUUCCGAGGGGAUUACGUGAACACCUCAAUAUGCUGAUAAGGAAAUUUUGGUGGGGGAGCACAAAUGGUCAACGCAAACCUCACUGGGUCUCACGGGAAGCAAUUACACAGCCAAAGUGUAUGGGAGGCUUGGGAUUCAAAGAUUUUGAGCUAUUUAACCUGGCCAUGUUAGCCAAGCAGGCAUGGAGAAUGUUGCAAGAUACCGAGUCUCUGGGCGCGAGAAUUCUGAAGAGCGUCUAUUUCCCACAUACUACCAUUCUGGAGGCAUCAAUUGGGAACCAUCCGAGUCAGAUAUGGAGGGCCAUAGUGGAGGGCGGGGAUAUUCUGAAACUUGGACUGAUCAAACGAAUUGGAGAUGGGGAGAGCACUAGCAUCUGGAAUGACAAUUGGCUUCCCAGAUCAGAGAUGAUGAGGCCGUACGGCUGCCGAAUAAGUAACCCACCCAAUACAGUAUCUGAACUAAUCGAUGCUACUAAUGCUUCAUGGAAGAGACCCGUGGUGGAAGCUACAUUCUUGUCGUUCAAUGCAAAGAUCAUCAUGGGCAUCCCGCUAUGUACGACCCAUAUGCAGGACUUUUGGAGAUGGAUGUAUGAGAGAACGGGACAAUUCACAGUCCGGUCGGCUUAUAACAUGUUGGUGUCUACGAAGCUACGGCGAGAGGCUUGGUUAGAGGGCUCGGUAGCAUCAUCCAGCAAUCACGUCGAUGAGGCUUCAUGAAAGUAUCUCUGGAAAACUGAAGUCCCUGCAAAAGUACGCAUGUUUCUAUGGCGCUUAUCAAAAUAGUCACUACCGACGGAGGACGUGAGUGCUCAUCGUCAUAUGUCAAUAACUAGCUCUUGCGGCUUCUGUGGAGCUCCUGACUCAUGGCGUCAUUCCCUUCUGGAGUGCACGGUCUCCAGAUGCAUAUGGGCGUUGGUAGAUGAGGACUGGGGUGCAGUCUGGUUGCAUCAUCAGAGACGAGGGUGAAGAGCUGGCUCUUUGGACUAAUGGAUUCGCUGACGCACGAGAAGUUCGCUCUACUCGCGGUCACAUUGUGGGCAAUCUGGACCGCGAGGAGAAAAGCUAUCCAUGAAUCCAUAUUCCAAACACCUUUGGCGACGAAGGAAUUUAUAACUCGCUUCAUGGCUGAUUUGGGCGCGGUUUUACUACCUGCAAAGAUCAACCCAGUGCCUCUGACUCUUGUCACAACUUCUGCACCGAGGCCGAAGGCACCACCUGCCAGCUAUGCCAAGAUUCACGUCAACGCGGCAGUAAGAUUUGAGAGAGGAGGGAUAGCGGCAGCCAUAUGCAGAGAUAGCCAAGGUGUCUACCUGGGGAGCUCAUCACUUAUCAUUGCGGGGGUUUGCGACCCAGCGACACUCAAGGCUAUAGCAUGUCGUCAAGCUAUCGCUCUAGUAGAAGACCUGAAUGUGCAACGAUUUGUUGUGGCCUCGGACUGUAAACAAGUCGCCGACGACAAUUCCAGGGGCAGCCAGGCCCGUAUGGAGCUAUAAUCAGAGAAAUCAAGUUGAGAUCAUCACUAUUUUUGUGUAGUUUUACCUUUGAGAUUCGAGCUCAAAAUGUUGAAGCUCACAAGUUAGCUAAGUUUUCUAUAUCGUUACCACCAGGGCGUCAUGUGUGGCUUGGCCAGCCUCAUUACCAGUGUUGUAUCCCACACACUGUGGAAUUUGAUUAAUAAAGUUGGCUUUUCCCCUAAAAAAAGAUGCAGAUUGAGAUGUGUGAGCUAACAUGAGAGAUUUUGUUUGAGAAAAAAAAGGGUGACGACUGAGUCCCUGGAGGAGACGCGUUCUCUUGGAGGACGAGACACGGAUGUGCAAACAUCAAUGUGAACUACUGCAUCAUAAAGGAAAAGGAUUGGGCAAGGCAAAGCUAGCAUCGGAGUUGAGCCACGGGAGCCACUCUACGUGAACACCAGAAGCAAUCUUGUUGGAUUUGCAACUAGUAUACUCGGUGUACUUGGGGAUCAUGAAAAAAGUGCUCCAUAUUUUUUCACAGGUCAGUUAUACAAAGAACCAUGGAGCCAACUGUUGGGAUCUACGGUAGGGUGCGUCGACUGCAAAUUAAAAAUUCUUACGCGCAGAACAACCAAGAACAUGCUACGGGAGAUGGAUCACAGAUUGUUACCACUAGACGUGCAGUGCCGUGCAGCGGAAGAAGAGUUGGGGCAGCGCGUCCGCAUGGAUCGUCCCCUCCUCAUCCGAUCUCCCUCGAACAGCCGGUCGUCCGAUCCCACGUACAAGUUCGCCGGAGCAGCGCAAGUGCACCGCCUCUAACGUUAUCCGCGCGUGCAGGAGGAACACCGUGCGGCGAACUGCUAGGUCCGAUCACACAGUCAGUGGCGAGUGGAGGUGGCUAUUUGCAACACAUGCAAACCCUAGUGACAGCACCGAAGCGAUCAACCGCAUGAGUGUGCCGCACCUCCACUUUAUAUAGGCGUCCGUCGCGGGCUCAACACUUGAGCCUCGCACGGACCCUAAAGCCCACAAGUCUACUCAGCCACAAUCCGAAUACAGUUCCGAUCACAUCCGACCAGUGUCCUCGGAUUCGUCCUCGUAGGUUCCUUCCCUUAAGCGCGCGACCCCUUAGGUUAAAGUCGGCUUGGUCGCAAUUCGAAUCACCUCCGAACUGCACGGUUGGUAGCGGCCUCUAGCAAGGCAUGCCGAACACCAAGCAGAUCAUGAAGCUGGUUAGGCGAACCUGUACAUCAUACUUCUGUUCUCUUUGCCACACGAUAUAUGUUGUCGGGCUCAAGGCGAGACUGUCAUCCUUGUGCUAGCCCGACCUCUUUUUCUCACUCCAGUGAUACCGACCACUAUCCGGAUUAUCUUAUAAUCCUUGUCGCAUGGCCAUGCUUAUCCUGGUCGGAUCACACGAGGGGCCCAGAGUAUAUCUCUCCUGAUCGGAGGGGCAAAUCUCAUCUUGCUCGACCACGUCUCGCAGCAUGGGAUUGGACAAACUCGAAACCUACCUUUGUAACUACCCAGUCACGGAGUAGCGUUUGGUCGGCCCAAAGCAAGUCUGUCACCAUCUCGAGUACAUGCUUCAGCUCAGGUCUUAGGACAUAGAACAUAUGUUGUACUAGAGACUCACAGAUGACAUAUCGUUGCGUCUCAUAGUUGGGUGGGUCUGUCCGACUCGGACCUUAUCUCGACUCGGAUACGACUACGUCGAAUCCGACCAGACCUUUCCAAGUCCAUAUUAUCCGGUUAGCAUCCAAUGCUUCAUGGCUAGUGAGACCAAGUCAUCGACCGUGUCAUAUGCUAGUCUAGUCGGCUGUGCGUCCACACAACCCUUUCGACUAGGGACCUUUUAGGACAAUCAUCUUACAAUGCAUAGUCCCACAAACAAGUCACGUACUUGCUGAUACACAUCAUUGAUAAUGUCCAAGGAUUAUCUUUAUUCAUAAACACAUAGGAAAUAUUAUCAUACAUGGUUGCCUCUAGGGCAUAUCUCCAACACCAACGGGUACUAGGUUUGAGGUGGAGAAUUUCAACGGAACUGAAAACCUUAGGUUAUGACAGAUAAGGGUGAAAAUUGUUGGCACAACAGGCAUGCUUGAAAGCGUUGCGGGAUGUCAAUCCACGCGGACGAUGGGACUGUGGGGAGAUGUAGAUGGUUGCAGUCAGAUAAUUUCGGCUGGGUCGGACUGGAGAGUCUGACAGAUCGGCACAAGUCUGUUGGUACAAAAGACGGUGGUGGGCUCGACGACGAAGACAUAGGAACGUGAUGCUAAUGGUGACCGACUUCUAGGGCAUGGAAACACGUACGUGGCGCAGGCCCGAAGGCUUGUGCGGCUUCGACAAGACUAUGGCAUGGGGUUGAUUCAAGACGGUGCACAUGAGAGCUUGAGGUCGACGGGGCGUGAGGGUGGACUGAUCGAUUAUCUACCAUGGAGUCAUGUUGAAGGUGGAGCUGAUUGAGGGGCUACGACGUAAGUUGACAGAGAGUUGAAGCCUAUUCAGCGGGAAAAGCGAGGGAUACGUAAUUCGGACUGGAGCCCAGUGGUCUGAUGGAAGCGUGAAACUCGUCAUCGGUCAGUGAUGAUCGGUGGUACGUACUCUGUAGUGGGGGUUGAGUGGUGUGGGUUGACGACCCUUGAGACUCGACCGGGACAGCGGAGGCUCGACGCGGUAAUAGCGAUGAGGCGUGCGGUUAGCACGGGGCAUGGAGAUGGGCCAGGGCUCUGGCGGUCAUACAUGUGGUGAGACAACUGCGAAUUUGACUCGGGAUGAUUACAAGCAAUGGUGAAAUUCCUUCAAGUUUUAGACAGACGGUUAAGAAAGGAGCGGUGAUGUUGAGUUCAGGUAACUCUUAUGUGUGACACCCAAUAUGUGAGUUGUUCACUUUCACGCAGGUCAGUGAUCAGUGUGUGAUGGCGUUGGACAGAUACUCUGAAAGUUGGGAGCGCAAACUAGAGUAAUGUGGAACUUGAUUUUGCUCGAGUGUUGACUGCGCUCAAAAAAAGAAGGGACUACAAGUUGCAGGUGGAGUCAUAUGGAGUCUUUGGAGUAGCAGCAAUACUCAUGGGAUAAGCUCAAGUCCAAUGUACAUGGAAAUUUGACGCAUUAACGAAUUCAAGGUGAUGGAGAAUAUUCGCCAAGGUGGAGUUUGUUAGAGUUGUGUCGAAUAUAGUGUACAAGGUAGGUUACAGUUGGACUUGUAGAUGUAUUGUGUUUAGAUAGGAUAUGAAGUCGUGUCCAAGUAGGACAGUUGUAUCCUAGGACUCUCAUAUAUAGCGGGGGUAGACACACGAUGUAACCUAUGCCAACAUAAUAGCACGGGAACACAGAGGAAGCCAGCGGCUUGUGCUGGUGUCCAGGUCGACCGGGUGCGGUAUUGUAGCGGUGUCAUGGGGAGGAGCGCCCAUAGUCAGGCCCCGGGAUGUAGCCAUAUCGGUGAACCUCAUUAACAAAUCUCGGUGUUGUGCUCGUGUGAUUGCUUGGUCCUCGGAUGAUCAACAGUGUGCCUCGGAUUUAUUCUAACAAAGUUUCGCGCUGAUGGCUCUCUCUAGCGUUACAAAGCGCGGUGGGUGGUCCGGGGCUUCAAUCAGUGCGCCGGUGUGGACUACGGUGAAACCUUCUCGCCGGUGGUCAAUCCUGCGAUGAUCCACACUGUCCUCACCAUUGCUGCACCGUGCUGCUGGUCGGUACAUCAACUGGACGUCAAGAACGCAUUUCUGCAUGGCACGCUUGCGGAGGAGGUGUACUGCCUCCAACCAGCCGGCUUCGUCGACGAGCAUCAGCCUCAACAUGUCUGCCGCCUCAACAAGUCAUUGUACGUGCUUAAGCAGGCCCGCAUGCCUGGUUUCAGACGUUCGCCACCUUCCUCAAGAUGAUGGGCUUCGCUGCGACGCGCUCUGACUCCUCAUUAUUCACCUACACGCGCGGCGCGGACGCAGCAUUCCUCCUCCUCUAUGUCGAUGAUAUCGUGCUCACUGCCUCGACCCGGGCUCUUCUCCAACGGAUCAUCCUCGGGCUCACCAGCGAGUUCGCCAUGAAGGACCUCGGUGCCUUGCGGUUCUUCCUCGGCAUCUAGGUGACACGCACCGCGUCCGGCUUCUUCCUCUAUCAGCAACAGUACGCCGAGGACGUCCUCGAGUGCGCUGGCAUGGACACGUGCAAGCCGUCGCCUACACCGAUCGACACGAAGGGUAAGCUUCCCCAAGCUAAAGGGCCCCGCACGGCAGAUCCGUCGGGCUAUCGCAGCAUCGCCGGCGCCCUCCAGUACAUCACCAUCACUAGGCCUGAGCUGGAGUACGACGUCCAGCUGAUUUUCUUGUACAUGCACGAUCCGCACGAGUGUCAUCAGGCCCUCAUCAGGGCGUGUGCUGCGCUACGUUUGGGGGACGCCCAUGCUCGGGCUGCAUCAGCGUGCUUCAUCGACACUGGAUCUCCACGGCUACACUGAUGUUGACUAGGCCGGCUGCCCGGACACCCGUCGCUCGACGUUUGGGUUAUGCGUCUACCUCGGCAACGCGCUCGUCUCCUGGUCCUCCAAGCGCCAGGCCACCGUGUCUCGCUCGAGCGCUGAAGCUGAGUAUCGCGGCGUCACCAACGUCGUUGCAGAGUGCGUCUGGCUCUGACAGCUCCUCGGCGAGCUCCUCCUUCCCAUCUGCUCGGUGACCGUGGUCUACUGCGACAAUGUGUCCGCCUGCUACCUCUUCGCCAACCCCGUGCACCACCGUCGCACCAAGCAUGUCGAGCUCGACAUCCAUUUCGUGCGGGAACGAGUGGCCCUCGGCGAGUUUCGCGUCCUUCACAUCCCCACCACGCAGCAGCUCGCCGAUGUCAUGACGAAAGGCUUGCCCACGGACAUUUUUCUUCAGUUCAGCGCAAGUCUUUGCGUCGCGCCAGCCGACGCCAAGACUGUGGGUGGGUGUUAGAGUAUAUCGUAGCUUAGUGUAUGUAUACCGCGUAUUGAGGACAACCUGCGGUCAGUGCAUGCGUUUGAGUAGUGGGCAUGUCGCCCACGAUCAGCCAGGUAGUGGUACACGAUGAUCUCUGUAAACUAUAUAUAGUUCCAGCCGGCAGAGCUACUAGAUGUGUGUUGAAUCCUAUAGCAACUCCCUCUUCUUCACUAUAUGCUUAUAGCAAAAUAAACGGCCCGCUGACGUGUGCGUGUACAUGACUUGGUCGACCUACGUUCUGUUGGUUGCUUAGCAAGUUAUAGGCGUGGCAUUGAUCCGGCCAUGGGACGGCAUCAGAAGGUGAUCGCGGCGCGCCCAUGCACCUUGCCCACAUCGAGCAUUGUGGGAUGGCACGACUGUAUAAGCUUGGCAUAGGCAGGUUUUACUUAAUAGUAGGAAAAAUAAAUAGAUAUGAAGAAGAGAAAGCAGCAAGUUGAGUGCUGCGAAGCACUUGUCUCCUAGCUCAAAUCUCUGUGUUGCGAUUGUCCUUCUCUUUCGGCAACCACAUGUGGCAUCAGAGCCAUGGCUUUCGACCGGGAUAACGCUGGUGCAGCAGCACGGGCCCCUGGCUCACACACUCCACCGGGGACACGGGCUAUGAGCCAUGGGUGGAGCAAGACGAGGCAAGGCAAGGAGAUGAAGGUGUUGAAAAUAUGAGCAAAUUACUACAAGAAUUAAUCCGAAUUAAUAGAAGAUAAAUCAUGACUACAGUAGCAAAGAUUGAACUAAUCAUGCGAACUAGCAUAGUAGAUGAACAGAUGACAUCUAGAGCACAUACUAGAAACAUGAAUUCUACCACGAUCUCGAACAGGAAAGAUAGAAUCACAUACGAUGCAGCGGGAGCAGCACCGCCGGCGUUGACGUUGUCGCCCAUGUCGUCAAGGAUGAGGUUGCCGAGGUCGGGGAAGAAGUCAUCUUUCGCGAAGUCGUCGCUGCCAGCAGUCGCGCGAGUGCGCUCCCCAAAAACCUGAUCGCCCCUCUCCCGUACAGGAUCACGAGAGGCGGGGUUCCGGAGGCCUGCUGUCCCUUCUCCCGGUGCACGCCAAAAGGAGAGAUGGAGAAGACUUGAUUGGCGGCGCAAUGGUCUGGAACGGCAGUGAGAAACCAUACAAGAAAACGGCGGCGGCUAGGGUAGACGUUUGCCUCACUAUAUAGUGCGGGCCGGGUAGGUCGUGGGAGUAAACCCCACGUCUGAGUCGUCACGGUCCAAAAGAACCAGAAACGGUUCAGUAAUUAACGCGUCCAUUAAUUAUUAAUUAAUGACUCAUUAAUUUUUCCCGAGCAGCAAAAAUAUAGACAACGUGCAUAGCUCUGUCCUCAGCUCGGCUCAAUCCCGCAACCCGCGGCGCGGCGCGUUGUGACGACGCGUGGCGUGGCGAGGAGGAGGAGCGCGCGUGUACGUCUCCUUUUCUCAUGCUCAUACAAGUGGUAGGAGAGCUCACCUUAUAAAAAGGUGCAACUCUCUCAACUUAUGAGGUGGGACUAAACUUUAGCCUCACUCACUCCACUCACAUGUGUGCAUGAAUGGGCCAAGAGAAUUUCAGAAUUUUAGUUGGGCUUUGGGCCAAAAGCCCACUAGCAAAUUCCAACAAUCCCCCACAAAGUCUCAUUGGCACAUUUCACCAUUUGGUUCCAAAACAUUGUUUAUAUACCGGUGCUUAAUGGAGACUGUGAAGUUGCAACUUCCACUUAGAGAUUUAUGCUACACUAGAUCACAACUUGAAUAGUGGACUAUGCCUUGAAUUACAAGUUUUCUACGAGACUAGUUUCACACAAAUUCUUGACCGGUACUAGGCUGUCGCAAGGCUUCCCGACGGGUGGAGCAUAUACGUCGUACUCCAGGGCCUUUCAUGAAUUUAUUAGAGAGCACCCACUUCUCACAGACUGCGACGUUAAUAGUCAAAUUCAUAUAGGUGUGUUCCUCAGGAGAUGCUCUGCAGGACAACAUCUCUGCUUACUCAAAUAAGCCACUUGGAACACAUUAAGAUAGAUAUUAACCUGCCAUGCAGAUCAAGAGAGUAUUGCAUCUUCACGGAGUGGGAUAAUUAAAAUAAGGAUACUCUCCUCUCAGCUGACCAACAACUUAUCUCCCACUUCUACUUCACGGGAUCUCCGAUCACAUAGAGUGGGUUACCACUAUGGACAACUCAUGCGGUGGGUCUCAAACCCAUCUCCAUCGAUGCAUUAUCUAUCACAUUACGUGAUAGACCCUUUGUGAAGGGAUCUACCAAGUUUUUCGACGUUUGGAUAUAAUCCAACGUAAUAACUCCGGAGUUUCUCAGUUUCCUGACAGAUUUUAAUCUCCUCUUCACAUGCCUUGAGGACUUCAUAUUGUCCUUAGGACUGUUUAUCUUAACGAUCACAGUUUGAUUAUCACAAUUCAUCAGGGUAGGGGGUAUUGGUUUUUCAACCAUAGGUAAGUCCAUCAAUAGCUCACGAAGCCACUCUGCUUCAACAGUGGCAGUGUAUAAUGCUGUGAGUUCUGCUUUCAUAGUUGACCUCGUUAGGAUGGUCUGCUUGCAAGACUUGCAGGAAACAACGCCACCACCAAGUGUAAAAACAUAACCACUUGUGGCCUUAAUCUCAUCAGCAUCAUAUAUCCAGUUUGAGUCACUAUAACCCUCCAGUACCCUUGGAUACCCGGUGUAGUGAAUCCCAUAGCUCGCAGUGCCCUUCAAGUAGCGCAUAACUCUCUCGAGCGCACGCCAAUGAUCAUCUCCCGGUUUUGACACAAACCGACUCAGCUUGUUCACAACAAAAGAGAUGUCAGGCCUCGUGGCACUCGCCAAAUACAUAAGUGAGCCAAUAAUCUGAGAAUACCUCAGUUGAUCUCUAGCAAUCCGUCGAUUCUUUCGAAGCAACACACUAGCAUCAUAUGGAGUUGGAGAAGGCGUGCAGUCGCUAUACCCAAAACGACUCAAGGCCUUUUCCACAUAGUGAGACUGAAGCAGUGCGAUCCCACCAUUCUCAUCUCUCAACAGCUUGAUGUUUAAGAUAACAUCAGCUACUCCUAGAUCCUUCAUCUCAAAACAACGAGAUAAGAAAUCCUUAACCUCCUUGAUUAAAUCAAGUUUGGUUCCAAAGAUCAAUAUGUCGUCGACAUACAGACAAAAAUAACUCCUUCGCCCCCACUAUGGCGAUAGUACACACACUUGUCACCAUCAUUUACUACAAAGCCGGCAGCAGUUAAUGUUCUUUCGAACUUCUCAUGCCACUCCUUAGGAGCUUGUUUAAGGCCAUAUAAAGACUUUAACAACUUGCACAUCUUUCCUUCCUGACCAGGUACUACAAAACCAUCUGGCUAGUCCAUGUAAAUUUCCUUCUUCAACUCUCCAUUGAGGAAAGCCGUCUUAACGUCCAUUUGAUGAACGAGAAGACCAUGUGAGGCAGCCAGUGAUAAUAGCACCCGAAUUGUGGUCAAUCUAGCCACGGGUGAGUAAGUAUCAAAGAAGUCUUCACCUUCUUUCUGGGUAUAACCCUUAGCCACAAGCCGUGCCUUGUACUUUUCAAUCGUACCAUCAGGUCUAAGCUUCUUCUUGAACACCCACUUACAUCCUACAGGUUUGCACCCAUAAGGACGGUCAGUGAUCUCCCAGGUCCCGUUAGCCAAGAUGGAAUCCAUCUCGCUACGAAUAGCUUCCUUCUAGUAGUCAGCAUCAGGAGAUGCAUAGGGUUCUGAAAUAGUCCUGUGCGUGUCAUCCACAAGGUACACAAUGAAAUCAUCACCAAAGGACUUUGCAGUCCUCUGUCUCUUACUCCUUACAGGAGUUUCAUUGUCACCCUCAAUAGGAUUCUCAACGCGUUCCAUCGCAAUGGUGGGUUCAGGAAUUACAGUGAAUUCCUCACUAGAUGGAAUAGGUAUCUCCUGAUUUGAUGAACUUGACAUAUCCUUCAUAGGAAAUAUGUCCUCAAAGAAAGUUGCAUCAUUAGACUCCAUAAUCGUACCAACAUGCAUGUCGGAUACCUCAGAUUUUAUUAUCAAAAAUCUAUAGCCAAUGCUAUGAAAAGCAUAACCCAGAAGAACACAAUCCACGAUUUUUGGUCCAAACUUGCGCUUCUUGGGAAUUGAUAUAUUGACUUUCGCCAAACAACCCCAAGAACGUAGGUAAGAGAGUUUCAACCUUUUCCUUUCCCAUUCCUCAAAUGGAGUCAUGGUCUUAUGCUUUGUGGGAGCUCGGUUUAGGACAUGACACACGGUCAUUAGCGCCUCCCCCCACCAUUCCUUCGAAAGACCCGAUGUGUCUAACAUGGCGUUAACCAAAUCAGUUAGAGUUCGGUUCCUUCUUUCGGCCACCCCAUUAGACUGAGGUGAGUAGGGAGGCGUCCUCCCAUGGAUUAUACCAUGUUCCGCACAAAACGGAUCAAAUUCAUUGGAAAAAUACUCUCCACCAUGAUCGGACUUGAGCCGUUUAAUUUUUUGAUCAAGUUGGUUCUCUGCCUCAGCUUUAUAGUUUUUGAAGAAAGUUAAAGCCUCAUCUUUUGAUUUCAGAAGAUACACAUAACCAUAUCUAGUGGAGUCAUCAAUCAACGUCAUGAAGUAUCUCUUUCCACCUUUUGUCAACAUGCCAUUCAUCUCACAGAGAUCAGAAUGUAUAAGCUCUAGUGGCGCCAAGUUUCUUGCCUCUGCAGUCUUAUGGGACUUGCGAGGUUGUUUAGCUUGCACACAUACUUGGCACUUAGAGCCUUUGACAGUAGAGAUUUUCGAAAUUAAAUUCAUAUUGGCUAGCCGCGUCAUGCAACCAAAGUUAAUAUGACAAAGUCGUGCAUGCCAAAUAUCUGACUCAUUAUUGUGGCAAACAUUAUUAAUAACUUCAGUGCAAAUAUCUGACGAAGAUACGCGGAACAAGCCUUUGCACUCAUAGCCUUUUCCAACAAAUUGUUCACAUUUGGAAAUUACAACUUUAUUGGACUCAAAAACCAACUUAAAACCAUCUCGACAUAAACGGGAACCGCUAACGAGAUUUUUAUUGAUGGACGGCACAUGAUGAAUGUUCUUCAGACGCACGGUCUUCCCCGAAGUAAACUUCAGAUCGAUCGUACCAACACCUCGAAUGAUGGCAUGUGACCAGUUCCCCAUCAGCACGGGAGAAGUCCCUGUGGCCUGGUAAGAAGAAAACAUGGAGGCGUCAGCACAAACAUGUACAUUGGCACCGGUGUCAAUUAACCAAUCAGGGGAUUGAAAUACUGAAAGGAUGGUAGGAAAAAUACCGUACCCUGAUUUCUUCAUAUCAGUAUCACCGAUGACAACAUUAGCGGACUUGCCGCCCUUCUCAUGUUUGCGCUCCUCAAAGCGGUUAGGACACUUCGGAGCCCAGUGAUUAGGAUCACCGCAGACAUGGCAAAGUCCCUUCCCCUUCUUAUGAGAAUUCUUCUUGAAGUUGGUAGAAUGUGAUGCCUUGUUCUUUGUAUCAAACUUGCAUUUCCCCUGAGUUUUGUUCUUUUUGUUUUUGAACUUAUUGGGCUGGAAGUUCUUCUUUUGUACCAUGUGGGCACUAGAAGCUCCCUCGGCAACUCGAGCACGUGUGUCCUUUGCUCUCGCCUUCUCUUCAACAUCAAGAGUACCAAUGAGAUCCGCAACGGAAAACUCCUGUCUCUUGUGUUUCAGGGAGCACACUUGAAGUGCUCAAGUUCUUUUGCGAGCGACUGUAUCUUAUGAGCCUGCUGUACAACAGAGCACUCAUCAGUCAUCUUGUAGUCAUAGAAUUGCUCCAUGACGUACAACUCGCUACCGGCGUCCGAGGCACCAAACUUGGCCUCGAGCGCAGCCCACAUGUCCGUGCCAUUGUCAAACGACAUAUACGAAUCCACAAUGGAAUCAUCAAGAACACCCACAAGAGCGCCUUUAAAGAGAGUAUCGAUCUUCUCAAAAGCUUCCAGCUGUGCUGGAUUAAGAUCGCCCUCAGGCUUGCCCUUAAUGGCAUCAUAGCAGCCCAUGGUCCAACAGAAGGUAGUGCAACACACGAUAAAGUUGCACAUUAGCUCCACCUCGUACCUCAUGCUCACCUGGACCAACUACAUCGAGUGGGCAAUCCUAAUUCACAUGAAGAUGGAGGCUCAAGGGAUCUAUGAUCCGAGCCUGCGGAGAGGAAUGCGUUGGCAGCAACCUUGCAUGAAGUCCCGCCGGAGAUUUUUAGCAUCAUUGCUACCAAGGACAAUGUCGAGGAGACGAGGAUUUUUGAAACACCAUGCGCACGAUGGUCGCCAACGUCAAGCGUGCUUGGCAGGCCAAGGCACAUAUAUUGUGCCAGGACUACGAGACUGGCAUUCAAGGUUGGUGAGUCUAUUAAGGAUUUCGCUCUGUGACUUUCCGGGAUCGUCACUAAUCAGUAUGUGCUCGAAGACGAGGUUCAUGACGAGUGUGUGGUGAAAAGUAACUGGGCGCCGUACCGGUGGGGUAUGCUCAAGUGGCCAUCUCCAUCGUAACGCUCAUCGACCUGAGCGUGUUCUCGAUUGUGGAGCUCAGAGGAAGGUUGCUCGCCUUCGAGGAACACUUCACCGCGAGAAGCGACGGGCCGGCACCACAUUGUGGCUCCUCAAGGACACUACGGAAGCGCGAGGGCUCGUCCAGCGGCGGCGGCAAACCAGGCUGGAAGGGCAAGGCUAACACCCAUUGUCGAUUGGCCAAAGUCCGCGGCAAAACUGGCAACGGACGUGACAGCUGCGGCAAGCUACAACUGGGGCAUCGAGGGCCACUGGGCCCUGGAGUGCCGUAAGCCAUUGUAUGGCCAGGCCAACCUCGUGNNNNNNNNNNNNNNNNNNNNNNNNNNNNNNNNNNNNNNNNNNNNNNNNNNNNNNNNNNNNNNNNNNNNNNNNNNNNNNNNNNNNNNNNNNNNNNNNNNNNNNNNNNNNNNNNNNNNNNNNNNNNNNNNNNNNNNNNNNNNNNNNNNNNNNNNNNNNNNNNNNNNNNNNNNNNNNNNNNNNNNNNNNNNNNNNNNNNNNNNNNNNNNNNNNNNNNNNNNNNNNNNNNNNNNNNNNNNNNNNNNNNNNNNNNNNNNNNNNNNNNNNNNNNNNNNNNNNNNNNNNNNNNNNNNNNNNNNNNNNNNNNNNNNNNNNNNNNNNNNNNNNAAGACUUCUGCUGGCGAUGGCCGACGAGAUCACUGUGGCACCCAACAUCCUCCUUCCCCUUAGACAACGCUUCUUUGCUUGCCAAGCAGCAGCGCUGUGCAUGUAAAUGGAACGAGUCAUGCUUGGCCUGGAGGUAGGGAAAGCAAGCCAUGUGGUUGAGAAAGUACCAGAAGAGAUAAGAGGAUCAACCAAAACAAUGUAAGAAAACGGUGGUGGGGAGAGACGAGAGGGGGGUGAGGGGGCCGCGGGACGCGUGUCACGCCCACGAGGCGGCUAGCGGGCUUGGUGUUCUCAACCGGUUGAUUUAAAUCAUUUCCCAAUUCCAAAAUAAUAUCAACAGUUACCAUAUUCUGCAUCGAAGUCUCUCAACGGAAACAGGUUUCCUCUUCUGCUCACUUGGAUGUUGUCGUUGCUAAUCAAUCUCCACUAUAUCCAGUUCCGGAGCCGGGUUCACCAAAAUGGGUGUACAGAGAUCAAGAUUUGGCACCUACCAGCAAUCAUGAUCUUAAUACCCUGUUUGGCUUACCCUUCUCAAAGCUAAAUACUUCCCUUCCUCGAGCCUUAUGUUUGCGCCCUCUUCUAGUGGUUCUCAAUUUUGGCGUCAACUUGUUAAUAUUAGACCGAUCUUCCGGUCUCUUGUGAAGUUCGUAGUUCGAGACGGUAAGUCUACUCGUUUUUGGUUAGAUUGGUGGGUAGGGGACACCUGGCUGGCGGUGGCCUAUCCGACUCUGUUUUCUUUUUGUGCUGAUCCCGAGAUCUCUAUCUUUGAGCUCUCGGCUCAGGGUUGGGUUUUAGAUUUUCGGCGUUCUCUUUCCCUUGUGGAGUUGGAAGACUGGCAGCGCCUUACUCCCUGCUUCCCCUUGCUCUCGGAGGAAGAGGACUCCGUUGUUUGGCCCCAUUCCUCCUCGGGGCGUUUUUCUGUUAAAUCGGCGUAUUCUAAACUUGUCUCUGGCCGUCGCACUGAUAAGUUUAAGUACAUUUGGUCUGCCUGCAUUCCUCCCAAAAUUAAAAUCUUCCUUUGGCAAGCUCUUCGUGGUAAACUCCCUGCGGUUGAUCAGAUUAAGAAGGGAACGGGCCGGGCUCUGACAGGUGCCAGCUUUGUGGUGCUAUUGAGGAUACCGAGCAUAUCUUUUUUCACUGCUCUCUGGCUAAAUUCAUUUGGAGUUGCAUUAGACUUUGGCUUCCUGUUAAUUGGAACCCCUCUUCUUUUGAGGAUCUACGUCGUUGUAUUAAUUCGCUAGCAGGCCGGUCUAAGCGGGUCUUCAUGGUGGGCUGGGCUGCGAUUUGUUGGUCGCUAUGGACUACUAGAAAUAAGGUCACUAUUGAACACAUUUUUCCAGCUAACCCAGUGAGUUGCUUAUUUAAAGUCAAUGUCUUUUUGCAGCAGUGGAGAUCAUUGACUAAGGAAGGGGACCUAGAGGCUUUCGACGAUAUGCUAUCUAAAAUGAAAUCUACGGCUUCUUCACUGCUGCGGCGCUCCAGGAGGUCGGAUCCCAAAGUGGUUUGGCUGCUCGUUGUGCUGGCUUGCGCGCCAUGUUAGGCUGGAUGCCUUGUACCCGUACUUCUUAGGCUUAUUCUGGUAAACGUAUGUGAUGUUAUGUGUUGGUGUUUGACUCUGCCUGGUGGCUUUAUUUGUAAAGUCGGACGCUCGCCUUUUCUCUAAAAAAAGAUCAUAAUACCUAAAGAAGGGAUACAAAUACACAGGAAAUUGGAACUCAAAAUUUAUGUAGCUUGAGUACAUCUUGAUGCACGUUCAGAAAAAGAAUAGACCAAGAAAGGGUCCUCUUGCCACUCUUGUGUAACCUAUACGUACGGUGAAAUCACGUCAUUGACAUACACAGGAACCCGAGGAUAUGAUCUAUCAUAUUGACAAUAUGGCUUCCAGUCGUGAUAUAAUUGAAGUUCACUUCUGUGAGAUUUUCCAACCUAGAAGAUUUUGCACUAAUGUUCACUUCUGUGAGAAUUCAAAGAAGAUUUUGCAACUGUGAGAUGUGUUUGUGUAAAUGCGGUCCUGCCUUUGUCAUUUUAUAGCGUUGGUUUGAGGUUUUCGAUAUGCAGCUUGCCAUUGAGGUUCUUGCCCUUUAUAACUUGAAUGCAUAGGCUCGAAGAACAUCGGCAUUACUGAAGAGAAAGCAAAGCAUAGCUUUGGCUCAAGGCUUUCCUUUGAAUCUUCGGUGUUCGAUCUUGUUCAUCCAAAAAAUACAUUGGUUUUAGGUGCCUUUUGGAGUUGGAUAUGAUCCAAUCCUUGUGAUUCCGGAUUAUGUAAAUAUUUAGCCCAUGAAAUUUGAAAUGACCUCUUUGUUAGCUAAAAGUGUUCUUACACUCUAGUAAUGUUUAGUUUAUGAUGACCUAGCAUCUAAUUACCCAGCUCAAAUCCAUGUAUCCAUGUUGUGUAAAAAGGACACAUGAUUUUUUAUUAUCAAAAAUAAACGAAGAAAGCAUAUCAAGUCUGUGGACAAAUGAAUGGUACUUACUCCCUUUAAAAAGAUGUAAUCAUUUUCCGUAAAAGAUAUUAAAUGCAUUUUGGACACCACCGUUCCACUGACACGCAAUUAGAGUUUGGUUAUUUUGUUCGCCACGUGAGAAUUUUCUAACUAGCAAACAAAGUAAAUAGUGUGUACUAACAAAAAUUGCAGAAGACAGGAAGGCACAUUGGUGGUAUGGCACCUUGCUGGGAUCCUAAUAAUCCUGUAUCGCACAAAGAGAGACUUGUAGAACAAACAUAAAUAAAUUCAUCCAUCAUAAUUCACUGAUCACAAACUAUGGAACCUUCAGUCUGUUACUUAAAAUAUAAAAAAUGCAUGGUUUGUGGUGUUGUACAAAUCUAGCAUAUUCAGUAGUACCUACAUCACCAGGACUGAUAAAUUGUGAAGCCGUUCUAGUUUGUGAAUGCUGAAUUAUGAUUACAUGUGAAUAAAUCUACGAUAACCUUUUUGCAGUUCUCCAUUUAAUAUUUACCUAAGCAACAUUCUCCCGCACUGUGAUGUAAGCAUGGAAAAAGGAACCAUAAUCAAGCCUGAAAACAUUAAUUGUUGGAAAGCUUGUAUGGGAAAAUAUAGCGGAUAUGUAAUGCGAAGCAUUUCUAAGAAUGAGUUCCACUCGCGUAUAGAGAAAAUAAACCAAGAAAAUAUGCACAUCUGAUCAUUCACAAAAAGGGCAGAAGAGCGACUCUUCGGUAGCAGGUUUAAGACUUCACUAUAUGUCGAAGGAGAAACAACGAAUCCAAUUCUCACUCUUUCGCCCAAUCCCGUUCUACCUCGACGACCACUGCCCUAAUGAUCUAUUUAUAUAUAAAAAGUAUUUGAUGGGAUCACUAGAAAAAAGAGAAUAUUUUAGAAAAUCACACAAUAAUUAGAAAGAUCUGGCCGCUUAAUUCAUACGAAAAGAAAACAUAACUGUUGGAUGGAGACUAUUUUUUUUGCAACAUAAAUCAGUGAAAAUUACCCACCAAUGCCAUUACAUAAAAUAACUUUUCAAGAUAACAAAAAGAAGAAAAACUUACCUCUCUUUCCCAAUAACUCACGUUCCUUCCUGAUGUACAAAAAGCUCACGAGCCUUCCCAAUUAAGAAAAACCCACGAGCCUUCCAGUUAAAAAAAAUGACCCACGAGACCUCCCAAAAAAAAUGACCCACGAGACCUGGCCUGAAAAGAAAACGCACGAGCCCUAACCUCUCGACCCUUCAAGCCGCCGCGGCUGCCGUCCUCCUCAUCCUCCAUCACGGUGAUUUCUCCUGAGCACCACGGCACCACCGAGGAGGCAUUGAAGUCACAUGCUGGCCAAGCCGUUUUGAUGAUUCUUUUACAAUCUAAGAGGAUGGGCGACUAUGAUGACAGAUGCAUCCGCACAACUACGUCGGCCGUUGCCACAUGGACCUCCACGGAAUACCUCCGAUGGGCACGCAAGUGUUCUCUCCCAGACGUCUUCUCGACUCAGCCCCUCUUGAUGGACAAGCAUGCAUCGAACAUGCUUGAUCAUGUGGAAGCAUCUAAGAUUUCCUCAGCUCUGUAGCGAGGUGGAUUACAGAGGAAAAACGAGUUCACACAAUGGAUGCCCUCAACAUGUUCGUGUUAACAGCUGUUGUAAAAAAUAAUCAAGGCAUAGUAGUACUGUUACUUAUCUGUGUUUUUGCAUGAUGUGUCUGUUGGUUGUAGUUCACCAUCCAUAUCCAGCAAGAAAAAAUCUUUAUAGACUCAAGGUUCCAGGUAUUCGUCUAGACUCAGGAGCACGUGCGUCUUCUUCUAAUUUCCUCUCUCUAUUCAUAUAUAACAUAAAAUUGCUUCAUGCAUCAAGCAGUACAUUGUCUUCUCAGUUAUCUAAUCGUCUUGCCCAUCCAUUACUUUCUUAUGAAUUAUACAUGUAUGAGACUCCAGUAAAUCAACCAUCAACAACAUAGAAGAGAUAUGCUGAUAAUGGGAUCCAUGUAACAGUAAUAUGUAUGGAACAUGUACGUAUAGUGUUUUGGUCUGCACAUGGAUGGAGAAUAAGUUUCAGUUUUAGAUUGGUGCUCUCAACGUGGAUAUGUUGUGAUCUUGUGGAAGAGUUCUAUCAGUUCCAGAUUGGUUCUCUAAACAUGGCUUUGUUGUGGUCUUGUGAGCCUCUUGUUCUUAUCUUCUUUUUAAAAGAAAAAAAUUAUUACUUUUAUUAUUAUUUGUUAUUAUAUAGUGCGAUGGUUUUGGUAUCCGCCCCGGCCGGCCCUCGUCAUGUCUAUGAUUCGGAUGUGGUAUAUUAUCUUUUAUAACUAUUUGUUUCAUUUAGUGUUUAUGACAAUUAUGCCAACCAACGUGACAUAGAUGUUUUUAUCUAGGAGGUAUGUGAACCGGAAAUUCCAACCGACCCUCUUGUUGAGAGGUUAAAUUUAGUUGAAAAAGAAAACAAUUACUAGAAGAAAAAAUUAAAAAGAAUUGAGGAGGAGAAGAUGGCAUUGGAGUUGCAUGUUGCGGAUGUCGUCGAUGAUCACAAGAUCAAGAUUGAUGCAAUGGGCUUGAAGAUCUAUUAUAUACUUAAAGCAAGAGUAAAACAAGCCAUCACGUUCGUCCACAUAUAUUAAAUUAUCUUGAUCGUCAACUUUUUACAUUGACGGUUAAGAUUUAAAAGAAAUAGUGUUACAUACAAAUAUAAUUAUAUACAAACAAAUAGGCAUGUCACGUAAAAAUAGUUGGACACGUCUUUCGUCUUUCCUCGAUGUCACAUGUUUUUGUAUUAUGAAUAGCCUAUCCAAAUCAACCAAACCUGAACGUACAUUACCAUGGGAAAAGUACAGCUCCGGUCAGAAAGGACUCGGUUGCCAAAGAGUUAAAAAAGCACGGCUGACAUAUACUGGAAUCUGAGCGCCUCAAGAAAGAAGAGUCCGAUUACAAUACUACCGAUAACGUUAUCUAUGAUUUAGCAAAAUAAACAUUGGGAUAGACUUUUAGCAAAUUAAUCAAUCUAGGCUCUUUUUUUGGGGUUAACAGAAAAUCUCUGGACUACUUCAUUACCACUUCAGUUGUCAUAACAAACGUUCUCUAGCCAUGAGAAUUUUUUUCUCUAUCCAAAUAGAAACAUGAAGAGAAGUUUAUUAUGUACUUUCUUUUGCAGGGUUAUUAUGUAUGUAUACAUGAUCCCAUCCUUUCUUUGGCCAUGUGUACGUACAUACCAUGAGGGUGGGACAAACAUAUUAGCAAUAUACUUUUGUCUAAUAUAUACUACAAUAAAGUAUGCCUAUAAUAGGAUGUUAGCGGCACUAAAUCAAGAAUGGACAGCUUAUACCCAAAAUGCAUGAACAUCUAGGUGCAAAAAAUAUAUUUCUAUUUUUGCAAGUUUUUUAAAUGAAUUAUGAUGUGUAUUCUAAUUACAAUGGUUGAUAGUAUAAAGUAAUCAUUUUUUCUUUAAAAUAUUUGUCAUGAGAAGGACCACAUUAAAGCAUAUAAAAUAUAGGUGCAAAAAAAAAACAAACAAAUACAGCGUCCACAUACAAAAUCAUAAAAGGAAGGACCGGUUCAACUUUAAAGAAAAAGGAAGCAUCAGUUGAGAAAAGGAAUCAUAAGGAGACGAGGCACUCGGACUAUGCUUUUCUUAAAUUGAAAACCAUGGACUAUGCCUUUAAAAGGAUUUCAGAAGCCAACGUGAGAAGAAAAAGACUGCCGCUUCCCUCGAAGGAAAGGCUAGCCGCCGCCUCCUCCUUCCUCCACAAAAAAGUUAGGGUUUCUGCCUCCCGCCGUUGCCGCCGCAGAUCCGCCUCCUCUCCGAUGGCCCUAGGGCCAUGGGGGCGCGGUGGAUCUCGGCAAGGGCCGGCGGGAGGGCUCCGUUUUUAGUCGUUUCUUUCAGUUUUGCUAGGGUUUGUGUCCCGCUCAGGAAGACGAGACGGCGGCGGCUCCCAGAAGAUAGAAUAAAGGUCUCCCCGCCUAGUCCCCGUUUCGGCGGCGCAUCUAGCACCGUUGGUGGGCGUGUGGAGGUGUGUCUCCGGCGGAUCUAUCUUUGGUGGAUUUGUUCGGAUCUCGUCGUUGUUCGUCUACGUUCGCGUGUCUUCGGAUUGGAUCUUUCUGAUCUACGUUAUUCUUCAUCUGCGGCAGUUGCUGUUCUGAUGCGCUGGUCCUACUGGGCCUUAGCACGACGACUUCCCGACUGUCUACUACAACAAGUUGUGCCCGACUCCGGAUGGAGGGGCGAUGACGGCGGCGCGCCUUCGGCUCGCUUCAGUGCUGAUAGUCGUCGCUAGGUGGUCUAUGGAUCUGGAUGUAAUUUUUAUUAUUUCUGGUAUUCGUUGUACUGCCAUGAUCUUCCGCAAGACUGAGUUGCACGGUGCAUACAAGGACAACGCGGGCACAUCCUUAAAAAGGACACGACCUGUGACUAUUCUUCUGCAGCAGUGCAGGGACACUAGCUGACCUCUGAAUAAACAAAUUGAUGUGCUAAUUCAAUUUGCUUUGCUAUUUUUAAACAUGUAUGUCCAACGUAUGCUACAGUUUGGCCAACUCCCAUGCAUAUCCAGUGUACGUCUGCAUCUUAUAGACUGAAAACAUGUGAUGUUGUGAAGUAUAGAUAAAAAGAACUAUCCUUUUUGCGGGCACUAGAAGCAGGGCCAGGCCCACAGUGGUGCCAAAGGUGCGGCCCGCACUGGGCCCAAAAUUCGGAGGAGGCCUGAUAUUUUUUAUAUAGGUAUAGUAACAGUAAACGUAACUGGGCCGAGCGGCGAGCUACUAGGCCCAUCGAGCCAGAGCGAGGCCAUCGAGCGGACGGAGCGCUCGGACUCCUCCAGAUCGCUACGAGAUCAGGCGACGAGGCAGCACUCAGAAAAAAAAAGCGACGAGGGCAUCGCUAAUUAGCUACGUUAUCUAAAAAAUGCUAGAUCGCUACCAUAAAAAAACAUUAGAUCGCUACAGCCUGCAGCCCUGCAGUGUAGAAGAAACUUCGUCGUCUGAAUCCACCAGAAAAGAAUAACUUACAUAUUUCUUGCAUAAUCAGUGAUAUGCACUUUCAAAGAGAUAGCAAUUACUCUUUUUAGGGAAAAAGUGACAGCGAUUACUCACUAAAUACAACCGUGCAAAUUUUAUGGAUGCUUCAGCCAUAAGGCUUAAUGCAAAACAGAAUUGGCAUGUUCAGAAAGAACAAUGAUGAGAGUGUGGAAGAUAUCAAUGUUUUAGUAUUUUUCAUGGAUACAAGUGAAUCAUGUGCAAAAGCAUCUAUAGACAAGGUGAUGCAAAUUAUAAAAAUACAUUACCACUACUAGCGAAUUGAUGGUGAUGGACAAAGAUAACACAAAGUUUAAGUGUCACCAAUAUUUUUAUUUACUUUUGUUAGAAAAAUAUUUGAAAAUUGAUGGAAUGUGGACAUCUAAAAUUUUGCAUAGGGGUCCACGGACCAUACGUCUUAUACUGUCACACUCCAAAUAUUACCAAGAUUGUAAAUUACAUAACAAAAUAUUUUUGCAAAACUACAAGCGAGUAACAGAACUAAAAUAAAUAGCGGUUCACAUAGAAGUAAGAGAAUCAUUGGAUAGGCAAACCCUCACUCCAUAUCAUAGAUAAAUGCAUUUUUUAUCAUCAAUUUGUAUUAUAAUUUAUGCAUAAAUCAUGAUAAUUAUAAGGAUCAGCAAACAUUCUUAAGACAGACCGAUACAUACGAUUUCUCCCCAUACAAAUAAUUAAAAUGAGAUACAUGACAAAGUUUUGAAAGUUUGACACGAAGCAUAACUAAAAUGUCUCUUAUUUGUAAUAUGAAGUUGUGUGUUGUUAUUUGCUAACCAUUUUAUACAACGUGGAAUUUCUUUCUAAGCAUGCCAAUAACUAAACAUUAACAAAGAUACCUCAAAGGAUAACACAUCUAGCCGCGCAAAUGCGCGGGUCACUCCGCUAGUUAGAAAAAUUAGAAAAUAUGUCAUUCAUACUGAGGCUUGGUAUCAUUAUGUCGUUGGAUCAAUUGUUACCUUAGUUGUGAUUAUGAUCGCAUUUGUUGUUGCAUUUAAAUAUUUUACAUAGUUUCAUUGUAUGUUUUAAAUAGAUGCUCUAGAGAGCUAUAUGUUGUUCAAUGAGAAUUAUGUAUGAACUAUGUAUGGACUUAAUGUGAUGAUGAACUUCUAUUAAUUUGGUCACUUCUCUAUUCAUGAUGUUCUAUAAUGGUUUUUGACACACUUGAUUAUAUAUAAUGCACGCAGAUGAACCGGCAAUGGAGGUACGGUGAUAGACGCACCUCCGAGUACAUUAAGGGCGUGCAUAAUUUUCUCGAAGUGGAUGAGGCAAACAAGCAGAAUGAUUUUAUGUUUUGUCCAUGCCCUAUAUGUGGGAAUACGAAGUCUUACUCUGACUCGAAAACCCUUCACAUCCACCUGCUCGAGAAGGGUUUCAUGCCACACUAUAAUGUUUGGACCAAGCAUAGAGAAAGAGGGGUUAUGAUGGAAGACGAUGAAGAAGAAGAUGAUGAUGACAACUAUCCGCCCCCUGAAUACGGUGAUGCUACAAUGGGGGAAGCUGAAGAUCAAGAUGAACCAAGCGAUGUGCCCGAUGAUGAUCUUCACCGGGUCAUUGUUGAUGCAAAGAGACAAGCCAAAGUGAAAGGGAGAACUUGAAGUUCGAUCACAUGUUAGAGGAUCGCAAAAAGGGUUGUACCCAAAUUGCGAAGAUGGAAACACAAAGCUCGGUACCACACUGGAAUUGCUACAAUGGAAGGUAGACAAUGGUGUAUCUGGCAACGGAUUUGAGAAGCUACUGAAAAUAUUGAAGAAGAAGAUUCCAAAGGAUAAUGAAUUGCCCAAAAGUGUGUACGAAGGAAAGAAGGUUCUAUGCCCUCUAGGAUUGGAGGUGCAGAAGAUACAUGCAUGCCCUAAUGACUGCAUCCUCUACCGCGGUGUGUACAAGGAUUUGAACGCAUGACCGGUAUGUGGUGCAUUGAGGUAUAAGAUCAGACGAGAUGACCCUGGUGAUGUUGAGGGCGAGCGCCCCAGGAAGAGGGGUUCCUGCCAAGGUGAUUUGCUAUGCUCCUAUAAUACCACGGUUGAAACGUCUGUUCAGAAAUGAAGAGCAUGCCAAGUUGAUGCGAUGGCACAAAGAGGAUCGUAAGAAAGACGGGAAGUUGAGAGCACCCGCUGACGGGUCGCAGUGGAGAAAAUCGAGAGAACGUGGGGGGACUUUGCAGGUGACGCAAGGAACGUAUGGUUUGGUUUAAGCGCGGAUGGCAUUAAUCCUUUUGGGGAGCAGAGCAGCAAGCAUAGCACCUGGCCCGUGACUCUAUGUAUCUAUAACCUUCCUCCUUGGUUGUGCACGGAGCGGAAGUUCAUAAUGAUGCCAGUGAUCCAAGGCCCUAAGCAACUCGGCAACGACAUUGAUGUGUACCUAAGGCCAUUAGUUAAAGAACUUUUACGGCUGUGGAAUGGAACAUGUGUACGUGUGUAGGAUGAGAACAACUAGGAGGAAUUUGACCUAUAUGUGUUGCUGUUUGUAACCAUCAAUGAUUGGUCUGCUCUCAGUAACCUUUCAGGAUAGACAAACAUGGGAUACCACGCAUGCACGCACUGUUUAGAUGACACCGAAAGUAUAUAUUUGGACAAAUGCAGGAAGAAUGUGUACCUGGGGCAUCGUCGAUUUCUUCCGACCAACCAUCAAUGUCGAAAGAAAGGCAAGCAUUUCAAAGGUGGGGCAGAUCACUAAAAGAAGCCCGCCUUCCGUACUGGUGAUCACAUACUUGAUAUGGUCAAUGAUUUACAAGUAAUCUUUGGAAAGGGUCCUGGCGGACUAUCUGAUCCGAAUGACGCUGAGGGACACACACCCAUGUGGAAGAAGAAAUCUAUAUUUUGGGACCUACCCUAUGAGAAAGACCUAGAGGUCCGCUCUACAAUCGACGUGAUGCACGUGACAAAGAAUCUUUGCGUGUGAAGGAAGUAUGCCCUAGAGGCAAUAAUAAAGUUAUUAUUUAUUUCCUUAUAUCAUGAUAAAUGUUUAUUAUUCAUGCUAGAAUUGUAUUAACCGGAAACAUAAUACAUGUGUGAAUACAUAGACAAACAGAGUGUCACUAGUAUGCCUCUACUUGACUAGCUCGUUAAUCGAAGAUGGUUAUGUUUCCUAACCAUAGACAUGAGUUGUCAUUUGAUUAACGGGAUCACAUCAUUAGGAGAAUGAUGUGAUUGACUUGACCCAUUCCGUUAGCUUAGCACUUGAUCGUUUAGUAUGUUGCUAUUGCUUUCUUCAUGACUUAUACAAAGUUCCUACAACUAUGAGAUUAUGCAACUCCCGUUUACCGGAGGAACACUUUGUGUGCUACCAAACGUCACAACGUAACUGGGUGAUUAUAUAGGUACUCUACAGGUGUCUCCAAAAGUAUAUGUUGAGUUGGCAUAAUUCGAGAUUAGGUUUUGUCACUCCGAUUGUCGGAGAGGUAUCUCUAGGCCUUCUCGGUAAUACUCAUCACCUAAGCCUUGCAAGCAUUGUAACUAAUGAGUUAGUUAUGAAAUGAUGUAUUACGGAACGAGUAAAGAGACUUGCCGGUAACGAGAUUGAACUAGGUAUUGGAUACCGACGAUCGAAUCUCGGGCAAGUAACAUACCGAUGACAAAGGGAACAACGUAUGUUGUUACGCGGUUUGACCGAUAAAGAUCUUCGUAGAAAAUGUAGGAACCAAUAUGAACAUUCAGGUUCCACUAUUGGUUAUUGACCGAGAAUAGUUCUAGGUCAUGUCUACGUAGUUCUCGAACCUGUAGGGUCCGCACGCUUAACGUUACAAUGACAGUUUUAUGAGUUUUGAUGUACCGAAGUUUGUUCGGAGUCCCGGAUGUGAUCACGGACAUGACGAGGAGUCUCAAAAUGGUCGAGACAUAAAGAUUGAUAUAUUGGAAGCCUAUGUUUGGACUUCAGAAUAGUUCCGGGUGAAAUCGGGAUUUUACCGGAACACCGGGGGGUUACCGGAACCCUCCCAGGGGUUAGUGGGCCUUAGUGGGCCAUGAGGGAGAAGAGGAGGGCCGGCUAGGGCAGGCCGCGCGCCCCCUCCCCCCUAGUCCGAAUAGGACAAGGAAGGGGGGGGGCGCCCCCCUUUCCUCUUUCCCUCCCCCCAAGUCCUAAUCCAACUAGGAAAAGGGGGGGGGAGUCCUACUCCCGAUGGGAGUAGGACUCCUCCGGCGCGCCUCCUCCUAGGGCCGGCCGCACCCCCCUUUGCUCCUUUAUAUACGGGGGUAGGGGGGAACCCUAGAACACACAAGUUGAUCUACGGAUCGUUCCUUAGCCGUGUGCGGUGCCCCCCUCCACCAUAUUCCACCUCGGUCAUAUCGUCGCGGAGUUUAGGCGAAGCCCUGCGCCGGUAGAGCAUCAUCAUCGUCACCACACCGUCGUGCUGACGGAAUUCAUCCCCGACACCCUGCUGGAUCGGAGUCCGGGGAUCAUCAUCGAGCUGAACGUGUGCUGAACACGGAGGUUCCGUACGUUCGGUACUUGGAUCGGUCGGAUCGUGAAGACGUACGACUACAUCAACCGCGUUGUCAUAACGCUUCCGCUUUCGGUCUACGAGGGUACGUGGACACACUCUCCCCUCUCGUUGCUAUGCAUCACCAUGAUCUUGCGUGUGCGUAGGAAUUUUUUUGAAAUUACUACGUUCCCCAACAGUGGCAUCCGAGCCUGGUUUUGUGCGUUGAUGUUAUAUGCACGAGUAGAACACAAGUGAGUUGUGGGCGAUACAAGUCAUACUGCUUACCAGCAUGUCAUACUUUGGUUCAGCGGUAUUGUGAGAUGAAGCGGCCCGGACCGACAUUACGCGUACGCUUACGCGAGACUGGUUUCACCGCUGCGAGCACUCGUUGCUUAAAGGUGACUGGCAGGUGUCUGUCUCUGUCACUUUAGUUGAACCGAGUGUGGCUAUGCCCGGUCCUUGCGAAGGUUAAAACAGCACGAACUUAACAAACUAUCAUUGUGGUUUUGAUGCGUAGGUAAGAACGGUUCUUGCUCAGCCCGUAGCAGCCACGUAAAACUUGCAACAACAAAGUAGAGGACGUAUGACUUGUUUUUGCAGGGCAUGUUGUGAUGUGAUAUGGUCAAUACGUGAUGCUAUAUUUUAUUGUAUGAGAUGAUCAUGUUUUGUAACCGAGUUAUCGGCAACUGGCAGGAGCCAUAUGGUUGUCGCUUUAUUGUAUGAAAUGCAAACGCCAUGUAAUUUCUUUACUUUAUCACUAAGCGGUAGCGAUAGUCGUAGAAGCAAUAGUUGGCGAGACGACAACAAUGCUACGAUGGAGAUCAAGGUGUCGCGCCGGUGACGAUGGUGAUCAUGAUGGUGCUUCGGAGAUGGAGAUCACAAGCACAAGAUGAUGAUGGCCAUAUCAUAUCACUUAUAUUGAUUGCAUGUGAUGUUUAUCCUUUAUGCAUCUUAUCUUGCUUUGAUUGGCGGUAGCAUUUUAAGAUGAUCUCUCACUAAAAAUUAUCAAGAAGUGUUCUCCCUGAGUAUGCAUCGUUGCCAAAGUUCGUAGUGCCAAGACACCACGUGAUGAUCGGGUGUGAUAAGCUCUACGUCCAUCUACAACGGGUGCAAGCCAGUUUUGCACACGCAGAAUACUCAGGUUAAACUUGACGAGCCUAGCAUAUGCAAAUAUGGCCUCAGAACACGGAGACCGAAAGGUCGAGCGUGAAUCAUAUAGUAGAUAUGAUCAACAUAGUGAUGUUCACCAUUGAAAACUACUCCAUCUCACGUGAUGAUCGGUUAUGGUUUAGUUGAUUCGGAUCACGUGUUCACUUAGAUGACUAGAGAGAUGUCUGUCUAAGUGGGAGUUCUUAAAUAAUAUGAUUAAUUGAACUUAAAAUUAUCAUGAACUUAGCACCUGAUAGUAUUUUGCUUAUAUAUGUUUGUUGUAGAUAGAUGGCUCGUGCCGUUGUUCCAUUGAAUUUUAAUGCGUUCCUUGAGAAAGCAAAGUUGAAAGAUGAUGGUAGCAAUUACACGGACUGGGUCCGUAACUUGAGGAUUAUCCUCAUUGCUACACAGAAGACUUACGUCCUGGAAGCACCGCUGGGUGCCAGGCCUGCUGCAGGAGCAACGCCAGAAGUUGUGAACGUCUGGCAGAGCAAAGCUGAUGACUACUCUAUAGUUCAGUGUGCCAUGAUUUACGGCUUAGAACCGGGUCUUCAACGAUGUUUUGAACGUCAUGGAGCAUAUGAGAUGUUCCAGGAGUUGAAGUUAAUAUUUCAAGCAAAUGCCUGGAUUGAGAGAUAUGAAGUCUCCAAUAAGUUCUAUAGCUGCAAGAUGGAGGAGAAUAGUUCUGUCAGUGAGCAUAUACUCAAAAUGUCUGGGUAUAAUAAUCACUUGAUUCAACUGGGAGUUAAUCUUCCGGAUGAUAAUGUCAUUGACAGAAUUCUCCAAUCACUGCCACCAAGCUACAAGAGCUUCGUGAUGAACUAUAAUAUGCAAGGGAUGAACAAGACACUUCCCGAGCUCUUCGCAAUGCUAAAAGCUGCGGAGGUACAAAUCAAGAAGGAGCAUCAAGUGUUGAUGGUCAACAAGACCACUAGUUUCAAGAAAAAGGGCACAGGAAAGAAGAAGGGAAACUUUAAGAAGAACAGCAAGCAAGUUGCUGCUCAAGAAAAGAAACCCAAGUCUGGACCUAAGCCUGAAACUGAGUGCUUCUACAGCAAGCAAGCUGGUCACUGGAAGCGGAACUGCCCCAAGUAUUUGGCGGAUAAGAAGGAUGGCAAGGUGAACAAAGGUAUAUGUGAUAUACAUGUUAUUGAUGUGUACCUUACUAGAGCUCGCAGUAGCACCUGGGUAUUUGAUACUGGUUCUGUUGCUAAUAUUUGCAACUCGAAACAGGGACUACGGAAUAAGCGAGUACUGGCAAAGGACGAGGUGACGAUGCACAUGGGAAACGGUUCCAAAGUCAAUGUGAUCGCGGUCGGCACGCUACCUCUACAUCUACCUUCGGGAUUAGUUUUAGACCUAAAUAAUUGUUAUUUGGUGCCAGCGCUGAGCAUGAACAUUAUAUCUGGAUCUUGUUUGAUGCGAGACGGUUAUUCAUUUAAAUCAGAGAAUAAUGGUUGUUCUAUUUACACAGUAAUAUCUUUUAUGGUCAUGCACCCUUGAAGAGUGGUCUAUUCUUAUUGAAUCUCGACAGUAGUGAUACACAUAUUCGUAAUGUCAAUGACAAAAGAUGCAGAGUUGAUAAUGAUAGUGCAACUUAUUUGUGGCACUGCCGUUUAGGUCAUAUCGGUGUAAAGCACAUGAAGAAACUCCAUACAGAUGGACUUUUGGAACCACUUGAUUAUGAAUCACUUGGUACUUGCGAACCGUGCCUCAUGGGCAAGAUGACUAAAACACCGUUCUCCGGUUGUAUGGAGAGAGCAACAGAUUUGUUGGAAAUCAUACAUACAGAUGUAUGUGGUCCGAUGAAUGUUGAAGCUCGUGGCGGAUAUCGUUAUUUUCUCACGUUCACAGAUGAUUUAAGCAGAUACGGGUAUAUCUUCUUAAUGAAGCAUAAAUCUGAAACAUUUGAAAAGUUCAAAGAAUUUCAGAGUGAAGUUGAAAAUCAUCGUAACAAGAAAAUAAAGUUUCUACGAUCUGAUCGUGGAGGAGAAUAUUUGAGUUACGAGUUUGGUCUACAUUUGAAACAAUGCGGAAUAGUUUCGCAACUCACGCCACCUGGAACACCACAGUGUAAUGGUGUGUCUGAACAUCGUAAUCAUACUUUACUAGAUAUGGUGCGAUCUGUGAUGUCUCUUACCGAUUUACCACUAUCAUUUUGGGGUUAUGCUUUAGAGACGACCGCAUUCACGUUAAAUAGGGCACCAUCAAAAUCCAUUGAGACGACACCUUAUGAACUAUGGUUUGGCAAGAAACCAAAGUUGUCGUUUCUGAAAGUUUGGGGUUGCGAUGCUUAUGUGAAAAAGCUUCAACCUGAUAAGCUUGAACCCAAAUCGGAAAAAUGUGUCUUCAUAGGAUACCAAAAGGAGAAAAUUGGGUAUACCUUCUAACACAGAUCCGAAGGCAAGACAUUCGUUUCCAAGAAUGGAUCCUUUCUAGAGAAGGAGUUUCUCUCGAAAGAAGUGAGUGGGAGGAAAGUAGAACUUGAUGAGGUAAUAGUACCAGCUCCCUUAUUGGAAAGUAGUUCAUCACAGAAAUCGGUUCCUGUGACACCUACACCAGUUAGUGAGGAAGUUAAUGAUGAUGAUCAUGAAACUUCAGAUCAAGUUGUUACUGAACUUCAUAGAUCAACCAGAGUAAAAUCCGCACCAGAGUGGUACGGUAAUCCUAUUCUGGAAGUCAUGCUACUAGGGCAUGGUGAACCUACGAACUAUGAAAAAGCGAUGGUGAGCCCAGAUUCCACAAAAUGGCUUGAAGCCAUGAAAUCUGAGAUGGGAUCCAUGUAUGAGAACAAAGUGUGGACUUUGGUUGACUUGCCCGAUGGUCGGCAAGUGUCGGUGUCCAAACCGGCGGAUCUCGGGUAGGGGGUCCCGAACUGUGCGUCUAGGCGGAUGGUAACAGGAGACAAGGGACACGAUGUUUGACCCAGGUUCGGGCCCUCUUGAUGGAGGUAAAACCCUACGUCCUGCUUGAUUGAUAUUGAUAUUGUGGAUGUUUACAAGAGUGGAUCUAGCACGAGAUCAAGGAGGCUAAACCCUAGAAGCUAGCCUAUGGUAUGAUUGUAAUGGUUGUUGUUGUUGUGUCCUACGGACUAGAGCCAUCCGGUUUAUAUAGACACCGGAGAGGGCUAGGGUUACAUAGAGUCGGUUACAAUGGUAGGAUAUCUACAUGUUCGUAUCGCCAAGCUUGCCUUCCACGCCAAGGAAAGUCCCAUCCAGACACGGGACGAAGUCUUCAAUCUUGUAUCUUCAUAGUCUUGGAGUCCGAUCGAUGAUGAUAGUCCGGCCGAUGAUAGUAAUCCUGCUAUCCGGACACCCCCUAAUCCAGGACUCCCUCAGUAGCCCCUGAACCAGGCUGCAAUGACGAUAAGUCCGGCGCGUAUAUUGCUUGGCAUUGCAAGGCGGGUUCCUCCUCCGAAUGAUAGAAGAUUGUGAACACCAGGAUAGUGUCCGGCUCUGCAAAAUAAAUUCCACAUUCCACCGUAGAGAGAAUAAUAUAUACACAAGUUCAAUGUGCUGACGUUUUUUUGCGGCAUGACGUCACGCCACUACCAAGCCAUUACUUGAAUCGUUUUUCACUCUACCACCUUAGCGCAUUUAGCGAAGUGGCUUCCUUGUCACGUCUUGUCAAAGCAGAGAUCAUGUUCCCCCUUAAUCCGGGAUUCUCAUCAAUAAAGACAUGGGUAACCCAACCGCGCCAUUGAUGGUGACGCUUGGGGGAUAAGCGAGUUUUAAUAGGCCGGUGGGGGACGCGUAGGCUUCGCCCGCCCAUAUAAGGGAUAAGGAUUCAUCUUUUCACCUACGCCUUCUUCCGCCUUUGCUUAUCCAUCUCCGCGCACUCGAGCUCCAGCGCCCAAGCCCGCACAUCUCGUCUCAACCUUCCCCAGUCAUGUCUGGAGAGGGAGGCAAGUGGAUGACCUCCUCCGUUACGGAGGAGCACAUCGAAACACUGCGCAGCGCCGGCUACCUGUCCGGCGACAUCGCGCACCGGCUGCCCGACGAGGGGCAGCUCAUCCCCACCCCCAGGCCCCAUGAGAGGGUCGUUUUUCUUCCCCACUUCCUCCGCGGACUGGGUUUUCCACUUCACCCCUUUGUCUGGGGGCUCAUGUUCUACUACGGCCUGGAUUUCCAUGAUCUAGCGCCGAACUUCAUCCUCAACAUCUCGGCGUUUAUCAUCGUGUGCGAGGCCUUCCUCUGCGUCCGGCCCCACUUCGGCUUGUGGAUCAAGACCUUCAAUGUCAAGCCGAAGGUAGUGAAGGGCACUCAAGCGGAGUGCGGAGGCGCCAUGUUGGGCAAGAUGCCCAAUGUCCUUUGGUUCGGAGGGGCCUUCGUGGAAUCCGUUAAGGGGUGGCAAUCGGGGUGGUUCUAUAUCACCGAGCCGCGCGACCCUAAGUGGGCGGCGGCCCCCGAGUUCAGAUCUGGUAUCCCCACGCAGCUCACCUCCUGGAAAGAGAAGGGCUUGCUGUGGGGUAGUUCGGAGGAGCUGACGGGACUCCAAGCCUGCAUCCAGAAGCUGGUGAAGAAGCUCAGGCUGGUUAACGUGGUCCAAGUCAUGCUUGUCCACCGGAUUCUCCCAUGCCAAGAGCAGGCAUUCAAUCUGUGGGAGUUCAAUCCGGAACAGCAUCAGGCGCUGAGCGGGCUCUUCGACACGACGUACGAAGGCGCCUGGAGGGUGCUGUUUAAGGGCGCUGAAGCCCCCGCAUCCGCGACUGAAGAUCGCGGAUUUCGCUCGUAGCGCCAAGCCAACAAGGUAAGUGAUUCUACCCCUUUACGUGACACUUGCUUUUCAUAGUUUGACAUGCAGGUUUUAAUUUCCCCUUUUCCUUUGCCAGGACUGGAUGAGGAAGGCGGAGCAGAUUAUCUGCCCGGCUCGUGUGCCAGAAAACCCAGUAGACGCCCGUCUAGCGAGGUUGUUGGUUCCGGCACCGCACGUGGUGCCGGAGAAGAAGGCCAAGAAGGAGGCCACGGGUGCUCGAAAGAGUUCCCGUUUUCAGGUGUCCGACGACUCCGGGGCGGACUCCUCCCCCGAAAACAAGGAGGAGAAAGAGGACUCUCUCCCAGAGGAGGGAGAGAGGAAGAGGAAGGCUUCCCCAACAGGGGAGGCCGAAGGGUCCAAGAGGGGAAGGACUAUUCCCCCGGACAGCUCCGCCAACAUCAACGUUGGCGAGGAAGAAUGGCCUUCAAGGGCCAGGCCUCCAGCGAGAUUGUAUGUAUCCGGAUUCCUGAGUCAUUUAUAAUUUCUUUUUCUGUGUCACAUAGUGUCAUUCUGAUGUCGCAUGCUGCCUGUAGUCCGGCCAAUGAUGAUCUCCCCGCUUCAUCGAGCGGGUCGUUGGCUCCGUCGGAUGUAGACUCCAUCUCGACCGCCUCCACCCCUCGCGACACUGAGGACGCCUAGGUGGGAUCCCAAGAAGGGACCCAUCAGGGGGAGGCUCCGGAGGCGCCACAAGGCAUCCUCCCUGACUUUGCGCCGGACUCCAUAUCAGAACCCGCAGUGGUUCCGGAGUCCGGCCGGCGGCCCCUUCGCACGAAGGGCAAGACCGUGACGCCGGAGGCUUCCGUCCAACCAGAGGCGCCGGACAAUUUGUUGGAGGUGCUCCAGAGCGCUUCCAUCGAGGAAGAACACCGCACUAUUAUGAGUGCGGUGAUUCAGAAGGUACAACUCGCGAAGAGCGGGCUGACCGAAGCCUGCAGUAGCCUUCUAUCAGGCUUUGAGGUAAGAAGUUAAAAAUAUGCAAUGUAAUACCGCAUAGACAGUAGCCCCUGAUGCUCGGUUCGGUGUUCGGAAAGAAAAGCCGGACCGAGGAUCUGAAAAAAAAAAGAUAUACGCAGGGUUGCUAAAAAAUUAUGUCAAUAUGGGAUGCAGGCUGCGCUGCUGACCUCUGCCGCACUGACUGCAGAGGUCGGUGCUUUGAAGCAGGAGCUCGAGCGGUCCGAGCAAGAGCUCGGCCGCGCCAAGAAGCAGCUCCAGGACAAAGAAGGUGAGUAACACCACUUUGAACUUGUACCUUACAGAAAAGGAUUUAGGUUGCAACAAAAAAUAACAAGGAUAACAUGGGUACUGCAGGGGCCACGAACGAGGUGGCGACCGUGAAGGAGGCCGUGUCUGCAGCCGAACGCAAUGCGGCCGCGGAACGGGAAGAGCAAGAAAAGCAGGAGGCGCGGGUGGCGGUGGUUCAGCAAGAGCUCCAGGCUCUCAUGGAAAAGCAUGAGAGUUUGGAGCGUGAAUCGAAGACUCGAGAGUCCGAGCUUGCCUCGGCUCUCGAAAGUGCCAAUACUGCCAAGGCUGAUGCCCAUAAGUCCCUUCAGGAGAUUGAGUUGGUGAGGAAGAUAGCGGCGGGUAAGGCAUUUUUCAUGCAAAGCAAGCAUGUUAAUGUAAAUUACGUGUUACUUACCCGAAUUCGGAGCUCUCCAGGGGCGUUUGCAGAUCUGCCUCGCAGUGUGUCUGAUGCCACCGCAUUCUACCGAGCCGAGGAGGGGAGCUCAACAGAGAAGGUCUUCUGGUCUCAGUAUGCUGAGGCCGGCCAUCCGGUGCCCCCUAGCGACCAGCUGAAGCAGCUGGUCGAGCUCCACAAGGUGGCCGAGCAGGCCAUGAAGGGACUCAUAGUCCGGCUGUGGCCUGGAGAGGCCAUGCCUGGGAGCUACUUCGGUCUUGUGCGACGGUUGGUUGAUGCGUGCCCCUGGGUGGAGGUUAUCAAGCGCUCCGCCUGUAUUGAAGGUGCUCGUCGGGCCCUUGCCCGCGCAAAGGUGCAUUGGGGCAAGCUGGAUGCGGAGAAGCUAAUCACUGACGCGCCACCAGCGGGCAAGGAAUAUCGUACGCCCAAGAUGUACUAUAAGACUGUCCUGAAGGGUGCCCGCAAGAUUGUGGAUGAGUGCCCCAGGGAUGUAAUUAUUGAGUAAAUUCGCAAUGUGUUAUCCUGUGCGCUGAAAACUUUGUUCAUAUGCGCUAAGCAACGCUUGUUAAUUUAAAAUAUUACCUUCUGUGCGGCCGUUUAUUAAAUCUGAGAGAUGGCAAGUCGUCGGCUUCAGCCCCCAUGCCACGAGUGCUGGGGUGUUCGGGAUAAACUUGAGCACUCUUGUUCCCAUUUUUGGGUCCAUCUAGGGAGGCGCUCAACACAACGAACAAGGCAACCGGACUUAUAGUGCUUGAACACUCUCACUUAGCCAUAGAAUUCUAUAAUUUUAAAUUUCGGCGAAGCCCCUAGUAUUCGGAAGACCGAAUUAGGGGCGCUAUCCACGCCUUCGUCAGACAUUAUCCAGAACUUCGCUCGAAGCGGCGUAGGUCUUUAAGGACCCGAAAGGACCUCUCGAACAGCGACCAGUCUCUCGCCUUAUCAUGGCAGUCAAUUUUAGCUUUCUCCACUGUGGUGUUAACCCGGCUCAACCGGGGCGCAAUCGCAGUGGUUCUCCCAGUGCUUCCUUAGCCGAUAGAACGGAACGUAAGGUGCCAAACAUGGGAGCCGGGCAAACCCAACUAUUGACCCAAGAUAUGAUUCGGAGCCGAUUCAUAUAAUGCUAUAAGUUCGGGGUGCCGCACUUGUGGAAGUGUUCGGACUUUAUCACACCAUAAUGCGGGGAACAUAAGCCCCUGGUGUAUUUGGCUGUACCAAAAUGUACGGAUGCAACAUGUCGUAAAUGAACAUAUAUAUAUAUAUAAGGUAAUGCAAUUAUGGGCAAAAAGUGCUGCAUUUUAUUCUAGAAGAUCUGCUAUGAAUGCGGAAUGAUACAAAUAGUGCAGAAAGCAAGGGAUUGGACGAAUUAAAGGCGUCUCCCUCCAGGGGUAGGCCGCGGAAUGGUGUAUUUAACAAAUUUAAUGGUCGUAAUGGAGACCACCUGAGUGUUCGUCACGGCCUUUGUCCCUCCCUGACUGUUGCAUCAUGAGUUCGGCAGGUUCGCCGCCGGAGUUCUGUAUAAAAAAGAGAGAAAUAAAAGAUAAAAAAAGCGACACACUUGGGAGCCCCUCGUAUGGUCGAACCGCACUCUGGGUCUGUUGUGGUUGUGCCUCUCCCCCUAUGCCCAUGGUAUCUCCAGGGCGUAAUUAUGUACGCGGAUAGUUUGUCUUACAAUUGAGCGAGGGCUGGGGUUGAGGCCGCAUUGCUACGCGUGCUCGGAAUGUGCCAGGUGGUCUUGGUUGAUGUUGCUCCGGGCGCGUUUGGCCGUGUCCGGUCGUUUAACGGCCGGACUCGAAAAUUGCCUUAAAAGGCUGCUCUGUACUUCUGCCGCGAGAGCCGCUGUAUGUUCCUCCGUUCGGAGGGAGUGUUCCGUGUUUCCAUUGACCAUGAUGACUCCACGAGGGCCUGGCAUCUUGAGCUUAAGGUAUGCAUAAUGCGGCACCGCGUUGAAUUUUGCGAACGCGGUUCAUCCGAGCAGAGCGUGAUAGCCACUGCAGAACGGGACUAUGUCGAAGAUUAACUCCUCGCUUCGGAAAUUAUCCGGGGAUCCGAAGACCACUUCCAGUGUGACUGAGCCUGUACAAUUGGCCUCGACACCUGGUAUGACGCCUUUGAAGGUUGUCUUUGUAGGUUUAAUCCUUGAAGGGUCUAUGCCCAUCUUGCGCACUGUAUCUGGAUAAAGCAGGUUCAGGCUACUGCCACCGUCCAUCAGGACUCUCGUGAGGUGAAAUCCAUCAACGAUUGGGUCUAAAACCAAUGCGGCGAAUCCGCCAUGGCGGAUACUGGUCGGAUGGUCUCUUCGAUCGAAAGUGAUCGGGCAAGAGGACCAUGGGUUGAAUUUUGGGGCGACUGGCUCCAUCGCGUAUACGUCCCUUAGUGCACGCUUCCGCUCCCUCUUGGGGAUAUGCGUUGCGUAUAUCAUGUUUACCGUCUGAACUUGAGGGGGGAAUCCCUUUUGUCCUCUGUUGUUCGACGGCCGGGUCUCUUCCUCGUCAUCGCUGUGUAGCCCCUUGUCAUUGUUUUCGGCUAUUAAUUUGCCUGCCUGCUUGAAUACCCAACAAUCUCUGUUGGUGUGGUUAGCUGGCUUUUCGGGGGUUCCAUGUAUUUGACAGGAGCGGUCGAGUAUUUGGUCCAAAUGGGACGGGCCCGGAGUGGUUCUUUUGAAUGGCUUCUUCCGUUGACCGGGCUUGGAGCCUCGGAAUCCGGCGUUGACUGCCGUAUCCUCAUUGCUGUCGCCAUUAAUGCGGCGUUUGUUUUUGUUUUGACGCGACCUGCCAUUGCGGUCCUUGGUAUCCGGACUGCCAGCGUUUUUGCUGAGGUUGUUGCUACGAGCUAGCCAGCUAUCCUCUCCCGCACAGAAGCGGGUCAUGAGUGAUGUGAGGGCUGCCAUGGAUUUCGGCUUUUCCUGUCCUAGGUGCCGGGCUAGCCACUCGUCGCGGAUGUUAUGUUUGAAGGCAGCGAGGGCCUCUGCAUCCGGACAGUCGACGAUUUGAUUUUUCUUUGUUAAGAAUCAUGUCCAGAAUUUCCUGGCCGAUUCGUCUGGCUGCUGGAUUAUGUGGCUUAGGUCAUCUGCGUCCGGUGGUCGCACAUACGUGCCCUAGAAGUUGUCGAGGAAUGCGGCUUCCAAGUCUUCCCAGCAUCCAAUUGACUCUGCGGGCAGGCUGUUAAGCCAAUGCCGAGCUGGUCCUUUAAGCUUGAGCGGGAGAUAUUUGAUGGCGUGAAGAUCGUCGCUGCGGGCCAUGUGUAUAUGGAGGAGAUAAUCCUCAAUCCAAACCGCGGGGUCUGUUGUGCCAUCGUAGGAUUCGAUAUUAACGGGUUUAAACCCUUCAGGGAUUUGAUGAUCCAUUACUUCGUCAGUGAAGCAUAGUGGGUGUGCGGUGCCUCUGUAUUGAGCAAUAUCGCGACAUAGCUCGAUAGAGCGUUGUCUGCUGUGUUCGGCCCGGCCGGAGUAGUUGUAUCCGGCGCGACGGUAUUCGUCGUGGGUCUUGGGGCGCCCACGUGAUCCGUAGAUAGAUCUGGAUUGUCUUGCCUUGUCCUCCAUUAUAUCCCGCAAGUCUGGCACGUUCCCCCGUGGCUUCAUGCUUUUUGAGCGAUGCCGGGGUACGGUUUUGGUGGAGGGCUUGCACGCCUCUCUGUCGCGGCCACGAGGUGGUCGGUCUGCCGUAUUGUGCUCUGGUGAUGCAGGUUUGUACACUUCCUCCUCUAGUCGGGGGAGCAACUUGCGUUUUGGGUAACUUUUGGAGGGGCGUUCGAGUUCAUACUCUUCGGCCGCGAGGACCUCGGUCCAUCUGUCGGCCAGUAGGUCUUGAUCAGCUUGAAGCUGUUGCUGCUUUUUCUUUAGGCUGUUUGCCGUGGCCAUUAGCCUGCGUCCGAAACGCUCUUGUUCGACGGGAUCCUCAGGCACGACGAAUUCGUCGUCGUCGAGGCUUGCCUCGUCUCCGGAGGGAGGUAAGUAAUUAUCAUCCUCGACCUCUUCGUCUGCCGCCCUCUCGUGAGAGCUUGCUUCUGCCUCCUCCUGCGCUGGAUCGUGCUGGAGGGGGUUGUCUUCGGCACUUUCUGGGGUGUUAUUAUCUCCUGUGCCGGAAUCUCCAUUCUUGCUACGGAGGGAUUUAGAGCGGCGCCGCUGACGUUGGCGCUUGGGCUGUUUCUUUAAGGAAUCGGCCUCCGUUGCUUCUUCGCUGUCCCCAUCUUUUGGGGUGUCCACCAUGUAUAUGUCGUAUGACGAGGUGGUCUUCCAGUGUCCGGUAGGCACUGGUUCUUGAUAGUCUCCGGCAUCGUCGUCCAUAACGUCGAUGUCUUCGGAGUCGUAGUCGAGUACGUCGGUUAGAUCGUCGACGGUGGCUACGAAGUGGGUGGUGGGUGGGUUCUGAAUUUCUUUGUCGUCCACAUCCCAACCAUCCUGGCCGUAGUUCGGCCAGGGCUCUCCGGAUAGCGAGAGAUGCUUCAGCUAAUUUAAGAUAUCGCCGAAGGGUGAGUGCUGAAAGAUGUCCGCAGCGGUGAAUUCCAUGAUCGGCGCCAGAUCGGAUUCGACUGGCAGGGGCACAGGAGGUUCGGAGUCCGGCAGGGAGUCCGGCACCUCGGAGUCAUGAGCUUUAUGUGGGACAAGGUAAGUGUUCGGCUCCAUCGCUGUAGAAGUUGCUGCUCCCGAGGCGGUGUCCAGCCAUCCGUCCUCGAUCUAAGCGAUCCGCUACGGACUAUGGGUCGGAGCGGAUUCGUGUGCGGCCUCCAAGGUGCUAUCCGGCGGCAGAGUUAGGCCGUGCCCAUCAUGACAGCGCGGCACGCUCGGCUGUGGCUCGGAUCCAUCGAAGAUCAAGUCCCCGUGGACAUCGGCCAUGAAGUUUAUGCUUCCAAACCAGACCUGACAGCCAGGGGCGUAGCUUUCGAUCUGCUCCAGAUGGCCAAGUGAGUUGGCUCGCAGUGCGAAGCCGCUGAAUACAAAGAUCUGUCCGGGGACAAAAGUCUCACCCAGGACUGCGUCGUUGUCGAUUGAAGAGGCCAUCAAGCCUAUCGGUGACGACACGGAGGAACUCUCAAUGAAAGAACCAAUGUCGGUGUCAAAACCGGCGGAUCUCGGGUAGGGGGUCCCGAACUGUGCGUCUAGGCGGAUGGUAACAGGAGACAAGGGACACGAUGUUUUACCCAGGUUUGGGCCUUCUUGAUGGAGGUAAAACCCUACGUCCUGCUUGAUUGAUAUUGAUAUUGUGGAUGUUUACAAGAGUGGAUCUACCACGAGAUCAAGGUGGCUAAACCCUAGAAGCUAGCCUAUGGUAUGAUUGUAAUGGUUGUUAUUGUUGUGUCCUACGGACUAGAGCCAUCCGGUUUAUAUAGACACCGGAGAGGGCUAGGGUUACAUAGAGUCGGUUACAAUGGUAGGAGACUACAUAUCCGUAUCGCCAAGCUUGCCUUCCACGCCAAGGAAAGUCCCAUCCGGACACGGGACGAAGUCUUCAAUCUUGUAUCUUCAUAGUCUUGGAGUCCGGUCGAUGAUGAUAGUCUGGCUGAUGAUAGUAAUCCGGCUAUCCGGACACCCCCUAAUCCAGGACUCCCUCAGCAAGCAAUAGAGAAUAAAUGGAUUUUCAAGAAGAAGACUGACACUGACGGUAAUGUUACUGUUUACAAAGCUCGACUUGUUGCAAAAGGUUUUCGACAAGUUCAAGGAGUUGACUAUGAUGAGACCUUCUCACCCGUAGCGAUGCUUAAGUCUGUCUGAAUCAUGUUAGCAAUCGCCGCAUUUUAGGAUUAUGAAAUAUGGCAGAUGGAUGUCAAAACUGCAUUUCUGAAUGGAUUUCUGGAAGAACAGUUGUAUAUGAUGCAACCGGAAGGUUUUGUCGAUCCUAAGGGAGCUAACAAAGUGUGCAAGCUCCAACGAUCAAUCUAUGGUCUGGUGCAAGCCUCUCGGAGUUGGAAUAAACGCUUUGAUAGUGUGAUCAAAGCAUAUGGUUUUAUACAGACUUUUGGAGAAGCCUGUAUUUACAAGAAAGUGAGUGGGAGCUCUGUAGCAUUUCUAAUAUUAUAUGUGGACGACAUAUUAUUUAUUGGAAAUGAUAUAGAAUUUCUGGAUAGCAUAAAAGGAUACUUGAAUAAAAGUUUUUCAAUGAAGGACCUCAGUGAAGCUGCUUACAUAUUGGGCAUCAAGAUCUAUAGAGAUAGAUCAAGACGCUUGAUUGGACUUUCACAAUGCACAUACCUUGAUAAAGUCUUGAAAAAGUUCAAUAUGGAUCAGGCAAAGAAAGGGUUCUUGCCUGUAUUACAAGGUGUAAGAUUGAGUCAGACUCAAUGCCCGACCACUGCAGAAGAUAGAGAGAAAAUCAAAGGAGUUCCCUAUGCUUCAGCCAUAGGCUCUAUCAUGUAUGCAAUGCUGUGUACCAGACCUGAUGUGUGCCUUGCUAUUAGCUUAGCAGGGAGGUACCAAAGUAAUCCAGGAGUGGAUCACUGGACAGCGGUCAAGAAUAUCCUGAAAUACCUGAAAAGGACUAAGGAUAUGUUUCUCUUUUAUGGAGGUGACAAAGAGCUUGCCGUAAAGGGUUACGUCGAUGCAAGCUUUGACACUGAUCCGGACGAUUCUAAAUCGCAAACCGGAUACGUAUUUUUAUUAAACGGUGGAGCUGUAAGUUGGUGCAGUUCUAAACAAAGCGUUGUGGCGGGAUCUACAUGUGAAGCGGAGUACAUAGCUGCUUCGGAAGCAGCAAAUGAAGGAGUCUGGAUGAAGGAGUUCAUUUCCGAUCUAGGUGUUAUACCUAGUGCAUCGGGACUAAUGAAGAUCUUCCGUGACAAUACUGGUGCAAUUGCCUUGGCAAAGGAAUCCAGAUUUCACAAGAGGACCAAACACAUCAAGAGACGCUUCAAUUCCAUUCGGGACCAAGUCCAAGUGGGAGACAUAGAGAUUUGCAAGAUACAUACGGAUCUUAAUGUUGCAGACCCAUUGACUAAGCCUCUCUCACGAGCAAAACAUGAUCAGCACCAAGACUCCAUGGGUGUUAGAACCAUUACUGUGUAAUCUAGAUUAUUGACUCUAGUGCAAGUGGGAGACUGAAGGAAAUAUGCCCUAGAGGCAAUAAUAAAGUUAUUAUUUAUUUCCUUAUAUCAUGAUAAAUGUUUAUUAUUCAUGCUAGAAUUGUAUUAACCAGAAACAUAAUACAUGUGUGAAUACAUAGACAAACAGAGUGUCACUAGUAUGCCUCUACUUGACUAGCUCGUUAAUCGAAGAUGGUUAUGUUUCCUAACCAUAGACAUGAGUUGUCAUUUGAUUAACGGGAUCACAUCAUUAGGAGAAUGAUGUGAUUGACUUGACCCAUUCCGUUAGCUUAGCACUUGAUCAUUUAGUAUGUUGCUAUUGCUUUCUUCAUGACUUAUACAAAGUUCCUGCAACUAUGAGAUUAUGCAACUCCCGUUUACAGGAGGAACACUUUGUGUGCUACCAAACGUCACAACGUAACUGGGUGAUUAUAAAGGUACUCUACAGGUGUCUCCAAAAGUAUAUGUUGAGUUGGCAUAAUUCGAGAUUAGGUUUUGUCACUCCGAUUGUCGGAGAGGUAUCUCUGGGCCUUCUCGGUAAUACUCAUCACCUAAGCCUUGCAAGCAUUGUAACUAAUGAGUUAGUUAUGAAAUGAUGUAUUACGGAACGAGUAAAGAGACUUGCCGGUAACGAUAUUGAACUAGGUAUUGGAUACCGACGAUCGAAUCUCGGGCAAGUAACAUACCGAUGACAAAGGGAACAACGUAUGUUGUUACACGGUUUGACCGAUAAAGAUCUUCGAAGAAAAUGUAGGAACCAAUAUGAACAUCCAGGUUCCACUAUUGGUUAUUGACCGAGAAUAGUUCUAGGUCAUGUCUACAUAGUUCUCGAACCCGUAGGGUCCGCACGCUUAACGUUACGAUGACAGUUUUAUGAGUUUUGAUGUACCGAAGUUUGUUCGGAGUCCCGGAUGUGAUCACGGACAUGACGAGGAGUCUCGAAAUGGUCGAGACAUAAAGAUUUAUAUAUUGGAAGCCUAUGUUUGGACUUCGGAAUAGUUCCGGGUGAAAUCGGGAUUUUACCGGAACACCGGGGGGUUACCGGAACCCUCCUGGGGGUUAAUGGGCCUUUGUGGGCCAUGAGGGAGAAGAGGAGGGCCGGCCAGGGCAGGUCGCGCGCCCCCUCCCCCCCUAGUCCGAAUAGGACAAGGAAGGGGGGGGGGGCGGAGCCCCCCUUUCCUCUUUCCCUCCCCCAAGUCCUAAUCCAACAUGGAAAAGGGGGGGAGUCCUACUCCCGGUGGGAGUAGGACUCCUCCCCCGCGCCUCCUCCUAGGGCCGGCCGCACCCCCCUUUGCUCCUUUAUAUACGGGGGCAGGGGGGCACCCUAGAACACACAAGUUGAUCUACGGUUCGUUCCUUAGCCGUGUGCGGUGCCCCCCUCCACCAUAUUCCACCUCGGUCAUAUCGUCGCGGAGUUUAGGCGAAGCCCUGCGCCGGUAAAGCAUCAUCAUCGUCACCAUGCUGUCGUGCUGACGGAACUCAUCCCCGACACCCUGCUGGAUCGGAGUCCGGGGAUCAUCAUCGAGCUGAACGUGUGCUGAACACAGAGGUGCCGUACGUUCGGUACUUGGAUCGGUAGGAUCGUGAAGACGUACGACUACAUCAACCGCGUUCUCAUAACGCUUCCGCUUUCGGUCUAUGAGGGUACGUGGACACACUCUCCCCUCUCGUUGCUAUGCAUCAUCAUGAUCUUGUGUGUGCGCAGGAAUUUUUUUGAAAUUACUGCGUUCCUCAACAGCGUGAACCUGCUAGGCUUCUUGGGUGUGUAUGGGAAGACAAAAGAUACACCAAAGGCACGGGAGGAUUAGAAAUGUGUGCACGAAAAAUACGUCAUGCAUCGAAAGCACUAUGAAGGUCCUGCCAGCUACGCUCUUACCAAAGAAGAGAAGGAAAUCUUCUUUGAAUGCCUGCUCAGUAUGAGGGUCUCCUCUGGCUUCUCGUCCAAUAUAAAGGGAAUAAUAAAUAUCCCAGAGAAAAUGUUCCGGAACCUAAAGUCUCAUGACGUCCACGUGAUUAUGAUGCAACUGCCAGAAAAUGUUCGAUUAGCCAUUGUGAAGCUAUGUGCAUUCCUCAAGGGAAUCUCUCAAAAGGUAAUCGAUCCAGAAAUCCUACCAAGGUUAAGGAGUGAUUUGGUGCAAUGUCUUGUCAGUUUUGAGAUGGUGUUCCCACCAUCCUUCUUCAAUAUCAUGACGCACGUCCUAGUUCAUCUAGUCGACGAGAUUGCCAUUCUGGGCCCUGUAUUUCUACACAGGAUGUUCCCCUUUCAGAGGUCAUGAGAAUUUAAAGAAAUAUGUUCGUAACUGUGCUAGGCCAGAAGGAAGCAUCUCCAUGGGCCGGCAAAUAGGGGAGGUCAUUGGGUUUUGAGUUGACUUCAUUCCUGAACUUAAGCCGAUUGGUCUCCUUUAGUCGCGGUAUGGGGGGAGACUGACUGGAAAAGGAACACUAGGACCGGAAGGGAUGGGCAUGCUUGGUCUCAAGCACACUACAUAGUUCUACAGAAUUCUACCUUGGUGACCCCGUAUGUCAAUGAACACAAGAAUGUUCUGUGCUCCAAACACCUGAAGCAGUGUGACGACUAGAUUACAUGUGAACACAUCAGAACUUUCGACAGUUGGUCAAACACAUCUCAUGGGUGACACCAUGAUAUGUCUCCAACGUAUCUAUAUUUUUUUGAUUGUUCCAUGUUGUUUUAUUAUCAAUCUUGGAUGUUUUAUAAUCAUUUUAUAUCAUUUUUGGUCCUAACCUAUUGACAUAGUGCCAAGUGCCAGUUGCUGUUUUUUCCUUGUUUUUUACAUCGCAAAAAGUCAAUACCAGAGGGAGUCCAAAUGCCACGAAACUCCAUGAUGAUUUUUUAUGGGCCAGAAGGAAAAUGUUGGGCCCUGGUUGCACCUCGGGGGAGUCCCGAGGAGGGGUGGCCCAGGCGCGCCCUGGUGGGUUGUGCCCACCUCGGGUGCCCCCGGACCGCCUCUUUGCUCUAUAAAUACCCCAAUAUUCCAGUAGCCCUAGGAGCAUCAACGAUAUAUUCAUCCAGCCGCCAUAGGGUCCAGAACCACCAGAUCCAAUCUAGAAACCAUCUCAGAUGGGGUUCACCACCUCCAUUGGUGCCUCUCUGAUGAUGCGUGAGUAGUUCUUUGUAGAUCUUCGGGUCCGUAGUUAGCAGCUAGAUGUCUUUCUCUCUCUUGCUGAAUUCUCAAUACAACAGUCUCUUGGAGAUCCAUAUGAUGUAACUCAUUUUGCGGUGUGUUCGUUGGGAUCUGAUGAACUUUGCGUUUAUGAUCAGUCAUAUCUUUUUAUAUCCAUGAAAGUUAUUUGAGUUUCUUUGAUCUCUUAUAUGCAUGAUCUCUUAUAGCUCCGAUAUUUGGGUUUUGUUUGGCCAACUUGAUCUAUUUAUCUUCCAAUUGGAAGAGGUGCCCGGUAGUGGGUUCGAUCUUACGGUGCUUGAUCCCAGUGACAGAAAGGGAACCGACGCGUAUGUAUCAUUGCUACCAAGGAUAAUAAGACAAGAUCCAUAUCUAACGCAAUGGAUAAACAGAUCUUGUCUACAUCAUGUCAUCGUUCUUAUUGCAUUAUUCCAUUUUUUCAUGAACUUAAUACACUAGAUGCAUGCUGGAUAGCGGUCGAUGUGUGGAGUAAUAGUAGUAGAUGCAGGCAGGAGUCAGUCUUCUAAUCUUGGAUGUGAUGCCUGUGUAAUGAUCAUUGCCUGGAUAUCAUCAUAAUUAUUUGAGGUUCUAUCAAUUGCCCAACAGUAAUUUGUUUACCCACCGUUUUCUAUCUUUCUCGAGAGAAGCCACUAGUGAAACCUACGGCCCCCGGGUCUUCUUUCUCGUAUAGUUGCCUUGCGAUCUACUUUGCCUUUGCGUUUUUAUUCAGAUCUACUAAAUCAAAAAAAUACAAAAAUACCUUGCUGCAAUUUAACUUUGUUUAUUUUAUUUGUCGUUCGAUCUAUCCAUUUACUACAAAAUUAUCUCACGUUCGUUUGCCACUUGAGGCACCAUACCCAGAAAGGGAUUGACAACCCUUUUAACACGUCGGGUUGCAAGGAUUUAUUGUCUGUGUCCAGGGUCUGUUUACGUUGUGUUGCUUGGUUCUCCUACUGGUUCAAUAACCUUGGUCUCAUCUGAGGGAAAUACCUACCACCGCUGUGCCGCAUCACCCCUUCCUCUUUGGGGAAAUACCGAUGUAGCUUCAAGCAACAUCAAAAGGAAUUUCUGGCGCCAUUGCCAGGGAGAAUCUUCAACAUAACCAGGUUCCUAAUCACAAAUCUCAUCUCCUCGCAAUUUACAUUAUUUGCCAUUGCCUCUCAUUUUCCACUCCCCCGCUUCACAAAAUUUUUCCAUUCUAUUUGCCUCUCUUUUCCGUUCGCCCUUUUCUUGCCAGAUCUGUUUUUGUAUGCAUUCUCGAUUGCCGUUAUGGAUAGUUCUUCCUCUAUUGUUUGCACUCCUGAGGACGAAGUCCUCAACUUUAAACAAAGGGGAGGAGAAAAUUUAAAAGAUGCUUGGUAUAGAAUUUGCAAUGCUCAUAAUAGAUCUAUCCGUAGGCAAUCUACCGUUGUGCUUCUAUGUUGUUUUUAUGUUGGCAUCACCACUUGGUAUAGAUUCGUGCUUGAUACGAUUACCGGUCGCAAUUUCUUAACGAUUCCUCCUUUUCAUGCUCUUAAUGCUAUGGGAAAUUUAGUGGGCUCACCACCUCUUAUGGUUAAUGAAACAAUUUUGACUCUUGAGCAUGUUAUGGAAAGAUUAGAUGCUAUCGAAAAUAAAAUGCUCACCGAAGAUCAUAUGGAAAUCAUACAUAAAAAGAUCCAUAAUUUUGCUACUAAUCUUUGGUCAAAAGCAGGCGAUAUUUUUAAGUUGUUAAAAGAGAGGGGUACCUUAAUCCAGGAAAGAAUACAAGAAAGUCCAUCUUGGAUCGAUAAAUUGGAAGAAAUCUUUAGUAAUCUAAGCAUGGCUUUUACUACCACUAAAAUUAUUGACGAAACUCCUAUGAAGAGUAAAAUAUCCAAGAACAAGGGUGCAACUCCUAGUGAUAGCAAUAAAGGAGAUCUUAAGAUGAUUAGUAUCCACCCUGAUUUUGUUGAAGUGAUAAGAGAUCAUUUUUGCAAGAAUGAAAUACUUAAAUUUACCCCUAGAAGUAUUGCUAUUGAAGGUCUUUAUGUUAAAUCCUUAAAGGAUUCUAAGUGUUUGAUUGAAGAGUUGGACAAAGAUGACAAAACUUAGAUCCUCGCUUUAUGCCUAGCUAAGGGCGUAAAACAAUAGCGCUUGUUGGGAGGCAACCCAAUGAAUGACAUUUACUUUUGCUUUUUGCGUUCUGUUCUUGAGUUUUAACACAAUCAUGCUAAUGUUGUGAUUGUAUUUUUUGUGUUUUAGUUAGUGAUUGUUCCAAGUAGAACCGAAUAGAUCAUCUUGGGUGAUAGUUGUUUGAUCUUGCUGAAAAAGAAAGAAACUUUGCGCUCACGAAAAAAGUUCUUAUUUUUAAUCAGAAAGAGGUUUUGCCCUGAUUCUUUUUUCAGAAGAUUAAUAUACAAAUUUCCCAGGUCUUCAUAUAAUUUUCAGAUUUUUUCGAGUUCCAGAAGUUUUCGUUUAAGUCAGAUUAGUACAGAAUGUUCUGUUUUGACAGAUUCUGUUUUCUUUGUGUUGUGUGCUUAUUUUGAUGGCUCUAUGGUUUUCUUUGAUAACUUUUUCCAUAGGAAAGUUGGAAUACAGUAGAUAUAAUACAAAAACAAAAUAUGAAUUUGUUUAAUACAGUAAUUAUAGUAGUGGUUUACUUUUGUUCACUAGCGGAUCUUGCGGAGGUUUUGUUGAGUUCUGUGUGAUUGAAGUUCUCAAGUUUUGGGUUAUCUUACGAUGGAUCAAGGAAGGAUGGAAGAGCCUAAGAUUGGGGAUGCCCCGGCAUCCAAAGCUAUUAUCCAAAAAUGAGCAACCAACUAAGCUUGGGGAUGCCCCCGAGUGGCAUCCCCGCUUUCUUCCAACAACUAUCGGUAUUUUACUCGAGGCUAUAUUUUUACUCGCCACAUGAUGUGUGUUUUGCAUGGAGCGUCCUGUAUGAUAUGAGUGUUUGCUUGUUUUAUUUUGUGUUUUAAGUUAUCAAUCCUUGCUGGACACACAUAUUUGAGAAAGCGAAAAUUAUGCCAUGACUUGUUAGAAUUUCUCUCUAUGCUUCACUUAAAUCUUUUAUGAGCUAGGACAUGCUCUAGUGGUUCACUUAUAUCUUUUUGAGCAUGGUGUGCUUAGUAUUUUUGAAGAAAUGCUCUCUUGCUUCACUUAGAUUUAUUUGAGAGUCAGUAAAGUUUUGAAGAAAUUCUCUCUUGCUUCACUUAAAUUAUUUUCAGAGAAAGAAAAUUUGUUAUGGUCAUGAUCUUCACUUAUAUUUGUUUGAGCUUAUGAAAAGCAACACAUGAAAAUUAGUCCUAAAGUGAUAGAUAUCCAAGAAGGAUAAAGAAAUAAAAAAAUACAAUGUCAUGAAGACUAUUGGACAAAAUAAACUUGAUUCUUGGUAAUAGUUUUGAGAUAUGAUGAUGUGAUAUGUGAGUUAUGUUGAUGAGUAAUUGUGCUCUUGUAAGAAUAUUGGUGUUAAGGUUUGUGAUUCCCUAUGCAUGCACGAAUGUCAAUAAUCAUGCAAUGAAAAUUAUAUCCUACUUGUGGUGCAUUAUUCGGUGUUACUUAUGAUUAAUGCUUGCUUAUGAAAUUAUUCGUUUCUUGGUUGGUCGCUUCUUAUUUUUUUGCUAGCCUUCAUUUUGCACUAACUGUGACCUCUACUUGUGCAUCCAAAAUCCUUUAAACCAGUUUUGCCACAUGAGUCCACUAUAUAUACCUAUAUGCGGCAUUCCUUUGCCGUUCUAAGCAAAUUUGCAUGGGUCGUCUCUAAUUUUCAAAAAAAUACUUCUCUUUUAUGUGUUUGUUUCGCUCGCGGAGCGGUGAAGGGUGGCUAAUAUUUUCCAUGCUAGAUGUGUUAUUCUCAAGAUGAAUGUUUAUUCACUUGUCAUUGCAUGAGAGUAAGGCAACGUUCUUAGGGAUGCCCAGUCCAGAAAUGCAAAAAAAUGAAUGUACUUUAUGUUGUCAAAUAAUAAAUUCCUUUGAAAGUGUUGGUAUGGAAGGCAACCGUGGAUUCGGCUAGCCAUGGAAAGUGAAAGUAUGGUGGAAAAAGGAAUAAACUUUAUUUUCUGUUUGGGAACCGCCUAUGGCAUAUCUAGCAUGGAAAGUGUUCGGAAUUCUAAGUCGUUUUCGUUGGUGGGAUGGAUACACCUCCCAAAAUGUUUUUAUCUCUAAGUUUUUCGCUUUGAGCUCUGGCACCUCUACAAAUCCCUACUUCCCGCUGCGAAGGGCCUUUCUUUUACUUUAUGCAAAAAAGAUUGAACUUGAGUCUCCAUCCUCUCUUAUAAAAUCACCAACUAGGAGGCAAUAUGAUCGUACUCAAGUAUUGGGUGUAGCUAAUAUUUGAGUGUGUCUCAUGAAUGGAUCAAUGUUUGAGCAUGAUGGGCUAGGGAUAACUUAUUUUAGCAUUGAUAUUUUGAAAGACACGGUUGCUUGUUGAUAUGCUUGAGUAUCUAAAUUAUCGUGUCAAAACUAGACUAUUGCUUUGAAUCACAUAAAAGUCCAAAUGUACAUGAUAUAAAGAAAGAAUAUGAUAUGACAUGAUAAACAGCACUCCACAUCAAAAAAAAUUGUUUUUAUCACUUACCUACUCGAGGAUGAGUAGGAGUUAAGCUUGGGGAUGCUGAUACGUCUCCAAUGUGUCUAUAAUUUUUUAUAGUUCCAUGCUAUUUUAUUAUCAAUCUUGGAUGUUUCAUAAUCAUUUUAUAGUCAUUUUAUAUCAUUUUUGUUACUAACCUAUUGACAUAGUGCCAAGUGCCAGUUGUUGUUUUCCCAUGUUUUUUACAUCACAGAAAAUCAAUACCAGACGGAGUCCAAAUGCCACGAAACUCCACGAUGAUUUUUAUGGGACAGAAGGAAGAUGUUGUUGGGGAACAUAGUAAUUUCAAAAACAAUCCUACGCACACGCAAGAUCAUGGUGAUGCAUAGCAACGAGAGGGGAGAGUGUCGUCCACGUACCCUCGUAGACCGUAAGCGGAAGCAUUAUGACAACGCGGUUGAUGUAGUCGUACGUCUUCAUGAUCCGACUGAUCCAAGUACCGAACACACGGCACCUCUGAGUUCAGCACACGUUCAGCUCGGUGACGUCCCAGGAACUCCGAUCCAGCAAAGUGUCAAGGACGAGUUUCGUUAGCACGACGGUGUGAUGACGGUGAUGAUGAAGCUACCGAUGCAGGGCUUCGCUUAAGCACCGCUACAAUAUGACCGAGAUGGAUUAUGGUGGAGGGGGGCAUCGCACACGACUAAAAGAUCAAUGAUCAACUUGUGUGUCUAUGGGGUGCCCCCUCCCCAGUAUAUAAAGGAGUGGAGGAGGGGAAGGGGCCGGCCCACCAAGGCGCGCCCCAAGGGUAGUCCUACUCCCACCGGGAGUAGGACUGCAGCCCUUCCAAGAGUAGGAGUAGGAGAGAGGGAAGGAGGAGAGAGGGGGAAGGAAAGGGGGCGCCCCCCCUCCUUGUAAAAUUUGGACUAGAGGGGGAGGGGUCGCUUGUCCUUCCUAGGCCGCCCCUCUUAUUCUCCACUAAGGCCCAAAUAGACCCAUUACACUCCCCGGGGGUUCCAGUAACUCCCCUGUACUCCGGUAUUUGUCUGAACUUGCCCGGAACUCUUCCGAAGUCCAAACAUACUCAUCCAAUAUAUUGAUCUUUAUGUCUCGACCAUUUCGAGACUCCUCUUCAUGUCCGUGAUCAUAUCCGGGACUCCGAACUACCUUUUAUAUAUCGAAACACAUAAACUCAUAUUACCGAUCGUCACCGAAUGUUAAGCGUGCGGACCCUACGGGUUUGAGAACUAUGUAGACAUGACCCAGACUCAUCUCCGGUCAAUAACCAAUAGCGGAACCUGGAUGCUCAUAUUGGCUCCUACAUAUUCUACGAAGAUCUUUAUCGGUCAAACCGAAUAACAUCAUACAUUGUUCCCUUUGUCAUUGGUAUGUUACUUGCCCGAGAUUUGAUAGUUGGUAUCUCAAUACCUUGUUCAAUCUCGUUACCGGCAAGUCUCUUUACUCGUUCCAUAAUACAUCAUCAUGCAACUAACUCAUUAGUUGCAUUGCUUGUAAGGCUUAUAGUGAUGUGCAUUACCGAGAGGGCCCAGAGAUACCUCUCCGACAAUUGGAGUGACAAAUCCUAAUCUCAAUCUAUGCCAACCCAACAAGUACCUUCGGAGACACCUGUAGAGCACCUUUAUAAUCACCCAGUUACGUUGUGACGUUUGGUAGCACACAAAGUGUUCCUCCGGUUGUCGGAAGUUGCAUAAUCUCAUAGUCAUAGGAACAUGUAUAAGUCAUGAAGAAAGCAAUAGUAAUAUGCUAAAUGAUCAAAUGCUAAGCUAACAUAAUGGGUCAAGUCAAUCACAUCAUUCUCUAAUGAUGUGAUCCCGUUAAUCAAAUGACAACUCAUGUCUAUGGCUAGGAAACUUAACCAUCUUUGAUUCAACGAGCUAGUCAAGUGGAUGCAUACUAGUGACACUUAGUUUGUCUAUAUAUUCACACAUGUACUAAGUUUCUGGUUAAUACAAUGCUAGCAUGAAUAAUAAACAUUUAUCAUGAUAUAAGGAAAUAUAAAUAACAACUUUAUUAUUGCCUCUAGGGCAUAUUUUGUCAGAUGUUGGGCCCUGGUUGCACCCGCGGGGAGUCCCGAGGAGGGGACAACCCACCAGGGCACGCCAGGAGGCUCGGGCGCGCCCUGGUGAGUUGUUCCCACCUCAGGUGCCCCCCGGACCCGCCUCUUUGCUCUAUAAAUACCCCAAUAUUCCAGAAACCCUAGGAGGGUCGACGAAAUAUUCAUCCAGCCACCACAGAGUCCAGAACCACCAGAUCCAAUCUAGAGACCAUCGCGGGUGGGGUUCACCACCUCCAUUGGUGGCUCUUCGAUGAUGUGUGAGUAGUUCUUUGUAGACCUUCGGGUCCGUAGUUACUAGCUAGAUGGCUUUCUCUCUCUCGUUGAAUUCUCAAUACAAUGGUCUCUUGGAGAUCCAUAUGAUGUAACUCUUUUUGCGGUGUGUGCUACCUCUUGAGCACUGCGUUGGCUUCCCCUUGAAGAGGAAAGGGUGAUGCAGCAAAGUAGCGUAAGUAUUUCCCUCAAUUUUUGAGAACCAAGGUAUCAAUCCAGUAGGAGGCUCCUCAAAAGUCCCACGCACCUACACAAACAAACAAGAACCUCGCAACCAACGCGAUAAAGGGGUUGUCAAUCCCUUCACUGUAACUUGCAGAAGUGUGAUUUGAUAGAGAUAAUAAGAUAAGAUAAAUAUUUUUGGUAUUUUCAUGAUAUAGAUUGGAAAGUAACACUACUAGGGAAAACCCUAGUAGUAGCGCGGGUUUAAAGCCCACUAGUAGCGCGUGUUGCCGCGCUACUAAUAAGGCGCUACAGCUAUUACUUAGCAGUAGCGCGUGUGACACGCGCUACAGCUAAGAGACAUAGCGGCAGCGCUUGUUCACACCCGCGCUGCUGCUAAUCUAGCUACUUGCAGCGUGUUUACUGUCCAUCUGUACAAGUAUUUUUUUAGUGUAUUUAUCCGCCGUUAUACAAAUUUUGGUACAAUACCAAUUAUGAGGUUUAUAUCAUUAUGUCUAUAACAGUGUGUCAAAUGAAGGUGGAUUAGGUUCAAGUGGAGGCAAUAUGUGGUGCAUGUCAAAAGUAUACUACUAAUCCAAACUUGAUCUAGUUUGGACUAGUAGUACUUUCGAUGUGCACCACAUGUUUCCUCCACUUGAAUCGAAUCCGCCAACACAAGCUAUUUAAUCAUCAUCAUAGUCAUUAGCACCAACAGUAUUUAUUUAAUCACCACUAACACUAGCUCAUAAUAAUCAUCAUAGUCAUUACCACCAACACUAGCUAUUUAAUCAUCAUAGUCAUAGUGUAGCACAUCAUCAUCUUUAAACUCAUUUCUAGCUAGCUAAUCACUCCUGCUGCUCUCUCUCAGGUAAAAUAACAUAAAACAUGUGUAGCUCUCCUCCUUCAUCAAGUUGGAGCAUGCAGAUGAACCUAUCUAUCAAUCAUGGGCUGCGCUUCUAAUUGCUGCCCCUAGUACUUGUCUGCGCUCCUCCAUCACAGAUUUGGUUCAGUCAUUCACUUUUAAGAAUUCGUCGCUAAUCCUGAAUGCACUAUAGUGAUUUGUAGGAUAUAUUGGCCGUAAGCUAACAAUACUCAUGGUACCUUGAGUCUCGAUCCCAUAAGGCACAACAUUCAUCGGGAGUCCCUGUUGAAGAACAUCGUAUGGUAACAUACUUAGCAAUGAAUUUUAGCUUAAAAAAUAAUGUAUGGAAAAGAUGCACUGAGGACAGAUAGUAAAAAUCUUACCAUCUUUCCUAAAUAGAUGUGACCGUAGUUCAUACGAACACUAUUGGUCGCACGUUUUCAGUACUAACAUUUCUAAAUCCAGGAAGAAAAUUUGUCUUGACCGUAUCAAGAUCGCCAAGCCAUGAAACAUAAUGACUUAGCUCCUCGCAGUUUAGUUCAGCCCCGACAUAGUAGUAGGUCCUGUCUACCAAGCGCUGGACAUGUUUGCUUGAACGGAAAUAAGAUCACAAUAGAAAUUAGUUGUCAACUAUUUUUGAAUAAACAAUAUCAAAGACAUAAAUAUGAUUGAGAAACUCACAUAAUGGUAUAACUGGAGGCAUCUGCACAUUGACCCAGAUGUCGGUAUUACCUUCAAUAUCAUCUUCCAGACAAAUAUCAAAGGUGAUAACCAUAUCAGGAUCAAAUGCAUAAGUCUUGCAUGGUGCUCGCCAUGUUUUGCAUCCAAAAUAGGUGUAGUCGUCUGAAUUGUAUAAUUUUGCAUGGAAAAUAUAACCAUGCUCGCUCUUCAAGUAAACUUUCUUUACCUCCAUAGUACGUCUGAAACCUAUCUUAUCCAAUACAAAAACUCUUGUAUGGCAGGGGAUACGCUAGUAGAAUAGUAAAAAAAAUUAUAAGUUGAAGCAAAUGAAGCAGAUGUCAUGCUUAAUUACGAAAAAAUACUUGUCGUUGUGACUUACUGUAUCCACUUCGAAGUUCUCGUCCAGCUUGAUGCUGAAGCGCCUAUCAUCAUCUAGCAAGAUUCCGUCGCACAUGCCGCGCUCGUCUUCGCAGUAUUUGCAAAUACCGAAAUCCUUUUCGUCGUCAGACAUUUCCUAUGUUCAUAGUUGAAACAUUAAUUGAAAAUCGAUCGAAGAAAAUCUGGGGAACUCGAUAUUUCCUACAUAUUCUGGCACAUGUCAUGCCAAAAUUCACGAAUAAAUCUGGCAUGACCUUUUCUUAAAUAGGACAUAUCGAGCGCCUUAAAUUUGCCGGAACGGAAAUGAAUCAACACUCUGGCAAAAUAUAGGCCACUCGGAGGUGUAACCUGCAAACAUGACCGACCACUUGGGCAAGCACAUAUCCUAUUUGAGCAACACAAGAUAUACAUUUCAAAAUAUCUUAUAGGACUCAAAUUAGCAUGCAUUCGAUAAGCAAAUUAAAUCAUCUCAUGCGUCUGUACAUCGUCGAAUAUUAUCACUAAUACAUCCCAAAUAGUAUCAUACAUAUAACAUUACUAAUACAACUAAAACCCUAGAGCACGAUGGGUAUCGGCACGGGCGGUGGAUAACCACAGAGAAGGAACCAUCACAGGAUCAUAGCUCCAGUGAGAUCCCUGGAGAACCUGCCAGGUAUUGGAGAACCUGUGCUCCAACGCAAACAAGUAGCGACGGACGUGUGCGUCCUCCUCACUGACAUGGUGACGCACCACCUCCGCGGGGUCCUCGAGCCUCUGGACCGUCACUGGCCCACGCGACCACCACCAAAGAAGGUUCGGGUCAAUGACAGGCUGGCUCCUCACCAACCUGCGCCCCCCGGUAGGUAGCGCCUCCCAGUACCACCCCGGUGGAGCCCAGUCUCGGACAUGGCUCAUCUGGUCAAGCAGGUGUCGUGCUCCGCCGACUCGAUGACGAGGAUGCAAGAUAGGCAUCGUCCAUGUCGAUGCGGGAAAAAAUGCUUUAACUAAAAAAUAGCAACAAGUUCUUACUAACUAGUUCUAUUAAUUCAACUAGUUCUUACUAAAAAUAAACUUACUAUAAACAAAAAUAAACUAGUACCUAAUUAGUACCUUGUUCUUACAAACUAAUUAGUACCUAGGAACUACUGCCCUAAUUACCAUCUAAUUUGAUGAACCUAGGGGUGGAAAGUGGUAGCGGAUAUUCCAAUUAUCCAACUUAAAAGUGAAAUAAGUGGUCAAAUUUUACUCGUUUUAUUAUGCAUUACAGUAGUGUUUAUUCAUCAUCUAAGAAAACAUCAUCUAAGAAAACAUUCCAGUCGCAUUUGUAUCCAAUUCAUUUCCACCCAUAGAUGAACCCGAACUAAUUUGAUGCAGGCGUGCUCACCUCGGUGCCUGCGGCGAGAGAGGGGCAGGCGGCGUCGAGGUUGGGGUCGGGGCUCGGGCACGCGACGGAGGGCGGCGUUGAGGUCGGGGUCGGGGGCAGCGUUCGGUGCGGCAUUGAGGUCGGGGGUGGGGGCGGCAUUGAAUCUGGGGUCGGGGGUGGCGUAGAGGCUCUGCGGAGAGCGUGCGGCGGUCGACGGGCGAUGCCGACGGCGAGACCGGACGAGUUUAAUUUGGGGGGAAGUGGCCGUGGGGAAGGACGAACUCGGUGGUUAAGUCAGAAGUAGAAGUAGUGUGUUCCAGAAAGCGCGCUACUGCUAUGUUAGCUACAGCGCAUUCUGGGUUACACACUACUUCUAAUCCUUUCUCUUUCCCCCUUUUUCAUUUAUUUUUCUUCACAUUUUAUUUUUUUUCCUUUGACCUUCUUCUAUUUCUUUCAUUUUCAAUUACCUUUCUAUUUGCUUUCCAUUUAAUUUUAUAUCCUUUAGCAGUAGCGAGUUUAGAAUAAAACGCGCUGCUAAAAAGAAAGUAGCGGUAGUGCGGUUCGAUAUAGAUCGCUACUACUAUGUGUAGCCUAUCGGCUAAGCCGUGGGAAUUUUAGUAGUAACAUGUUUGACCCAUGCUACUGCUAAAGUUCUGUGUAUAAGGUUUUCCCUAGUAGUGUAAAAGAUGCAAAUAAAAGUAGAUGGGAAACUUAUAUGAUAAAAGAUAGACCCAGGGGCCAUAGGUUUCACUAGUGGCUUCUCUCAAGAUAGCAUAAGUAUUACGGUGGGUGAACAAAUUACUGUCGAGCAAUUGAUAGAAAAGUGCAUAGUUAUGAGAUUAUCUAGGCAUGAUCAUGUAUAUAAGCAUCACAUCCGUGACAAGUAGACCGACUCCUGCCUGUAUCUACUACUAUUACUCCACACAUCGACCGACUCCUGCCUGCAUCUAGAAUAUUAAGUUCAUGAAGAACAGAGUAACGCAUUAAGAAAGAUGACAUUUAGAUGGAUAAACUCAUGCAAUAUGAUAUAAACCCCAUCUUUUUAUUGUCGAUGGAAACAAUACAAUGCGUGGCUUGCUGCCCCUGCUGUCACUGGGAAAGGACACCGCAAGAUUGAACCCAAAACUAAGCACUUCUCCCAUUGCAAGAAAGAUCAAUCUAGUAGGCCAAACCAAACUGAUAAUUCGAAGAGACUUGCAAAGAUAACCAAUCACACAUAAAAGAAUUCAGAGGAGAUUCAAAUAUUUCUCAUAGAUAAACUUGAUCAUAAACCCACAAUUCAUCGGAUCUCGACAAACACAUCGCAAAAAAGAGUUAUAUCGAAUAGAUCUCCAAGAAGAUCGAGGAGAACUUUGUAUUGAGAAUCAAAGAGAGAGAAGAAUCAUCUCGCUAAUAACUAUGGACCCAAGGGUUUGUGGUAAACUACUCACAACUCAUCGGAGAGGCCUUGGAGAUGAUGUAGAGGCCCUCCAUGGUCGAUUCCCCCUCCGGCAGAGCGCCUGCGAAGGCUCCAAGAUGGGAUCUCGCGAAUAUAGAAGGUUGCGGUGUUGGAAUUAGGUUUUCGUGGUGCUCCUGGAUGUUUUCAGGGUACAUGGAUAUAUAUAUAUAGGAGGAAGAAGUAGGUCGGUUGAGCCACGAGGGGCCCAUGAGGAUGGGGGGCGUGCCGAGCACCCUCAUGGCCGCCUCGUUCGCUUCUUGACAUCCACUCCAAGCCUCCUGGUUUGCAUUUGUUCCGAAAAGAACGCUCCCGAAGGUUUCAUCCCGUUUGUACUCCGUCUGAUAUUCCUUUUCUUCAAAACACUAAAAUAGGCAAAAAUAACAAUUCGGGCUGGGGCUCCGGUUAGUAGGUUAGUCCCAAAAAUGAUAUAAAAGUGUAAAGUAAAGCCCAUAAACAUCCAAAAUGGGUAAUAUAAUAGCAUGGAACAAUCAAAAAUUAUAGAUACGUUGGAGACGUAUCAGUGUGUUUGUUGUGAUCUGAUGAACUUUGAGUUUAUGAUCAGUCAUAUCUUUUUAUAUCCAUGAAAGUUAUUUGAAUUUCUUUGAUCUCUUAUAUGCAUGAUCUCUUAUAGCAACAUAUGUGUUCUUCGAUAUUUGGGUUUUGUUUGGCCAACUUGAUCUAUUUAUGUUGCAAUGGGAAGAGGUGCCCGGUAGUGGAUUCGAUCUUACGGUGCUUCGAUCUUACGUAUGUAUCGUUGCUACUAAGUAUAAAAAAAGGUGAUCCAUAUCUAACGCAAUGGAUAAAUGGAUCGUGUCUAGAUCAUGCCAUCGUUCUUAUUGCAUUACUCUGUUUUUCCAUGAACUUAAUACACUAGAUGCAUGCUGGAUAGCGGUUGAUGUGUGGAGUAAUAGUAGUAGAUGCAGGGAGGAGUCGGUCUUCUAAUCUUGGACGUGAUGCCUAUGUAAUGAUCAUUGCCUGGAUAUCGUCAUGAUUAUUUGUGACACUACAAUUUUUUUUUGUGAUUUUGUUUUCAGAAAGAGCCUUGCUUGGUUUGAAAGAAGGUCAUUUAAACCCUUCCUAAAAACCAUCUUCUAAGUUUGCCCUCUCAAAAAUAAUUUCCUUGGAUUUAGUUUCUUUAAAAAAAGAAAACCCUUUUACUUUUGGGCUUUUAUUUGGUUUUGAUCCCUUCUAAAUUUUACCAUGCCUCCUAUGGUGAAAUUUUCCCAAAACCUCUCCUCCCACUUUGGUACAACCCAAACAUUCUGUCCAAACUAAUAAAAUCAAUUUUUGGAUUUUAUUCCAACUAUUUCUCCUCCCAAAAUAAUUCUGUCUUUUCUUUUGAGCCUAGGUGAAUUGCAAAGCAAGUACCCUAAUGCUUUUGAUUUUUGACCUCAACUCAACACCCCUGGAUAGUCCUUUGUACCCACAACCCAGAACCAUCUUGAUCCACUCUUCUCCUUUUCAAAUAUUUCAAAUUUCACUCACUGCAAGUUUGGACCAGAUUUGCCAAAUUUGGUGAAAUUCAUAUCUACACCUCUCCAAAAAUUCCACAAAUAUUCAGGCAGCCUCUAGAUGCAAUGAGAGGCCCCUCCACCAAAAACCAGCUCAAGGAAAAAUCACUACAUGCCUAGAUCAUUCUGUCGAACGCCUUGCAUGCACUGUUUCUGUUCAUCUUCAGUUAAGUUCAGAGUUUCAGUGUCGGUCUUCGUCAGAAAUUCAGUCACAUGCUCACAGUGCACUUGGCACGUUGCUCACGGCCUAGCUUGCUUGUCUGGAGCCUCACACGCGCGCUUGGAGCCUUCCUGGCGUCGGUGGCGCCCUGGCCCGCUUGCGUCGGCGUGCUUUGCGGCGGCCGUAUCACCGUAGCGGCCGACAGGGAGCAGAACGGCGGCAUAACACCGUUCGGCGCCGCCCAAACCCCCUGGUGGCUCCGCGUGGCCAUUUCGUCCCCAGCGCACGCAUGCAGCACCGUCGCCGUGGCGCGGCACGCACAGAGCGUGCUCCCUAUCGCCGACGGGCCCGCACCGCCCCGUUCCGUCGAGCUCCCCCUAAGCAACCAAAUCCCGACGCGGUUAGCACCUAAACGGAACCAGGGAACACCCACGACGACGCUCAACCUCUGAACCCUCCCGUGCAACCACAGCGCCGCCGUAAUCACCUCGCCGGAGAACCCCGUUCUCGGCAACCGCCUCGGGGCGGCUAUAUAUAGCACCCUGAGCUUGCUCUCGCCCCCGCACGACUCCACCACCUCACCAGACCCCGCCCAGCCACUAAACGAGCCUCGAGGGGCCUUUCCUCCUCGACUCCGGCCACCUCCGUCCGCCUCGGGCCCCGGCAUCGUUUUCUCCGGUGAGAACUCCUCCGCCGCCCUACUUUCGCCCGUGGCCUCGUAGCACCUCUAGUAGGAUAACCCCCACCUCAAUUUUGACCCCGCAGCUCUCUCCGGUGAGAUCCACGACCACCCGAAUUGCCGUCCGCCGGAGCAAGCGUCGCCGCUGACGUGGUACUCGCCGGCGACCACCACCACCUCCCACAGACGCGGAAUGGCGCCCUGAGCACGGAGGUACUCUCCGAUCUCCCUGCCUCGCCGUGGAUCGCUGCCGGCGACCACCGCGGCUCUCGGGCGCCGACGAGCCCCGACUCCCUCGUUUGAAAUUUCAAACCUGACGGGUGGGACCCGCCCGUCAGCCUCUCCAUUGUUUUUUUUGAAUCGUUUACUGAAACCGUACUCUGGCGAAUACGCUUUCACUCUGAACCGUUUAUCUAUAUUUUUUCUGCAAAGCCCCCUGGAAGUUUUCUGUUUCAUUACUGAUGGGUCCUUGGGUUAAAACCCUUAUAACUUUUUAACAGAAAGGAAUUUUUGAGUGAUUCCUUUUCUGUCCUCUUCAAAUUUUUGUCUAGUUUUUUAUCAUAUAUUUAUUUGAAAAAUAUUUGUAACACUUUUCUGUACACUCACGGUAAUUACGUUGCGUACAUAUUUUUUCUUAUACCGUAGAUACCGGAGGAGGUGACGGAGCUGCAAACUUCGCACAGUUAGACUCCGACUACUCCGAACCAGGCAAGCAUGUUUGAACUCUUGAUAUGAUGAGUGUUGUUGCAUGUUUGCAUUUUAGUAUGGUCAUGGCAUGUUUAGGAACAUCACUUUGAAUGUUAUGUUUCAUGCACAUAAUCGGAAAGUAAGUUUCGGAAAGCAUUAUGUUGUUGGAUACAUAUUUGCAUAGCCAUGUGUUGGCAUGAGGAUGGGUAAGAUGGCAGUGUUGUGACAUGCCAGUCUUAUGCCAGAUUAUUUGACUUCUGUGUCAUCAUGAAACAAAUCACAUUUCCAUUCUUUCCUUCCUAUACUGUCACAUGUUUUCCGAAAGGAAUAUGGCAUAGUAAGUUGCAAAUCGUUUUCCUGGUACACACCAAAUAGAGAGGCCGGGGUGAGGGUUCCAUGGCCCUGGAUUAAAGCCCACCAUCUGGUCAGGGGGCAUGGGUGUUUCCGAUUGGGACCGAGAGGGGGGCACCCCUUAGAGCGCGUGUAUAGAAAUUUGAUCCCAUGCUAUUCGAGGUUGUGGCCUCCCCGUCUCAAAGUUUUUCUUGGACGUUGUCCAGGGUGAUUCCUGGCAUCGUGAGGUGAAAUGGGUGUGUACUAGUUAAAUGUGUUUCUACUGAAAUACCGUAAACGGAACUAGUCCUUCGUGACUAUGGAAAUCCGUUGGCUGUGGUCAGAUCAUCCAAACUCUGCAGAGUCUCAAAUCUUUCAAUUAUUGUCACAUCCCUGGUCCUGUUAUGCACUAGGCUAGACCUCAUGUGAGCAUCAUGUUUUAAUUCAAAUGAAAUUUGAAUUGAGGAAUUCUCAAAGCCGCAGAAACCUUCUAAAAAUGAUCAACAUUAAAAUUUCCUCAAAGAAGUCCAAGAAAAUGUUCCUCUUAGUCUCUGAAAAUAUUGCAAAGAGGUAAAACUCAAAACAAUAUUUUUGGUAUCUCAGAGUUAAUUAUUUUGGGCCUUUGAAUUAAAUAAAUAGCUAUUUGCAUUGGAUAUAUAUUUGAUAUAUAAAUAAUAUAUGUCCAAUAAUUACUGGAACAUUUUAUGUGGUUUGGUAUAUUUUAACUCUAGCCACAUAACUAUUUUCAGGAUUUUAUAAAAUGGUUUAGUAUUUUACUAAACUAAAACAACACAGAACAAAAUAGAUAAAUAAAAACAGAAAUAGAAAGAGAGAGAAGGACUACCUAGCGCUCACCUGGUAGCCCACCUGGCCCAGCAGCNNNNNNNNNNNNNNNNNNNNNNNNNNNNNNNNNNNNNNNNNNNNNNNNNNNNNNNNNNNNNNNNNNNNNNNNNNNNNNNNNNNNNNNNNNNNNNNNNNNNNNNNNNNNNNNNNNNNNNNNNNNNNNNNNNNNNNNNNNNNNNNNNNNNNNNNNNNNNNNNNNNNNNNNNNNNNNNNNNNNNNNNNNNNNNNNNNNNNNNNNNNNNNNNNNNNNNNNNNNNNNNNNNNNNNNNNNNNNNNNNNNNNNNNNNNNNNNNNNNNNNNNNNNNNNNNNNNNNNNNNNNNNNNNNNNNNNNNNNNNNNNNNNGCCGCGCGCGCCACCUCCUGCUUCCCCUGGCCACCUCCUGCUUCCUCCCCGAGCCUCUAGCGACGCCACGGAGUCGUCCCCGACCGCUAUCCCUCUCUCUGCUCGCUCUGGCUCUCUCCCUCUCUCGAUUUGGAGCACCACCGAGAGCCACCGGAGGGCGCCGCCGUCGCAUCCAUAGCCACCGGCCACCCCUAGCCUCGCCGAUGCGCUCAAAGGCUCCGCCUCGACCCCCUCUUCCUCUCCACCAACCCAUGCCCCGCCGGACGCCCUGCAAUGCCGCCACCAUCGCCGUUUCCGUCGCCGACCACCGAAGCUCACCGCCGUCAAUUCGCGACGCCUGGCGCGUCCCCGAGCCCACUGAGCCACCCUGCUGCCUCCCUACGAUGUUCCGACGUUGUGAUCGUUGACACUGAUGAAGACUCAAUGUUAUCUUCAGAAGUGCCAGGCAAGCAAAACCCCCUUGUUCAUUCCGAUACAAUCCUACUCUCUCGCCCAUGCUCUCUUUUAAUGCAUUAGGACAACACCGAUUCAUCUGUUACUUGUUGCGGUAGCUGAACCCCUUUAUCCUUUGCAUGACCUGUCAUUCCACAGUAAAUAGAUGAAACCCACUAGCAUGAGUAGGAGUUGUUUGAGCCCUGUUGUGCCUACUCAUUCAUGCUUGUUUGUCAUGCCUGCUACUGCUUAGAGUUGAGUCAGGUCUGAUUCAUCGGGGAUGAAUCAGAGGUGUGUGAACAUGGCCUACUGUGUGUGAGCUAAGUGUGUGAACACGAUUUGGUAAAAGGUGUCGGUGAGAGGCCAUGUAGGAGUACAUGGUGGGUUGUCUCAUUGAAGCCGUCCUCAGGAACUGAGUUCUGUGUUUGUGAUCCAUGAUUCAGCUACUACCAUACAUUGGGCCCUGAAAUAUGACCCCGCUCGACUUCUUAUUCACCCUUGUCCUCUGUCCAGGAGUUGCAAGUAGUUUCUGGUGUUUGUAGUAUGCUGGAGGCCGUGGACAGCGCUGACCGUAGGGGUGGGCUGUGAUGCGGUAGGCACGUGGCCGGGUAUACCGGGCGCCCGUUUGGUGUCACGGAACCCUGUUCACAUCGUUUGGGGCUGUGAGCGAAACUCCGGCCGGAUCUCCUCAUGGAUGGAACCCGAAUAGGCGAUAAACCUGGACUAGAGACUUGAGUGUUUAGGUAGGUCGUGGUCUACACCCACGUCGGCUUUCGCUUGAAGUCUGCCGAGCACAUGUCGUGUGCAGACGCUAAGUGGUGGAAACAUGUAUGAAGAAGUACACCCCUGGAGGGUUAACAUCAUGUAUUCGAAUAGCCGUGUCCACGGUAAAGGACUUCUGGGUUGCUUAUAUCAGUUCAUAGACAAGUGAAAGUGGAUACUCUAAAAUACGCAAGAUAAGCGUGAGUGCUAUGGAUGGCGCUCUCGUAGGGAGACGGGAGCGGAUCCAUAGUGGUGUAUUGAUAUGGGGAAUAUGUGGACUCGUGUGCGCCACCUCAAAAGAGUUACAUUGCAGUCGUAGUUCAGGAUAGCCACCGAGUCAAAGCUGGCUUGCUGCAGUUAAACCCCACCAUCCCCUUUGUUGAUAAUGAUGCAUAUGUAGUUAGUUCUGAUGUAAGUCUUGCUGGGUACAUUUGUACUCACGUUUGCCUAUUUUAUGUUUUUGCAGAGAGACUUCGGUCUCACUAGUAGUUUCACGUGGACUUCGACGUUUAGCUUGUUACCUCAGCUACGAUCUUGUGCCCCGGCAGGAUCUGGUAGAUAGUCAGGCUUCUCAGCCUUUUUCAGUUAUAGAUGUCUGUACCCAGACAUGAUAGCUUCCGCUUGUGCUUUGAUUUGUAUGCUCUGAUUGUUGGGUCAUGAGACCCAUGUUUGUAAUAUCUCGCUCCUCGGAGCCUAUUGAAUAAAUUACUUGAGUCGUAGAGUCAUGUUGUGAUGCCAUGUUGUAUUUGCACAUAUCGAGCAUAUUGUGUGUAUGUUAUUGAAAUGCUUGGUAUGUGUGGGAUCUGACCAUCUAGUUGUUUAUCUUUAGUAGCCUCUCUUACCGGGAAAUGUCUCCUAGUGUUUCACUGAGCCAUGGUAGCUUGCUACUGCUCCGGAACACUUAGGCUGGCCGGCAUGUGUCCUUCUUCGUUCCUGUGUCUGUCCCUUCGGGGAAAUGUCACGCGAUGAAUACCGGAGUCCUGCUAGCCCAGUGCUACAGCCUGGAUUCACUCGCUGAUGACCGACACGUUCGAUGCUGGGUCAUGGAUGCCUGUCCCUGUAAGUUUGUGCCACUUUGGGUUUACGACUAGCCAUGUCAGCCCGGGCUCCUUAUCAUAUGGAUGCUAGCGACACUGUCAUAUACGUGUGCCAAAAGGCGCAAACGGUCCCGGGCAAAGGUAAGGCGACACCCGUGGGAAUACCGUGCGUGAGGCCGCAAGGUGAUAUGAGGUGUUACAUGCUAGAUCGAUCUGGCAUUGAGUCGGGGUCCUGACAGCGUUGGUAUCAGAGCUUGACUGCCUGUAGGAUUACCAAGCCAAACUGGUCGAAGUUGAGUCUAGAAAUUCUUUAGUUAUAUAAGGGAAUUGAUUGUGGGAUGGAACGUAAGGCUCUUUUUACUCCUUAUACCUCAUGGCCUUCUGAUCUGAGUCAUCAUCUUCUCUUCUACGGGGAUUAAGAACUAGGCUAUCUCUUCUUCCCAUCAGGAUCACGUGUUACUAAUCCGUAGACUUAUAAGAUUGUUGGAUUAAGCCUCAGUUCAGUUUCUACCUCUGUAUGUUAAUUAUUGAUCUCGAUACCUUGAUAUUGUGCUUUUGAGUGGUUAUGCCACCAUUUUUGUGAAUGUCUCAAAUCUUUUUUGAGCAUUUACAGCCGUUACGCUGUCCGAGUCAUCUCAGGUCUCUAAACAGUCUGAUGCACUUGCAAAUUCCUUCCUCCCGUUUCAAUGCUCCUUUGGGCCAGAUUAACCACACUAAUCAGUGAGUUGAGGUACUCUGUUACCUUGACAUAUAUGUUGGAGAUAUUAUUAUGACCCUAGGUGUCUUAGGGGAUCAUCUAGUAAUUUAGCCAUGAUUUGUGUUCCCAGUGUGAUGAUUCUGGCCAUCAUUCUCGAAAGCAUCUCGUGAUGCUACUUAGUAAUAGGUAUUCUGUUCCUGGGUUCUUGAACCCGAGAUUCACUCUACCUACUUCAUGUUGAUAGUAAUUGCUAGUGCCUUUAGGAUAUUAGUAACCUUUGCGAUAGUCCUUGAAGUCCGUGGUAUCUUCUUCUUCCAAAUACCAUGAACUACUUAUGGCACAAGUUCCUCGUUGAACUGAAAUAUCACAACAGGAUUAUUCUUGAGGAGUUCUCCAUUCAUAAAUCGUGACUCUGCCAGUUCUACCUUUCUGCAUGGGUUAUCCAGAAGAAAUAUGUUGAACUUGGUUCGACAUACUAAUCUAUGCAUCCACAACUCAGAAAAUUAUAUGUUCCUUUGAGUUGUUCUCUUUAGUUGCAUUCUGACCCUCGUCUAUCAAUUGAUAGUCAAGAGUAUGCGUGCGUUCGUUUAUCGAUGCCUAUUACUCUUGUGGUCCGUCAAGCCAUUCUAUCGCAGAAUGACUAGGAGAAACAAACUCCAGUACCUCUUCCAUAUCCAGGAUUGGGUCGAAGAAGUUGUGCUCCGCAGAUCAAAUUGCUAAUCCAGCUUUUGUUCUGUUCUACCUUGGAGUAUUAGCAUCUUUAUAUCGGGAUUGUUAUAGGAAUUGCACACCAUCCUAUGAACUCUUGGUACAGUGAUACUUCUUGCCAUCAUUAGUCAUUCCUCGGUCUUCGUGUUGAUGCAACCGGAAUACCGACAAAUGAUUUGUGAUGUGUGAAAUCAAUACGCCUAGCAACCUCGUUGCUGGGUAGUUAAAGGACAAUAAUUUCAUUCUUAGUGUGUUGGUUAUUGAAUCAUCAUUCUAAGAUUGAUCGUGCUACCUAGUCCAUUCUCCUGGUUCACUCCUCGAUCGAUGAGUUAGGAUUAUUUCAAAUCCUUUCUCUAUUGAUCAUAUCGUCUUGCCCUGAAAAGCAAGAUUGUUCUCGAGCUUAGUAACAUACCGGUGGUUCGUGAUUUUCUGAAUAUCUUCUCAGAAGUAUUACCAGGUUGUCACCUGACCGCUAUGUUGAGUUCGUGAUCAAGUUGGUUUAUUCCUGUAAACCACCCCUUCUCCAAGAAUCCGUGUUGGAUACCCUGAGCUAGUUGGAUAAGCUAAACAACAACUUGGAGAGUUGGAAGAUAAAAGCUUGUCCGACUUAGUUCAUGUUAAGGGAUAUCUUUUUGUGUGUGUGUGUGUGUGUUGAAGAAAGAUGAUAUCUUCAUCAAUUGGUUCUUGUGAACAAUUGUUGGAUCUAUUAUCUUACCCAAACCUUUGAUUGAGUAUGGGCUAUCAUCCAAUCAGACCAGAACCAACGAUAUUCGUAAUGUUGUCUUACUCGUGGUUGAUCCCUCGAGCAUACACCAUUAUAUCUUUUGGGUCUGACCAAUGCUAUCACUUGUUCACUUAACUAUGGAAUUCCUUUUAAAAGGAAACCCAGAUGAAUUGUUGUUGUGCCCAUUGACAACAUCCUUGUCUUCUCCAUAAUUUUGCUGAACAUUAAGCUAGUGUUGGAAACUUUUGAAAGCAUUUGUUCAUGCUAGCUCAUGAAGCAUAUGUUCGGAUGUAAGAAGUGACUUCCUCUAGUUCAUGUGCAUUUGAUGCAAGUUGCCGCCGUGGACUCGAGAAAGUCAAUGUUGCUUCCUCUGGAAUCAUCGCAAGUCAGUCAUGCACACGUGCAAAGUAUUCUGUGGUCUGGAGACUUGCAACCCUCAUUCCAUAUGUGUAUCCUAGCACAGCAAGCCACUGACUGAUUUGUUCAAGGAGAAGGAGUAUCUUCAUAAGAGCUAAUUCGGACUUAUGAAAGAACUUCGAUAUCCUCGCUGAUGGUUCCCAACCAGAACUCGGUAGUGUUUUAUUGUAAGACUACCAUGUGGGCAUGCUUGUCUGGGACAAUGUGUUCACAUGUUUGUAGCAGAACCAGCUCAUGUUUUGGAGCUUGCUAUCGUAGUUCAUCUCCCGAGAAUCCCGCAACGUCAUCUCGUCGAUUUGUGUUGCAAACUUUCAUUUUUCUUCCUAGACACGAUGAGUCUGGAAUAUCCUGACACCAACCAGAUCUGAAUCUCAGGCAGAUAUGAUGGUUGGAACAUUUCCCAAGAACUAUAAUAUCGGUCCCUCGGAAACCGGUAAUGUGUAUGUCGUGGCCAACACACCCAGCCGGAAGACCUGUUAUUAUAAUAUCUUGAUUGAGGAAGUUGGCCACCUCCCCAUAGGGAUUUUGUAGGGUUUACUCCCUAGUUGCCCCUAUGGAUUUUUGUGUUCCCGAAGUCCAACCUUUUUACUUGAUGUUUUAGAUAUCAAACCAUAUCUAAGAAUGGGUUACACUAGCACAUCAAGGAGAACAUUAGAAGCGGAGUACUAAAUGUCUCUCGGUCGAUCAUCCAGAUUUUAUUUCCUUGGCCCCGCCAAGGGUGAAAUCUGAGAAGGUGUUAUCUUCCUUUGCAUCUGCAUCAUCCAUCAUCAUUCAUCGUGGUAGCAAGUUGUGUUGCCAGGAUCCUUGACACGGAUAUUGGUAAAACCUUGAUGAAUGUGGAAAUGCUCAAGUUCUUGAGAGCACGCACAAGCGCUACGUGUUAUCAUCGGCUCUAACUGGGUUUGCUCUCAGUUCCCUCGGCAAUGCUAUGACCUUUUCAGACAGUGAAUUCACUCCCUAUUGUUGGGUUCUUCCCCAGCUACCAGAAUCAUUCCCAGCAUUUGCAUUUUGUUCCCAGCUUGCACCGCCAAUGUGUCAUUCUACCAUGGGUCUCUUCCAUUUCCGGUGAUAAGCAAAUUCAUCCAUUACGUUGUCUUCAACAAGGUAAUCCACAUCAUCCAAGUUUGAGUAUGCCAUUCUACCGACCCCCUCCAAACGAUCGUUGUGAAUUGCCUUAGGCUGGUAUGAAGAGUUUCAAUGAUCUCUGAAUCAAAAGUAAUUCUUUUUGCCACUUAAGGUAAUAAUCUACGAAUCACCCUCCUCCAGGAUGUUUCGUCGUGGUAUCAUGGCAACUCAACUCCUCGCUACGUUGACAAUCGUCUACCACCUUAAGCGUGAAGUUGUUGUCUACCUAGUGAACCCUCGUCAUCUGUUCCACUCCAUUCCUCUAGAGGUGUGCUUCGUCUCUCAGCUCGAGAGAUGGUUCUAUGUCUCAUUCCGUGAGUUAAUCCUGAGUUGUUCGACCUUCGAGAAGAACAAUUCUUUUAGGGUUUUUCCUUUCCUCUCGUUGUCAUGAUAGUUGGAGUUCUCAAAGCAAGACGCCAAGACAAUGAUGGUGAUCGAAUCAACGUUCCUAUGAAGUGCAACCUGGAUCGUGAAGAUUGUACUAGUUGCGUUCCCCCUUCACCUUACCCUACGCUCGAAUCUCGGGACGAGAUUUUUGUUUAGUGGGGGUGAGUUGUCACAUCCCUGGUCCUGUUAUGCACUAGGCUAGACCUCAUGUGAGCAUCAUGUUUUAAUUCAAAUGAAAUUUGAAUUGAGGAAUUCUCAAAGCCUCAGAAACCUUCUAAAAAUGAUCAACAUUAAAAUUUCCUCAAAGAAGUCCAAGAAAAUGUUCCUUUUAGUCUCUGAAAAUAUUGCAAAGAGGUAAAACUCAAAACAAUAUUUUUGGUAUCUCAGAGUUAAUUAUUUUGGGCCUUUGAAUUAAAUAAAUAGCUAUUUGCAUUGGAUAUAUAUUUGAUAUAUAAAUAAUAUAUGUCCAAUAAUUACUGGAACAUUUUAUGUGGUUUGGUAUAUUUUAACUCUAGCCACAUAACUAUUUUCAGGAUUUUAUAAAAUGGUUUAGUAUUUUACUAAACUAAAACAACACAGAACAAAAUAGAUAAAUAAAAACAGAAAUAGAAAGAGAGAGAAGGACUACCUGGCGCUCACCUGGUAGCCCACCUGGCCCAGCAGCUCGGCCCAGCCCAUCUCCACCCCCCCCUGUCGUCUUCCUCCCUGCCAGGAGGACAGACACCGCGACGCCGCCGCGCGCGCCACCUCCUGCUUCCCCUGGCCACCUCCUGCUUCCUCCCCGAGCCUCUAGCGACACCACGGAGUCGUCCCCGACCGCUAUCCCUCUCUCUGCUCGCUCUGGCUCUCUCCCUCUCUCGAUUUGGAGCACCACCGAGAGCCACCGGAGGGCGCCGCCGUCGCAUCCAUAGCCACCGGCCACCCCUAGCCUCGCCGAUGCGCUCAAAGGCUCCGCCUCGACCCCCUCUUCGUCUCCACCAACCCAUGCCCCGCCGGACGCCCUGCAACGCCGCCACCAUUGCCGUUUCCGUCGCCGGCCACCGAAGCUCACCGCCGUCGAUUUGCGACGCCUAGCGCGUCCCCGAGCCCACUGAGCCACCCUGCUGCCUCCCUACGAUGUUCCAACGUUGUGAUCGUUGACACUGAUGAAGACUCAAUGUUAUCUUCAGAAGUGCCAGGCAAGCAAAACCCCCUUGUUCAUUCCGAUACAAUCCUACUCUCUCGCCCAUGCUCUCUUUUAAUGCAUUAGGACAACACCGAUUCAUCUGUUACUUGCUGCGAUAGCUGAACCCCUUUAUCCUUUGCAUGACCUGUCAUUCCACAGUAAAUAGAUGAAACCCACUAGCAUGAGUAGGAGUUGUUUGAGCCCUGUUGUGCCUACUCAUUCAUGCUUGUUUGUCAUGCCUGCUACUGCUUAGAGUUGAGUCAGGUCUGAUUCAUCGGGGAUGAAUCAGAGGUGUGUGAACAUGUCCUACUGUGUGUGAGCUAAGUGUGUGAACACGAUUUGGUAAAAGGUGUCGGUGAGAGGCCAUGUAGGAGUACAUGGUGGGUUGUCUCAUUGAAGCCGUCCUCAGGAACUGAGUUCUGUGUUUGUGAUCCAUGAUUCAGCUACUACCAUACAUUGGGCCCUGAAAUAUGACCCCGCUCGACUUCUUAUUCACCCUUGUCCUCUGUCCAGGAGUUGCAAGUAGUUUCUGGUGUUUGUAGUAUGCUGGAGGCCGUGGACAGCGCUGACCAUAGGGGUGGGCUGUGAUGCAGUAGGCACGUGGCCGGGUAUACCGGGCGCCUGUUUGGUGUCACGGAACCCUGUUCACAUCGUUUGGGGCUAUGAGCGAAACUCCGGCCGGAUCUCCUCAUGGAUGGAACCCGAAUAGGCGAUAAACCUGGACUAGAGACUUGAGUGUUUAGGUAGGUCGUGGUCUACACCCACGUCGGCUUUCGCUUGAAGUCUGCCGAGCACAUGUCGUGUGCAGACGCUAAGUGGUGGAAACAUGUAUGAAGAAGUACACCCCUGCAGGGUUAACAUCAUCUAUUCGAAUAGCCGUGUCCACGGUAAAGGACUCCUGGGUUGCUUAUAUCAGUUCAUAUACAAGUGAAAGUGGAUACUCUAAAAUACGCAAGAUAAGCGUGAGUGCUAUGGAUGGCGCUCUCGUAGGGAGACGGGAGCGGAUCCAUAGUGGUGUAUUGAUAUGGGGAAUAUGUGGACUCGUGUGCGCCACCUCAAAAGAGUUACAUUGCAGUCGUAGUUCAGGAUAGCCACCGAGUCAAAGCUGGCUUGCUGCAGUUAAACCCCACCAUCCCCUUUGUUGAUAAUGAUGCAUAUGUAGUUAGUUCUGAUGUAAGUCUUGCUGGGUACAUUUGUACUCACGUUUGCCUAUUUUAUGUUUUUGCAGAGAGACUUCGGUCUCACUAGUAGUUUCGCGUGGACUUCGACGUUUAGCUUGUUACCUCAGCUACGAUCUUGUGCCCCGGCAGGAUCUGGUAGAUAGUCAGGCUUCUCAGCCUUUUUCAGUUAUAGAUGUCUGUACCCAGACAUGAUAGCUUCCGCUUGUGCUUUGAUUUGUAUGCUCUGAUUGUUGGGUCAUGAGACCCAUGUUUGUAAUAUCUCGCUCCUCGGAGCCUAUUGAAUAAAUUACUUGAGUCGUAGAGUCAUGUUGUGAUGCCAUGUUGUAUUUGCACAUAUCGAGCAUCUUGUGUGUAUGUUAUUGAAAUGCUUGGUAUGUGUGGGAUCUGACCAUCUAGUUGUUUAUCUUUAGUAGCCUCUCUUACGGGGAAAUGUCUCCUAGUGUUUCACUGAGCCAUGGUAGCUUGCUACUGCUCCGGAACACUUAGGCUGGCCGGCAUGUGUCCUUCUUCGUUCCUGUGUCUGUCCCUUCGGGGAAAUGUCACGCGAUGAAUACCGGAGUCCUGUUAGCCCGCUACAGCCCGGUUCACCGGAGUCCUGCUAGCCCAGUGCUACAGCCUGGAUUCACUCGCUGAUGACCGACACGUUCGAUGCUGGGUCAUGGAUGCCUGUCCGUGUAAGUCUGUGCCACUUUGGGUUUACGACUAGCCAUGUCAGCCCGGGCUCCUUAUCAUAUGGAUGCUAGCGACACUGUCAUAUACGUGUGCCAAAAGGCGCAAACGGUCCCGGGCAAAGGUAAGGCGACACCCGUGGGAAUACCGUGCGUGAGGCCGCAAGGUGAUAUGAGGUGUUACAUGCUAGAUCGAUCUGGCAUUGAGUCGGCGUCCUGACAAUUAUCUUGUACUUUGUUCAAGUACUAUAUUCAUCUUAUCUUGUCAAGUGUCAGCCUCAGUGACAAAACUCCGGUGGGAUUUAUGUGUGAUAAAUCCGGUUAAAAGAUUAUUCUUGUGGAUGGACUAAUCUUGUUAUUUACAUCUAUUACAAGCCCUGUUUGCGAUGUCGCUCAAACGUCCGACGGUGGCAUACCUGUUAUUUACUUUUGUUAUAGGCCCUGUCUGUGAUAUCGCUCAGACGUCCGACGGUGGCAGACCUGUUAUUUACUUUUGUUAUAAGCCCUUUAUGUGAUGUCGCCCAGACGUCCGACUCUGGCAUUUAUUUUAAAGCCCUUUAUGUGAUGUCGCCUAGACGUCCGACUGUAGCAUUUCUUUUAAAUCCCUUUAUGUGAUGUCGCCCAGACGUCCAACUGUAGCAUUUCUUUUAAAGCCCUUUAUGUGAUGUCGCCUAGACGUCCGAUUGUGGCAUUUCUUUUAAAGCCCUUUAUGUGAUGUCGCCCAGACGUCCGUCUGUGGCAUUUCUUUUAAAGCCCUUUAUGUGAUGUCGCCCAGACGUCCGACUGUGGCAUUUAUUUUAAAGCCCUUUACGUGGUGUCGCUAAGACGCCCGACUGCGGCAUUCCUUUUAAGCCCUUUAUGUGGUGUCGCUUAGACACCCGACUGCGGCAUUUCUUUUAAUCCCUUUAUGUGGUGUCUCUUAGACGCCCGACUGCGGCAUGCAUUUUAUUACCUUUCGAGGCGUCGCUCCAUACACCCGAUCGGUUUUCAGUUAUUUAUUUUAUUUAUCAAGUCCUGCAAUAUUACCGUUGUUAUAUGAGCAUCAUCCUUUGUUCAUGACGCAUUCAUGCAUUCAUUGAUUAUAUCUUUUGUCCGAACUGUCUUGCGAGUACUUUCAAGUACUCACCUGGCUUGUUGAUUUGGCCAGAUGUUGAUGAAGGCGAUCUCUUGGAUGAAGAGUUUGAUAGCGAGUCCGACACCUAGAGGAGUCCCAGUCAGUCCCGUGCGAUCCUGUCUUGGUCAUUGUUUUAUCCGCUUCUGCAACCCCGAAAUAAAUUCAUCGAGCCUCACCUCGAUGCUCGAUGUGUUGCCAGUAGAAGUCAAGUUAUCCACCACCAUUUUUCCUCGAGCUAGUAGCAUGCCACCACACCCAUGUGUCAUAACCGCCCAUAUGUAAGAUAUUGGCGAGUUUGUAAUAAAUUAUUGAGCAGCCUCAGCUCAACCCUGUAAUAUAUUUGAUGCUACUGGUUCUCUGUUUAUCAAGCUUUUGUCUACCAGAAAGGAUGACUUUUCCUAUACUCGGUUUAAUAAGAUCGGUUUUAUCAAUAAACAUUUUAUUGAAAAGCCGGUCGUGACAGACUUGGUAACCAGAGCCAGGCUGACUGUAGGAAGCCACUAGGUGCGAUCGCUAAUUGGUUAUUAGCAUGAUAGAGUUAUUCAUGUUUUUACAAAUGUAGUCAUUUUUCUGACAGUCAGCAUAAAAUUUAUGAUCUGAUCACUCAGAAUUUUUGCCUACUUUUGUAGAUGGCCAGCAACGACUGCGAGUCUCAAAUGUUCGCCAACGUGCCUGAGGGGUUCGUCAAACUCCUCUCCUUCAUUGUUCAGGUUGCAAUGGGGCCAUCCGUGCGCCCAGUCUUCACGCUUUAUCCACACAAGAUCAACGACAGUCUGACUAUGCACCAGGCUGCAGUGCAAUUCUGGGGAGGCCAUGCUGAAAUACGCCGCCUCCGAUUCAUGGGGAGAGCCAUGCCUACAGAAAGGCAUGCUAUGCAGAUGGCUGCCUGCGAGACGAUAGCCCGUCUUCGGGAUGUUCUUCCUGCAAUGAAGACCCGUCGCUACCGCUACCUUCCAUGCCAUGUGCCUUACACCUGUCACUACUCUUUCUCUUGCCCCAGAGGAGAGCGAGAUGAAGCCUUUGAGAUGCUUGUCGAGUACAUCCGAGCCCUGGAGGCAGCAUUCGACUGCAUGGUGGAUGACCUCGUAGCUGCACGCAUGGACUCAGUUCAUGGCUGUGCUGCUAACAGGAGAGAACUCCUGCACACCGCUCCACCACUGACUUUUCUGUCAUCCGCAGCCUCUCACUCACCUACCAUACUCGCCUCAGCUCGUCGUCUGCCUACCACAGAGGAAUUUAACCAGGCUAUUGCACCCACUCCCGUCCGCUCUGCACCACUUGUUGCACCCACUCCCAUACAUGCUACCCCACCUAUUCCACCCACUCGUAUUCGUGUUAUUCCGCCUACGCCACCUGCUCCAUCAGCUCAGCACAACGUUUCUCGUCUGGAACCUAUUAGCGAGGAGGAGGUUGAUUCUCCAGCGUCUCUACGUCUCACCCUCGGCAGGCCAAGGAAGAUCCUCACCAUCUCCGACUAAGUACGCAUAGACGCCAUGCGAUGUAUCGACUUGUGUAAUAUGUUUAUAUGUACAUAGGUUGUGAGAAGUAUCCUGUUUGCGCAUCAUGUAGGAUCUGGAGGAGUGCACUAGUUUAAAUAACAUGUCAGGAUCAUGUACGCAUAUCCUGAGUGAUGUAAUGUAUAAUUAUGCCCGCGUGUAAGAUAUGCACUAGUCCUCCGCGCGAAAUCGUGUGUUUCCAAAAAUAUCCUGGAUUGAAAAAUGUUCUUUGUGUGUGAUUUUAUUGACUUUUGCGACUCUCUUUCUUAUCUUACGAGUUCACAAAAUAUAUCCCCAGAGUGAAAGACGUCUCGUCCUUGGACGCGCUCCAUGCCAACUCAGCCAGCAGAAAAUUAUGGCACACCGCAGAACCAAAAUUUCACUCAGGGUCAGACAAGUCAACAGGACAGUGAAACAGCUUUUACAUAAGUUUGUCGUUUGUAUGAACAGAGUCAGCAGCAACACCAGGAAAUGAUGAACCAACUCAUCAAUAUGGGAAGUAACCGUGGUCAGUAUCAACCGCAAUCCAAAUUAUCUGAGUUACAAAAGACGCGUCCUCCAACAUUUUCUCAUACUACAAGCCUCUUGAGGCCGAUGACUGGCUUUGAGACAUGGAGAGAAAAUUAAUUAUCGCACAGUGUUCAGACCGUGAAAAAGUAUUGUAUGCACCACACUAUCUCACAGGAGCAGCUGCAUCGUGGUGGGAAAACUUCCUGCACAUGCACCCCAACGAAAAUGAAAUCACCUGGGAAAAUUUCAAAGAAGGUUUUCGUGGGGCACAUAUUCCUAAGAGCGUCAUGAAAAUCAAGAAGAAAGAAUUUGAUGAACUCAAGCAAAGGGCCAUGACAGUGUCAGAAUACAACAGCCAAUUCACUCUGCUGUCUCGCUACGCCAAUGAAGAACGCAUGACCGAGAGCAAGAAGAUGGAAAAAUUCUUGGAAGGCCUGGCACCCGCCCUUAAGUGCCACCUAGUUGUGCAUACCUUUCCAGAUUUUAAAACACUGGUGGAUAAGGCCAUUACCCUGGAAAAUGAGCGACGAAGCCUGGAAGAUUUCCGCAAACGAAAAAGGGACUAGACUACUUUUGCUCGCAAUCACAGAAGCAAGAAGGAAUUUCAGAAUGGGGAUUCACACAAAACCCCGACGAAUAAUUCACGUCCAAUCAAGAAUUUCCAUGCAAGAGACAAAGAGUUCACCUAUCACCCAGGCGUUACCAGUUAUGCUUGUGGAGAAGAAGGGCACUAUGCUAAGCAGUGCCCCAAGCCAAGGAGCUCAACCCCGAAGCUUAAUAAUGGUGGCAAUAAUUCAGCACCAAAGUGAAGCAAUUUCAACCCCAACAACAACCACCGGAAAGGUCACUUGAACCACGUGACCCGAGAGGAAGCACAGAACGCCCCAGAUAUCGUACUUGGUACGUACCCCGUCAACACAAUACCUGCCAUGGUUUUGUUUGAUUCUGGAGCUUCUCACUCAUUCGUUUCGAAAAGUUUUGCUUUGCAAAAUAAUUUUUCGAUGCUUCCCUUGGAAAAAUCAAUGAUCAUCAAGUCCCCUGGAAUUAAGCAAGUGACCCAGAGUUACUGUCAAGGUGUGGUUAUUGAAUUUGAAGGAUUGAAAUUUUACGCCAACCUUAUUGUACUUGAAAGCAAAGGACUGGAUGUCAUCCUAGGAAUGGAUUGGUUAACCACCACCAAAGGUUUUAUUGACUGCUUCAACCGUACCGUGAUUCUCACACACCAUCAUGGGAAGAAAAUAAAAGUUUUAGCCAAAGAGAGACAAAUACCUCGGCAACCUAGAUUAAACAAGGUGGACGUUUCUGAGCUGAACAAGGUUCCAGUUGUAUGUGAAUUCCCAGACGUAUUUCUAGAAGAACUACCAGGCAUGCCACCAGACCGAGAGAUAGAAUUCAGCAUUGAGCUAGCACCUGGAACCGCUCCUAUUUACAAGAAACCUUACAGAAUGGCACCAUCCGAAUUGGUAGAGUUGAAGAAGCAAAUAAAAGAAUUAUUGGAGAAAGGAUACAUACGAGCCAGCUCCUCACCUUGGGGUUCUCCAAUUUUAUUUGCCAAGAAGAAGGAUGGAACAAUGAGGUUGUGUAUUGAUUAUCGAGCUCUCAACAUGGUCACAAUCAAGAACAAAUACCCAAUGCCCCGAAUAAAUGAUUUAUUUGAUCAGCUCGCACAGGCCAAAGUCUUCUCAAAAAUUGACUUGAGAUCAGGAUACCACCAAUUAAAAGUACGAACAGAAGAUAUUCCCAAGACCGCAUUCACCUCCAGAUAUGGGUUGUAUGAGUUCACAGUGAUGCCAUUCGGGCUAACCAAUGCCCCCGCAUAUUUUGUGCACCUCAUGAACAAAGUAUUUAUGAAGUAUAUGGAAAAGUUUGUUGUGGUAUUCAUUGAUGAUAUUCUGAUAUACUCCGAAACACCAGAAGAGCAUGCCGAACAUCUCAGGAUUGUACUAGGAGAACUCAGGAAACAUCAAUUGUACGCCAAAUUCAGCAAAUGUGAAUUUUGGAUAAAAUAGGUGGGUUUUCUAGGCCACGUGCUAACCCAAGAAGGUAUUGCAGUGGACCCGGAAAAAGUCAAGGCCGUACUUGGCUGGAAUCCACCGGCUAACGUAACGGACAUACGGAGUUUCUUGGGAAUGGCAGGCUAUUAUCAGAGAUUUAUUGAAGGAUUCUCUACUAUAGCAAAGCCUAUGACACAAUUGCUCAAGAAAGGCAAGAAGUUUGAAUGGACAGAAGCAUGUGAGCAAAGCUUCCAAGAGCUAAAAAGAAAAUUAACAAUGGCACCAGUACUAAUUGUGCCAGAUAUACACAAGAAUUUUGAGGUAUAUUGUCACGCAUCCCGGAAAGGCCUCGGAUGCAAGAAGGCAAGGUAGUUGCGUAUGUCUCUAGACAACUACGCAAGCAUGAGGAAAAUUAUCCCACUCAUGACUUGGAAUUAGCAGCGGUCAUUCAUGCACUCAAGGAAUUGAGACACUUCCUACUUGGGAAUCGUUGUGAGAUAUACACAGACCAUAAGAGUCUUAAGUAUAUUUUCACACAGCCAGAGUUAAAUUUACGGCAACAACGCUGGUUAGAGUUGGUGAAGGAUUAUGAUGUUGGAAUCCACUAUCAUCCCGGAAAAGCAAAUGUUGUGGCAGAUGCACUUAGUCCAAACCCCAGCACGGACGACGAUAGUAUACCAAAGUUGAGGCCAGAAUUUCAGCAGGAAUUUGCCCGACUCAAUCUAAUAAUGGUUACCGAAGGCAGUGUGUCGAAUAUAGAAAUACAGCCUACCCUGAUGGAAAGAAUCAAGGAAACCCAGCACGGACACCCCAGCAUUGAGGGCUUAAAAAUAAAAGUGAGUUUGGGAAGAGCCUCAGAAUUCAACUUAGAUGAGCAAGGAAUAUUGUGGUACGGAGAGAGGCUAUGCGUACCAAAUGUCAAGGACCUCAAACAGAAGAUAUUGACUGAAAGUCACACAGCUCCAUAUUCAAUCCAUCCUGGAGGGACAAAAAUGUACAAAAACCUUCAGGAAAUUUUUUGGUGGCAUGGUAUGAAGAGAGAUAUAGCCACGUUCAUUGCAUGUUGUGACUCUUGUCAACGUAUCAAGGCCGAGCACCAGAAACCAGCCGGACUGUUACAGCCAAAUAAGAUACCCGAGUGGAAAUGGGACGAGAUUGGAAUGGACUUUAUCGUUGGACUGCCACGGCCACGACACGGAAAUGAUGCCAUAUGGGUCAUAACCGACAGAUUAACCAAGGUGGCACAUUUUAUUCCGGUAAAAACAACUUACACCACUCAGAGACUAGCCAGACUUUAUCUUGCCCGUAUCGUCUGCCUGCAUGGAGUCCCUAAGACUAUCAUCUCCGAUAGAGGCACACAGUUCGUCUCUACAUUCUGGGAUCACCUACAACAGGCACUGGGAACCCAACUAGCCUUCAGUACCGCAUACCAUCCCCAGACUAAUGGGCAGACGGAACGCGUAAACCAAAUCCUAGAAGACAUGCUAAGAGCCUGUGUCCUCACCUACGGGAACAGUUGGGAAGAAAGUUUGCCAUAUGCAGAAUUCACAUACAACAACAGCUAUCAAGCCAGCUUGCAAAUGGCACCCUUUGAAGCUUUAUAUGGGAGAAGAUGUCGUACCCCGCUAAAUUGGUCAGAGACCGGAGACAGCCAUAUCUUUGGCCCAGAUAUGCUCAAGGAGGCCGAGGAGAAAGUUAAGACAAUUAGAGAACGACUCAAAACAGCUCAAAGUCGGCAAAAGAGUUAUUACGACCGAAAGCAUCGGGAAACCAGUUUUGAACCCAGAGAAUUGGUAUACCUGAGAGUUUCUCCUAUGAAGGGUCUGCAACGAUUCAAGAUUAAGGGGAAACUAGCACCAAGGUUCAUCGGACCAUUUCAUAUAGUGGCCCGACGAGGCAAGGUAGCCUACCAGCUAGACCUACCCGGAGACUUAUCCGGUAUCCACAACGUGUUUCACAUCCCGCAGUUGAGAAAAUACAUGAGCAACCCAGAGAAGCAAGUUUCACAUGAGUAUAUUGACAUGCAACCGGACCUCACUUACCGGGAGCACCCAAUAAAAAUAUUAGAAGAGUCUGAGAGGAGGACCCGACGGAAAACCAUUAAUUUUUUCAAAGUUCAAUGGAGUAAUCACACCGAGGAUGAAGCAACUUGGGAGAGCGAGGAUUUUCUUCGGACAGAGCACCCACACCUGUUUAAGGAUCAGCUAAAAUCUCGGGGACGAGAUUUUUCCUAAGGGGGUAGGUGCUGUGACACUCCAAUUUUUUUUUGUGAUUUUGUUUUCGAAAAGAGCCUUGCUUGGUUUGAAAGAAGGUCAUUUAAACCCUUCCUAAAAACCAUCUUCUAAGUUUGCCCUCUCAAAAAUCCUUUCCUUGGAUUUAGUUUCUUUUAAAAAAAGAAAACCCUUUUAGUUUUGGGCUUUUAUUUGGUUUUGAUCCCUUCUAAAUUUUACCAUGCCUCCUAUGGUGAAAUUUUCCCAAAACCUCUCCUCCCACUUGGGUACAACCCAAACAUUCUGUCCAAACUAAUAAAAUCAAUUUUUGGAUUUUGUUCCAACUAUUUCUCCUCCCAAAAUAAUUCUGUCUUUUCUUUUGAGCCUAGGUGAAUUGCAAAGCAAGUACCCUAAUGCUUUUGAUUUUUGACCUCAACUCCACACCCCUAGAUAGUCCUUUGUACCCACAACCCAGAACCAUCUUGAUCCACUCUUCUCCUUUUCAAAUAUUUCAAAUUUCACUCACUGCAAGUUUGGACCAGAUUUGCCAAAUUUGGUGAAAUUCAUAUCUACACCUCUCCAAAAAUUCCACAAAUAUUCAGGCAGCCUCUAGAUGCAAUAAGAGGCCCCUCCACCAAAAACUAGCUCCAGGAAAAAUCACUACAUGCCUAGAUCAUUCUGUCGAAUGCCUUGCAUGCACUUUUUCUGUUCAUCUUCAGUUAAGUUCAGAGUUUCAGUGUCGAUCUUCGUCAGAAAUUCAGUCACAUGCUCACAGUGCACUUGGCACGUUGCUCACGGCCUAGCUUGCUUGUCCGGAGCCUCACACGCGCGCUUAGCGCCUUCUUGGCGUCGGUGGCGCCCUGGCCCGCCUGCGCCGGGGUGCUUUGCGGCGGCCGUAUCACCGUAGCGGCCGAGAGGGAGCAGAACGGCGGCAUAACACCGUUCGGCGCCGCCCAAACCCCCUGGUGGCUCCGCGUGGCCAUUUCGUCCCCAGCGCACGCAUGCAGCACCGCCGCCGUGGCGCGACACGCACAGAGCGUGCUCCCUGUCGCCGACGGGCCUGCACCGCCGCGUUCCGUCGAGCUCCCCCUAAGCAACCAAAUACCGACGUGGUUAGCACCUAAACGGAACCAGGGAACACCCACGACGACGCUCAACCUCUGAACCCUCCCGUGCAACCACAGCGCCGCCGUAAUCACCUCGCCGGAGAACCCCGUUCUCGGCAACCGCCUCGGGGCGGCUAUAUAUAGCACCCCGAGCUUGCUCUCGCCCCCGCACGACUCCACCACCUCACCAGACCCCGCCCAGCCACUGAACGAGCCUCGAGGGGCCUUUCCUCCUCGACUCCGGCCACCUCCAUCCGCCUCGGGCCCCGGCAUCGUUCUCUCCGGUGAGAAUUCCUCCGCCGCCCUACUUUCACCCGUGGCCUCGUACCACCUCUAGUAGGAUAAUCCCCACCUCCAUUUUGACCCCGCAGCUCUCUCCGGCGAGAUCCGCGACCACCCGAUUCGCCGUCCGCCGGAGCAAGCGUCGCCGCCGACGUGGUACUCGCCGGCGACCACCACCACCUCCCACAGACGCGGAAUGGUGUCACAUCCCUAGCUUCUGGUGCUGUCUAGUGUUGCAUCUUGCUUGCAUCAUGUUUAAAUUUUUGAAACUUGAACUGGGGAAAUUUGGAAGCCUCAAAACCCUAAAUAAAAGAAGGGCAAAAACCCUAAAAUCUCAUUCAUUGUUCCAAAAUGCUCUUCUUAAAUGUUUGAUAAUUUUUGGCAAGGGUUCUGGUCCCAACCAAAAUAUUGAACAUUUUUAAGGAUUUAUUUUUGGGACUUUGUAUUUAAAUCAUUAGCUAUUUGAAUUUGAAUUAUAUUCAUAUAAUUAGAAUAUAAUUUCAAAUCCCCCUGAAAUAUUUUAUGAGCUUUUGGAAAAGUCCAUCUAGCAAAAUAAAAAUAUUCAGAGGAGUUUUUGGCAUUGUUUGAAUUUGUUUAAAUUCAAAACAGUGGCAAAAGAUAUUAAUAAAAGAAAAUAGAACAAUAGCACAGAAAUAAAAGAUAGAAGCCCAGCCACUUACCGGGCGCCUACCUGUGCGGCCCGCUGCAGAAGCCUGCCCAGCCCAUCUCCACUCCCCCCCUGUCGUCUUCCUCAUGCCAGUAGGCAGCGCGCGUGGCCGACGCACGCCGGCGCACGCCUCGGCCACCUCCUGCUUGCCGCUCCACCUCGACGCCUGGACGCCUCUGGGAGACGCCACGCACCCUCCCUGGAACCCCCUCGACCUCUCCCAUCGCCUCUCCCCUUCUCCGUCCCUCUCGCACACAACCGGCCGAGCGCCACCGUCGCUGACCCUCGCUGCCCUCGCGGCCACCGCCACCCCCUCUCCUCCCCGACGCGCUCCCGAGUUCCGCAGUACCUCCCUCGACCUCUCCGUCGGCUCACGCGACCGAAGAAGCCCUGAAGCGCCGUCCCGACGCUUUUCCCCUCCUCGGCCACCGAGGACCGCCGCCGUCGAUUCGCCGCCGUCGCCGCCUCCCCGAGCUCGCCGUCUGCUCCAACCGACUCCCCGUGCGUGCCUCCGGUGGGUUCGUGAGCUCUCAUAGAAUGCGUAGGUGCUAACCGUAGAUCCUCCCGUGCACGGUGUCGUCGUUUUCAUCGGCGCCCGAACUCCGGCCGCCGCCACGACCUCGCUUCCGGCGAACUCCGUCCACCCCCGCACCCCCCCGUUGGUUCCCCUAGAUGCGCGCGGGCGCGGGCUACCCCCUGGUAGCCUUCGCGCAUCCAUCCGUCGCCCGCAGCUCAAGUCCAGCGAGUUGCUGCCGCAGUUUAGGUCAUCGCCGGUGAAACUCCGGCGGGAGCUGACGUGGCUCCGUCAUUAGGAGCUAACCCAACUAACUAAACAACCUACAGCCACUGACAGUAGGCCCCACCCCUGGUCAAACCCCAGUCAGCGCUGGGUUUGACCGGGAUUAGUUACUGUGUCACUGACCAGUGGACCCCACUGGUCAGGUUUGACCCGAGGCAGCCCAGUUGACUCUGCUGACGUCACAGUGACGUGGUGCUGACGCCAUAAAUCAUUUCUGGAUUUAUUAUUAUUCAGAAAAUUCAGAAAAUGCCCUAAACUUCAAUAAAUCAUAGAAAUUCAACCGUAACUCCAAAUUAAAUAAUUUAUAUAUGAAAAAUUAUCAGAAAAAUUCAAGGAAUCCAUCUGUACCAUUUUCAUGCAUGUUAGAACAACUUAUAGCUGCUGUUUAGCACAAAUCAAUUAAAUGGCAUUUGAAUAAUCACAUAUGGAGUUUGAAUUUGAAUCUUGUAUUCAAACCAACUUCAUUUAAUCUGUUGCUAGUUGCAUUAGCUCAAAACACAUUCAUAUUGCCAUGUCAUGAGCAUGCAUCAUAUUGUGCAUUGCAUUGAUUGUAUUUCUUCUUUGUUGCCGGUAUCUGUUCCCUCCCGGUAGAUGAUGUUCCGACGUUGUGAUCGUUGACACUGAUGAAGACUCAAUGUUAUCUUCAGAAGUGCCAGGCAAGCAAAACCCCCUUGUUCAUUCCGAUAAAAUCCCACUCUCUCGCCCCUGCUCUCUUUUACUGCAUUAGGUCAACAUCGAUUCAUCUGUUACUUGCUGCGGUAGCUGAACCCCUUUAUCCUCUGCAUGACCUGUCAUUCCACAGUAAAUAGAUGAAACCCACUAGCAUGAGUAGGAGUUGUUUGAGCCCUGUUGUGCCUACUCAUUCUUGCUUGUUUGUCAUGCCUGCUACUGCUUAGAGUUGUGUCAGGUCUGAUUCAUCGGGAAUGAAUCAGAGGUGUGUGAAUAUGUCCUACUGUGUGUGAGCUAAGUGUGUGAACACGAUUUGGUAAAGGUAGCGGUGAGAGGCCAUGUAGGAGUACAUGGUGGGUUGUCUCAUUGAAGCCGUCCUUAGGAACUGAGUUCUGUGUUUGUGAUCCAUGAUUCAGCUACUACCAUGCAUUGGGCCCUGAAAUAUGACCUCGCUCAACUUCUUAUUCACCCUAGUCCUCUGUCCAGGAGUUGCAAGUAGUUUCUGGUGUUUGUAGCUUACUGGAGGCCAUGGACAGCGCUGACCGUAGGGGUGGGCUGUGAUGCGGUAGGUACGUGGCACGGUGUACCAGAUGCCCGUUUGCUGUCUCGGGAACCCUGUUCACAUCGUUUGGGGCUGUGAGCGAAACUCCGGCCGGAUCUCCUCAUGGAUGGAACCCGAAUAGGCGAUAAACCUGGACUAGAGACUUGAGUGUUUAGGUAGGUCGUGGUCUACACCCACGUCGGCUUCCGCUUGAAGUCUGCCGAGCACAUGUCGUGUGCAGACGCUAAGUGGUGGAAACAUGUAUGAAGAAGUACACCCCUGCAGGGUUAACAUCAUCUAUUCGAAUAGACGUGUCCGCGGUAAAGGACUUCUGGGUUGCUUAUAUCAGUUCAUAGACAAGUGGAAGUGGAUACCCUAAAAUACGCAAGAUAAUCAUCUAUUCGAAUAGCCGUGUCCGCGGUAAAGGACUUCUGGGUUGCUUAUAUCAGUUCAUAGACAAGUGGAAGUGGAUACCCUAAAAUACGCAAGAUAAUCAUCUAUUCGAAUAGCCGUGUCCGCGGUAAAGGACUUCUGGGUUGCUUAUAUCAGUUCAUAGACAAGUGGAAGUGGAUACCCUAAAAUACGCAAGAUAAGCGUGAGUNNNNNNNNNNGAUCUCCUCAUGGAUGGAACCCGAAUAGGCGAUAAACCUGGACUAGAGACUUGAGUGUUUAGGUAGGUCGUGGUCUACACCCACGUCGGCUUCCGCUUGAAGUCUGCCGAGCACAUGUCGUGUGCAGACGCUAAGUGGUGGAAACAUGUAUGAAGAAGUACACCCCUGCAGGGUUAACAUCAUCUAUUCGAAUAGACGUGUCCGCGGUAAAGGACUUCUGGGUUGCUUAUAUCAGUUCAUAGACAAGUGGAAGUGGAUACCCUAAAAUACGCAAGAUAAUCAUCUAUUCGAAUAGCCGUGUCCGCGGUAAAGGACUUCUGGGUUGCUUAUAUCAGUUCAUAGACAAGUGGAAGUGGAUACCCUAAAAUACGCAAGAUAAGCGUGAGUGCUAUGGAUGGCGUUCUCGUAGGGAGACGGGAGUGGAUCCAUAGUGGUGUAUUGAUAUGGUGAAUGUGUGGACUCGUGUGCGCCACCUCAAAGGAGUUUGAUUGCAGUCGUAGUUCAGGUUAGCCACCGAGUCAAAGCUGGCUUGCUGCAGUUAUACCCCACCAUCCCCUUUGUUGAUAAUGAUGCGUAUGUAGAUAGUUCUGAUGUAAGUCUUGCUAGGUACAUUUGUACUCACGUUUGCCUAUUUAUGUUUUUGCAGAGAGACUUCAGUCUCACUAGUAGUUCCACGUGGACUUCGACGUUUAGCUUGUUACCUCAGCUACGAUCUUGUGCCCUCGGCAGGAUCUGGUAGAUAGUCAGGCUUCUCAGCCUUUUUCAUUUAUAGAUGUCUGUACUCAGACAUGAUAGCUUCCGCUUGUGCUUGAUUUGUAUGCUCUGAAUGUUGGGUCGUGAGACCCCUAUUUGUAAUAUCUCGCUCCUCGGAGCCUAUUGAAUAAAUACUUGAGUCGUAGAGUCAUGUUGUGAUGCCAUGUUGUGUUUGCACAUAUCGAGCAUAUUGUGUGUAUGUUAUUGAAAUGCUUGGUAUGUGUGGGAUCUGACUAUCUAGUUGUUUAUCUUUAGUAGCCUCUCUUACCGGGAAAUGUCUCCUAGUGUUUCCACCGAGCCAUGGUAGCUUGAUACUGCUCCAGAACACUUAGGCUGGCCGGCAUGUGUCCUUCUUUGUUCCUGUGUCUGUCCCUUCGGGGAAAUGUCACGCGAUGGAUACCGGAGUCCUGUUAGCCCGCUACAGCCCGGUACACCGGAGUCCUGCUAGCCCAGUGCUACAGCCUGGAUUCACUCGCUGAUGACCGACACGUUCGAUGCUGGGUCAUGGAUGCCUGUCCCUGUAAGUUAGUUCCACUUUGGGUUUACGACUAGCCAUGUCAGCCCGGGCUCCUUAUCAUAUGGAUGCUAGCGACACUGUCAUAUACGUGUGCCAAAAGGCGCAAACUGUCCCGGGCAAAGGUAAGGCGACACCCGUGGGAAUACCGUGCGUGAGGCCGCAAAGUGAUAUGAGGUGUUACAUGCUAGAUCGAUGUGGCAUUGAGUCGGGGUCCUGACAAAUGGCGCCCUGAGCAUGGAGGUACUCUCCGAUCUCCCUGCCUCGCCGUGGAUCGCCGCUGGCGACCACCGCGGCUCUCGGGCGCCGACGAGCCCCGACUCCCUCGUUUGAAAUUUCAAAACUGACGGGUGGGACCCGCCCGUCAGCCUCUCCUUUGUUUUUUUGAAUCAUUUACUGAAAGCGUACUCUGGAGAAUACACUUCCACUCUGAACCGUUUUCUUGGAUUUUUUCUGCAAAGCCCCCUGGAAGUUUUCUGUUUCAUUACAGAUGGGUCCUUGGGUUAAAACCCUUAUAACUUUUUAACAUAAAGGAAUUUUUGAGUGAUUCCUUUUCUGUCCUCUUGAAAUUUUUGUCUAGUUUUUUAUCAUGUUUAUUUGAAAAAUAUUUGGAACACUUUUCUGUACACUCACGGUAUUUACGUUGCGUACGUAUUUUUUCUUAUACCGUAGAUACCGGAGGAGGUGACGGAGCUGCAAACUUCGCACAGUUAGACUCCGACUACUCCGAACCAGGCAAGCAUGUUUGAACUCUUGAUAUGAUGAGUGUUGUUGCAUGUUUGCAUUUUAGUAUGGUCAUGGCAUGUUUAGGAACAUCACUUUGAAUGUUAUGUUUCAUGCACAUAAUCGGAAAGUAAGUUUCGGAAAGCAUUAUGUUGUUGGAUACAUAUUUGCAUGAGGAUGGGUAAGAUGGCAGUGUUGUGACAUGCCAGUCUUAUGCCAGAUUAUUUGACUUCCGUGUCAUCGUGAAACAAAUCACAUAUCCAUUCUUUCCUUCCUAUACUGUCACAUGUUUUACGAAAGGAAUAUGGCAUAGUAAGUUGCAAAUCGUUUUCCUGGUACACACCAAAUAGAUAGGCCGGGGUGAGGGUUCCAUGGCCCUGGAUUAAAGCCCGUCAUCCGGUCAGGGGGCAUGGGUGUUUCCGGUUGGGACCGAGAGGGGGGCACCCCUUAGAGCGCGCGUAUAGAAAUUUGAUCCCAUGCUAUUCGAGGUUGUGGCCUCCCCGUCUCAAAGUUUUUCUUGGAUGUUGUCCAGGGUGAUUCGUGGCAUCGUGAGGUGAAAUGGGUGUGUACUAGUUAAAUGUGUUUCUACUGAAAUACCGUAAACGGAACUAGUCCUUUGUGACUACGGAAAUCCGUUGGCUGUGGUCAGAUCAUCGAAACUCUGCAGAGUCUCAAAUCCUUCAAUUAUCUUGUACUUUGUUCAAGUACUAUAUUCAUCUUAUCUUGUCAGGUGCCAGCCUCAGUGACAAAACUCUGGUGGGAUUUAUGUGUGAUAAAUCCGGUUAAAAGAUUAUUCUUGUGGAUGGACUAAUCUUGUUAUUUACAUUUAUUACAAGCCCUGUCUGCGAUGUCGCUCAGAUGUCCGACGGUGGCAUACCUAUUAUUUACUUUUGAUAUAGGCCCUGUCUGUGAUGUCGCUCAGACGUCCGACGGUGGCGGACCUGUUAUUUACUUUUGUUAUAAGCCCUUUAUGUGAUGUCGCCCAGACAUCCGAUUGUGGCAUUUCUUUUAAAGCCCUUUAUGUGAUGUCGCCUAGACGUCCGACUGUGGCAUUUCUUUUAAAGCCCUUUAUGUGAUGUCGCCCAGACGUCCGACUGUGGCAUUUCUUUUAAAGCCCUUUAUGUGAUGUCGCCUAGACGUCCNNNNNNNNNNNNNNNNNNNNNNNNNNNNNNNNNNNNNNNNNNNNNNNNNNNNNNNNNNNNNNNNNNNNNNNNNNNNNNNNNNNNNNNNNNNNNNNNNNNNNNNNNNNNNNNNNNNNNNNNNNNNNNNNNNNNNNNNNNNNNNNNNNNNNUCUGUGAUGUCGCUCAGACGUCCGACGGUGGCGGACCUGUUAUUUACUUUUGUUAUAAGCCCUUUAUGUGAUGUCGCCCAGACAUCCGAUUGUGGCAUUUCUUUUAAAGCCCUUUAUGUGAUGUCGCCUAGACGUCCGACUGUGGCAUUUCUUUUAAAGCCCUUUAUGUGAUGUCGCCCAGAUGUCCGACUGUGGCAUUUCUUUUAAAGCCCUUUAUGUGGUGUCGCUAAGACGCCCGACUGCGGCAUUCCUUUUAAGCCCUUUAUGUGGUGUCGCUUAGACGCCCGACUGCGGCAUUUCUUUUAAGCCCUUUAUGUGGUGUUGCUUAGACGCCCGACUGCGGCAUGCAUUUUAUUACCUUUCGAGGCGUCGCUCCUGACACCCAAUCGGUUUUAAGUUAUUUAUUUUAUUUAUCAAGUCCUGCAAUAUUACCGUUGUUAUAUGAGCAUCAUCCUUUGUUCAUGACGCAUUCAUGCAUUCAUUGAUUAUAUCUUUUGUCCGAACUGUCUUGCGAGUACUUUCAAGUACUCACCUGGCUUGUUGAUUUGGCCAGAUGUUGAGGAAGGCGAUCUCUUGGAUGAAGAGUUUGAUAGCGAGUCCGAAGCCUGGAGGAGUCCCAGUCAGUCCCGUGCGAUCCUAUCUUGGUCAUUGUAUUAUCCGCUUCUGCAACCCCGAAAUAAAUUCAUCGAGCCUCACCUCGACGCUCGAUGUGCUGCCAGUAGAAGUCAAGUUAUCCACCACCAUUUUUCCUCGAGCUAGUAGCAUGCCACCACACCCCUGUGUCAUAGCCGCCCAUAUGUAAGAUAUUGGCGAGUUUGUAAUACAUUGUUGAGCAGCCUCAGCUCAACCCUGUAAUAUAUUUGAUGCUACUGGUUCUCUGUUUAUCAAGCUUUUGUCUACCAGAAAGGAUGGCUUUUCCUAUACUGGGUUUAAUAAGAUUGGUUUUAUCAAUAAACAUUUUAUUGAAAAGCCGGUCGUGACAUUAUUUGAGGUUCUAUCAAUUGCCCAACUGUAAUUUGUUUACCCACCGUUUGCUAUCUUUCUUGAGAGAAGCCACUAGUGAAACCUACGCCCCCCGGGUCUCCUUUCUCAUACAUUUUCCUUGCAAUCUACUUUUCCUUUGCAUUUUUAUUCAGAUCUACUAAACCAAAAAAAUACAAAAAUACCUUGCUACAAUUUAUCUUUAUUUAUUUUAUUUGGCGUUCGAUCUAUCCAUUUACUACAAAAUUAUCUCACGUCUGUUUGCCACUUAAGGCGCCGUACCCCGAAAGGGAUUGACAACCCCUUUAACACGUGGGCUGCGAGGAUUUGUUAUCUGUAUGCAGGGGUUGUUUACGUUGUGUUGCUUGGUUCUCCUACUAGUUCUAUAACCUUGGUCUCAUCUGAGCGAAAUACCUACCGCCGCUGUGCGGCAUCAUCCCUUCCUCUUUCGGGAAAUACCGAAGUAGCUUCAAGCAACAUCACACAACUGUUUCUGAAGAGCUGUACUCAUUGGCCAAGGGACCAUCUUCGACUGCAUUAACAUACAAAGGGUACGAGAUAAAUGAGAAUACAUUUUACUUGAUCGCCCGAGAUUAAAAGAGCACCAACCAGAACAGUGGUGUCUGCUUUGAUGCAGCAACCAAGAGGGGAAAGGACACAUAUUAUGGUUACAUAGUGGACAUAUGGGAACUUGACUAUGGACAUGAUUUUAAGGUCUCUUUGUUUUAGUGCAAAUGGGCCAGUCUGCCAGGAGGCAGGGUACAGGUAGACUGAUACGUCUCCAACGUAUCUAUAAUUUUGAUUGUUCCAUGCUAUUAUAUUACCCCUUUUGUAUGAUUAUGGGCUUUAUUUUACACAUUUAUAUCAUUUUUGGGCCUAACCUGCUAAUAGGAGGCCCAGCCUGUAUUGCUGUUUUUUGCCUAUUUCAGUAUUUCGAAGAAAAGGAAUAUCAAAUGGAGUCCAAACGGAAAGAAACCUUCGGGAGCGUGAUUUUUGGAACGAACGUGAUCCAGAGAACUUGGAGUGCAAGUCAAGAAGCAAACGAGGUGGCCAGGAGAUAGGAGGGCGCGCCCACCCCUCCUGGAUGUGCCCCUGUCUCCUGGGCCCCUCGAGCGGCCACCGACGUACUUCUUCCUCCUAUAUAUAUCUACGUACCCCGAAAACAUCCAGAGAGCCACCAAAACACAAUUUCUACCGCCAUAACCUUUUGUAUCCGCGAGAUCCCAUCUUGGAGCGUUUGCCGGUGCUCCGCUGAAGGGGGAAUCGACCAUGGAGGCCUUCUACAUCAACACCAUAGCCGCUACGAUGAGUUGUGAGUAGUUUACCACAGACCUUCGAGUCCAUGGUUAUUAGCUAGAUGACUUCUUUUCUCUUUUUGGAUCUCAAUACAAUGUUCCCCCCUCUCUUGUGGAGAUCUAUUCUAUGUAAUCUCCUUUUGUGGUGUGUUUGUCGAGAUCCGAUGGAUUGUGGGUUUAUGAACAAGUUUAUCUAUGAGAAAUAUUUGAAUCUUCUUUGAAUUCUUUUAUGUAUGAUUGAGUUAUCUUUGCAAGUCUCUUCAAAUUAUCAGUUUGGUUUGGCCUACUAGAUUGAUCUUUCUUGCCAUGGGAGAAGUUCUUAGCUUUGGGUUCAAUCUUGCAGUGUCCUUAACCAGUGACAGAAAGGGUUGCAAGGCACGUAUUGUAUUGUUGCCAUCGAGGAUAAAAAAAUGGGUUUUAUAUCAUAUUGCUUGAGUUUAUCCCUCUACAUCAUGCCAUCUUUCUUAAUGCGUUACUUUGUUCUUAUGAACUUAAUACUCUAGAUGCAUGCUGGAUAGUGGUCGAUGUGUGGAGUAAUAGUAGUAGAUGCAGGUAGGAGUUGGUCUACUUGUCACGGACGUGAUGCCUAUAUACAUGAUCAUGCCUAGAUAAUCUCAUAAUUAUUCACUUUUCUAUCAAUUGCUCGACAGUAAUUUGUUCACCCACCAUAAUACUUAUGCUAUCUUGAGAGAAGCCACUAGUGAAACCUAUGGCCCCCGGGUCUAUCUUUUAUCAUAUAAGCUUUCAAUCUACUUUUAUUUGCCUCUUUACUUUUUGCAUCUGUAUUAUAAAAUACCAAAAAUAUAUUUAUCUUAUCAUAUUAUCUCUAUCAGAUCUCCCUUUCGCAAGUGUCCGUGAAGGGAUUGACAACCCCUUUAUUGUGUUGGUUGCGAGUUCUUUGUUUCUUUGUGUGGGUGUGUGGGACUUUUGAGGAGCCUCCUACUCGAUUGAUACCUUGGUUCUCAAAAACUGAGGGAUAUACUUACGCUACUAUUGCUGCAUCACCAUUUCCUCUUCAAGGAAAACCAAUGCAAGCUCAAGGCGUAGCAAGAAGGAUUUCUGGCGCCAUUGACGGGGAAGCUUCCACCAAGUCAAGUCAAGAUUCGACCUCCCGCCAAUGAAGGAUUUCUGGCGCCGUUGCCGGGGAGGUCUUCGCUCAAGUCAAGACAUACCAAGUACCCAUCACAAACUCAUCUCCCUCGCAUUUACAUUAUUUGCCAUUUGCCUCUCGUUUUCCUCUCCCCCACUUCACCUUUGCCGUUUUAUUUGCCCUCUCUUUCCAAAUCUCUCUCUCUUUUUUGCUUGCCCUUUUCUGUUUGCUCAUGUGUUAGAUCGUUUACCUUGUCGUUAUGGCUAGUUCCUUAUCCGCUCCUAUGUGUCCCGAGUUUGAAGUUCUUCACUUCAAGAAAAGGCAAGGAGAAAACUUAAAAGAUGCUUGGUAUAUGAUGAUGGAAUCUUAUCGCAAGUGCACCCUAGAGGUGAACUUUAGAAUUAUUCUUUGCAAUUUUUAUGUUGGGCUAAAUAUGUCGCAUAGACAACUCUUGGAUUGCAUAUUGCCAAGGGAAAUUUUAUUGAAAUUGAUCCUAGUAUUGCUCAUGAAAUUAUAGAGGGAAUAGUGGGAACACUACCUCAAAAGGGAGGAUGACAUCCUACCCAAGAAGAAACACAAGUGUUUGGAAAGAUUUGCGAAGUAACAAUUUUUUUACAAAAGUCUCUUGAGCCUCUUAAAAAGUGUUAGCGGAAAUCUUCACCGCAUGAAUAUGUUGUUUACUCUUUGCAAUAAGCAGUUGGAUUCUUUAGAUAUAAAAAUUUCCGAGUAUGAAGGGAAACGUAAAGAACCUCCCGGAUUUGAGCAUGACUCCGCUAAAAAACUGAAAAUUAAAGAUGGCACUACUUAGAUCUAUCUUCGCUUUUAUGCCUAGCUAGGGGCGUUAAACGAUAGCGCUAGUUGGGAGGAAACCCAAUUUUCUUUGUGUUUUUUGUUUUUGUUCCUGUUUAGUAAUAAAUUUUGCAUAUACUUUGUGUUUAGAUGUGUUUUCAUGCUUUAAUUAGUGUUUCUACCAAGUAGAACCUAUAGGAUAACCUAUGAUGAUAGUUGAUUUGAUUCUGCUGAAAAACAGAAACUUUGCACGCACGAAAUUAAUUUUGUUAAAUCACAGAAACGUGAUUUUGUGUUCAUUAUUUUUGCUUCUGAUCAAUAAACAAAUUGUCCAGGACUUCCUAUUUUGGUAGGAUUUUUAGAGUUCCAAAAGUUUGCGUUAGUUACAGAUUGCUACAGACUGUUCUAUUUUUGACAGAUUCUAUUUUUCGUGUGUUCUUUGCUUAUUUUGUUGCAUCUAUGCCUAGUAUUAAGUGGUAUGAACCAUAGAGAACUUGGAAUACAGUAGUUUUAACACCAAAAUAAAUAAAAAUGUGUUCAUUACAGUACCUUAUGUGGUGGUUUUGUUUUCUUUCACUAACGGAGCUUAUAAGAUUUUCUGUUGAGUUUUGUGUUGUGAAGUUUUCAAGGUUUGGGUAAAGCUUUGAUGGACUAUGGAAUAAGGAGUGGGAAAAGCGUAAGCUUUGGGAUGCCCAUGGCACCCUAAGAUAUUCAAGAAUAGCCAAAAGCCUAAGCUUGGGGAUGCCCCGGGAAGGCAUCCCCUCUUUCGUCUUUGUUCAUUGGUAACUUUACUUGGAGCUAUAUUUUUAUUCGCCACAUGAUAUGUGUUUUGCUUGGAGUGUCGUGUAUUAUAUUAGUCUUUGUUUUUUAGUUUACCACAAUCAUCCUUGCUGUAAACAUCUUUUGGGAGAAGCCUAUUGUCGGUGUACUAGAGUAGGGGUACCCUAGUAUCCCGAACUCGUGCACGGGCAGUUGCAGCGGCCCGCGGCAAGGCUUGCCGGGUGACCGCCAAGACCCUCCGUGGUUCCCUCGAAGACCAUUCAAGAACAAAGUACUCAAACCAAGGCCCCGGCAAGAGGAGCUUGCCGGGAAGGCCAACCAAGGCCCCGGCAAGAGGAGCUUGCUGGGAAGGCCAACCCAGGCCCCGGCAAGAGGAUCUUGCCGGGAAGAGACAAGACCCCAGCAAGAGGAGCUUGCCGGGAAGGCCACUCAAGGCAUACCAAGAAAGCUUGCCGCGAUGCGCCCUGCGUCCCGGCAAGGCCCGGUGAGCAACAAGCUCCCAAACACGACAAGACGACGACCGCGGCAAGGAGCUUGCCGCGGGAAACCCCCACUUCGUGCCCGCGCUCCAGCACACCUGCUAACGUGUCGCUUGAGGACUCUCCCAAGCACACGUGACAGGAGGCCGUGCAGCUAGGGGUGCACGGUGGCAAGCGGAGAUGAAGAGAAGGCCAUCGUGGCAAACGGUGGCGCUCCUAACGGUCACUCUUUGCACUGUUUAGGCAACUCAGACAGGCAUUCAAUGCCCUUGUCCCCUGCCGUCAGAGUUAGGUAGGGUGCACUGUAUCCACAGAAGCGGUAGCUGCACCUACCGCAUCCUUUUCCAUUUUUACCCUUCUAUGUCUACGUUGCCACCUGUCGGUGACCCCUUGAAAGUAUAAAAGGAGUCCCAAGCGCAACGUAGAAGGGGUUCGGCCAGUUCGGCUCAUUCGAAACACCAGAAACACUCCCACGCUCAGUCUGGCAGCGUCCAUCGCUCCUGAGCAAGGAUUCAAUACACACAAACAAGCAGCAGUGUGGUUUUACGCAUCCGUGCGGCCCGAAGCUGGGUAAAAACUGCCCGCGUGUACCGCCUCGAUCCGCUCUUUGUGCAACCUCCGCCUCCCUCCGAACCAAAAGGGGCCCUGUCCCCAUAGGUGUUGGUGGAUCAGCCUCCCCGACAUCUCUGGCGCGCCAGGUAGGGGGGCGUCGAGAUUGUGCGAACCCGAUCCGGCGUGCACGCGAGCUAGAUCUUCAUCUUCUUCAUCGACAUGCCACCGAAGAAGAAGACUUCGGCGGUAGCCGUUCCAUCCUCGUCAAGGCUCAGCUGUUCUUCAUCGUCAUGGCUCCCAAGAAGCAGGCGACCAAAAGAACGAUGCCAGUGCGGCAACAGAAAAGCUAAGUCAUGCGAAACUUUAGUUACUUCCUUUCUAUAUAAGGUUAUCCGCCUCGGAGAUCUUGUUCUUUGUAUGGAAAACCUGUGCACGGAGGAACCAACUCGUAGCUAGUUGCUCCUUUACUUUGUUUCGAGUCCGCUCAACAACUUAAGUGAGCUGCUAGCGCCCUUACUUUGCUUCGAGUCCGCUCAACAACUUAAGUGAGCCGCUAGCGCCCUUACUUUGUUUCGAGUCCACUCAACAACUUAAGUGAGCUGCUAGCGCCCUUACUUUGCUUCGAGUCCGCUCAGCAACUUAAGUGAGCCGCUAGCGCCCUUACUUUGUUUUGAGUCCGCUCAACAACUUAAGUGAGCUGCAACUAGUUGCGACAAGGUUUCUUGUCGGUAGCGACCCCGCCAGCAGGCUACUGAAGUUCCGCACUCGGCGCUCGCGGCAAGGGUGCCUGCACCGGCAAGUUUCCCUAGAAAGCGUAGGGUGGACGUACAAAGAGAGGUUGAACAGGAAGAUACCAUGCACUAUUUGUUUGAGAUUUCUGCAUAGACCUGUAUGCCAAGGAGCCUUCUCGCGGCUAGUUGCGCUCCAUGUUGCCUCGAGUCCGCUCGGCAACUUGUGCGGUUGCGCUAGAACCAAGAAGGUAAACCUUUCCGGGAGGCGACGUUCCCAAAUAGCCGCUGAGGGCCCGUUCCCUCAAGCGCUGCUGGCUGGAUCGUACGCACCGGAAAGCAUUCCAGCAGGCAUAGGCAAUAUGUAGCAGAAGUCAAAAUUUGCAAGUGAGUUAAGUGCACUUCAGACCAGUCUUCUUGGUGUUAAGAACGACGAAGUUCUUUGCCAUAAGCCUUCUCGGCAACAAGCUUGCCGGAAGCCAGCAUCGAGAACGUCAAAGUCCUCUGCUGAAGAUAAAAGCCUUGUCGGCAACAAGCUUGCCGGAAGCCGGCAUCGAGAACAUCAAAGUCCUCUGCUGAAGAUAAAAGCCUUCUCGGCAACAAGCUUGCCGGAAGCUGGCAUCGAGAACGUCAAAGUUCUCUGCUGAAGAUAAAAGCCUUCUCGGCAACAAGCUUGCCGGAAGCCGGCAUCGAGAACGUCAAAGUUCUCUGCUGAAGAUAAAAGCCUUCCUGGUGACGAGCUUGCCGGAAGCCGGCGACACGGAUGAUGGGGUCGCCGGUGCCGCGCAAAGCGGCGCCCGACGCCUAGUCGGACCCGCCACUCCGCCGCCCGCUACCCUCACCGUCGCUGUCGCUCUCCUCCUCGUCACUCUCGCUCGAGGAGGAGCCUUCGCUGUCGGAGGAGCUGUCCACGCAGCACUUCGCCCGAGUGCCGAAGCACCCGAAGACCUUAACGGAGAGGAGAUCGCCCUCCAUCAACUUAAAAUGGAGGGUAAACCCCUCCAUCAGGCUGUGGAUACGGGCGAACGUCUUCCACCCUCGAUCAAGAUACAUCACAUUAGGGGCUGGGAAUACAACGCGGACUCGUGUGCCGCUGAUCCCACAGCCCCUCAUGUGCAGUCUCAGUGUCUCGGGCGGGUCCAACUACAUCGCGCCCGCAAACGGAGCUGGAAGCCGGAGGCGACCACGAGGCGCCCGGCGCAGCUUGACGAAGAACUCGCAAGGGUCGUCCCCUAUAUGGACCGUCGUGGGUGGAGGAGCCGCCGGCGGAGGCGAAGCUGGCGCGCCGCCCCGCCCGCCUCUUCCCCGAGCGCCUCGACCUCGUCCUCGACCUCGUCCACGACCUCGCCCCCUCCCUCUUGUCGGGAGCUUGCCGGGAAGGCCAACCAAGGCCCCGGCAAGAGGAGCUUGCCGGGAAGGCCAACCCAGGCCCCGGCAAGAGGAUCUUGCCGAGAAGAGACAAGACCCCGGCAAGAGGAGCUUGCCGGGAAGGCCACUCAAGGCAUACCAAGAAAGCUUGCCGCGACGCGCCCUGCGUCCUGGCAAGGCCCGGUGAGCAACAAGCUCCCAAACACGACAAGACGACGACCGCGGCAAGGAGCUUGCCGCGGGAAACCCCCACUUCGUGCCCGCGCUCCAGCACACCUGCUAACGUGUCUCUCUAGGACUCUCCCAAGCACACGUGGCAGGAGGCCGUGCAGCUAGGGUUGCACGGUGGCAAGCGGAGAUGAAGAGAAGGCCAUCAUGGCAAACGGUGGCGCUCCUAACGGUCACUCUUUGCACUGUUUAGGCAACUCAGACAGGCAUUCAAUGCCCUUGUCCCCUGCCGUCAGAGUUAGGUAGGGUGCACUGUAUCCACAGUAGCGGUAGCUGCACCUACCGCAUCCUUUUCCAUUUUUACCCUUCUAUGUCUAUGUUGCCACCUGUCGGUGACCCCUUGAAAGUAUAAAAGGAGGCCCAAGCGCAACGUAGAAGGGGUUCGGCCGGUUCGGCUCAUUCGAAACACCAGAAACACUACAACGCUCAGUCUGGCAGCGUCCAUCGCGCCUGAGCAAGGAUUCAAUACACACAAACAAGCAGCAGUAGGGUUUUACGCAUCCGUGCGGCCCGAAGCUGGGUAAAAACCGCCCGCGUGUACCGCCUCGAUCCGCUCUUUGUGCAACCUCCGCCUCCCUCCGAACCGAAAGGGGCCCUGUCCCCAUAGGUGUUGGUGGAUCAGCCUCCCCGACACCUAUUUGAUUUGAAUUUAUUAGAAUAUGCUAUGUGCUUCACUUAUAUCUUUCGAGCUUGAUAGUUUUUGCUCUAGUACUUCACUUAUAUCUUUUUGAGCACGGCGGUGGCUUGAUUUUAUAGAAAUUGCUAGUAUCUCAUACUUCACUUAUAUUAUUUUGAGAGUCUUUUAGAACAGCAUGGUAUUUUCUAUGGUUAUAAAUUGGUCCUUGAAUGGUAGGCAUCCAAGUUGGGUAUAAUAAAAACUACGAUAGGAAGUGAUUUGGAUGCUAUGAUCAAUUUGAUACUUGAUAAUUGUUUUGAGAUAUGGAGGUAGUGAUAUUAAAGUCAUGCUAGUUGGGUGAUUAUGAAUUUAAAGAAUGCUUGUGUUGAAGUUAGCAAGUCUCGUAGCAUGCACGUAUGGUUAAAGUUGUGUAAAAAAUGCUUGUGUUGGAGUGUACCUGGCUUGUGCAUCCUUAUGAGCGGCGGUCGGGGACGAGCGAUGGUCUUUUCCUACCUGUCGGGGAUAUACCCCGCGGUAUGACCCGCCUGAGGUCAUAACCCGGCUGGGACUUUGUAAACCGGCGAUGGUAAACCGGCAGACAGUUAAGACAGAUGGUUAAGACAGACGGUAAACCGGCGAGUGGUAAACCGGCAGGUUUUAAGACAGAUGGUAACACCGGCAGGAGUUAAGUCAGAUGAUAACCCGGUAGGUGUUAGGUCAAUCAAACCCGACAGGCAAUCAUAAACAGGAAGACCAUCAUAAACCGGCAGACCAUCAUAAACCGACAGAUCAUGUUAAAGUGGCAGACCAUCAUAAACCGGCAGACCAUGUUAAACCAGCACCAUACAGUGAUAACUGGGUUGCCAUGGGUUAUGAAGCCCAAAACGUUAAGAAGCCCAUGAAGGGAAGUAAAAAUAGUUGAAGUCUUAGUCCGAGAUGGACUCUACAUGUAACCCGCCCCUUCAACAUAUAUAAGGAGGGGCAGGGCUCCCCAAAAGAGGGACAAGCAACAAGAAACAAUCUCUAGGGCUAGACACAACGAGGGAGAGCCGGUUUACGGUGACUCCCUCAUGAUGAUAAUGAGACCUAGCCACAAAACAACAUGUAGGGUUGUUACCGGAUGAUGUUUCCCGGGGCCCUAAGCUGUCUAAAUCUUUGUCUUGCAUGUUGCGUCUCUCGAUUCCGCUCAACCCCUCUCUUCCUACCACAUAGAUGCGUUGGCCUCACGACUAAGUCCUCACACUAAGGACAUCUGACGUGACAAUUCCACGACACUACCAAUCUAUCCCUCUAGGAGCAUGCGCGUAGUGCUUGAUUUUUGAUGACUUCUAAAUUUUUGCAAUAAGUAUAUGAGUUCUUUUGACUAAUGUCGAGUCCAUGGAUUAUACGCACUUUUACCUUUCCACCAUGGCUAGCCUCUUCGGUACCGUGCAUUGCCCUUUCUCACCUUGAGAGUUGGUGCAAACUUCGCCGGUGCAUCCAAACCCCGUGAUACGAUACGCUCUAUCACACAUAAAUCUCCUUAUAUCUUCCUCAAAUAGCCACCAUACCUACCUAUUAUGGCAUUUCCAUAGCCAUUCCAAGAUAUAUUGCCAUGCAACUUUCCACUGUUCCGUUCAUCAUCUUCAUGACAUACUUUACUUUUGUCAUAUUGUCAUUGCAUGAUCAUGUAGAUGACAGCCACCAUGCAUAAUUUUUUUAUACAUGUCACUCUUGAUUCAUUGCACCAUCCCGGUACACCGUCGGAGGCAUUCAUAUAGAGUCAUAUCUUGUUCUAGUUUCGAGUUGUAAUUCAUAUGUUGUAAUCAAUGAAAGUGUGAUGAUCAUCAUUAUUAGAGCAUUGCCCAAAAAAAAGAAAAAAAAGAGAAAGGCCAAAAGAAAAAAAGGAAGGCCAAAGAAAAAAAGAACAAAAAAGAACAAAAAUAAAAUAAAUAAAAGGGGCAAUGUUACUAUCUCUUUUUCCACACUUGCGCUUCAAAGUAGCACCAUGUUCUUCAUGUAGUGAGUCUCAUAUUUUGUGCUUCAAAGUAGCACCAUGUUCUUCAUAUAGUGAGUCUCAUAUGUUGGCACUUUCAUAUGCUAGUGGGAAUUUUUCAUUAUAGAACUUGGCUUGUAUAUUCCUACAAUGGGCUUGCUCAAAUGCCCUAGGUCUUCGUGAGCAAACAAGUUGGAUGCACACCCACUAGUUUUCUUUUGUUGAGCAUUCAUUUAUAGCUCUAGUGCAUCCGUUGCAUGGCAAUCCCUACUCCUCAUGUUGACAUCAAUUGAUGGGCAUCUCCAUAGUCCGUUGAUUAUCCUCGUCAAUGUGAGACUUUCUCCUUUUUUGUCUUCUCCACACAAUCCCCAUCAUCAUAUUCUAUUCCACCCAUAGUGCUAUAUCCAUGGCUCACGCUCAUGUAUUGCGUGAAGGUUGAAAAAGUUUGAGAUUAUUUAAGUACAAAACAAUUGCUUGGCUUAUCAUCAGGGGUGUAGAAUUUGGGAACAUCAUUGUGUGAUGAAAAUUAAGCAUAACCUAACUAUAUGAUUUUGUAGGGAUGAACUUUAUUUAGCCAUGUUAUUUUGAGAAGACAAGAUUGCUUUGAUUAGUAUGCUUGAAGUAUUACUAUUUCUUUUAUCAAUAUGAACUUUUAUUUUGAAUCAUUUGGAUCUGAACAUUCAUGCCACAAUAAAGAAAAUUACAUUGAGAAUUAUGCUAGGUAGCAUUCCACAUCAAAAAUUCUGUUUUUAUCAUUUACCUACUCGAGGACGAGCAGGAAUUAAGCUUGGGGAUGCUUGAUAUGUCUCCAACAUAUCUAUAAUUUUUUAUUGUUCCAUGCUAUUAUAUUACCCCUUUUGGAUGUUUAUGGUCUUUAUUUUACACAUUUAUAUCAUUUUUGGGACUAACCUACUAACCGGAGGCCCAACCCGUAUUGCUGUUUUUUUGCCUAUUUCAGUAUUUUGAAGAAAAGGAAUAUCAAACGGAGUCCAAACGGAAUGAAACCUUCGGGAGCAUGAUUUUUGGAACGAACAUGAUCCGGAGAACUUGGAGUGCAAGUCAAGAAGAAAACGAGGUGGCCAGGAGAUAGGAGGGCACGCCCACCUGCCUGGGCAUGGCCCCAUGUCUCCUGGGCCCCUCGAGCGGCCACCGGCGUAAUUCUUCCUCCUAUAUAUACCUACGUACCGCGAAAACAUCCAUAGAUCCACCAAAACAAAAUCUCCACUGCCGUAACCUUCUGUAUCCGCGAGAUCCUUCGUCGGCGCUCCGCCAGAGGGGGAAUCGACCAUGAAGGGCUUCUACAUCAACACCAUAGCCCCUCUGAUGUGUUGUGAGUAGUUUACCACAGACCUUCGUGUCCAUAGUUAUUAGCUAGAUGGCUUCUUCUCUCUUUUUGAAUCUCAAUACAAUGUUCUCCCCCUCUCUUGUGGAGAUCUAUUCGAUGUAAACUCUUUUUGCGGUGUGUUUGUCGAGAUCCGAUGAAUUGUGGGUUUAUGAUCAACUUUAUCUAUGAGAAAUAUUUGAAUCCUCUCUGAAUUCUUUUAUGUAUGAUUGAGUUAUCUUUGCAAGUCUCUUUGAAUUAUCAGUUUGGUUUGGCCUACUAGAUUGAUCUUUCUUGCCAUGGGAGAAGUGCUUAGCUUUGGGUUCAAUCUUGCGGUGUCCUUACCCAGUGACAGAAAGGGUUGCAAGGCACUUAUUGUAUUGUUGGCAUCGAGGAUAAAAAGAUGGGGUUUAUAUCAUAUUGCUUGAGGUUAUCCCUCUACAUCAUGUCAUCUUUCUUAAUGCAUUACUCUGUUCUUAUGAACUUAAUACUCUAGAUGUAUGCUGGAUAGCGAUCGGUGUGUGGAGUAAUAGUAGUAGAUGCAGGCAGGAGUCGGUCUACUUGUCACGGAAGUGAUUCCUAUAUACAUGAUCAUGCCUAGAUAAUCUCAUAAUUAUUCACUUUUCUAUCAAUUGCUCGACAGUAAUUUGUUCACCCACCGUAAUACUUAUGCUAUCUUGAGAGAAGCCACUAGUGAAACCUAUGCCCCUCGGGUAUAUCUUUUAUCAUAUAAGCUUUCAAUCUACUUUUAUUUGCCUCUUUACUUUUUGCAUCUAUAUUAUAAAAUACCAAAAAUAUAUUUAUCUUAUCAUAUUAUCUCUAUCAGAUCUCACUUUUGCAAGUGGUCAUGAAGGGUUGACAACCCCUUUAUUGCGUUGCUUGCGAGUUCUUUGUUUGUUUGUGUAGGUGUGUGAGACUUUUGAGGAGCCUCCUACUGGAUUGGUACCUUGGUUCUCAAAAACUGAGGGAAAUACUUACGCUACUAUUGCUGCAUCACUCUUUCAUCUUCAAGGAAAACCAACGCAAGCUCAAGAUGUAGCAUAGACCCACAGUACGAAAUGACAAUAGUGGAUCUGAACAACCUUGGGUACACAGACAUACCAUUCGUCCCAGCCAAUGAUGUGGCGUACGUUUUCUAUGUGAUGGACAUGUCUACUAAACCGAGAAAGAGAAAAGAUAAGGAAGCGAAUACAUCAUACGAUGAGCCAAAGCACCACAUAGUUCUUUCAAGGAAAAUAGACAUCGUGGGAGUGGAGGGAAAGACAAACAUGCCUGAAGAAUAUGAAAUGUUUCAUGAAAUUCCUCACUUCAAAGUCAAGGCUGACCCAAACACCCUAUUAAAUGAUGAAGAUUAUCCAUGAUUACGGCGCAAUAAGCCAGGGAUACACGCAAAGAAAAAGUGAAGACUUUCUCUCCACAACUAUUCUGAUGAUGCCUUUGAUCUAGAAUAUCACUUUAGCUACAUGUAAAGAAAUGAAAUUCCUCUUGUAACAUAUGAGUUUUCGUCCGAAACCCUGAUACUUUGAAAGAGAUUGUCCAUUUUGUACACGAAAUGAAUCCAGUUUUUGCCGUAACCCUCUCAACUUUUUAGAACAUGCUAUGUGGGUGAAAUGAUGAUACCAUGCCAACUUUCAACCUUUUUAGGGUUCAUUUUUAGUGCUUUUCAAUUUGAGGGUCAUUUAGCUAAAAAAAUCAAUAAAUGCAUGAAAAAUACCUAAUGAAGAUAGAAAGGGUAGAAAAUAGAUUAUGUGGCUUUGAAUGGUGCAUUUUGAACACACAAAAAGUCUGGAGUUCAAAUAAGUUCAAAAAAAUGAAAUCCCUUGUAAUAGAUGAGUUUUUGUCUGAAACCCUGAUACUUCGAAAGAGAUUGUCCAUUUUGUACACAAAGUGCAUCUAGUUUUUGUCAUAACCCUCUCAACUUUUUAGCACAUGCUAUGUUGGUGAAAUGAUGAUACCAUGCCAACUUUUAACCUUUUCAGAGUUCAUUUGUAAUGCUUUUCAAUUUUAGGGUCAUUUAGCUCAAAAAAUCAGCAAAUGCAUGAAAAAUACCAAAUGAAGCCAGUAAAGGUUGAAAAUUGAUGAUGUGACUUUGAAUGGUGCAUUUUGAACACACACAAAGUCAAAAGUUCAAAUAAGUUAAAAAAUGAAAUCCCUUUGUAACAGAUGAGUUUUUGUCUGAAACCCUGAUACUUCGAAAGAGAUUGUCCAUUUUGUACACAAAGUGCAUCCAGUUUUUGCCGUAGCCCUCUCUACUUUUUAGCACAUGCUAUGUGGCUGAAAUGAUGAUACAAUGCCAACUUUCAACCUUUUCAGACUUCAUUUGUAGUGCUUUUCAAUUUUAGGGUCAUUUGGCUCAAAGAAUGAACUAAUAGCAAAAAGAAUGAACUAGAAAACUUUUAUAAAACUCUAAUAGCAAAUAGAAUGAAACAAAAAGAAUUAAUUAAAAUAUUUUGUUAUGAUCAACUAAAACAAAACUAUAAUAUUCUUCAACAGCAAAAAGAAUCAACUAAAAAGCUUUUAUAAACCUCUAGUGUUUUUGAAACUAAAAUUAUAUAAAAUUUAUGCAACUAAAAUUAUCAAUGCAUUUUUUGUUCAAAAAAUUAAUAGCAAAAAGAAUUUUCAUCAAGUAUUUUUUUUGUUAGAAACUUUGAUAGCAAACUAAAAUAACAAAAUAUGUUAUUGAUUAAAACACCCAUUUAAAAUAACCUAAAAAUUACCAAAUAGAAUAUAAUGAUAAAACACACUAAUAUUAAGUAGCAGGAAAAAGAAACACUCAAGAAUCUAUUUUUAAAGUAAAGUUAUUCACAAACUAGUGACUCAUACAAAUUUCAAAGGAUUCAAAUUUAAACUAUUAAAAUUUGAAAACUAACGGCACUAACAGAAAGUUUAUAAUUUUGUGACCUAAAGAAAAAGGAAUCACUCAAAAACACUAAGUAUUUAGCUAUAAGUAGAAACAAAACAACAUAAAUAUAGUAAGAAACGAAACAAAAAUACUAAAAAAAUUAAAGAAAAUGCCGAUUACUGGGCCACCACGGCCUGCAUACGACUAGAUACCCAACCCGCUAGUUGGGCCAGGAUGCAGGCCCGCAGUAGGCCUAGUAGGCCCACAGGCAGAGUGAGUGAGUUUAGGCCAGUAGGCCUGCAUUAGAGAGGAGCUCGAGUGGGCAGCGGCAGCGACACUUGUAAACCACUCAUCCCCUCUCAACUAGCGAGGUGGUAAUAAACUUUUGGCCGCAGCAGCCCCCCCUUUCGUCCCGGUUGGUGGCACCAACCGGGACCAAUUCCCACCUUUUGUCCCGGUUGGUGCCAUCAACCGGGACGAAUGCUUUGUGUAUAUAAGCGACACUUAGGAAUUUCUCACUUUUCAUCUAGCAGUUCCCGGACCGCCUCUUUGCUCACCUCGAGGAGGGGUGGCCCAAGCGCACCCUGGUGGGUUGUGCCCACCUCAAGUGCCCCCCGGACCGCCUCUUUGCUCUAUAAAUACCCCAAUAUUCCAGAAACCCUAGGAGCAUCGACGAAAUAUUCAUCCAGCCGCCACAGAGUCCAGAACCACCAGAUCCAAUGUAGACACCAUCUCGGAUGGGGUUCACCACCUCCAUUGGUGCCUCUCUGAUGAUGCGUGAGUAGUUCUUGUAGAUCUUCGGGUCCGUAGUUAGUAGCUAGAUGCUUUCUCUCUCUUGCUGAAUUCUCAAUACAACGGUCUCUUGGAGAUCCAUAUGAUGUAACUCGUUUUGCGGUGUGUUCAUUGGGAUCUGAUGAACUUUGAGUUUAUGAUCAGUCAUAUCUUUUUAUAUCCAUGAAAGUUAUUUGAGUUUCUUUGAUCUAUUAUAUGCAUGAUCUCUUAUAGCUCCGAUAUUUGGGUUUUGUUUGGCCAACUUGAUCUAUUUAUCUUGCAAUGGGAAGAGGUGCCCGGUAGUGGGUUUGAUCUUAUGGUGCUUGAUCCCAGUGACAGAAAGGGAACCAACACGUAUGUAUCAUUGCUACCAAGGAUAAAAAGACGAGAUCCAUAUCUAACGCAAUGGAUAAACGGAUCUUGUCUACAUCAUGUCAUCGUUCUUAUUGCAUUACUCCAUUUUUUCAUGAACUUAAUACACUAGAUGCAUGCUGGAUAGCGGUCGAUAUGAGGAGUAAUAGUAGUAGAUGCAGGCAGGAGUCGGUCUACUAAUCUUGGACGUGAUGCCUGUGUAAUGAUCAUUGCCUGGAUAUCGUCGUAAUUAUUUGAGGUUCUAUCAAUUGCCCAACAGUAAUUUGUUUACCCACCGUUUGCUAUCUUUCUCGAGAGAAGCCACUAGUGAAACCUACGGCCCCCGGGUCUUGUUUCUCAUAUAGUUGCCUUGAAAUCUACUUUGCCUUUGUGUUUUUAUUCAGAUCCACUAAACCAAAAAAAUACAAAAAUACCUUGCUGCAAUUUAACUUUAUUUAUUUUAUUUGUCAUUCUAUCUAUCCAUUUACUACAAAAUUAUCUCACGUUCAUUUGCCACUUGAGGCACCAUACCCUGAAAGGGAUUGACAACCCUUUUAACAGGUCGGGUUGCAAGGAUUUGUUAUCUGUGUCUAGGGUUUGUUUACGUUGUGUUUCUUGGUUCUCUUAUUGGUUCGAUAACCUUGGUAUCAUCUGAGGGAAAUACCACCGCUGUGCUGCAUCACCCCUUCCUCUUUGGGCAAAUACCGGUGUAGCUUCAAGCAACAUCAAAAGGAAUUUUUGUCGCUAUUGCCGGGGAGGAUCUUCAACAUAACCAGGUUCCUAAUCACAAAUCUCAUCUCCUCGCAAUUUACAUUAUUUGCCAUUGCCUCUCAUUUUCCACUCCCCCACUUCACAAAAAUUUUCCAUUCUAUUUGCCUCUCUUUUCCGUUCGCCCUUUUCUUGCCAGAUCUGUUUUUGUAUGCAUUCUUGAUUGCCAUUAUGGAUCGUUCUUCCUCUAUUGUUUGCACUCCCGAGGACGAAGUCCUCAACUUUAAACAAAGGGGAGGAGAAAAUUUAAAAGAUGCUUGGUAUAGAAUUUGCAAUGCUCAUAAUAGAUCUAUCCAUAGGCAAUCUACCGUUGUGCUUCUACGUUGUUUUUAUGUUGUCAUCACCACUUGGUAUAGAUUCAUCCUUAAUACGAUUACCUGUCGCAAUUUCUUAACGAGUCCUCCUUUUCUUGCUCUUAAUGCUAUGGGAAACUUAGUGGGCUCACCACCUCUUAUGGUUAAUGAAACAAUUUUGACUCUUGAGCAUGUUAUGGAAAGAUUAGAUGCUAUCGAAAAGAAAAUGCUCACCGAAGAUCAAUGGAAAUCAUACAUAAAAAGAUCCAUAAUUUUGCUACUAAUCUUUGGUCAAAAGCAGGCGAUAUUUUUAAGUUGCUAAAAGAGAGGGGUACCUCAAUCCAUGAAAGAAUAGAAGAAAGUCCAUCUCGGAUCGAUAAAUUGGCUUUUACUACCACUAAAAUUAUUGAGGAAGCUCCUAUGAAGAGUAAGAGAUCCAAGAACAAGGGUGCAACUCCUAGUGAUAGCAAUAAAGGAGAUCUUAAGAUGAUUAGUAUCCACCUUGAUUUUGUUGAAGUGAUAAGAGAUCAUUUUUGCAAGAUUAAUAUACAAAUUUCCCAGGUUGUCAUAUAAUUUUCAGAUUUUUUCAAGUUCCAGAUGUUUUCGUUUAAGUCAGAUUACUACAGAAUGUUCUGUUUUGACAGAUUCUGUUUUCUUUGUGUUGUGUGCUUAUCUUGAUGGCUCUAUGGUUUUCUUUGAUAACUUUUCUAUAGAAAAGCUGGAAUACAGUAGAUAUAAUACAAAAACAAAAUAUGAAUUUGUUUAAUACAGUACUUAUAGUAGUGGUUUACUUUCGUUCACUAACGGAUCUUGCGGAGGUUUUGUUGAGUUUUGUGUGAUUGAAGUUCUCAAGUUUUGGGUUAUCAUACGAUGGAUCAAGGAAGGAUGGAAGAGACUAAGCUUGGGGAUGCCCCGGCAUCCAAAGCUAUUAUCCAAAAAUGAGCAACCAACUAAGCUUGGGGUUGCCCCCGAAUGGCAUCCCCGCUUUCUUCCAACAACUAUCGGUAUUUUACUCAAGACUACAUUUUUACUCGCCACAUGAUAUGUGUUUUGCUUGGAGCAUCUUGUAUGAUAUGAGCCUUUGCUUGUUUUAUUUUUUGUUUUAAUUUAUCAAUCCUUGCUGGACACACAUAUUUGAGAAAGCCAAAAUUAUGCCAUGACUUGUUAGAAUUACUCUCUAUGCUUCACUUAAAUCUUUUAUGAGCUAGGACAUGCUCUAGUGGUUCACUUAUAUCUUUUUGAGCACGGUGUGCUUAGUAUUUUUGAAGAAAUGCUCUCUUGCUUCACUUAGAUUUAUAUGAGAGUCAGUAAAAUUUUGAAGAAAUUCUCUCUUGCUUCACUUCAAUUAUUUUGAGAGAAAGAAAAUUUGUUAUGGUCAUGAUCUUCACUUAUAUUUGUUUGAGCUUAUGAAAAGCAACACAUGAAAAUUAGUCCUAAAGUGAUAGAUAUCCAAGAAGGAUAAAGAAAUAAAAAAAUACAAUGUCAUGAAGACCAUUGGACAAAAUAAACUUGAUUCUUGGUAAUAGUUUUGAGAUAUGAUGAUGUGAUAUGUGAGUUAUGUUGAUGAGUAAUUGUGCUCUAGUAAGAAUAUUGGUGUUAAGGUUUGUGAUUCCCUAUGCAUGCACGAAUGUCAAUAAUCAUGCAAUGAAAAUUAUAUCCUACUUGUGGUGCAUUAUUCGGUGUUACUUAUUAUUAAUGCUUGAUUAUGAAAUUAUUCGUUUCUUGGUUGGUCGCUUCUCAAUCUUUUUGCUAGCCUUCAUUUUGCACUAAGUAUGACCUCUACUUGUGCAUCCAAAAUCCUUUAAACCAGUUUUGCCACAUGAGUCCACUAUAUCUACCUAUAUGCGACAUUCCUUUGCCGUUCUAAGCAAAUUUGCAUGGGUCAUCUCUAAUUUUCAAAAAAAUACUUCUCUUUUGUGUGUUUGUUUCGCUCGCGGAGCGGUGAAGGGUUGCUAAUAUUUUCCAUCCUAGAUGUGUUAUUCUCAAGAUGAAUGUUUAUUCAGUUGUCAUUGCAUGAGAGUAAGGCAACGUUCUUGGGGAUGCCCAGUCCAGAAAUGCAAAAAAUGAAUGUACUUUAUGUUGUCAAAUAAUAAAUUCCCUUGAAAGUGUUGGUAUGGAAGGCAACCGUGGAUUCGGCUAGCCAUGGAAAGUCAAAGUAUGGUGGAAAAAGGAAUAAACUUUAUUUUCUGUUUGGGAACCGCCUAUGGCAUAUCUAGCAUUGAAAGUGUUCGGAAUUCUAAGUCGUUUUCGUUGGUGGGAUGGAUACACCUCCCAAAAUGUUUUUAUCUCUAAGUUCUUCGCUUUGAGCUCUGGCACCUCUACAAAUCCCUACUUCCCGCUGCGAAGGGCCUUUCUUUUACUUUAUGCAAUUUUUAUUUUGAACUUGAGUCUCCAUCCUCUCUUAUAAAAGCACCAACUAGGAGGCAAUAUGAUCGUACUCAAGUAUUGAGUGUAGCUAAUAUUUGAGUGUGUCUCAUGAAUGGAUCAAUGUUUGAGCAUGAUGGGCUAGGGAUAACUUAUUUUAGCAUUGAUAUUUUGAAAGACACGGUUGCUUGUUGAUAUCCUUGAGUAUCUAAAUUAUCGUGUCAAAACUAGACUAUUGCUUUAAAUCACAUAAAAGUCCAAAUGUACAUGCUAUAAAGAAAGAAUAUGAUAUGACAUGAUAAACAACACUCCACAUCAAAAAAUUUGUUUUUAUCACUUACCUACUCGAGGACGAGUAGGAGUUAAGCUUGGGGAUGCUGAUACGUCGCCAAUGUGUCUAUAAUUUUUGAUAGUUCCAUGUUGUUUUAUUAUCAAUCUUGGAUGUUUCAUAAUCAUUUUAUAGUCAUUUUAUAUCAUUUUUGGUACUAACCUAUUGACAUAGUGCCAAGUGCCAGUUGUUGUUUUUUCAUGUUUUUUACAUCACAGAAAAUCAAUACCAGACGGAGUCCAAAUGCCACGAAACUCCAUGAUGAUUUUUUAUGGGACAGAAGGAAGAUGUUGUUGGGGAAUAUAGUAAUUUCAAAAACAAUCCUACGCACACGCAAGAUCAUGGUGAUGCAUCGCAACGAGAGGGGAGAGUGUCAUCCACGUACCCUCGUAGACCGUAAGCGGAAGCGUUAUGACAACGCGGUUGAUGUAGUCGUACGUCUUCAUGAUCCGACCGAUCCAAGUACCGAACACACGGCACCUCCGAGUUCAGCACACGUUCAGCUCGGUGACGUCCCACGAACUCCGAUCCACCAAAGUGUCAAGGAAGAGUUUUGUCAGCACGACGGUGUGAUGACGGUGAUGAUGAAGCUACCGACGCAGGCCUUCGCUUAAGCACCACUACGAUAUGACCGAGGUGGAUUAUGGUGGAGGGGGGCAUCGCAGACAACCAAAAGAUCAAUGAGCGCGCCCCAAGGGGAGUCCUACUCCCACCGGGAGUAGGACUGCAGCCCUUCCAAGAGUAGGAGUAGGAGAGAGGGAAGGAGGAGAGAGGGGGAAGGAAAGGGGGCGCCCCCUCCUUGUACAAUUCCGACUAGAGGGGGAGGGGGCGCGCGUCCUGCCUAGGCCACCCCUCCUCUUCUCCACUAAGGCCUAAAUAGACCCAUUACACUCCCCGGGGUUUUCCGGUAACCCCCCUGUACUCCGGUAUUUUUCCGAACUUGCCCGGAACUCUUCUGAAGUCCAAACAUACUCAUCCAAUAUAUUGAUCUUUAUGUCUCGACCAUUUCGAGACUCCUCUUCAUAUUCCUUGAUCAUAUCCGAGACUCCUAACUACCUUCGAUAUAUCAAAACACAUAAACUCAUAUUACCGAUCGUCAUCGAACGUUAAGUGUGCGGACCCUAUGGGUUCGAGAACUAUGUAGACAUGACCCAGACUCAUCUCCGGUCAAUAAACAAUAGCGGAACCUGGAUGCUCAUAUUGGCUCCUACAUAUUCUACGAAGAUCUUUAUCAGUCAAACCGAAUAACAUCAUACGUUGUUCCCUUUGUCAUCGGUAUGUUACUUGCCCGAGAUUCGAUAGUUGGUAUCUCAAUACCUUGUUCAAUCUCGUUACCGGCAUGUCUCUUUACUCAUUCCGUAAUACAUCAUCAUGCAACUAACUCAUUAGUUGCAUUGCUUAUAAGGCUUAUAGUGAUGUGCAUUACCGAGAUGGCCCAGAGAUACCUCUCCGACAAUUGGAGUGACAAAUCCUAAUCUCAAUCUAUGCCAACCCAACAAGUACCUUCGGAGACUCCUGUAGAGCACCUUUAUAAUCACCCAGUUACGUUGUGACGUUUGGUAGCACACAAAGUGUUCCUCCGGUAGUCGGGAGUUGCAUAAUCUCAUAGUCAUAGGAACAUGUAUAAGUCAUGAAGAAAGCAAUAGUAAUAUGCUAAACGAUCAAAUGCUAAGCUAACGUAAUGGGUCAAGUCAAUCACAUCAUUCUCUAAUGAUGUGAUCCCGUUAAUCAAAUGACAACUCAUGUCUAUGGCUAGGAAACGUAACCAUCUUUGAUUCAACGAGCUCGUCAAGUGGAUGCAUACUAGUGACACUUAGUUUGUCUAUAUAUUCACACUUGUACUAAGUUUCCGGUUAAUACAAUUCUAGCAUGACUAAUAAACAUUUACCAUGAUAUAAGGAAAUAUAAAUAACAACUUUAUUACUACCUCUAGGGCAUAUUUCCUUCAGAUGUUGGGCCCUGGUUGCACCUGCGGGGAGUCCCAAGGAGGGGACAACCCACCAGGGCACACUAGGAGGCUCGGGCGCGCCCUGGUGAGUUGUUCCCACCUCGGGUGCCCCCCGGACCCGCCUCUUUGCUCUAUAAAUACCCCAAUAUUCCAGAAACCCUAGGAGGGUCGACGAAAUAUUCAUCCAGCCGCCACAGAGUCCAGAACCACCAGAUACAAUCUAGAGACCAUUGCGACUGGGGUUCACCACCUCCAUUGGUGCCUCUUCGAUGAUAUGUGAGUAGUUUUUUGUAGACCUUGGGUUCCGUAGUUAGUAGCUAGAUGGCUUUCUCUCUCUCGUUGAAUUCUCAAUACAACGGUCUCUUGGAGAUCCAUAUAAUGUAACUCUUUUUGCAGUGUGUGCUACCUCUUGAGCACUGCGUUGGUUUUCCCUUGAAGAGGAAAGGGUGAUGCAACAAAGUAGCAUAAGUAUUUCCCUCAAUUUUUUAGAAUCAAGGUAUCAAUCCAGUAGGAGGCUCCUCAACAGUCCCACACACCUACACAAACAAACAAGAACCUCGCAACCAACGCGAUAAAGGGGUUGUCAAUCCCUUCACUGUAACUUGCAAAAGUGAGAUCUGAUAGAGAUAAUAAGAUAAGAUAAAUAUUUUUGGUAUUUUGAUGAUAUAGAUUGGAAAGUAACACUACUAGGGAAAACCCUAGUAGUAGUGCGGGUUUAAAGCCCACUAGUAGCGCGUGCUACCGUGCUACUAAUAAGGCGCUACAGCUAUUACUUAGCAGUAGCGCGUGUGACACGCGCUACUGCUAAGAGACAUAGCGGCAGCGCUUGUUCACACCCGCGCUCCUGCUAAUCUAGCUACUUGCAGCGUGUUUACUGUCCAUCUCUACUAGUAUUUUUUUAGUGUAUUUAUUCGCCGUUAUACAAAUUUUGGUACAAUACCAAUUAUGAGGUUUAUAUCAUUAUGUCUAUAACAGUGUGUCAAAUGAAGGUGGAUUAGGUUCAAGUGGAGGCAAUAUGUGGUGCAUGUCAAAAGUAUACUACUAAUCCAAACUUGAUCUAGUUUGGACUAGUAGUACUUGAAUCUAAUCCGCCAACACAAGCUAUUUAAUCAUCAUCAUAGUCAUUAGCACCAAUAGUAUUUAUUUAAUCACCACUAACACUAGCUCAUAAUAAUCAUCAUAGUCAUUACCACCAACACUAGCUAUUUAAUCAUCAUAGUCAUAGUGUAGCACAUCAUCGUCUUUAAACUCAUUUCUAGCUAGCUAAUCACUCCUGCUGCUCUCUCUCAGGUAAAAUAACAUAAAACAUUUGUAGAUCUCCUCCUUCAUCAAGUUGGAGCAUGCAGAUGAACCUGUUUCUUAAUCGUGGGCUGCGCUUCUAAUUGCUGCCCCCUAGUACUUGUCUGCGCUCCUCCAUCACAGAUUUGGUUCAGUCUUUCACUUUUAAGAAUUCGUCGCUAAUCCUGAAUGCACUAUAGUGAUUUGUAGGAUAUAUUGGCCGUAAGCUAACAAUACUCAUGGUACCUUUAGUCUCGAUCCCAUAGGGCACAACAUUCGUCGGGAGUCCCUGUUAAAGAACAUCGUAUGGUAACAUACUUAGUAAUGAAUUUUAGCUUAAAAAUAAUGUAUGGAAAAUAUGCACUGAGGACAAAUAGUAAAAAUCUGACCAUAUUUCCUAAAUAGAUGUGACCGUAGUUCAUUACGAACAAUAUUGGUCGCACGUUUUCAGUACUAACAUUUCUAAAUCCAAGAAGAAAAUUUGUCUUGACAGUAUCAAGAUCCGCAAGCCAUGAAACAUAAUGACUUAGCUCCUCGCAGUUUAGUUCAACCUCAGCAUAGUAGUAGGUCCUGUCUACCAAGCGCUGGACAUGUUUGCUUGAGCGGAAAUAAGCUGACAAUAGAAAUUAGUUGUCAACUAUUUUUGAAUAAACAAUAUCAAAGACAUAAAUAUGGUUGAGAAACUCACAUAAUGGUAUAACUGGAGGCGUCUGCACAUCGACCCAGAUGUCGGUAUUAUCUUCAAUAUCAUCUUCCGGACGAAUAUCAAAGGUGAUAACCAUAUCAGGAUCAAAUGCAUAAGUCUUGCAUAGUGCUCGCCAUGUUUUGCAUCCAAAAUAGGUGUAGUCGUCUGAAUUGUAUAAUUUUGCGUGGAAAAUAUAACCAUGCUCGAUCUUCAAGUAAACUUUCUUUACCUCCAUAGUACGUCUGAAACCUAUCUUAUCCAAUACAAAUACUCUUGCAUGGCAGGCGAUACGCUAGUAGAAUAGUAAAAAAAUAAGUUGAAGCAAAUGAAGCAGAUGUCAUGCUUAAUUGCGAAAAAAAUACUUGUCAUUGUGACUUACUGUAUCCACUUCGAAGUUCUCGUCCAGCUUGAUGCUGAAGCGCCUAUCAUCAUCUAGGAAGAUUCCGUCGCACAGGCCGUGCUCGUCUUCGCAGUAUUUGCAAAUACCGAAAUCCUUUGCGUCGUCAGACAUUUCCUAUGUUCAUAGUUGAAAUAUUAAUUGAAAAUCGAUCAAAGACAAGUACCAGGAUACUCAACACACAAAUCCGGGGAACUCAAUAUUUUCUACAUAUUCUAGCACAAGUCAUGCCAAAAUUCACGGAAAAAUCCGGCAUGACCUUUUCUAAAAUAGGACAUAUCGAGCGCCUUAAAUUUGCCGCAACGGAAAUGAAUCAACACUCCGGCAAAACAUAGGCCACUCGGAGGUGUAACCUGCAAACAUGACCAGCCACUUGGGUAAGCACAUAUCCUAUUUGAGCAACACAAGAUAUACAUUUCAAAAUAUCUUAUAGGACUCAAAUUAGCAUGCAUUCAAUAAGGAAAAGUAAAUCAUCUUAUGCGUCUGUACAUCGUCAAAUAUUAUCACUAAUACAUCCCGAAUAGUAUCAUACAUAUAACAUCACUAAUACAACUAAAACCCUAUAGCACGAUGGGUAUCGGCAAGGGCGGUGGACACCCACAGAGAAGGAACCAUCACAGGAUCAUAGCUCCAGUGAGAUCCCUGGAGAACCUGCCAGGUAUUGGAGAUUAUGUGCUCCAACGCAAACAAGUAGCGACGGACGUGCGCGUCCUCCUCACUGACAUGGUGACUCACCACCUCCACGGGGUCCUCGAGCCUCUGGACCAUCACUGGCCCACACGACUGCUACCAAAGAAGGUUCGGGUCAACGACAGGCUGGCUCCUCACCAACCUGCGCCCCCCGGUAGGUAGCGCCUCCCAAUACCACCCCGGCGGUGCCCAGUCCCGGACAUGGCUCAUCUGGUCAAGCAGGUGUCGUGCUCCGCCGACUCGACGACGAGGAUGCAAGAUAAGCAUCGUCCACGUCAAUGCGGGAAAAAUUUAUUUAACUAAAAAAAAUAGCAACAAGUUCUUACUAACUAGUUCUAUUAAUUCAACUAGUUCUUACUAAAAAUAAACUUACUAUAAAUAAAAAUAAACUAGCACCUAAUUAGUACCUAGUUGUUACUAACUAAUUAGUACCUAGGAACUACUGCCCUAAUUACCAUCUAAUUUGAUGAACCUAGGGGUGGAAAGUGGUAGCGGAUAUUCCAAUUAUCCAACUUAAAAGUGAAAUAAGUGGUCAAAUUUUACUCGUUUUAUUAUGCAUUACACUAGUGUUUAUUCAUCAUCUAAGAAAACAUCCCAGCCGCAUUUGUAUCCAAUUCAUUUCCACCCAUAGAUGAAGCCUAACUAAUUUGAUGCAACUAAAGUUUGAAGAACCCUAUCUAGGCAGAGGUAGGGGAGGGGGAGGAGCAGGCGUGCUCACCUUGGGUGCCUGCGCCGAGAGAGGGGCAGGCGACGUCGAGGUCGGGGUUGGGGCUCGAGCGCGCGACGGAGGGCGGCGUUGAGGACGGGGUCGGGGGCGGCAUCCGGUGCGGCGUUGAGGUUGGGGGCGGGGGCGGCAUUGAAUUCGGGGUCGGGGCGGCGUAGAGGCUGUGCGGAGAGCGCGCGGCAGCCGACGGGUGAUGGAGGCGGCGAGACCGGAGGAGUUCGAUUUGGGGGGAAGUGGCCGUGGGGAAGGACGAACUCGGUGGUUAAGUCACAAGUAGAAGUGGCGCGUUCCAGAAAGCGCGCUACUGCUACGUUAGCUACAGCGCGUUCUGGUAUACGUGCUACUGCUAAUCCUUUCUCUUUUCCCCUUUUUCAUUUAUUUUUCUUCACAUUUUAUUUUUUUCCUUUCACCUUCUUCUAUUUCUUUCAUUAUCAAUUACCUUUCUAUUUGCUUUCCAUUUAAUUUUAUAUCCUUUAGCAGUAGCGAGUUUAGAAUAAAACACGCUGCUAAAAAGAAAGUAGCGGUAGCGCGGUUCGAUAUAGAUCGCUACUACUAUGUGUAGCCUAUCGGCUAAGCCGUGGAAAUUUUAGUAGUAACAUGUUUGACCCACGCUAUUGCUAAAGUUCUGUGUAUAAGGUUUUCCCUAGUAGUGUAGAAGAUGCAAAUAAAAGUAGAUGGGAAACUUAUAUGAUAAAAGAUAGACCCGGGGGCCAUAGGUUUCACUAGUGGCUUCUCUCAAGAUAGCAUAUGUAUUACAGUGGGUGAACAAAUUACUGUUGAGCAAUUGAUAGGAAAGUGCAUACUUAUGAGACUAUCUAGGCAUGAUCAUGUAUAUAAGCAUCACGUCCAUGACAAGUAGACCGACUCCUGCCUGUAUCUACUACUAUUACUCCACACAUCGACCGACUCCUGCAUGCAUCUAGAAUAUUAAGUUCAUGAAGAACAGAGUAACACAUUAAGAAAGAUGACAUGUAGAGGGAUAAACUCAUGCAAUAUGAUAUAAACCCCAUCUUUUUAUCGUCGAUGGCAACAAUACAAUACGUGCCUUGUUGCCCCUGCUGUCACUUGGAAAGGACACCGCAAGAUUGAACCCAAAACUAAGCACUUCUCCCAUUGCAAGAAAGAUCAAUCCAGUAGGCCAAACCAAAGUGAUAAUUCGAAGAGACUUGCAAAGAUAACCAAUCACACACAAAAGAAUUCAGAGGAGAUUCAAAUAUUUCUCAUAGAUACACUUGAUCAUAAACCCACAAUUCAUCGGAUCUCAACAAACACACCGCAAAAAAGAGUUAUAUCGAAUAGAUCUCCAAGAAAAUCAAGGAGAACUUUGUAUUGAGAAUCAAAGAGAGAGAAGAACCAUCUCGCUAAUAACUAUGGACCCGAAGGUCUGUGGUAAACUACUCACAACUCAUCGGAGAGGCCUUGGAGAUGAUGUAGAGGCCCUCCAUGGUCGAUUCCCCCUCUGGCGGAGCGCCUGCGAAGGAUCCAAGAUGGGAUCUCGCGAAUAUAGAAGGUUGCGGUGUUGGAAUUAGGUUUUCGUGGUGCUCCUAGAUGUUUUCAGGGUACAUGGAUAUAUAUAGGAGAAAGAAGUAGGUCGGUUGAGCCACGAGGGGCCCAUGAGGGUGGGGGGCAUGCCGAGCACCCUCGUGGCCGCCUCGUUUGCUUCUUGACAUCCAGUCCAAGCCUCCUGGUUUGCAUUUGUCCCGAAAAGAUCGCUCCCGAAGGUUUCAUCCCGUUUGGACUCCGUCUGAUAUUCCUUUUCUUCAAAACACUAAAAUAGGCAAAAACAACAAUUCGGGCUGGGCCUCCGGUUAGUAGGUUAGUCCCAAAAAAGAGAUAAAAGUGUAAAGUGAAGCCCAUAAACAUCCAAAAUGGGUAAUAUAAUAGCAUGGAAUAAUCAAAAAUUAUAGAUACGUUGGAGACGUAUCAGUGUGUUUGUUGUGAUAUGAUGAACUUUGAGUUUAUGAUCAGUCAUAUCUUUUUAUAUCCAUGAAAGUUAUUUGAGUUUCUUUGAUCUCUUAUAUGCAUGAUCUCUUAUAGCCUCAUAUGUGUUCUCUGAUAUUUGGGUUUUGUUUGUCCAACUUGUUCUAUUUAUCUUGCAAUGGGAAGAGGUGCCCGGUAGUGGGUUCGAUCUUACGGUGCUUCGAUCUUACAUAUGUAUCAUUGCUACUAAGUAUAAAAAAGGUGAUCCAUAUCUAACGCAAUGGAUAAACGGAUCGUGUCUACAUAAUGUCAUCGUUCUUAUUGCAUUACUCUGUUUUUCCAUGAACUUAAUACACUAGAUGUAUGCUGGAUAGCGGUUGAUGUGUGGAGUAAUAGUAGUAGAUGCAGGCAGGAGUCGGUCUACUAAUCUUGGACGUGAUGCCUAUGUAAUGAUCAUUGCCUGGAUAUCGUCAUGAUUAUUUGAGGUUCUAUCAAUUGCCCAAUAGUAAUUUAUUUACCCACCGUUUGCUAUCUUUCUUGAGAGAAGCCACUAGUGAAACCUACGGCCCCCGGGUCUCCUUUCCCAUAUAUUUGCCUUGCGAUCUACUUUUCCUUUGCAUUUUUAUUCAGAUCUACUAAACCAAAAAAAUACAAAAAUAACUUGCUGCAAUUUAACUUUAUUUAUUUUAUUUGGCGUUCGAUCAAUCCAUUUACUACAAAAUUAUCUCACGUUUGUUUGCCACUUAAGGCGCCGUACCCCGAAAGGGAUUGACAACCCCUUUAACACGUGGGCUGCGACGAUUUGUUAUCUAUAUGCAGGGGUUGUUUACGUUGUGUUGCUUGGUUCUCCUACUGGUUCUAUAACCUUGGUCUCAUCUGAGCGAAAUACCUACCGCCGCUGUGCGGCAUCAUCCCUUCCUCUUUCGGGAAAUACCGACGUAGCUUCAAGCGACAUCACACAACUGUUUCUGAUGAGCUGUACUCAUUGGCCAGGGGACCAUCUUCGACUGUAUUAACAUACAAAGGGUACGAGAUAAAUGAGAAUACAUUUUACAUGAUCGCCCGAGAUUAAAAGAGCACCAACAAGAACAGUGGUAUCUGCUUUGAUGCAGCAACCAAGAGGGGAAUGGACACAUAUUAUGGUUACAUAGUGGACAUAUGGGAACUUGACUAUGGACAUGAUUUUAAGGUCUCUUUGUUUCAGUGCAAAUGGGCCAGUCUGCCAGGAGGCAGGGUACAGGUAGACAGAUACGUCUCCAACGUAUCUAUAAUUUUUGAAUGUUCCAUGCUAUUAUAUUACCCCUUUUGUAUGAUUAUGCGCUUUAUUUUACACAUUUAUAUCAUUUUUGGGCCUAACCUACUAACCGGAGGCCCAGCCUGUAUUGCUGUUUUCUUGCCUAUUUUAGUAUUUCGAAGAAAAGGAAUAUCAAACGGAGUCCAAACGGAAUGAAACCUUCGGGAGCGUGAUUUUUGGAACGAACGUGAUCCGGAGAACUUGGAGUGCAAGUCAAGAAGAAAACAAGGUGGCCAGGAGAUAGGAGGGCGCGCCCACCCCUCCUGGGUGUGCCCCUGUCUCCUGGGCCCCUCGAGCAGCCACCGACGUACUUCUUCCUCCUAUAUAUACCUACGUACCCCGAAAAUAUCCAGAGAGCCAACAAAACACAAUUUCCACCGCCGUAACCUUUUGUAUCUGCGGGAUCCCAUCUUGGAGCGUUUGUUGGCGCUCCGCCGGAGGGGGAAUCGACCACGGAGGGCUUCUACAUCAACACCAGAGCCCCUCCGAUGAGUUGUGAGUAGUUUACCACAGACCUUCGGGUCCAUAGUUAUUAGCUAGAUGACUUCUUCUCUCUUUUUGGAUCUCAAUACAAUGUUCUCCCCCUCUCUUGUGGAGAUCUAUUCGAUGUAAUCUCUUUUUGUGGUGUGUUUGUCGAGAUCCGAUGGAUUGUGGGUUUAUGAUCAAGUUUAUCUAUGAGAAAUAUUUGAAUCUUCUUUGAAUUCUUUUAUGUAUGAUUGAGUUAUCUUUGCAAGUCUCUUCGAAUUAUCAGUUUGGUUUGGCCUACUAGAUUGAUCUUUCUUGCCAUGGGAGAAGUGCUUAGCUUUGGGUUCAAUCUUGCGGUGUCUUUAACCCGUGACAGAAAGGGUUGCAAGGCACGUAUUGUAUUGCUGCCAUCGAGGAUAAAAAGAUGGGGUUUAUAUCAUAUUGCUUGAGUUUAUUCCUCUACAUCAUGUCAUCUUUCUUAAUGUGUUACUCUGUUCUUAUGAACUUAAUACUCUAGAUGCAUGCUGGAUAGUGGUCGAUGUGUGGAGUAAUAGUAGUAGAUGCAGGCAGGAGUUGGUCUACUUUUCACGGACGUGAUGCCUAUAUAUAUGAUCAUGCCUAGAUAAUCUCAUAAUUAUUCACUUUUCUAUCAAUUGCUCGACAGUAAUUUGUUCACCCACCGUAAUACUUAUGCUAUCUUGAGAGAAGCCACUAGUGAAACCUAUGGCCCCCGAGUCUAUAUUUUAUCAUAUAAGCUUUCAGUCUACUUUUAUUUUCCUCUUUACUUUUUGCAUCUAUAUUAUAAAAUACCAAAAAUAUAUUUAUCUUAUCAUAUUAUCUCUAUCAGAUCUCACUUUCACAACUGGCCGUGAAGGGAUUGACAACCCCUUUAUUGCGUUGGUUGCGAGUUCUUUGUUUGUUUGUGUAGGUGCGUGGGACUUUUGAGGAGCCUCCUACUCGAUUGAUACCUUGGUUCUCAAAAACUGAGGGAAAUACUUAUGCUACUAUUGUUGCAUCACCCUUUCCUCUUCAAGGAAAACAAACGCAAGCUCAAGGCGUAGCAAGAAGGAUUUCUAGCGCUGUUGCCGGGGAAGCUUCCACCAAGUCAAGUCAAGAUUCGACCUCCCGCCAACGAAGGAUUUCUGGCGCCGUUGCCGGGGAGGUCUUCGCUCAGGUCAAGACAUACCAAGUACCCAUCACAAACUCAUCUCCCUCGCAUUUACAUUAUUUUCCAUUUGCCUCUCAUUUUCCUCUCCCCCACUUCACCUUUGCCGUUUUAUUUUCCCUCUCUUUCCAAAUCUCUCUCUCUGUUUUUCUUGCCCUUUUCUGUUUGGUCGUGUGUUAGAUCGUUUACCUUGUCGUUAUGGCUAGUUCCUUAUCCGCUCCUAUGUGUCCCGAGUUUGAAGUUGUUCACUUCAAGCAAAGGCAAGGAGAAAACUUAAAAGAUGCUUGGUAUAGGAUGAUGGAAUCUUAUCGCAAGUGCACCCUAGAGGUGAACUUUAGAAUUCUUCUUUGCAAUUUUUAUGUUGGGCUAAAUAUGUCGCAUAGACAACUCUUGGAUUGCAUAUUGCCAAGGGAAAUUUUAUUGAAAUUGAUCCUAGUAUUGCUCAUGAAAUUAUAGAGGGAAUAGUGGGAACACUACCUCAAAAGGGAGGAUGACAUCCUACCCAAGAAGAAACACAAGUGUUUGGAAAGAUUUGCGAAGUAACAAUUUUUUUACAAAAGUCUCUUGAGCCUCUUAAAAGUGUUAGCGGAAAUCUUCACCGCAUGAAUAUGUUGUUUACUCUUUGCAAUAAGCGGUUGGAUUCUUUAGAUCUAAAAAUUUCCGAGUAUGAAGGGAAACGUAAAGAACCUCCCGGAUUUGAGCAUGACUCUGCUAAAAAACUGAAAAUUAAAGAUGGCACUACUUAGAUCUAUCUUCGCUUUUAUGCCUAGCUAGGGGCGUUAAACGAUAGCGCUAGUUGGGAGGAAACCCAAUUUUCUUUGUCUUUUUUGUUUUUGUUCCUGUUUACUAAUAAAUUUUGCAUCUACUUUGUGUUUAGAUGUGUUUUCAUGCUUUAAUUAGUGUUUGUGCCAAGUAGAACCUAUAGGAUAACCUAUGAUGAUAGUUGAUUUGAUUCUGCUGAAAAACAGAAACUUUGCACGCACGAAAUUAAUUUUGUUAAAUCAUAGAAACGUGAUUUUGUGUUGAUUCUUUUUUCUGCUUAUCAAUAAGCAAAUUGUCCAGGACUUCCUAUUUUGGUAGUAUUUUUAGAGUUCCAGAAGUUUGCGUUAGUUGCAGAUUGCUACAGACUGUUCUGUUUUUGACAGAUUCUGUUUUUCGUGUGUUCUUUGCUUAUUUUGAUGCAUCUAUGGUAGUAUUAAGUGGUAUGGACCAUAGAGAACUUGGAAUACAGUAGGUUUAACACCAAAAUAAAUAAAUAAUGAGUUCAUUACAGUACCUUAUGUGGUGGUUUUGUUUUCUUUCACUAACGGAGCUUAUAAGAUUUUCUGUUGAGUUUUGUGUUGUGAAGUUUUCAAGGUUUGGGUAAAGCUUUGAUGGACUAUGAAAUAAGGAGUGGGAAAAGCCUAAGCUUGGGGAUGCCCAUGGCACCCCAAGAUAUUCAAGAAUAUCCAAAAGGCUAAGCUUGGGAAUGCCCCGGGAAGGCAUCCCCUCUUUCGUCUUCGUUCAUUGGUAAGUUUACUUGGAGCUAUAUUUUUAUUCGCCACAUGAUAUGUGUUUUGCUUGGAGUGUCGUGUAUUAUAUUAGUCUUUGUUUUUUAGUUUACCACAAUCAUCCUUGCUGUACACACCUUUUGGGAGAAGCCUAUUUGAUUUGAAUUUAUUAGAAUAUGCUAUGUGCUUCCCUUAUAUCUUUCGAGCUUGAUAGUUUUUGCUCUAGUACUUCACUUAUAUCUUUUUGAGCACGGCGGUGGCUUGAUUUUAUAGAAAUUGCUAGUAUCUCAUGCUUCACUUAUAUUAUUUUGAGAGUCUUUUAGAACAACAUGGUAUUUUCUAUGGUUAUAAAUUGGUCCUUGAAUGGUAGGCAUCCAAGUUGGGUAUAAAAAAAACUAUCAUAGGAAGUGAAUUGGAUGCUAUGAUCAAUUUGAUACUUGAUAAUUGUUUUGAGAUAUGGAGGUAGUGAUAUUAAAGUCAUGCUAUGAAUUUAAAAAAUGCUUGUGUUGAAGUUAGCAAGUCCCGUAGCAUGCACAUAUGGUUAAAGUUGUGUAACAAAUUUGAAACAUGGAGUGUACCUGGCUUGUGCAUCCUUAUGAGCGGCGGUCGGGGACGAGCGAUGGUCUUUUCCUACCUGUCGGAGAUAUACCCCGCGGUAUGACCCUCCCAGAGUCAUAACCCGGCUGGGACUUUGUAAACCGGCGAUGGUAAACCGACAGACAGUUAAGACAGAUGGUAAACUGGCGAGUGGUAAACCGGCAGGUUUUAAGACAGAUGGUAACACCGGCAGCAGUUAAGUCAGAUGAUAACCCGGCAGGUCUUAGGUCAAUCAAACCCGGCAGGCAAUCAUAAACAGGCAGACCAUCAUAAACCGGCAGACAAUGUUAAACCGGCAGACCAUCAUAAACCGGCAGAUCAUGUUAAAGCGACAGACCAUCAUAAACCGGCAGACCAUGUUAAACCGGCACCAGACAGUGAUAACUGGGUUGCCAGGGGUUAUGAAGCCCAAUACAUUAAGAAGCACAUGAAGGGAACUCAAAAUAGUUUAAGUCUUAGUCCGAGAUGGACUCUACAUGCAACCCACCCCUUCAACUUAUAUAAGGAGGGGCAGGGCUCCCCAAAAGAGGGACAAGCAACAAGAAACAAUCUCUAGGGCUAGACACAACGAGGGAGAGCCGGUUUACGGCGACUCCCUCAUGAUGAUAAUGAGACCUAGCCACAAACAGCAUGUAGGGUUGUUACUGGAUGAUGUUUUCCGGGGCCCGAAGCUGUCUAAAUCUUUGUCUUGCGUGUUGUGUCUCUCGAUUCCGCUCAACCCCUCUCAAGCUAUCACAUAGAUGCGUUCGCCUCACGACUAAGUCCUCACACUAAGGACGUCUGACGUGACAAUUCCACGACAGUUGGCGCCUACCGUGGGGCUUGCGCACGAUGGUGUUGAGUUCUUGAAGGGAUUUCUCCUAGGGAUUGAGGACCUCGCAAUUUUCCGGAUAAGAAAGAUCAAUUUGAAAGGAUCUAUAUCAGUUUCAAGUUCAUCGGUCCAGAUUCAUAGUUUGGAAGGUUUAAUAAGAGAAGUUAAAGUUGCAUUUUGAUGGUUGCUGUAAGUCGCCAGUAUGAUUGGCGUGUCAAGUUUCCGUCGCUGGCUUGCCAAAACCUGAAUGAUCAGAGUCACCAUCACCAUUCAACCAUCAACAGCAAAGGAAAAGUCAAGAAAAGAAAACAAAGCACCGAGGAGGAUUCAAUCCAUCGCCGCAGGGUCUCAUUGCUAGCCACCCAAUCCAGUUGACUUCAGUCAAAAUAACUACAACCCGGAGAGGACUUUGAAACCUCCACGAUCUCUGCUACAGCUGCAGCUGCGCUUCGACCGCCCGGAUCUCCUUUGCCAUUGACCCGCCAGCGGCUGUGCUCCGACACCGGUUCGUCUACAGCACCUGGGUCGUGUCUGAUUAAACUGCUGCUCAAACCACUGCAUGGCCGAGCUGCCAAAGUCACCAAGACCAAUGGAAUUUUUAUAAAGUGCAGCCACGUCCAAUCAUUUCAAGGCUGGUCAGAUUUGCUCUGUGUUCGGAUUACUCCAUCUUGAAGAUCCAUUAGCAAAAGGGUAGCAUUGGGCGCCGGUGCGCCGGCCGAAAGUUUCGGCCGGUCUGCCCCCAGCCGCCCGAUGUAACUGCACCAGACCGUCAGAUUGCCUCCCCUAUUUUAUUUUUUCCUUACCUUAUCCUCGUCUCUAGCACACAGAGAGAGGAGCGAGCCAGUUAAGGCCGCCAUGGAUGCGGGCUCACGAAGCCCACGCUUGCCGCCUUGGCACCACAAGGCACCGCCCGUGCUCGUCGCCCUGGCCGCCUGUGGCGCUCGUCGCCCCGGCCAUGGCGCCUCCGGCGCUCGUCACAGGUGCCCAUCCUCGUCGCCGGUCCCCACUCGCACCACCUGCGUUCGUCCUCGGCCUCGUGCUCGCUGCCGUAUCCUGGGCCUCCCAUGCUUAUCGGCCAUGGCAACUCCGGCGCCGGUUGUAGUAAAAACGAACAAAUGGUUGCAGCAAUUCUCCGUCGCCGUCGCCGUCGCUACUCGCGACUCCGCCAUGGAUGGGUGUAGCAAAAUCCCACACCGGUAGUAGCAAAACUCGAGGACGGUUGCAACAAAAAAAAUCCACCACCAUAGUACGUCGCAGCUCCGCCGUGAUAGAUGUAGCAAAUUCCGUCACUGGUAGUCGCAAAAUUUGGCGAUGGUUGUAGCAAAAACCUCGGCCGUUUCCAGCAAAGUUCUUGUCAUCGGUUGCCUCAUUAAUUUGCUUCCCAUCGCCGCCAUUGACUUGGGGGUUGCAACUUUUCUGCACAACGGUUCGAGCACCUUCAAUGGGAGGUUGCAGCUUUUCUGCAGGGUCGAAGCUUUCAGCCGUUCGAAGCUGUCUACAGAAGCAGGUUGAAGCUUUUUUGCAUCUGCCGUCGCCGGCCACAAGUUCGCCGUCGUUGGUUGCAGCACGUUACUCUGACAGUAGUAGCUGUUUUUGUUGCCGAUCGUAGCUUUUCAGAGCAUGGGUUGCAACUUUCCUCAUCUCCCGGUUGCAGCUGUUUAUUGUCAUGGGCCACAAAACUACACGCCGAAGAUUGUAGCAAAUAGCGCCACCGGUUGUAGGAAAAAAAUGAGCUAGUUGUAGCAAAAAUUCAGCUAUGUUUCCAACUCGCUUGUUGGUUGCAGCAAAAAACAAUAGUGGUUCCAGCUUUGGAUUUGGCCAGUUGAAGCAAAACAAAAUGCUAGUUCCAGCAUCGUUAUCCGCUCACUGGCAUCGCAACCUUCACCCUGGUCAUCCAUGGAGACUCGUCGGCACGGCUUGGCACGACGCCCUUGGCUCUUCGUCUCCGGCACUAGUGGAUACCAGAUGCAGCACCCCCCGACCCCGUGCAUGUCAUCUCCAGCACCACAAGUCGCCGGCCGUGGGGUGGACGACGACCUCGCCGGCGAGAUUGGGCUGCGGCGGGGUAGGGGUCGAUGCAGGGGUAGACAGGGUGGACGGCGGCCUCGCCGGCGUGCUGGGGAUUGCAGCGGCAGGAACGAGGAAGACGCAUGUGUCGCUGACAAAAAGUAAGCGGACAGGGAGAAGGAUAAGUCGGGCUAGCUCAUCUCUUGUGGGACCCCGUGAAGCGGGAGUGCGCGUGAGCGGGCGACCGGCCGAAGGUUCGGCCGGCACGCCGUCUCCAAACGUUUCCCUUAGCAAAACGUUGUGUGAGAUUUUGAAGACAUCAGGAGAGUCAUACGUCUCUGAAGGUCAACUUUUGGUAUACGGGCCUUGGUCCGAGUUGUCCUGAGCUGCCAUUGCCGGUUCUCCUCCGUAGAUGCCCGACACCGCCAAGUCGCCCGCGGCAGAGCCGUCGUCGUCCGGAUCACCGCCGCCGGCUCCUUCAGCGAGAAGAUGACCACGGGUCUGGAUCCGGGUCGUGGACGGCCCUGCUCCAUUGACAAGUCACCCACGGCGUCGAAACUGGUGUCGCACCGCUGUCAAGAUUGAACCGGUGACAGUUUUCAAUGCUUGGCCUCCCGUGCGCUGUUCCAAACUGGCGCCCCCGAGUUGCUGCUCUGUUCCACUGCCAUAAACCGCCGUGGCCCUGAGCACGCACCAGAGGAAGGUGACGUCGGUGUUGUAUUACAUCACAUCAGCGAAGUUACAUCUUCGCCUCUAAACCGUCCGGCUUCAUCCGCCGAGCUGCUAAGCCGCCGUCUCCGAAACCUCCCACCUCGAGUCACCGGCCGGCUCUGUAUCACCAUCAUUGCUGAGCCGACAAAACGGCCAGUCCCCGAUCGCAUCUGAAAUUACAGUCAAACGACCCGGAAUCAGACUUUGAGGGAGAACCGGAUUAGGAUUCAUCAAUAAUGGCCACGACCCGGACAAGCAUCAACCACUCCGGGCCGGCUUCUCCUCCACUACGAGCCGCACGCGCUUCGUCUUGCUCCCGAGGCUGCGCCCCUGUGUUUCCUCCGUCGCCACCGACCCAUGGGCCGCUCUGCUCCUUCCACGCGUUGUGCCACAGCAGGGUCACCGCCGGCCGAUGGUCUUCAUCUGCUCCUCAACGGCCGCGCCUCUAUAGCCAUGGCCAUGACCUCGCUCCGAGCCACCACUGACGUGCCCUCGCCAAGCUGCCCGCAUGCUCAGACAACCGCUCCGCCCAGCUCCAGUGCUGCCUCGCCUCGCCACUUGCAGCUGGCUCCUCUGCAUUGGCCCGGUUGUGCCUCGCGCCCGCGGCCGCCCGGUUGAAUCGCCGCGAACCGCCCGCGUGCCCGCUGGCCUGGUUCCGUACGUUGCUCUGUCGGGCCGUUCCACCUCUCCGCAUGGUUGGCCGGGGCCUCUUCUCACCUCGUUGAUUCGGCCUCGCUGCUUUAAACCGGCGCCCCCGAGCUGCGUCCACUUGAGGGCCGGGCUGAUCGCCGAAUCGCUUCCGCUGACCUCCUUCUAGCGCCACAUCGCGCUCCCCUCCUCAUUGCACCGGGCCGCCUCUGCCCGUCAGCCGGCGUCCACUCCGUGUAUUCGGGCUGCCUGUCGGCUCCGCUCGCCGCGCCUGCUUGGCUGGCUCCGGCCUCCCGCCGGCUCGUCGCUGCCCUAUCCGGCCUCCAACGACCCGGCUGCGCCCGCUUGAUGGCUCUGCCCGUCCGGCGUCCUGCAUCCCAGCCACGCUGUCGCGUUGUCCGCGCCCGCGACGCUUCUCCGCGUCCGCGCCUAUAGCCGCUGGUUAAACCGCUGUGGGUUAAAGCGUUGCACCAACCUCUCUCCGAGCCAUCGAUGUGGGUCAUCGUACUCGCAGACUUGCGAAAAUGCCGUCUGCAUGCCCGUGGGCCUUCGAUCCAAGUCACCGCUGUGGUCUCCGCCUGUGCGCACAAACCGCCCGCGGGCCAAGCCGGCCGCCGCGCGACCUAGCCUCGUCUCCGUGAACCGGCAGUUGUUUCGAAGGGCCUGAUACCGCUGCUUCGCGUGCGUCUCCGUGAACCGGCAGUUGUCUGCCGUGCGUGGCUGCGGUCUUGAUCCGUCGGGUCCCCGCCUUCCGCGGUACUCCUUCAUCAAAUCGUCAAAGCCACCCGUCCUCCUCUUAAACUGCAGCUACGCCGAGCAAGCCGUCGCCAUGGACCACUUUGCCACAUCACCGGCGCUUCCUCUACCACGGCUCCUACCUCCAGUUCGCGUGUCGCUGUGCCUCGCCGGUGGUCAACCCGUCACUCCUUCUCAAGACACCAGGUCACCGUCGUCGCGUCCGCAGCUACCGUGGCGCCCCCGCGAGUCGCCACUUCCGCUUGCAAGUCGCUUCCACCACCAUGGCCCGCUCGUCUCCGUGUGACCUCCACGAGCCGACUAUGUAAACCGCCGCGGCCUGGUUGGUUCUGUCCGAGCUGCCACGUCUAGCUUCCCACUGCUAUGGGCUAUAGCCAUGAUCCACACAGGCCUUUACUCUCUGCGUUUUCCCUGUCAGAGAAAAGAAAGAGAUAAGAGGAAAUUGCCGUGACAAAAAGUCAAGUGGCCAGGUCCUUAGGCUAAGGCUACCAGAAACAGAAGCCAAUGGCUAGCUAGCUGCCGUAUUACCGUCAUGUGGAGACCUGGCGGAAGCCUGGCACAAUACUGCAAAUACUACGAUACUCAUUCAUCCGACAAACGCCAGGUGCUAUCUUUUCUUGUUAUUUUUAGCACAUAUUGUUUUUGUUAAAAAAACAAUUACUUUGUCUAUAUAUUUUUAUAUAUGCAGGACAAUGAUUCAUUGUUUGCUGUUGGACGGAUGUGCACAAGUCGUCGCCCGUGCAGUUCGAUCUACAUCAACUUGCCACGGUCGCACCUGCGAUUGACUGGCCAUCUGCACAACUUAUCGCGUCUGUGAUUGACCAUCUCGUCCAUGCCGGCUUACAAUGCCGCGGCCGACUCUCUUGUCUGUGCUGGCUUAUAACCCCACGGUGGAUAUUAACUGGUCUGACAUAUCAGGUGAAAUCCAUCCACUAUAUUUUUAUAUUAUAUAUUGCUUUCUUUAAAAAAGAGCAAUUACUCCGGCUUGCAAAGUUAUCUAAAUGCAGGACCCUAAACCACCAUAUUGGUGCAAAUUUACAAGCCAUCAGAAAAAGUUCCGGCUUAAAAUGGAUAUUCCGGUUAAAAAUCCGGUUUAAGGAAAAGAUGUCUCCCACAAAGCUUUGAAGCUCAAAAUCCGGUUUAACACCCGGUUCAAGAAGAAAUAUCUCUCGCAAAGUUCGAGUUUUCAAGAAAAAUCAUUUGGGAGCUUGGUCGUAUUCAAACCAUAGCUACACCUCUUGAUCGGCGUAAGGCCACCAGGGAAAUCACUUGGGGGCUUGGUUGUACUCGAACCAUAGCUACACCUCUUGAUCGGCGUAAGGCCAAUAGGAAAUCACUUAGUGGCCAAAGAGAGUGUUGCAAAAAGCACAACUUAAACAUAGGCACCCACUGAGCAUAGCUCAAAAUGUUAACUGGGGGCUCUUUGUGCAACGCAACAAAGAGUUUGAAAGGACCCUUGUAACAUGCUAUCAAGCACGGCUUGGAAGCCUGGUGUAUUCACCUAAAACCCCGGGUUAACCUGUCUUCAUCAAGUAAGCCACUCCUUUCCAGGUAAUCCUGGCAUGACCCGCUGAACAUUUGACAAGUCAAUCUUACACAGACCCUGAGCUUGUCAAAGUUAAAACGACGAUUGGUUAGUUGGAGGCCCAUCUUGAGAUGCUUUGCAAGAAUGGUUUAACUCAGUGGCCUGGCAGCCCAUGAAAAUCCUCGAAUUUGGGCCUGGCAGCCCUUGAAAAGCCUCGACUACACAGUUUUAUUUGCCUUUGUCAAGAUUUUUCUCUUUUGAUAAAAUUUUAUGUUGAACCGGCGUCUAUUGACCCGGCAUGAAUAUCAGUCAUCAAAUUAACCCGGUAUUUGUUAACCCGGUUUGACUUUCAACUACAAGUUGUCAGUACAUAAUCACUUAUAAUCCGGUGUUUAUUGACCCGGCCUAGCUUUGGACUAUAAGUCGCCAGUAUAUAUUUGGAUUGCGCCAUUGGAAUCAUGCGCUUAUAAAUCAUUGGGUAUAUUAUUCAAAUCUUUAAUAGCCAACAUGGCUGGAUUUUUAUUAUGGUUAUCAAUAACCAGUAUUAUGAUUAAGGUUUUCAAAGUCGCUUUAGCGCAAUGGCUAUCAUAUUAUCAAUGGAUAUGAUUUAUUUUACAAUUCAAGGAAUAGUCCCGAGUUGCUGCAGGCUUACAACCCGUCACUUGGGGGCUACAUUAUUUAAGUUGAGAUUAUUACAUCAAAUACACAAGUCUCAUGUCGCUGCAAGCAUGCACCAUGACACUUGGGGGCUAAUGCAAAUUCAUUUUUUGCUCACCUUAUUGAAGACCCGACUCAUCACGUUGUAAUGAGCCGUCCCUUGGGGGCUACCAAUUGCUCCUGUAAACAAUACAAGGUACAAAGCUUUUUAUCCAUUACAUUGAAGGGUCCACUGCUCGGUUGGUAAAGCAGAAGGCUCUUAACCUUGUGGACGGGGAUUCAAGCCCCACGAUGGGGGUUACAACAUAUGAUGUUAUUUUCAUUGAAGUAUAUAUCAAAGUCCCAGCUCAAUAUUAUCUUACUGAGCCGGCCCUUGGGGGCUACACGUUGUUGUUCAAAGUUUACAUGAUUAUAUUUACAAAGUCCCUGCUCAUUAUUGCAUAAUGACCCGACCCUUGGGGGCUACACUGGUUCAAGUUUUUAUGAGCAUCAGGCAAUUACAAGUCCCAAGUUGUUGCAAACAUGACAAACCGACACUUGGGGGCUACAAUUGAUAGGCAUAUAAGAGGUAUAUUUUCAAGCUGGAUGUUAACUACAGUUAUGACCCGGUGUUAUCAAUAUUUAUAAACCGGCAAGUUCUACAUUCUUAAACCGGCAAGUUCUACAUCCUUAAACCGGCUGAAGAUCAGAUGAUUAUUACAAGGACCAAUAUUUUUGUUAAGCAUUGGGAGCUGAGUCAAAUGAAUUAUUCUUCACGAUAUUUCUCUGUGACAAACCAAUGUCAGCAAGUUGAUUAUGAAGCUGGCCUAUUGACCCAGAUUUUCUAGAAGAAGGAAAUGACAAGGACUUAAGGAUGCUCAGGAUCAGUUUAACAUGGAUAAAUCCAAAUUAAACUUAUGGCUAAUGUCGGGGAUAUACCCCUGCGGUAUGACCCGACCAGAGUCAUAACCUGGCUGGGACUUGGUAAACUGGCGAUGGUAAACCGGCAGACAGUUAAGACAGAUGGCUAAGACAGACAGUAAACCGGCAAGUGGUAAAACGGCAGGUGUUAAGACAGAUGGUAACACCGGCAGGAGUUAAGUCAGAUGAUAACCCGGCAGAUGUUAAGUCAAUCAAACCUGACAGGCAAUCAUAAACCGGCAGACCAUGUUAAACCAACAGACCAUCAUAAACCGGCAGACCUUGUUAAACCGGCAGACCAUCAUAAAUCGGCAGACCAUGUUAAACCGGCACCAGACAGUGAUAACUGGGUUGCCAGGGGUUAUGAAGCCCAAGACGUUAAGAAGCCCAUGAAGGGAAGUCAAAAUAGUUGAAGUCUUAGUCCGAGAUGGACUCUACAUGUAACCCGGCCCUUCAACUAAUAUAAGGAGGGGCAGGGCUCCCCAAAAGAGGGACAAGCAACAAGAAACAAUCUCUAGGGCUAGACACAACGAGGGAGAGCCGGUUUACGGUGACUCCCUCAUGAUGAUAAUGAGACCUAGCCACAAACAACAUGUAGGGUUGUUACCGGAUGAUGUUACCCAGGGCCCGAAGCUGUCUAAAUCUUUGUCUUGCAUGUUGCGUCUCUCGAUUCCGCUCAACCAUCUCCAGCUACCACAUAGAUGCGUUGGCCUCACGACUAAGUCCUCACACUAAGGACAUCUGACGUGACAAUUCCACGACACUACCAAUCUAUCCCUCUAGGAGCAUGCGCGUAGUGCUUGAUUUUUGAUGACUUCUAAAUUUUUGCAAUAAGUAUAUGAGUUUUUUUGACUAAUGUCGAGUCCAUGGAUUAUACGCACUUUUACCUUUCCACCAUUGCUAGCCUCUUCGGUACCGUGCAUUGCCCUUUCUCACCUUGAGAGUUGGUGCAAACUUCGCUGGUGCAUCCAAACCCCGUGAUAUGAUACGCUCUAUCGCACAUAAAUCUCCUUAUAUCUUCCUCGAAAUAGCCACCAUACCUACCUAUUAUGGCAUUUCCAUAGCCAUUCCGAGAUAUAUUGCCAUGCAACUUUCCACCGUUCCGUUCAUCAUCUUCAUGACAUACUUUACUUUUGUCAUAUUGCCAUUGCAUGAUCAUGUAGUUGACAUCGUAUUUGUGGCAAAGCCACCAUGCCUAAUUUUUUUAUACAUGUCACUCUUGAUUCAUUACACCAUCCCGGUACACCGCCGGAGGCAUUCAUAUAGAGUCAUAUCUUGUUCUAGUUUCGAGUUGUAAUUCAUAUGUUGUAAUCAAUGAAUGUGUGAUGAUCAUCAUUAUUAGAGCAUUGCCCAAAAAAAUAAAAAAAAGAGAAAGGCCAAAAGAAAAAAAAAGAAAGGCCAAAGAAAAAAAGAAAAAAAGAAAAAAAAAGAAAAUAAAUAAAAAGGGCAAUGUUACUAUCUCUUUUUCCACACUUGUGCUUCAAAGUAGCACCAUGUUCUUCAUGUAGUGAGUCUCAUACUUUGUGCUUCAAAGUAGCACCAUGUUCUUCGUAUAGUGAGUCUCAUAUGUUGUCACUUUCAUAUGCUAGUGGGAAUUUUUCAUUAUAGAACUUGGCUUGUAUAUUCCUACGAUGGGCUUCCUCAAAUGCCCUAGGUCUUCGUGAGCAAGCAAGUUGGAUGCACACCCACUAGUUUUCUUUUAUUGAGCAUUCAUUUAUAGCUCUAGUGCAUCCGUUGCAUGGCAAUCCCAACUCCUCAUGUUGACAUCAAUUGAUGGGCAUCUCCAUAGCCCGUUGAUUAUCCUCGUCAAUGUGAGACUUUCUCUUUUUUUGUCUUCUCCACACAAUCCCCAUCAUCAUAUUCUAUUCCACCCAUAGUGCUAUAUCCAUGGCUCACGCUCAUGUAUUGCGUGAAGGUUGAAAAAGUUUGAGAUUAUUUAAGUACGAAACAAUUGCUUGGCUUGUCAUCAGGGGUGUAGAAUUUGGGAACAUCACUGUGUGACGAAAAUGAAGCAUAACCUAACUAUAUGAUUUUGUAGGGAUGAACUUUCUUUAGCCAUGUUAUUUUGAGAAUACAUGAUUGCUUUGAUUAGUAUGCUUGAAGUAUUACUAUUUCUUUUAUCAAUAUGAACUUUUAUUUUGAAACAUUUGGAUCUGAACAUUCAUGCCACAGUAAAGAAAAAUACAUUGAGAAUUAUGCUAGGUAGCAUUCCACAUCAAAAAUUCUAUUUUUAUCAUUUACCUACUCGAGGACGAGCAGGAAUUAAGCUUGGGGAUGCUUGAUAUGUCUCCAACAUAUCUAUAAUUUUUUAUUGUUCCAUGAUAUUAUAUUACUCCUUUUGGAUGUUGAUGGGCUUUAUUUUACACAUUUAUAUCAUUUUUGGGACUAACCUACUAACCGGAGGCCUAACCCGUAUUGCUGUUUUUUUUGCCUAUUCUAGUAUUUCAAAGAAAAGGAAUAUCAAACGGAGUCCAAACGGAAUGAAACCUUCGGGAGCAUGAUUUUUGGAACGAGCGUGAUCCGAAGAACUUGGAGUGCAAGUCAUGAAGCAAACGAGGCGGCCAGGAGAUAGGAGGGCGCGCCCACCCCCUGGGCGCGCCCCCAUUUCUCCUGGGCCCCUUGAGCGGCCACCGACGUAAUUCUUCCUCCUAUAUAUACCUACGUACCGCGAAAACAUCUAGAGAGCCACCAAAACACAAUCUCCACCGCCGUAACCUUCUGUAUCCGCGAGAUCCCAUCUUGCAGCCUUUGCCGGUGCUCCGCCGGAGGGGGAAUCGACCAUGGAGGGCUUCUACAUCAACACUAUAGCCCCUCCGAUGUGUUGUGAGUAUUUUACCACAGACCUUCGGGUCCAUAGUUAUUAGCUAGAUGGCUUCUUCUCUCUUUUUGGAUCUCAAUACAAUGUUCUCCCCCUCUCAUGUGGAGAUCUAUUCGAUGUGAACUCUUUUUGCGGUGUGUUUGUCGAGAUCCGAUGAAUUGUGGGUUUAUGGUCAAGUUUAUCUAUGAGAAAUAUUUGAAUCUUCUCUGAAUUCUUUUAUGUAUGAUUGAGUUAUCUUUGCAAGUCUCUUUGAAUUAUCAGUUUGGUUUGGCCUACUAGAUUGAUCUUUCUUGCCACGGGAGAAGUGCUUAGCUUUGGGUUCAAUCUUGCGGUGUCCUUACCCAGCGACAGAAAGGGUUGCAAGGCACGUAUUGUAUUGUUGCCAUCGAGGAUAAAAAGAUGGGGUUUAUAUCAUAUUGCUUGAGGUUAUCCCUCUACAUCAUGUCAUCUUUCUUAAUGCAUUACUCUGUUCUUAUGAACUUAAUACUCUAGAUGUAUGCUGGAUAGUGGUCGGUGUGUGGAGUAAUAGUAGUAGAUGCAGGCAGGAGUCGGUCUACUUGUCACGGAAGUGAUGCCUAUAUACAUGAUCAUGCCUAGAUAAUCUCAUAAUUAUUCACUUUUCUAUCAAUUGCUCGACAGUAAUUUGUUCACCCACCGUAAUACCUAUGCUAUCUUGAGAGAAGCCACUAGUGAAACCUAUGGCCCCUGGGUCUAUCUUUUAUCAUAUAAGCUUUCAAUCUACUUUUAUUUUCCUCUUUACUUUUUGCAUCUAUAUUAUAAAAUACCAAAAAUAUAUUUGUCUUAUCAUAUUAUCUCUAUCAGAUCUCACUUUUGCAAGUGGUCGUGAAGGGAUUGACAACCCCUUUAUCUUAUCAUAUUAUGUCUAUGGAGGAAGGAGUACAUCAAGGUUCCCAACUGGAGGUCUCCUCCUCCUUCGCAGCCGCGUCAGGGCACCCCACCUCCUCCUCCUCCUCCUCCUAUCGCAAGUUAGGGCACUCCACCUCCUCCAGCGCAUGAGGGCACUCCACUGUUGGGGAACGUAGCAAAAAUUCAAAAUUUUCUAUGCAUGACCAAGAUCAAUCUAUUGAGUAACUAGCAACAAGAGAGAGGGGAGUGCAUCUUCAUACCCUUGAAGAUUGCGAUGCGGAAGCGUUGCAUGAACGUGGUCGGUGCAGUCGUUCAAUAAGCGAUCCAGAUCGCGGCUGAAUCCGAUCUAAGCACCGAGCAACGGUGCCUCCACAUUCAACACACGUACAGCCCGGGGACGUCUCCUCCUUCUUGAUCCAGAAAGGGGAGAGGAGAAGUUGAGGGAGAGCUCCGGCAGCACAACGGCGUGGUGGUGGAGCUUGCAGUUCUCCGGCAGAGCUUCGCCAAGCACUACUACUACGGAGGAGGUGUUGGGAAGGGAGAGGCCUGCGCCAGGGGAAGGGUGAAGCUCCCAUGCGCCUCCCGACUAUAUAUAGGGGUGGAGGGGGCUGGUUUCUUGCCAUCCAAGUCCAUUGGAGCGUUGGCAAAGGUGGGAGGAAAGAAAUCCCAUCAUUUCCUUCCCCACCGAUUAUUAUCCCCCUUUUUUAGGGAUCUUGAUCUUAUCACUUCGGGAUAUGAUCUUAUUCCUUCUAAGGGGGGAUCUUGGUGCGCCUUGACCAGGGGUGUGGGGCCUUGCCCCCACUACCCACGUUCAUGUGGGUCCUCCCAUGCAGGUGGGCCCCACUCCGGAACCUUCUAGAACCUUCCCGGUACAAUACCGAAAAAUCCCGAACAUUUUCCGGUGGCCAAAAUAGGACUUCCCAUAUAUAAAUAUUUACCUCCGGACCAUUCCGGAACUCCUCGUGACGUCCGGGAUCUCAUCCGGGACUCCGAACAACAUUAGUUAACUACACACUAAUUCCCAUAACAACUCUAGCGUCACCGAACCUUAAGUGUGUAGACCCUACGGGUUCGGGAAUCAUGCAGACAUGACCGAGACAGCUCUCUGGCCAAUAACCAACAGCGGGAUCUAGAUACCCAUGUUGGCUCCCACAUGUUCCACGAUGAUAUCAUCGGAUGAACCACGAUGUCAAGGAUUCAAGCAAUCCUGUAUACAAUUCCCUUUGUCAAUCGGUACGUUACUUGCCCGAGAUACGAUCGUCGGUAUCCUAAUACCUCGUUCAAUCUCGUUACCGGCAAGUCACUUUACUCGUUCCGUAAUGCAUGAUCCCAUGACUAACUACUUAGUCACAUUGAGCUCAUUAUGAUGAUGCAUUACCGAGUGGGCCCAGAGAUACCUCUCCGUCACACGGAGUGACAAAUCCCAGUAUCGAUUCAUGCCAACCCAAUAGACACUUUCGGAGAUACCCGUAGUGCACCUUUAUAGCCACCCAGUUAUGUUGUGACGUUUGGCACACCCAAAGAAUUCCUACGGUAUCUGGGAGUUGCACAAUCUCAUGGUCUAAGGAAAUGAUACUUGACAUUAGAAAAGCUUUUAGCAAACGAACUACACGAUCUUGUGCUAUGCUUAGGAUUGGGUCUUGUCCAUCACAUCAUUCUCCUAAUGAUGUGAUCCAGUUAUCAAUGACAUCCAAUGUCCAUGGUCAGGAAACCGUAACCAUCUAUUGAUCAACAAGCUAGUCAACUAGAGGCUCACUAGGGACAUGUUGUGGUCUAUGUAUUCACACAUGUAUUACGGUUUCUAGUUAAUACAAUUAUAGCAAGAACAAUAGACAAUUAUCAUGAACAAGGAAAUAUAAUAAUAACCAUUUUAUUAUUGCCUCUAGGGCAUAUUUCCAACAGUCUCCCAAUUGCACUAGAGUCAAUAAUCUAGUUAACAUCACUAUGUGAUUGCAAUGAAUUCAACACCCAUUGGGUUUGAUCAUAUCUCGCUUGUGAGAGAGGUUAUUAGUCAACGGGUCUGAAUCUUUCAGAUUCGUGUGUGCUUUACAAAUCUCUAUGUCAUCCCCUAGAUGCGCUACCACGCGCUAUUUGGAUCUAUUCCAAAUCACUGUUCUACUAUACGAAUCCGGUUUACUACUUAGAGUCAUCCGGAUUAGUGUCAAAGUUUGCAUCGACGUAACCCUUUACGACAAACUCUUUUACCACCUCCAUAAUCGAGAAAAUUCCUUAGUCCACUAGUUACUAAGGAUAAGUUUGACCGCUAUCAUGUGAUCCAUUCCUGGAUCACUCUUGUACCCCUUGAUUGAUUUCAUGGCAAGGCACACUUCGGGUGCGGUACACAGCACAACAUACUAUAGAGCCUACGUCUAAAGCAUAGGGGACGACCUUUGUCCUUUCUCUCUCUUAUGCCGUGGUCAGAUCUUGAGUCUUACUCAAUGCUCACACCUUAUAACAAAGCCAAGAACUCCUUCUUUGCUGAUUUGUUUGAACUCCUUCAAAAUCUUGUCACGGUAUGUAUUCAUUUGAAAGUACUAUUCAGCGUUUUUGAUCUAUCCUUAUAGAUCUUGAUGCUCAACUUUCAAGUAGCUUAAUCCAGGUUUUCCAUUGAAAAACACCUUUCAAACAACCCUAUAUGCUCUCCAGAAAUUCUACAUCAUUUCCGAUCAACAAUAUGUCAACAACAUAUACUCAUCAGAAAUUCUAUAGUGCUCCCACUCACUUCUUUGGAAAUACAAGUUUCUCAUAAACUUUGUAUAAACCCAAAAUCUUUGAUCAUCUCAUCAAAGCGUAUAUUCCAUCUCCGAGAUGCUUACUCCAGUCCUUAGAAGGAUUACUAGAGCUUUGCAUACUUAUUAGCAUCUUUCAGGAUUGACAAAACCUUCUGGUUGUAUCACAUACAACCUUUCCUCAAGAAAAUCGUCAAGGAAACAAUGUUUUGACAUCCUAUCUGCAAGAUUUCAUAAAUAAUACAUCAACUGCUAACAUAACUCCAACAGACUCUUAGCAUCGCUACGAGUGAGAAAGUCUCAUCGUAGUCAACUCCUUGAACUUGUCGGAAAACAUCUUAGCGACAAGUCGAGAUUUCUUAAUGGUGACACUUACCAUCAUCGUCCGUCUUCCUUUUAAAAAUCCAUUUGUACUCAAAAGCCUUACGACCAUCAAGUAGUUCUCCCAAAGUCUAUACUUUGUUUUCAUACAUGGAUCCUCUCUCGGAUUUUAUGGCCUCGAGCCAAUCAUCGGAAUCCGGGCCCACCAUCGCUUCUCCACAGCUCGUAGGUUCAUUGUUGUCUAGCAACAUGACCUCCAAGACAGGAUUACCAUACCACUCAGAAGCAGUAUGCGUCCUUGUCGACCUACGAGGUUUGGUAGUGACUUGAUCUGAAGUUUCAUGAUCACUAUCAUCAGCUUCCACUUCAACUGGUGUAGGCGCCACAGGAACAACUUCCUGUGCCCUACUAUAGAUUGGUUGAAGUGAUGGUUCAAUAACCUCAUCAAGUCUCCACCAUCCUCCCACUCAAUUCUUUCAAGAGAAACUUUUCCUCGAGAAAGGACCCUUUUCUAGAAACAAUCACUUUUGCUUCCGGAUCUGAAAUAGGAGGUAUACCCAACUAUUUUGGGUGUCCUAUGAAGAUGCAUUUAUCCGCUUUGGGUUUGAGCUUAUCAGGCUAAAACUUUUCCACAUAAGCUUCGCAGCCCCAAACUUUUAAGAAAUGAUAGCUUAAGUUUCUCUAAACCAUAGUUCAUACAUUGUCAUCUCAACGGAAUUAUGUGGUGCCCUAUUUAAGGUGAAUGCGGUUGUCUCUAGUGCCUAACCCAUAAAUGAUAGUGGUAAUUCGAUAAGAGACAUCAUGGUAUGCACCAUAUCCAAUAGGGUGCAGCUGUGAUGUUCGGACACACCAUCACACUAUGGUGUUCCAGGCGGUAUUAGUUGUGAAACAAUUUCCACAAUGUCUUAAUUGUAUACCAAACUCAUAACUCAGAUAUUGAUCUCUAUGAUCAUAUCAUAGGCAUCUUAUCCUUUUGCCACAAUGAUCUUCUACUUCACUCUGAAAUUACUUGAACCUUUCAAUAAUUCAGACUUGUGUUUCAUCAAAUAAAUAUACUCAGAAUCUACUCAAAUCAUCUGUGAAGUAAGAACAUAACGAUAUCCACUGCGUGCCUCAGCACUCAUUCGACUGCACACAUCAAAAUGUAUUACUUCCAAAAAGUUACUUUCUUGUUCCAUCUCACUGAAAACGAGGCCUUUCAGUCAUCUUGUGCAUGUGGUAUGAUUUGCAGGUCUCAAGUGAUUCAAAAUCAAGUGAGUCCAAAUUAUCCAUCUGCAUGGAGUUUCUUCAUGCGUAUAUACCAAUAGACAUGGUUCGCAUGUCUCAAACUUUUCAAAAACGAGUGAGUCCAAAGAUCCAUCAACAUGGAGCUUCUUCAUGCGUUUUUAUACCAAUAUGACUCAAAUGGCAGUGCCACAAGUAGGUGGUACUAUCAUUAUUGUCUUAUAUCUUUUGGCAUGAACAUGUGUAUCACUACGAUCGAGAUUCAAUAAACCAUUCAUUUUAGGUGCAAGACCAUUGAAGGCAUUAUUCAAAUAAACAGAGUAACCAUUAUUCUCCUUAAAUGAAUAAUCGUAUUAUGAUAAACAUAAUCCAAUCAUGUCUAUGCUCAACGCAAACACCAAAUAACCAUUAUUUAGGUUUAACACCAAUCUCGAUGGUAGAGGGAGCAUGCGAUGCUUGAUCACAUCAACCUUGGAAACACUUCCAACACAUAUCCUCAUCUCACCUUUAGCUAGUCUCCAUUUAUUCCGCGGCUUUUAUUUCAAGUUACUAACACUUAGCAACCGAACCGGUAUCUAAUACCCUGGUGCCACUAGGAGUACUAGUAAAGUACACAUUAAUAUAAUGUAUAUCCAAUAUACUUCUGUCGACCUUGCCAGCCUUCUCAUCUACCAAGUAUCUAGGGUAGUUCUGCUUCAGUGACCGUUCCCCUCAUUACAGAAGCACUUAGUCUCGGGUUUGGGUUCAACCUUCGGUUUCUUCACUAGAGCAGCAACUGAUUUGCCGUUUCAUGAAGUAUCCCUUCUUGCCCAUGCACUUCUUGAAACUAGUGGUUUUACUAACCAUCAACAAUUGAUGCUCCUACUUAAUUUCUACUUUCGCGGUGUCAAACAUCGUGAAUUGCUCAAGGAUCAUCAUGUCUAUCCCUGAUAUGUUAUAGUUCAUCGUGAAGCUCUAAUAGCUUGGUGGCAGUGACUAUGGAGAACCAUCACCAUCUCAUCUGGAAGAUUAACUCCCACUCGAUUCAAGUGAUUGUAUUACUCAGACAAUCUGAGCACAUGCUCAAUGAUUGAGCUUUUCUCCCUUAGUUUGCAGGUUAAGAAACUUGUCGGAGGUCUCAUACCUCUUGACGUGGGCACGAGCCUGAAAUCCUAAUUUCAGCUCUUGGAACAUCUCAUAUGUUCUGCGACGUUUCAAAAAAUGUCUUCGCUGCCUCAAUUCUAAACCGUUCUAAAAUUUUCUCUAGGAACAUAUCUUAAACAGUAGAAUUAAAGCGUAUGCUACGACAUAAUUUGCAAAGACCUUUUGACUAUGUUCAUGAUAAUUAAGUUCAUCUGAUUAUUUAAUGAACUCACACUUAGAUAGACAUCCCUCUAGUCAUCUAAGUGAUACAUGAUCCGAGUCAACUAGGCCGUGUCCGAUCACCACGUGAGACGGACUAGUCAUCAUCGGUGAACAUCUACAUGUUGAUCGCAUCUGCUAUACGACUCAUCUUCGACCUUUCGUCUCUUGUGUUCCAAGGCCAUGUCUGUACAUGCUAGGCUCGUCAAGUCAACCUAAGUGUUUUGCAUGUGUAAAUCUGGCUUACACCCAUUGUAUGCGAACGUUUGAAUCUAUCACACCAGAUCAUCACGUGGUGCUUCGAAACAACGAACCUUCGCAACGGUGCACAGUUAGGGGGAACACUUUCUUGAAAUUUUAUGAGGGAUCAUCUUAUUUAUGCUACCAUCGUUCUAAGCAAAUAAGAUGCAAAAACAUGAUAAACAUCUCAUGCAAUCAAAUAGUGACAUGAUAUGGCCAACAUCAUUUUGCUCCUUUUGAUCUCCAUCUUCGGGGCGCCAUGAUCAUCAUCGUCACCGGCAUGACACCAUGAUCUCCAUCAUCAUGAUCUCCAUCAUCGUGUCUUGAUGAAUUUGUCUGGCCAACUAUUACUUCUACUACUAUGGCUAACGGUUUAGCGAUAAAGUAAAGUAAUUACGUGGUGUUAUUCAAUGACACGGAGGUCAUACAAUAAAUUAGGACAACUCCUAUGGCUCCUGCCAGUUGUCAUACUCAUCGACAUGCAAGUCGGGAUUCCUAUUACAAGAACAUGAUCAAUCUCAUACAUCACAUAUAUUUCAUUCAUCACAUCCUUUGGCCAUAUCACAUCACACGGCAUAUGCUGCAAAAACAAGUUAGACGUCCUCUAAUUGUUGUUGCAAGUUUUUACGUGGCUGCUAUAGGUUUCUAGCAAGAACGUUUCUUACCUACGCCAAAACCACAACGUGAUAUGCCAAUUGCUAUAUACCCUUCAUAAGGACCCUUUUCAUUGAAUCUGAUCCGACUAAAGUGGGAGAGACAGACACCCGCUAGCCACCUUAUGCAACUAGUGCAUGUCAGUCGGUGGAACCUGUCUCACGUAAGCGUACAUGUAAGGUCGGUCCGGGCCGCUUCAUCCCACGAUGCCGCUGAAUCAAGAUAAGACUAGUAGUGGUAAGUAAAUUGACAAAAUCGACAUCCACAACAACUUGUGUUCUACUCGUGCAUAGAAACUACGCAUAGACCUAGCUCAUGAUGCCACUGUUGGGGAACGUAGCAGAAAUUCAAAAUUUUCUAUGCAUCACCAAGAUCAAUCUAUUGAGUAACUAGCAACGAGAGAGAGGGGAGUGCAUCUUCAUACCCUUGAAGAUCGCGAUGCGGAAGCGUUGCAAGAACGCGGUCGGUGGAGUCGUUCACUAAGCGAUUCAGAUCGCGGCUGAAUCCGAUCUAAGCACCAAACAACGGUGCCUCAACGUUCAACACACGUACAGCCCGGGGACGUCUCCUCCUUCUUGAUCCAGCAAGGGGAGAGGGUAAGUUGAGGGAGAGCUCUGGCAGCACGACGGCAUGGUGGUGGAGCUUGCAGUUCUCCGACAGAGCUUCGCCAAGCACUACGGAGGAGGAGGAGGUGUUGGGGAGGGAGAGGGUUGUGCCAGGGGAAGGGUGAAGCUCCCAUGUGCCUCCCCACUAUAUAUAGGGGUGGAGGGGGCUGGUUUCUUGCCCUCCAAGUCCAUUGGGGCGUUGGCAAAGGUGGGAGGAAAGAAAUCCCAUCAUUUCCUUCCCCACCGAUUUUUAUCCCCCUUUUUUAGGGAUCUUGAUCUUAUCCCUUCGGGAUAUGAUCUUAUUCCUUUUAAGGGGGAUCUUGGUGCGCCUUGACCCCACUACCCACGUUCAUGUGGGUCCCCCCAUGCAGGUGGGCCCCACUCCGGAACCUUCUAGAACCUUCCCGGUACAAUACCAAAAAAUCCCGAACAUUUUCCGGUGGCCAAAAUAGGACUUCCCAUAUAUAAAUCUUUACCUCCGGACCAUUCCGGAACUCCUCGUGAAGUCCAGGAUCUCAUCCAGGACUCUGAACAACAUUCGGUAACUGCACAAUAAUUCCCAUAACAACUCUAGCGUCACCGAACCUUAAGUGUGUAGACUCUACGGGUUCGGGAAUCAUGCAGACAUGACCAAAACAGCUCUCUGGCCAAUAACCAACAGCGGGAUCUAGAUACCCAUGUUGGCUCCCACAUGUUCCACGAUGAUCUCAUCGGAUGAACCACGAUGUCAAGGAUUCAAGCAAUCCCGUAUACAAUUCCCUUUGUCAAUCGGUACGUUACUUGCCCGAGAUUCGAUCGUCGGUAUCCCAAUACCUCGUUCAAUCUCGUUACCGACAAGUCACUUUACUCCUUCCGUAAUGCAUGAUCCCGUGACUAACUACUUAGUCACAUUGAGCUCAUUAUGAUGAUGCAUUACCGAGUGGGCCCAGAGAUACCUCUCCGUCACACGGAGUGACAAAUCCCUGUAUCGAUCGAUUCGUGCCAACCCAACAGACACUUUCGGAGAUACCCGUAGUGCACCUUUAUAGCCACCCAGUUACGUUGUGACGUUUGGCACACCCAAAGCAUUCCUACGGUAUCUGGGAGUUGCACAGUCUCAUGGUCUAAGGAAAUGAUACUUGACAUUAGAAAAGCUUUUAGCAAACGAACUACACGAUCUUGUGCUAUGCUUAGGAUUGGGUCUUGUCCAUCACAUUAUCAAUGACAUCCAAUGUCCAUGGUCAGGAAACCAUAACCAUCUAUUGAUCAACGAGCUAGUCAACUAGAGGCUCACUAGGGACAUGUUGUGGUCUAUGUAUUCACACAUGUAUUACGGUUUCCAGUUAAUACAAUUAUAGCAUGAACAAUAAACAAUUAUCAUGAACAAGGAAAUAUAAUAAUAACCAUUUUAUUAUUGCCUCUAGGGCACAUUUCCAACAUCCAACUCCUCCUUCUCCUCCUCCGGUGUGCCAGCGGACUCCGCUGCCUCAUCAACGGUGGAAGAGAGCGACGCCGCUUCGGCGGCUAGCAGUACAAGACGGCGGGAAGAAAUACAGAUUUGGUCCAAAAAGCUUGAAGCCCAUAUGAGAAGAGUAACGAGGAAAUGGAUGAAAUCGUAGAAGCCGAAGUGCAGGCCCAUUUUGCAAGGAAAUGGUAGAUCCAGUGAAAGCGAAGCACACUCUGGAUGCCCUUAAGUGACCACCACCGUCUUCGCCGCGAUCCAACUAUGAACGUGUUAUUGAAAAGACAUUUUAGGAAGCGCAGCAUUUGGGAAGUACUUCCAGUGAUGCAGUGCUAGCAAAAGGAUGAACUGGGAAAACAAUUCCCUAGCUCGGCGAACAGGCGAAGCAAUCAUGCCGCCUACUCAAGGUGUCUAGUGAUAUCGUCGCUAAUCAUCCAGGGCUACUGCCCGGUACCAAUCUUUGUGAUUACCUGGCUGAUGAUGUACAGUUUGAAAUGUUAGAGGUAGUAGAGAUCUUUAUAUACGAGUACGGGAAGUCUCUUGUUAAACGUGAUCAUCCUCCUCUAAUAAGGAUGAUGCGAAGAUUGCAUGAAUGAUACAUGGAUACCUGCAGGAAGUCUAGGAAGGAUAGUUUGAUGGUGAGAAUUAAAGAGGAGCAUGACCUCAUUAGAGUCGACCUGAUGCCUGUUGAAUUUGUGGAGUUAUUUCAGUUACACUAGUAGUAAACAAGGCUAUCUUUCGGGCCUGGCCAGCCCAUUAGUCCCGGUUCUUCAAGAACCGGGACCCAUGGGGGCUAUUAGACCCGGUUCAUGAGCCCAGGGGGGCGGCCGGGGCCUCGUGGGCAUUGGUCCCGGUUCGUCUGGAACAAUUUGUCCCGGUUCUAGGCACGAACCUUGACCAAUGGACCUUGCUCCUAGCCCACACCCAUUGGUACCGGUUCAUGCCUUGAACCGGUGUAGAAGGGGGGCUUUAGUCCCGGUUCAUGCCACAAACCGGGACAAAUAAUUUGCCUAUAUACACCCAUCGCCGCGGCAGAGCAUUCCAAAGUGCUCUGUUUUUUCAAUACGGCGAGGAGAGGGCAGUUGGGUGCUCUAGUUCACCUCCUAUGCACAUGAGGUGUUCGAUGAAAUGCCCGAGCCACACUAGUUAAGCUUUCUCCCCUCGAAGCUCGACCUUGGAGCUCCAUUUUUUGCAAGAUUUGUCUAGAUUUAGCGGUCCGUCACGCCCCGUCCCCGUUUUCACGGCCGUUGAUCGCCCGCGCCGAUCUCGUCGCCGACACCACCGUGGUGAGCCUCUUGUUCUUAUCUUCUUUCUGAUACUUGUCUGAUUUUCUUACUUUAGAUAGAUAUUUGUCUGAUUUUCUAACUUUUGACACACAUAAUUAUAUAUAAUGCACGCAGAUGAACCGGCAAUGGAUGUAUGGUGACAGACACACCUCCGUGUACAUUAAGGGCGUGCAUAAUUUUCUUGAAGUGGUUGAAAUACGAAGUCUUACUCUGACCGGAAAAUCCUUCACACCCAUCAGCUUUACAAGGGUUUCAUGCCACACUAUAAUGUUUGGACUAGGCACGGAGAAAUAGGGGUUAUGAUGGAAUACAGCAAAGAAGAAGAGGACGAUGACAACUAUGUGCCCCCUGAAUACGGUGAUGCUGCAACGGGGGGAGCUGCUGAAGAUCAAGAGGAACCAGACGAUGUGCCCGAUGUUGCUGCAACGGGGGAAGCCGCGGAAGAUCAAGAGGAACCAGAUGAUGUGCCCGAUGAUGAUCUCCGCCGGGUCAUUCUCGAUGCAAGGACGCAAUGCGAAAGUCAAAAGGAGAAGCUGAAGUUCGAUCGCAUGUUAGAGGAUCAAAAAAAAGGUUGUACCCCAAUUGCGAAGAUGGCAACACAAAGCUGGGUACCGUACUGGAAUUGCUGGAGUGGAAGACAGAGAAUGUUGUGCCUGACAAAGGAUUUGAGAAGCUAUUGAAAAUAUUGAAGAAGAAGCUUCCAAAGGAUAAUGAAUUGCCCGACAGUACGUACGCAGGAAAGAAGGUCGUAUGCCCUCUAGGAUUGGAGGUGCAGAAGAUACAUGCAUGCCCUAAUGACUGCAUCCUCUUUCGCAGUGCGUACAAAGAUUUGAACGCAUGCCCGGUAUGUGGUGCAUUGCGGUAUAAGAUCAGACGAGAUGACCCUGGUGAUGUUGACGGCGAGCACCACGGGAAGAGAGUUCCUGCAAAGGUGAUGUGGUAUGCUCCUAUAAUACCACGGUUCAAACGACUGUUCAGAAACAAAGAGCAUGCCAAGUUGAUGCGAUGGCACAGUGAGGACCGUAAGAAAGAGGGAAGUUGAGAGCACCCGUUGACGGGUUGCAAUGGAGAAAAAUCGAGAGAGAGUACUGGGCUGAGUUUGCACGUGACCCAAGGAACGUAUGGUUUGGUUUAAGCAUGGAUGUCAUUAAUCCUUUCGGGGAGCAGAGCAGCAAUCACAGCACCUGGCCCGUGACUCUAUGUAUGUAUAACCUUCCUCCUUGGAUGUGCAUGAAGCGGAAGUUCAUUAUGAUGCCAGUUCUCAUCCAAGGCCCUAAGCAACCCGGCAACGACAUUGAUGUGUACCUAAGGCCAUUAGUUGAAGAACUUUUAUAGUUGUGGAAUGGAAAUGGUGUACGUGCGUGGGAUGAGCACAGACAGGAGGAAUUUAACCUACACGCGUUGCUGUUUGUAACCAUCAACGAUUGGCCCACUCUCAGUAACCUUUCAAGACAGACAAACAAGGGAUACCACGCAUGUACGCAUUGUUUAGCUGACACCGAAAGUAUGUACCUGGGAAGCUGCAGGAAGAAUGUGUACUUGGGCCAUCGUCGAUUUCUUCUGACCAACCAGCAAUGUCGAAAGAAAGGCAAGCAUUUCAAAGGCGAGGCAGAUCACCGGAAGAAGCCCGCCAUGCGUACCGGUGAUCACGUACUUGCUAUGGUCAAUGAUUUACACGUAAUCUUUGGAAAGGGUACCGGCGGAAUAGCUGUUCCGAGUGACGCUGAGGGACACGCACCCAUGUGGAAGAAGAAAUCUAUAUUUUGGGACCUACCCUACUGGAAAGACCUAGAGGUCCCCUCUUCGAUCGACGUGAUGCACGUGACGAAGAACCUUUGCGUGAACCUGCUAGGCUUCUUGGCCAUGUAUGGGAAGACAAAAGAUAUAUCUGAGGCACGGGAGGACCUGCAACGUUUGCACGAAAAAGACGGCAUGCCUCCCAAGCAGUAUGAAGGUCCUGCCAGCUACGCUCUUACCAAAAAAGAGAAGGAAUCUUCUUUGAAUGUCUGCUUAGUUUGAAGGUCCCGACUGGCUUCUCGUCGAAUAUAAAGGGAAUAAUAAAUAUGGCAGAGAAAAAGUUUCAGAACCUAAAGUCUCAUGACUGACACGUGAUUAUGACGCAACUGCUUCCGGUUGCAUUGAGGGCGCUUCUACCGAAAAACAUCCGAUUAGCCAUUGUGAAGCUAUGUGCAUUCCUCAAUGCAAUCUUUCAGAAGGUGAUCGAUCCAGAAAUCAUACCAAGGCUAAGGAGUGAUGUGGUGCAAUGUCUUGUCAGUUUCGAGUUGGUGUUCCCACCAUCCUUCUUCAAUAUCAUGACACACGUCCUAGUUCAUCUAGUUAACGAGAUUGUCAUUUUGGGCCCCGUAUUUCUACACAAUAUGUACCCCUUUGAGAGGUUCAUGGGAGUCCUAAAGAAAUAUGUCCAUAACCGCGCUAGGCCAGAAGGAAGCAUCUCCAUGGUCCAUCAAACAGAGGAUGUCAUUGGGUUUUGUGUUGACUUCAUUCCUGGCCUUAAGAAGAUAGGUCUCCCUAAAUCGCGGUAUGAGGGGAGACUGACUAGAAAAAGCAUGCUUGGAGGGGAGACAAUAAUAUGCAGGGACGGAUAUUUUUGGUCUCAAGCACACUACACAGUUCUACAGAACUCUACCUUGGUGACCCCUUAUCUCGAUGAACACAAGAACAGUCUGCGCUCCAAACACCCGGAGCAGUGCGACGACUGGAUUACAUGUGAACAAAUCAGGACUUUCAGCAGUUGGUUGGAAACACGUCUCGGAGGUGAAAACACUGUUUGUGAGGAGCUGUACUCGUUGUCCAGGGGACCAUCUUCGACUGUAAUGAUUUGGAAAGGAUACAAGAUAAAUGGGAAUACAUUUUACACGAUCGCCCAAGAUCAAAAGAGCACCAACCAAAACAGCGGUGUCCGCUUUGAUGCAGCCACCGAGAGGGGAAAGGACACAUAUUAUGGUUACAUAGUGGACAUAUGGGAACUUGACUACGGAGUAGAUUCUAAGGUCCCUUUGUUUAAAUGCAAAUGGGUCAAUCUGUUAGGAGGCGGGGUACAAGAAGACCCAUAGUACGGAAUAACAACAGUGGAUCUGAACAAUCUUGGGUACACUGAUGAACCGUUCGUCCUAGCCAAUGAUGUGGCACAGGUUAUCUAUAUGAAGGACAUAUCUACCAAACUGAGAAAAAGAAAAAAUAAGGAAGCGAAUACAUCAUAAGAUGAGCCAAAGCGCCACAUAGUUCUUUCAGGAAAAAGGGACAUCGUGGGAGUGGAGGGCAACACAGACAUGUUCGAAGAUUAUGGAAAGUUUCAUGAAAUUCCUCCCUUCAAAGUCAAGGCUGACCCAAGCAUCCUAAUAAAUGAUGAAGAUUAUCCAUGGUUACGGUGCAAUAAGGAAAGGACACAAGCGAAGAAAAAGUGAAGACUUUGUCCACAACUAUUAUGAUGAUACCAUGCCAACUUUCAACCUUUUCGGAGUUCAUUUGAAAUGCCUAUUGUAACAGACAAGUUUCCGUAUGAAAUACUGAUACUUCGAAAGAGAUUGUCCGUUUUGUACAUGAAGUGCAUCUAGUUUUUGCGUAACCCACUCAAAUUUCUUGCACAUGCUAUGUGGAUGAAAUGAUGAUACCAUGCCCACUUCCAACCUUUUCAGAGUUCAUUUGAAAUGCUUUUCAAUUUCAGGGUCUUAUAGCUCAAAAUAAUCAGUAAAUGCAUGAAAAACAACAAAUGAUGUUAGAAAGGGUUGAAAAUUGAUGAUGUGGCUUUGAAUGGUGCAUUUUCAACAAACAAAAAUUCAGGAGUUCAAAUAAGUUUUUAAAAAUGAAAUCCCUGUGUAACAGAUGAGUUUCCGUAGAAACCCUGAUACUUCGAAAGAGAUUGUCCAUUUUGUACACGAAGUGUAUCCAGUUUUUCCCAUAACCCUCUCAACUUUUUAGCACAUGCUAUGUGGGUGAAAUGAUGAUACCAUGCCAACUUUCAACCUUUUCAGAGUUCAUUUGAAAUGCUUUUCAAUUUCAAGGUCUUAUAGCUCAAAAAAACCAGUAAAUGCUUUUAUAAAACUCUAAUAGCAAAAGGAAUCAACUAAAAAUCUUUUAUAAACCUCUAGUAUAUUCUAAACUUAAAUUAUAUAAAAUUUAUGCAACUAAAAUUAUCAAAGUAUUUUCUGUUCAAAACAUGAAAAGCAGAAAUAAUUAUCAUAAAGAAUUUUUUUUAGAAACUUUAGCAGCAAAAAGAAUUUUCAUAAAGAUUUUUUUGAUAGAAACUAAAAUAACAAAAUCUGUUUUGGAAUAUAAUGAUAAAAUGCAGUAAUAUUAAAUAGCAGGAAAAAGAAUCACUCAAAAUAUAUUUUUAUAGUGAAGUUAUUCACAAACUUGUGAUUCACACAAAUUUCAAAUAAUUAAAAUUUAAACUAUUCAAAUUUGGAAACUAAUGGAGUAACAGAAAGAUUAUAAUUAUUCUGAGCUAAAGGCAAAAAGAAUAUAAAAAAUAAAGCAAAAAACCAAAGAAAAUAAAUAAUUCAAAAAACAAAAAAAAACUGGAAAAAAUAAAAAAAAUGCCGCCUAAUGGACCACACGGCCUGCAUAAGACUAGAAACCCAUCUGUACAUGGGCUAGGAUGCAGGCCCGCAUGCCCAAUUGGCCCAACACGGCAGUGACAGGGGUAGGCAACUAAUGUCUGCAUAUUAGAGAGGAGCUCAGCACCUGAGCUGCAACGCAGCUUAUAAACAGGUGCUGAGCACUCUCAGCUAGCAAGGUGGGACUAAACUUCCCACCGCACCACGCCGUGCAAGGCCUUUGGUCCUGGUUGGUGGCACCAACNNNNNNNNNNNNNNNNNNNNNNNNNNNNNNNNNNNNNNNNNNNNNNNNNNNNNNNNNNNNNNNNNNNNNNNNNNNNNNNNNNNNNNNNNNNNNNNNNNNNNNNNNNNNNNNNNNNNNNNNNNNNNNNNNNNNNNNNNNNNNNNNNNNNNNNNNNNNNNNNNNNNNNNNNNNNNNNNNNNNNNNNNNNNNNNNNNNNNNNNNNNNNNNNNNNNNNNNNNNNNNNNNNNNNNNNNNNNNNNNNNNNNNNNNNNNNNNNNNNNNNNNNNNNNNNNNNNNNNNNNNNNNNNNNNNNNNNNNNNNNNNNNNNNNNNNNNNNNNNNNNNNNNNNNNNNNNNNNNNNNNNNNNNNNNNNNNNNNNNNNNNNNNNNNNNNNNNNNNNNNNNNNNNNNNNNNNNNNNNNNNNNNNNNNNNNNNNNNNNNNNNNNNNNNNNNNNNNNNNNNNNNNNNNNNNNNNNNNNNNNNNNNNNNNNNNNNNNNNNNNNNNNNNNNNNNNNNNNNNNNNNNNNNNNNNNNNNNNNNNNNNNNNNNNNNNNNNNNNNNNNNNNNNNNNNNNNNNNNNNNNNNNNNNNNNNNNNNNNNNNNNNNNNNNNNNNNNNNNNNNNNNNNNNNNNNNNNNNNNNNNNNNNNNNNNNNNNNNNNNNNNNNNNNNNNNNNNNNNNNNNNNNNNNNNNNNNNNNNNNNNNNNNNNNNNNNNNNNNNNNNNNNNNNNNNNNNNNNNNNNNNNNNNNNNNNNNNNNNNNNNNNNNNNNNNNNNNNNNNNNNNNNNNNNNNNNNNNNNNNNNNNNNNNNNNNNNNNNNNNNNNUAGUUAGAAAAAUAAUAGACCUAGUUAAACUAGUUUAUUUUUAGUAAGUACUACUUUAUUUUAUUUAUAGUAAGUGCUUAAUAUAUAGUUGAACUAGUUGAUUUAAUAAACUACUUUAUUUUACUAUAGAAGUAGUUUAUUUUUAGUAAGUACUACUUUAUUUAUUUAUAGUAAGUGCUUAGUAGUUGAACUAGUUGAUUUAAUAAAACUACUUUAUUUUAUUAUAUAUAGAAGUAGUUGCCGCAUCGACGUCGACGAUGCCUAUCCCACAUCCUCGUCGUCGACUCGGUGGUGGAGGCCUGCUUGAUCAGGGCCAUGUCCGGGACUGGGCUCCGCCGGACUGGUAUUGGGAGGUGUUACCUUCCGGGGGCGUAGGUCGGUGAGGAGCCAGCCUGUUGUUGACCCGAUCCUUGUUUGGUGGCGAUCGCGUGGGCCAGUGACGGUGCCGAGGCUUCUGGACACCAUGAAGGUGGUACGUCACCGUAUCAGCGAGGAGGACGAGCACGUCCGUCGCUACAUGGUUGCGUUGGAGGGCAGGUUCGACAAUACCUGGCAGGUUCUUCAGGGAUCUCACUGGAGCUAUGAUCCUGUGAUGGUUCCUUAUCUUUGGGUGUCCACCGCCCGCGACGAUACCCGUCGGGCGCUACGGUUCUAGCUGUAUUAGCGAUGCUAUAUGUAUGAUAGUAUUCGAGGAGUAUUAGUGAUAAUAUUCGACGAUGUACACACACAAGAGAUGAUGUACUUUUGCUUAUAAUUGAAUGCAUGCUAAUUUGAAUACUACUUUAUUUUACGAUUUGGUUUUGCUUAUUGAAUGCUCAUAUUGGAAAAGUACUCCUACUUUGAAUGCUACAAUUGGAGAGCACUAUGCAGAAAUCUAGGAGCCCCCUCCAUCAUCCACGCCGUCAUGGGGGUAGCUUCUCCGGCAUUCCCGUGUAAUAAUGCACUCGGGAAUGAAAGGAGGAGCUACCAUCACCGAUAGUCAACCCGUUAUUAAUAAUAAUGAUCUAAUUUAGGUUUUUUAGUACAUAUAUUUAAUUGUACAAGUUUAAUAUUUGAAUUAUGAACAUAGGCCGGAAAUGUCGUACUCGGAAGAUGAAAACCGCUCGGGGGAGUGCGACUGGUGCCACGACCACCGAGGUAUGUGCGACCGGUUCCUUGAGCUGGACGAAGAUCGACGCUUCAACAUUAAGCUCGAGGAGACCUUAGAUGUUGAAACAGUACGCAACGACAACAAUAGUUUUUUUGUAAUUAAGCACGACUUCAACUAUUUUAAUGUGUAUUUUCAUCUUCUCCAAUUCGACUAGCUUAUCCCAUGCUAUGCAAGACGCUAUGUCUUAGAGAGGAUGGGUUUUGAAGAACAUGAAAGUAUGAAAACCAAAAAAAUUCACCUAAGGAUACAUCAUGGUGUGGAUUUUAAAGUAAAGUUGUACAAUUCUGAGAGUGUAACCCAUUUUGGUUGCAAAAAUUGGGAAGCACUUUGCAAGAUGUAUUGUUUUGAUGAGGGUAUGCUUGUCACCAUGGAUCUUGGUGAUCCUACAAUUGAGCAAGACAAUAUGGACAUUUUGGUCCUUCUUGAUACACUUCCAAUUCUUCCCCCAUGUGAGCUUCUCAAACAUAGUUAUUAAGUAAUUUAUAUUGUUUAUUUCAAAAUAGUUGACAGCUUAUUUCCAUUGACAACUUAUUUUCAUUCUUCAAAGAACGUGUGGAAGAUGGUAGACAAAACCACUACACCGAUGGCUCCGAAUUAACUUAUAAGGAGAAAAAUCAUCUGAUCGCAUUUUGUACUAAUCUUGAGAAUUACAAUAUCUACAAUCGAACUCCUCAACAUUAUGGUCAAUACGUGCCACUAGUGCACGUGUUGAACUACUGUACCUACCAUGGAGAUACCCUGGUAAGAAUUUUUUACUAUUAUGACAUCAGUUCAUCUUUUUGCAUACUUCUAAAACUAGUACAUCAUUGCUAACUACGAAGUUAUUACUAUGUUUUUCAAUAGAUAAUCCUGAAUGAUUGUGUGCCUCAUCUGAUGUAUACGCAUGGUCGCCUUGAUAUUUUGAACAUACAACUAGGUCGUCCUACGAAUCUCAAUUGUCCAUACCGGAUUUCUAAAAGAAGUGGAGACAUGACAAUCAAAGAAUGGAAAAAAUGUAUGGACAAUAGUAAGGAGCUUCUUGGAAGCAAAAGGAAGCGAAACACAAGAAUUGGAGACAGGAUGAUCUCCAUUAUCCAUAAUGGAGAGUCGGGGUCUAUAUUGUUUUAUGCUAUUUUACCUUAAGGGUGUUUAGGUCCUACCUGAUACUGAUGAUCAUGUGGUAAGAAUAAUUAUGUAGGAUUGGGUUCGAUGACUAUGAGGAUGAUGAUCGUAUGACUUGUUAUUAAUAACGAUUAGAAGUUGUAUGAUGAUGCAUGAUUAGUAGGACUUGUUAUUAUAUAUGAUGAUGUAUAAUGCGAGGAUGAAGAGUUAUUAUAUAUCAGCGGGUGAAAUGAACAUAGCAGUAGCGUUGGUAAACCAAGCACGAAGAUAUAAGAGAGGACACUUCUCUCUAUUAGCUAGCUAAUAACAACCUAAAUUAACCCCCAAAACCCCUAAACCGGCCACUUUAAAAAAAACCUCAACUCCAGCCAGCUGCUGACGCGUAGAUGCCUUUUGGUCCCGGUUUAUGUCACCAACCGGGACCAAAGGCCCCCCUUCCUGGGCUGCUCGCAGUGGCCACGUGGAGGCCCAUCUGUCCCGGUUCGUGUAAGAACCGGGACUAAAGGCAAAGGGCAUUAGUACCGACCUUUUAGUCCCGGUUCUUAAACCGGGACAAAAGUCCCUUACGAACCGGGACAAAUGCCCCGUUUUCUACUAGUGUUAUUCAAUCAAGACGCCCUCAACAAACAUCUCAUGACUUGCUACUGUUUGUAAGUAUUACUUCUGUAAUUAAGUCUCUAUAGCUCAACUCAUUCAUUGCAUGUAUAUGUAAUUACCCUCACUAUAUUAUGCAGAUUGAAGAUCGUCAAAUGCAAAAAUGGACAAAUCUAUGACAUUGGGUUCAUUAACCCAAAUACCGUAAAUGAAUGGUCGGUUCAAAACAGAGUCAAAGAUACUGAGGAGAACUUGCUACAAUAUUUACUUCGACAUCAAAACAAAGCGAAAAUACUCUUUCCUUACAACUUCAAGUGAGUGUUACUGUCUUGUGCAUAUUCAUUUUUCCUUACUCGAGGUUAUAGUAAUGUAAUUGACGAGUUAUGCGCGUGCAGGUUCCACUUUAUUCUGCUAGAGAUUAAGCUUGACCGGGGAGUAGUAACUGUCUUAGACUCGAGACGUAAAGAUCCCUAGCAGUAUGCGGACAUGACUGCAAUGCUCCAGAAGUAAGUUUAAUCGAUCAUUAUCGCACCAUACCGGCAACUUUCGUUCAUUUCCUGAUAUCAAGUAAUCAUUUUCUUUGCCUGACAGGGUUUGGAAACAGUUCACCGGAAUGGUUCUGGGUCUGCAGAAGGAGUUGUGAUUUACACACCCCAAAGUAAGUAGUAGUAGCUAGUUCUGCGCAUCUCUCAUUGAUUCUUGUUUCAUCUAUACCAUUAUCAUGCUUCAUUAUCAGUUUGAUUGAACUCUAUUCUCGUAAAGUGCUUGUGGCAGGAAGGCGGGAAUAAUUUCUGUGGAUACUAAAUUUGCGAGUUCAUCAGCCACUCGACCUCUGAGCGGGGCUACUCUUAGAAACAAUUUGAAGUACGUAAACAAUAAUAUUCACAAUUUUAUUUUAUUACCAUCAAUUGUGUUGAGUUUCAUUCAUAUACAUGUAUAGACCCCCUUCUUUAAAUUAGAUGUGGCAGAUGCGGGAUGAACUCCUACCACAUGAUCGCAGACGAGCAAUUCAACAGGAAUUGGCGGGAUUCUUUCUUGACCACGUCAUAAAUGAGAAGGGAGAAUACCACGUGGAAAUUGAAAUAGAUUUUAGAUGUUAGGGAUUGUAAGAGAUGUUAUAUUAUAUAUAUGUAGUACCGUCGGAUAGAUAUAUCAAAACUUGUUGUUCGACUGAGCACGGAGAAAGAGAGGUCACUUCUCUCUAUAUAUGUUCAUGACGAUCUUGUGUAGUUAAUGGUUUCCUUCAUUUGGUUACUAACUAGCGUGUCAAGUUCUCUCUAUAUGUAUAGUAGCUAGAGUCGACCAAGCAUGGAGAAAGUGAGGUCAGUUCUCUCUAGUAGCUAGCUAACACAAUAUGAAACCCCUAAAUUAACCCUCCAACNNNNNNNNNNNNNNNNNNNNNNNNNNNNNNNNNNNNNNNNNNNNNNNNNNNNNNNNNNNNNNNNNNNNNNNNNNNNNNNNNNNNNNNNNNNNNNNNNNNNNNNNNNNNNNNNNNNNNNNNNNNNNNNNNNNNNNNNNNNNNNNNNNNNNNNNNNNNNNNNNNNNNNNNNNNNNNNNNNNNNNNNNNNNNNNNNNNNNNNNNNNNNNNNNNNNNNNNNNNNNNNNNNNNNNNNNNNNNNNNNNNNNNNNNNNNNNNNNNNNNNNNNNNNNNNNNNNNNNNNNNNNNNNNNNNNNNNNNNNNNNNNNNNNNNNNNNNNNNNNNNNNNNNNNNNNNNNNNNNNNNNNNNNNNNNNNNNNNNNNNNNNNNNNNNNNNNNNNNNNNNNNNNNNNNNNNNNNNNNNNNNNNNNNNNNNNNNNNNNNNNNNNNNNNNNNNNNNNNNNNNNNNNNNNNNNNGGAGCGGUCGAGCAGUUUCAGGAGGCAUCAAGUUAAGCGGUGGAAAAAAACUGAGGAAACCGGUCAAAACCAGCUAUAUUUAGUAACACUAACGGAGUGGCAUAAUUGCAUGAGUUCUCAGUGGAGUUUACUUCGUACUGUAUCUUAAAUCAGUAAUGCUAACAGAGUGGCACAACUGCACGAACUCAAAAGUUCUAGGAAACUUGCAAGUAUCAAUUAAGAACAGAACUAAAGUGGCUAAAGCAUCAAAACAACAUAGUACUCCAACAGCGUCGUUAUGUCCAGCCAAAAGCACAUUAUCAGACUAUCAUGGGCGACUGAGCCUGCAAUCAGCCAAAUAUUCACUCGUCAACUCGAACACAACAACUUGCAGAAAAUUUAAAAACCAUAUUAAACUAUUUUCAAAACUCCAUGCCUAGGGCUCAACAACAAAACUGACGGUGCUUUAUCAAAAGUAUUUCAGACCGACUAUUGAUGAGAUACUAAGAUUAAAAGUAUAGUUUUAGGCAAUGUUGAAAACUACCAUUGUUAUUUUAAAAAGAAAGGGUGGUAGUAGACGAUUUGUUAAUGCUGUCAACAACACAUCAAGGGCAACGUUGGAAUGUGGUCUUACUCUAAAGCAAUGGCCAAGUGUGACUUAAUUACACGGAUAGUCAUUGCAGAAUAAAAGCAGUUUACACUUAAGUUUAAGUACUUUGCCGCCACUGUAUUAAUUGGAAUUCGUAUAAAUAUCCAAUAAUGUGCAACAUACUCCGACCUCCAAAAAGCAACCGUUUCAAUUAUGAAUUGCCAAAUCAUGGUUAAAAUAUAAAUCUCAAUCGUCUUAUCAAGUGGACACACAAUAAUGUGCAACUGCCUUAUUAAUGCAAACUAGGAAUGAUAACCCUACUUAACCCAUCAAGUUCUAUGCAAAAAUGAACAGAUAGACACAUAUAAUCUCUUUAUUAAUACUCCCUCUGUAAAGAAAUAUAAGAGCGUUUAGAUCAGGAGUAAAAUCUUAUUACUAGCUGUUGUAAGAUGCCAACAGAAUUAUAUAAGAGUGUGAGCUAAAACCUAGUAUGUUACCAUACUUGCUUCACCUUUGAGAAUUGUCCCCAGUUGUCAGUUGCCUUUUUGUAGCUGAAUACUCCUCAGUCUGUUCUGUCAUUGGUCUCUUUCUUGGAUGAGAACCCUGACGAGCACUCUCAGUAAAACAUACUUCUCGAUCUGUGCCUGGUCGAAUAAUUUAACAUAGUUAAGAUCAAUGGAUUAAGUACCAGUUACACAAAUACACUUGAAAUUAAUUUACCUGUACCAGUCAUUGAUGAGAUGAGAGAUUUCUUAGGAUCUAUCACAUUGCAAGAAAUAUCUACAGUGAGUAUUAACUGAAUAUAUAUGGAGGAUUUUCCUAGUCUCAAAAUGAUUGAAACUUUUGAAGUGAUUUACCAGCAUCAGUUGUUAAUGGGACAGAAGAACAUGAAGGAUUUAUAACAUUGCCCGUAACAGGAGUGCCUGCAACAGUAACACUUUUAGAUAUUAAUUGAGCAUAGAGAGGACUUUCACACUUCAACAAUGACUGACGAUGUCUGAUUUUAUUUUACUUUUGCAAAAAAAAAUGUGGUGGGGCUAUGUGCACAUCAACCGGUGGUGCAGUAGUGUUGACUACAUCAUUACAGGUGUAUGUACCAAAUCAUAGGCAGAGCAAUGCGGUAGCCAUACUGAAAAAAUCAAAGCAACAAAUAGGUAAAUGUUUUGCAAGGACAAAGACAAGAGCAACAUACAAUGCAUCAAAGUAGGCCAAGAGUUAUUUAAUUCUAAUUCUGCAAAUAAUUAACAUGCGAGUGCUAUCAUCUCAAGAAAAAUCUGAUGUAAAAUCUAGCAAGAGAAUAAAACAUGUAGUAUGAAAUAGUGUCAUGAAAACGAUCCCAAUAGGAUUCGACAUAGCCAAGAUACCAAGUGGAAAGAAUAACAGGUGCUGAUUUGCCAAAUUUAAGGUUUGGUGGAAAAAAAACAAGUGCAAAUUUACCUUCUCUUGCACUUGAUUCAAGCGCACACCCUUGAUUGAUCGCCGGGCAUGUAGCACCUUUAAAGCAUUCCCCUGAAUAUUAGAAUGACACACUAGUCCGUCAGUUGAUACUAAUAAAAUGUGCCAGCAUUGAAGGCUGUUAUCCAUUGGGAAAGUUGAAUUACUAAUUGGAAGUGAAGUAGAAGUUGAUUACAAAUUUAGGCCGUGCACGUACACAAUUUGUUUUUUCACAGUUCUUUUAGCACGGUGGUAGCUACUCUUUUUCUCUCAGCAAAAACAACUUCAUUAUUAUGGCAAUACCGUACCUUAAUCAACAAAACUAUAGUAGCGCGGAGAGCAAAUUUUCUAUCCCUUUAAUUUGAAUGUUAAAUUUGAACUGCUGCUGCCCCUGCCGACCAACCUUUAUGGCAUUAUUUUUCUGUCUAGUCGGCACUAAAGCUUUCAGAUGAAUGGUAACGGUCACAUGAAAAAGAUGCAUCACGAAAUUUGUGCAUUGUGGAAUUUAGAUGCAAGGUGAGCAGCACAGGCUCUACGAAAAUCAUAACAUACAUGUGAAUACUACUAAUGAACAGAAGUUUAAGAACAACUUUCAAUGUUUAUAUAGAGUGAAACCAGAGAGCAAGUCCUACCAAAAAUUCUCACAAACCAAUCAUCCCGCGGCUUAGCCAUGAGUUCUGCAAAUGGGAUAACAAAAGAUUGUUCUAUAUUAUUGCUUGAUGGAAAAAUGCUUGCAUAGAGAGAAGCUAGCUAGGACCUAGGAAUGAAGUAUACCAGCUGACAACUCCUGGCUGCAGUGGCUGGAAGAAGGCAGGCUGGAAAGAGUAAGGAACCAUGCAUGAGAGCGCGCACGUGAGGAAAACAGGAAUGGCAGGCAUCCCGGUCGAAUCGAAGUAGGAGGAUUGUAAGAUUACCUCAUCCUCUUGUCAACAUAUAUAUUAGCUACCCGACAGGAAUGUUUUUUACGUGCAAGCUUGUUGGUAGGACGGGUAUGGUCUUUCACGUGCCGCCUCCGUCGUAAAGGAGCAAAGCUGGCCCGGAUGCAAAAAUAAUAAUGAAAUUGAUUAGUACGUUGCAGUGUGAUCAUGGAUUACAACUUGAUAGCGCGUGAGGCAAUCGGCAUGUGUACCCAAAGCCGAUGGGGAGUACGUUCUGCGGACCCAUCGGGCCGUCCGGCAGUAGCAGCCUGCCUUUGAAUUCUGGAGUCCUGUUAGCCAACUCCCGGACGAUCUUUGCUGCUCUAGCCCACAUGGGUCUCCAGUCCCGAGACAACUUACUGAUUCACAGAGUCGUACUACGACUAAGGAAAUUUGUUUGAUCACUCUAUUGCAAGAAAAGGGGAUUUGAAAGUAUUCCACGUACCUGGCUACUUCCUGUUGAAAUAAACGGUGCACGAGGAGAAACUUGACGAGGACACUAGCCUCGAGGCUGGGCGGCGAACAGGGUACCACCGGCAGGAAGUGAGGGAAGAUGUAAUGCAAGGCUUCGGUCCACUGGCCCUGGGACACGAAACGCGCCAGAUGGGACACGCAAAAGUAGGCGUCUGUCUGCUUCAACAUCCUGCAUCCAUGCAUUUUGUUGAUCAGCAAGCAAGUUGGAUCAAAGCAUCUGAAAAGCAAAAUAAGGGUGGUCGGUGCAUACGCGACGAAGGUGGAGCCGUAGCCUUGGAGCCUGAGGAAGUUGAGGAGCCGCCGGUAACGGAACCGCCUCACGCAGGGGUACUCUCCAGGGACAAACGAUUGCACCUCCUGGCCGCACACCACCGCUCGCCUCAUCGUCGUCAUCCUGGACGGUUGCCGAUUUGGAGCUGGGGUUGGGUUUGGGAUCGGGAACAGUCACUGAUUUGGGGCUGGGAAUUUCCAGUAACAGAAGAACCUGCAACAGUAACAAUUAUAGUUAUUUGUUGAGCAUCCAGAUAACUUCCUCAGUUCAAACUUCAAAAUGAUUGACGGCCCAAUGAGCCAGGGUGGGCCAACAGUCGAACUGUUUAUAUAAACUUUUCUGAGUAAUUUUUUAAAGCUUUGUUGCUAUGAUUUGAAGGCUAUUGGGAAAAUCCGUGCCUACUACAGGUGUAAGUACCCCAAGCAUAGGCAGAGUAAUGCGGUAGCAAUAAUGGCAAAACCGGAGCAGCGGCGAGCAAAUAAUUGUUUUGUAAGGACAAAUGUGACAGAAAGCAUCAAAGUAGGUCAAGAGUUAGUUAAUUCUAGUUCUGCAAAUGAUUAUCACGCGAGUGCUAAGGUCUGCAAAAUGAAAAUUGAUGUCAAAAUCCACCGAAGCAGAGAUGGAAAGAUGUAUGAAAUAAUGUCAUGACAAUGAUCCACAAUAGAAUUCAGCGUAUAGCCCAGAUAUCGAUCAAGUGGAAAAAAUGACAGGUACUUAUAUUGACUAAAUUUAAGAUUGGUGGAUAAAACAAGUGUGAAUUUACCUUCCCUUGCACCGGAUUGAAGCGCACGCCAUCGAUUGAUCCCUGGGCAUGUAGCAACUUUAAUGCAUUCCUCUGAAUAUUAGAAUAUCACACUAGUUCAUCAGUUGAUACCAAUAAAAAUUGCCAGCAUUGAACAAAUACUGUUAUCCACAUGAAAAGUUGAAUUGCUCAAGGGAAGUGAAGAAGAAGUUGAUUACAAAUUUUGACCGUGCGUGUACACAAUUUGUUUCCCCAGUUUCUUUUAGCACGCUGGUAGCUACGUAAUCUUCUCUCUUUCAGUAAAAGCAGCUUCUUAAUUAUGACAAUACUAGUAACUCAAUCAACAAAACUAUAGUAGCGCGGAGUUUGAAUUUUUGCAACUUUAAUUUAGAAAAAUGUUAAAAUUUGACCUGCUACUGUACCAACCAGCCCUUAUGGUUUUUUUUCCUGUCUAGUCGGUACAUUCAGAUGUCGUUUCAUAAUGGUCCAAUGAAAAAAAUGCAGCUUGAUGGGUUGCACGGAAUUAAUGCGAGUGGAAUAUAGAAACCAGAGAAGUGGGGGAUCUACAACCAUAACAUAAGCUCCAUCGAAUUGAAGCGUCCUGAUGCUUCCAGGGUUGUGGGGGUCAUUAGGGCACCACGAGUAAGUGAGUUUUUUAGUUCUAUUUCUUCUCUUCUUUUUAUUUUUUUAUUUUUUUCACGUUUUAAUUAAUGAGCACUUAUUAAAAUUUGUAUAAUUUAAAAAAUAUAAACAUAUUUUAAAAUUCUUCAAAUUCGUUAAUAUUGAUUAAAUUUAUGAAUAUUUUAAAAGCUCACGGUCAUCUGAAGUUUGUGAACAUUUUUUAAAUUUGAAACCUUUUUAUUUUUUGAACAUUUGUUAAACCAUUGAUAUAUCUUAAAUUCAUGAAUGCUUCUAAAAUUCAUGGUUUUGAAAAUUCAUAAUAUUUUUAAAGUUUCUUAAACAUCAUUUAGUUUAACUAACAUUCUCAAAUACAAAACUAAACGAGCGAGAUGAGUAGGGACCCAAGCUGAGCGAGCAAGAGCUUCAUGUCAUCAUGUGUGCUGACCCAUGUGAGCGCCCCAGUAGCAAUUACAUCAGUUUAGGGUGAAAUAAGAACUCCUAAGGGGCUCAAACAAUCACCACACCCGGCUGAUACCAAGCCCAAAAUGUGCAAAGAAUUCACAACCACACAUCAAAUAACUCCUCUAUUCUCUUAAAAAAAAACUCAACAGCAACCCAACACGAUAUACGAACAAAAAAACACCACCAACAAAAAAAAUGAAACACAAAGCUAAUACAGAUAAAAUCAAAACAAAAAACUGGUGACAAUAAUCUAUAGAUAUAAGAAGGUUACUUUCAUGAGUGAAGAAUGGCGCGGCGAAGCGCGCGUUGGCCUCUAGUACAUGUAAAUACUACUAAUGAACAGAAGGUCAAGCGCAACGUUCAAUCUAUAGAAAGUGAAACCGGAGACAAGUCGUACCAAAAAUUCUCCGAAACCAAUCAUCCCGCGCUUUAGCUAUGGUUUCUGCAAAUGAUAUUGUUCUAGAUAUUUGUUUGAUGGAAAAAGGGUCGCAGAGAGAGAAGCUGACUAGAAAUGAAGUAUACCAAGUUGCAACUCCUGGCUGCAGUGGCUGGAAGAAGGCAGGCUGCAAAGACCAACCAACCAUGUAUGAGAGACGAGACGUACCAAGAAAUGAGAAAUGGCAUGCAUCCUGGUCGAACCGAGAUACGAUUAUUGUAAUAUUACCUCAUCCUCUUGUCAACAUAGAUAUUAGCUAUCUGACGGGAAUGUUCUUCACGUGCAUGCUUGCUGGUAGGACUGGUAAAUUUCUUGACCUGCCGCCUCCGUCGGAGAGGAGCAAAGCUGGCCCGGACACAAACAAUCAAAUGAAAUUGAUUAACUACUCUGUGAAUCAGUAAGUUUUCUCGGGACUUGAGACCCAUGUGGGCUAGAGCAGCAAAGAUCGUCCAGGACUUGGCUAACACGACUCCAGAAUUCAAAGACAGGCUGCUACUGCCGGACGGCCUGAUGGGUCCGCAGAACGUACUAGUACUAUGACUUGAGGAAAUUUGUUUGAACUGUAUACUGCGAGAAAAGGGGAUAUAAAAGUAGUACUGCAGAAUCGAGAUACCUGGCUACUUCCGAUUGGAAUAAACGGUGCACGCGAAGAAACAUGACGAGGACCAUGGCCUCGAGGCUGGCGUCCAACGGGGCUCCAGCGGCAGGAAGCGAGGGAGGAUGUAAUCCAAGGCUUCGGUCCACUGGCCCUGGGACACCAGGCGCACCAGAUGGAUCACGCAAAAGUAGGCGUUCGUCUGCUUCAGCAUCCUGCAUCCGAUGAUCAGCGAGUAAGCACAAGGUGGAUCAAAUCACUGGCGACGCAAAGGAAGGGCGGCGGGUGUAUACGCGAUGAAGGUAGAGCCGUAGCCUUGGAGCCAGAGAAAGGUGAGGAGACGCCGGUGACGGAACCGCCUCACGCAGGGAUACUCUCCAGGGACCAACGAUUGCAGCUUCUGGCCGCCGCACUCCGCUGCUUGCGUCCUCGUCGCCGUCAUCGGCGGUCGCCAAUUUUUUGACUGGGGAUUGGAUUUGGGAUCAGGGACAAGUGCCGAUUUGGGACUGGGAUUUAUAGGCUUCGGGCAGGUGGUGGUGGUGGCGGCGGUAGUGGUGGUGGUGGUGGUGGUGGUGGGACCAACGCAUUAAAGGAGCGGAAAUGCUAAGGGAAAGGAUUUAAAUCAAGAACCCUCGUAACCUUCCCUCCAAUAAAAAAAAAGAACCCUCAGAACCUGCAACAAAUGAUCUGCAUUCCCUGAAACAAACAAAUAAAUCCCAUAGUAAUUCUAGUCUUGUCAUCAUCUGCGACAACUAAAUUUGCUAUCCCACGACAACUAAAUUUUCUAUAAAAAACCAUUAAUUUUGCCAUCAUCCUCGACAACUAAAUUUGCUAUCGCGCGACAACUAAAUUUGCUAUAAAAAACAUCUGUUUUGCCAUCAUCCGCGACAACUAAAUUUGCUAUCACGUGACAACUAAAUUUGCUAUGAAAAAACAUUUGUUUUGCGAUGUAUUUCGAGGGAACGUCAGCACAAUUGGUUGAUGAGCGGCCACACUCCUCGAAUUGAAACCCUUAAAUUCAUGCCUAUCCAUGCAUGUUCAUCAUACACGUGAAAAUCACACGUAAAUAACAAUUGUUGGUAUCGAUAAUACGUAGUUCGAAGUUUGAACACAAUAUUUAUUUUAAAUGCACAAUUCAUUGAUUUUUAUUGUGGGUCCACAUAUGCUUCACAAGAUCAUGAGUUGCUGCUUGUGCAUCUCAUGACUGAAGUUUUUGAUGCAUCUACAAAAAAUUGAUAAGCUGGUCUGCAUCUUGUUGUUCUUGGAUGUGGACUCGUUCUCGAGGCUUGUCAAAAUCAUGGGUUUGGGCUGCUGCUUCACCUUCGUCCAGGGCCGGCUCUAGCCCAGGGCAGUAGGGGCGACGGCCCGGGGACCGGCCGAAAUAGGGGCCCAUAUCUGGUAUACAGUAUGUACGUAUGGGACAUCAUAGUAGAGGAAAAAAAGGCCCAUCUACCCAGGGCACACAGCUAGCCCAGGAAGGUAGCCAGCCACGCACGGAACGAAAUCGUCCUGAAUCGUCGUUUCCUUUUCUUUCCAGCGAUUCUCGCCCUGAUUCACGCACUGAACCGUCGCCGUCUCGUCCAGUCGUCCUGAUCCAGUCCGGAUUCCCUGACCGGCCGAGGUCUGACUGCAUCACUGAAAUCCAUAGUUCCCUGAUCACGUUGUGUACAUCUCGGCAAGAAAUUGUGGGAAAGAUCAAGAUCAAGAGGUAAUCUCAGAUCAAAAUUCUAUUUCUAUGAAACCAUGGUGGGCGACUCUAUUUUCUCGUGCUAUAUGUUCUUAGGCUAAAAUCUCAAUCCGGUGUCUGAUUCUUUCUUUGCAUCGCUCAUAACUUGCAGCUGCAUCCAUUGGUAGUGUAACCAUGUUGCCUAAAAAGCAUCCAUCUGGUCAUCAGAAAAGAACUAACAAGAAACGAGUACAGAAGUUGAUUCGAUCUCAGAGAGGGGCUAUGAAUAAAUUCGUGUUGUGGAAGGAUACUGAUAUGAAUUUUACGCAAUUAUAUAUCACCAAUGGCGAACAACCAGAUCAGACUGAGAAUGCAGUUGGGGGAAAUUGUGCCGAUGUUGAUGCCAAUCAGAACACCCGAAAUUUUAGUGGCCAUGGAAACAUAGAUGAGCAGGCUUCUUCUUUUGAUAUUUAUGAUCCUAGAACUUGGAAUAUUCUUGACAAUAAAUCAAGAGAUAUUCUCAUUGAAAAAGGACCUACAAGGGAGUACAAUCCUGUGUUUCCCGUGGAUAAGAAAGGCAGGCAUUUUUCAUAUGCUUACUACUCAAGACAGCUAAGGAAUGGUGAGGCCAGUGAUCGGAGGUGGUUAGUGUACUCUAAACAUGUGAAUAAAGUUCAUUGUUUUUGCUGCAAAUUGUUCAAAUCUGAAAACAGCAAAAGUUUGCUAGCAUCUGAGGGAUUGAUGGAUUGGAAACAUCUUAGUGAAAAGCUGAAAUUACAUGAGAACGGUGCUGAGCAUAUCACUAACAUGAAUACUUGGAAUGAGGUAAGGUUGAGGCUAAGUAAGAAGGAAACAAUUGAUAGAGAUUUGCAAGAAGAGAUUGCAAGGGAGAAGAAGCGCUGGAGACAAGUUUUAAUUAGAAUUGUUGCUGCUGUGAAAUUUCUUGCUAAACAUAAUUUGGCUUUUCGAGGAGCAAAUGAGAAAUUAUAUCAAGAUACAAUGGGAACUUUUUGGGAGUAAUUGAAAUGAUGGCAGAAUUUGAUCCUGUAAUGCAAGAGCAUCUUCGGCGCAUUCAGAAUAAUGAAAUCCAUCAUCAUUAUCUUGGCCAUAAUAUUCAGAACGAGUUAAUUUCCCGUCUUGCUUGCAGUGUUAAAGAUUCUCUCUUGAAGAUAAUUAAGGAUGCAAGGUAUUUCUCUGUCAUUUUAGACUGUACCCCUGAUGUGAGCCAUCAAGAACAAAUGACUCUAAUUGUGAGAUGUGUAAACAUGUCAAGUGCCAGUACAAAAAUAGAGGAGUUUUUUCUAGAGUUCAUGAAGGUCGACUAUACGUCGGGACUUGGACUUUAUAAUGUGUUAAUUGAUACACUUGAAUAUGUUGGUUUGAAUGUUCAAGAUGUUCGUGGACAAGGGUAUGACAAUGGUUCGAACAUGAAGGGAAAAAACCAAGGGGUACAGAGCAGAUUGCUAGCAACUAAUCCAAGAGCAUUGUACAUGUCGUGUGCUUGUCACAGCCUGAAUCUUACUCUCAGUGAUAUGGAAAAAUCUUGCGAUAAAGCUAUAACUUUCUUUGGUGUUGUGCAAAGAAUUUACAUAUUGUUUUCAAGCUCUACUAAAAGAUGGCAGCUAUUGCUUGAUCAUGUUCCAAAAAUGACAGUUAAGUCUUUGUGUAAGACUCGAUGGGAGAGUCGAAUAAAGAGUGUUCAUGCUACCAGAUAUCAAGCACCUGAGUUAAUAAAAGCUUUAUUGGAAUUGAAGAGAACUUCUACUGAUGACGCCAAGACUAAGAGCGACGCAAAAUCUUUGGCUAAUGCACUUGAGAAAUUUGAAUUUAUACUGGGCAUGGUCAUCUGGCAUGAUGUUUUGUUCACGGUAAACAUGGUGAGUAAGAAAUUGCAGUCUAAAUUCGUGUGUAUUGAUGUUACUCUUAAACAGAUUGAAGGUGCCAUCUCAUAUUUUGAGAAGUACAGAAAUGAAGGCUUUGCUACUAGCUUGGAUAUUGCGAGAUCUAUUGCAAUCGACAUGGGUGUACAACCUUUAUUUCCUGUAAAGCGGCGUAUUACCAGAAAAAGACAAUUUGAUGAAAUUAAUGGCAAUGAAGAAAAUGACCAGAAUCAAGAAGCGCAAGAAAUUGAGGUGGAAUCAUUUAGAGUUAAAUACUUUUUGGUGAUGAUUGAUGUUGCAAUUGCUUCCUUGACUAGUAGAUUUGAGGAACUGAAGUCAUUUGGGAGCAUAUUUGGAUUCUUGUUCAACUCAAAAGAAUUGAAGUUGUUGGGUGAUAAUGAUCUAAGAAAAUGUUGCACUAGUUUUGUCAACACUUUCACUCAUGGUAAGUCAGCAGAUGUUGAUUUAGAUGAUUUUGUUUCUGAACUAAAAGUAUUGCAGAUGACAUUGCCAAACACACUCAUGUCAGCGGAUCAGUAUUUGAGUUUGUUAGAGUUGCGGAUUCUUAUCCAAAUGUCUCAAUUGCUUAUCGUAUCCUCUUGACUGUGCCGGUCACUGUUGCAUCAGCUGAAAGGAGUUUCACAAAAUUGAAGUUACUAAAAAAUUAUUUGAGGUCAACAAUGUCCCAAGACAGACUGAAUGGUUUGGCCAUGUGCUGCAUCGAGAAGAAUAUGUUGGACAAUAUUGAUCCUGACAUUGUCAUUGAUGAUUUUGCGUCAAAAAAUGCACGGAAGUCUCGCUUCUCAUGAUUACUGGAGGUUUGCUAGCAUGCUAUUUCUAUAUUCUUGUUUGCAUUGUAGCUUCUAUGAUACUUGAGUUUGAACAAAGGCAAGAAAAAAUAUCAGAUAUUUGAUUCUAAUGAAAAUUUACUACUCUUUAUGACAUUAUAAUAUAUGUAUUUGUUCGUGUAUCGACCAAAAAAAAUUCUCUGUUGGGCCCAUUGGUGAAGUUUGCCCCGGGGCCUUCGAAAUCCUUGAGCCGCCCCUGCCUUCAUCCUCCGGAACAAGUGCAACUCCUUCCAUCUACACACAUGGAGUUGCUGCUUGACUGUCAUGGAUGAUAUGUUGGGUGCUACAAGGAAGCUACUGAGGGUGUUGCAAGGCGAGAGUGCAUCGAGUUCUAUGCGCCCACCACCACGUGCCAUCGUUGCUUCAAGACAGGAGCAUCAACUGGGAUGCCAGUGUUGCAAUGGUGUGGCGUCGGACGUCAAAGUAUAGGAAUCCGCUCCUGAAGAUGAGUCGGCAUUGUUGCAUGACGGUCAUCGAGUGCUUCAAGUCUAGCCACAAAUAUCCCUCUUUGCUGCAACCUAUAUAGAUUGUCAUAGACGUGUGGCGGACGGUGAUGGUGCAAGGCCGACCGCAGCAUCCCCGUUGUUGCAAGCGACUGCAGGCUACUGGGAGGGGGGCUACGGCGAGUGGCGACGUGUGAUGCCACGGCGGCCUUCCACAAUGUUGCACGGCUAGCGGAAGCCAUUGGGGGCUGUAACAUGAGGUGACAUUGGUGCUGUAUGUGCCCACCACCGCAUGUCAUCAUCGCUCCAAAACAGAGGCAUCACCUGGACAUCAGCGCUGCAAUAGUGUGCCGUCGGACCUCAAAGUAUGUGAAUCCGCUGGCACAGACGAGGAGGUGUUGCUACAUUGCAGGCGUUGAGUGCUUCAAGUCCAGUCACAACUACACCUCUUUGCUGCAAGCGACCGCGAGCUGGGCGUCGGUCCUUUAUCGGUCAAUAAAUGAGUUAAAAACAUUAAUCUCCUACUCUUAAGGCCAUGCCUAUUACGUUUUCAAAAAGACCAAAUGCACAUGCAUACUGCUGAAAACGAGAGAGCAACUAACUGAGGGGUAACACCGCGGGAGCCACUCAAUUGUCACUUUUGGUGGACUGGAGCGCUCUCAGCCGCCAUCACGUGUCACCUGUUGCGCGAUUUCUCAAUAUUUUAUUUUUUAAAUUUUUUCUAUACACGUUUACGGGGUAUAAAUGAUUUUUGGGGUUUUCAUUUUUUGAUGGGGAGCAUCCCUUGUUCAUCCCCAUGGACGUUCCGUCACCACCACAAGCACGAAGAGUACCAAUGACAAGAGUCCGUGCACGCGUCAUCGAAACCAAGGUUAACACUUUCCUCUUCAAACUUUAUUCGGAUUCACAUGAGAGUUGGGUUCUACCUCAAAUGGAUACAUGGUGCAUUCUUAGGUACCAAGGAGAAGACCGUGAGGAGGCAUGGAGGGAUCACCAAGUCCACAUGUGGAGCCCCAAGGAGAAGAAGGAACUCCCACACGCGGAACACCAGAGGCCUCGGACCACCCCGGGUGCCCGGACCCCCUGGGCAAGUUCCACCCAACCCCGCUGACCACCCCGGGUGCCCGCACCCCUCCCCCCCGGGCACCCGGACCCCCGGGACACUUUUUCCGCCCAACCCCGAUGAACACCCCGGGUGCCCGCACCUCCGACCCCCGGGCACUCGCACCACCCAGAAUCAGCGCACUAACAAAAACCGUUUCGGCCAUAAUUUUCACUCCCAAAGUCCGAUUUUGACGUUCUUUAGCUCCUUGAGUAGCUAUUGACAUCCCGCAUCCAUCUAGAUAGGUUCAAACAUCAUUUGACUUCAUCAAAAUCUUGGCAUUUUGGCAUCUUGGCCUAGGCCAUCCACCAUAUCAUCCGCAAAAUCAUCAUAGCUUUCCGCAACCUAACCCAUUUUGCUCCAUUUAGCAUUUGUGGUAUCUUGAGUUGUGACUUGAGUCUCGUAAGGUGUUUCGGCUACUUAGGGACGGUUGCUUAGUCAUCAACCACCACCACCACUUCCGAAUUGCUAACUCUGGAACCACCAACGCAUUCCACGAGCAUCAUUUGGCAUUUUCCUUUGAGAUUUUGAGUUUGCGGGUUUUCCGUUUCCUAGGUUGUUUCGGUUAACUAGGAAUGGUUCGACAUCGACAACACCGCCACUCAACUUCGACAAGGAUUCGACGUCGACCACAUUCACCAUUGACACCCUAACCGUAAGUAAGAACGGUAACCUCUAUAUCAUCUUGGUAUCAUGGUAUCCCAUCCUUGUAUAUUACCCUUGCCAUUACAUUGUUAACUCCUUAGCCCAUUUUGCGUCACUUGCCUAUCAAGACUAGCCUUUGAGUAUUGCUGGCAACGUUACUUGUGCACAUUAGUGAUCAUCGAUCUACACCUUCCAUUGCGUACAUACCAUAUCAUAUUGGUAUCAUCUUGGUAUCAUAGUACCAUCCCUCGUGUCACAAGAUUGUUCCCGCAUAUACACAAUAGUUAUCUUGGUUUGUGCAUUUCGCAUAAGUGGCCAUACAAAGAAAAAGAGAAUAAGCUUUUAAGCAAAAGUAGAGCAAAGAAGAUUGUAAGCAAGAGCCAUAGCAUCGCCACAUUGCAUACCAUACUACCAUAUUGAUCAUCUUGGAUGGUCGUGUGUGAAACACCGGAACAUCAUACAUAAAUAGCAUACUUGGGAUAGAAAGUUGAUACAUUUUGCAUCUUAUAGGUUGUGCACAAGUGUCGUAUAUGCCUAUUGAGCAAUCGUGCUAGUGUCUCUCUAGAGUUGUGCAACACAAGCGUUUUCCGUGGAUUCCACAUUUUGUGCUCAUUCCUUGGUUGCACGACCCCACUUAUCUAUCUGUGUGUGUGCGUUUCCGUGUGCCACCCAUUCCUAUUGGUCUACUUGUUUCACUUGCGAAUUUGUGAAUCUUUUCCAACAUUAUUGACUCUUGCUAACAUUUUGCAUCGAAUUUUUGUGCCACUAUCCUCACCGAGCUCCACCAAAAGCUUUAUUUGUGUAGGUGUGAGAAUUGACAAGAUCCGGUACCAAUUGUGCUAUUUCCUUGUUACAUUAUUGAGUGAUCAUUAAUCCAUCUUCAAGGAUAAGGUACAUUGGUCUUCUUCUUUUCUUUCUUCCACUCACAUUAGCUUGAGUCUUGUGAUGGAUAGGCAAGGCAUUUCAUCUCCAGUGUUCCACGACAACGACAGCGUGAACAACUACAUCACCAAAACGUCCAUCUUCGGACUACAAUGAGCAAUGCAAGGAAUUGAGCGACUCGCCAUCGAUAUUCGCCAAAACGAAGCAAGGAAAAGGGACUACUUCGACACCAAGUUGGACGAACACAUGGAUAAAAUACGAGACACGGUGGCCAACUACAAGUCUUCUUUCCCUUCGUCAUCUUCAAGGCAUCGAUGUUCAAGUAGCCAAUCUUUGGAACGCCAUCGAGCUCAAGCACUACAAAACCAUCAAGAUGAAGAUGCUCGCGGUAAGUACACCUACAAGUCCCAAAAAGCUCCACAUCAAGCUACGACCAAACUUCAUGAGCACAAGAGAAGACCGCGAGACGAGCACCAACAAUACGGAGCUACCACUAGUGCCACCACUUCGCAUCUUCACCAAGUGUUAUCAAGGCAUCUUCGCCUACUUCCCAUGAGUUCGCCUACAUUGACAUCUUCAACAACAAGGCGGCCACCUACAAGCGAGGGCGAAACGUUCCAUCAUAGAAAGCCCCUCAAGGAAGAUGGCCGAGCAUGGGAAGUUCCCUUCGGUCAUGGAGACGAGCUACGAGGUGCCACAUCAUAUGGGCCUCCUACAAAAAGACGGUCGAGCAAGGGCCAUCCCCUUCGACCAUGGCGACAAGCACAAACCUCUUCUACAACAUGAAGACAGCGCCCAAAUGGGACUCAUACUCUGAGUCGAGCUACGAGAGCGCACUUGAGACCUUAUCUUUGGUCUCGGAGGAGAGCGAUGAUUUGCCACAUCCUACGGCGUUCAUCCUUGGAGGCGUUAUGGAUGAGGAGGCUGAGCAUGGGACUAUCCCUUCAACCAAGGCGGCGAUAGGAGUUCAGCAUGGAGACAAUUGCACCUACAUCUCUCCGACACCCACAUAUGACGAGAUGCCCCAAUUCCCAUGUGAUGAGAGCCACCCCACCAUGAGUGAUAUGAGUGACUCCUGAAGGAAAUAUGCCCUAGAGGCAAUAAUAAAGUUGUUAUUUAUAUUUCCUUAUGUCAUGAUAAAUGUUUAUUAUUCAUGCUAUAGUUGUAUUAACCGGAAACUUAGUACAUGUGUGAAUACAUAGACAAAACAGAGUGUCCCUAGUAUGCCUCUACUUGACUAGAUCAUUGAUCAAAGCUGGUUAUGUUUCCUGACCAUAGACAUGUGUUGUCAUUUGAUGAACGGGGUCACAUCAUUAGAUAAUGAUAUGAUGGACAAGACCCACCCGUCGUUAGCUUAGCAUAAUGAUCGAUAAGUUUUAAUGCUAUUGCUUUCUUCAUGACUUAUACAUAUUCCUCUGACUAUGAGAUUAUGCAACUCCGAAUGCCGGGGGAACACCUUGUGUGCUAUCAAACAUAACAACAUAAAUGGGUGAUUAUAAAGAUGCUCUACAAGUGUGUCCGAAGGUGUUUGUUGGGUUGGCAUAGAUCGAGAUUAGGAUUUCUCACUCCGAGUAUCGGAGAGGUAUCUCGGGGCCCUCUUGGUAAUGCACAUCACUAUAAGCCUUGCAAGAAAUGUGACUAAUGAGUUAGUUACGGGAUGAUGCAUUACAGAACGAGUAAAGAGACUUGCCGGUAAUGAGAUGUAACUAGGUAUGAGGAUACCGAUCGAAUCUCGGGCAAGUAACAUACCGAUGGCAAAGGUAAUAACGUAUGUUGUUAUUGCGGUUUGACCGAUAAAGAUCUUUAUAGAAUAUUUAGGAAGCAAUAUGAGCAUCUAGGUUGCACUAAAUGUUAUUGACCAGAGAUUUGUCUCGGUCAUGUCUACGUAGUUCUCGAACCCGUAGGGUCCGCACGCUUAACAUUCGAUGACGAUUUGUAUUAUGAGUUAUUUGUUUUGGUGACCAAAGUUUGUUUGGAGUCCAAGAUGAGAUCACGGACAUGAUGACGAGUAUCGAAAUGGUCGAGAGGUAAAGAUUCAUAUAUUGGAAGGUAGUAUUCGGACAUCGGAAUGGUUUUGACUGGUUCGGGUAUUUUACGGGAGUACCGAGGGGUUACCAGAACCCCCCGGGGACGUAUUGGGCCUACAUGGGCCUUAGUGGAGAGAGUGGAGGGCCGCAAGGGGUGCCCCCCAUGGCAGUCCAAAUUGGACUAGGGGAGGGGGUGGCGCACCAUUUCCCUCUCCCUCUCCCUCUCCUUCCUUUUCCGGUAAGAAAGGAAAAGAGUGGGGGGCGAAUCUUACUAGGAGUGGAGUCCUAGUAGGAAUCCCCCCCAUGGCGAGCCCCUCCUAAGCGGCCACCUCCUCCUCCCCUCCUUUAUAUACGGGGGCAGGGGCACCCCAAAGGCACAUCAUUUUUUCUCUUAGCCGUGUGCGGUCCCCCCCCUCCAUAGUUUACUCCUCCGGUCAUAGCGUCGUAGUGCUUAGGUGAAGCCCUACAUGAAUCACAUCACCAUCACCAUCACCACGCCGUCGUGCUGAUGGAACUCUCCCUCGAUCCUCUGUUGGAUCAAGAUUUCGAGGGACGUCAUUGAGCCGAACGUGUGCAUAAAUCGGAGGUGUCGUACGUUCGGUACUAGAUCAUGAAGACGUUUGACUACAUCAACUGCGUUAACCUAAUGCUUCCGCUUUCGGUCUACGAGGGUACGUGGACACACUCUCCCCUUUCAUUGCUAUGCAUCUCCUAGAUAGAUCUUGCAUGAUAGUAGGAAAUGUUUUGGAAUUGCAUGCUACGUUCCCCAACAACUCCAUCAUAUGUGACAUUGAGAGCAUUUCCUAUGAGAGGAUGAGUGUGACCACCACUAGCCCCACACACGAGAUUAUGCCACACAUCCUAUGUGAGCUUGAGAGCCAUUUGAGUGACUCCACCAACCAUAUGAGUGAGAGCAUCUUACUGGGAGUGAGUCAGCCACAACACUUAGUGAGUGAGGUAGUUGAGACAGCACGUGAGGCCACUAUGAUUUCUAACGACUUAACCUCUACUCCGAGUGUGUUUUCUUAUUUGGUGCUAGGUCUCCUACAUGACGACAUGCAUAUCCUCGUCGAGUCCAUACCUCCAAUGGAGAUGAUGAUGGCCAUGGUGGACGAUAAUGCACCCACCACAUGGUUCCAUCACGAUGAAGAUGAUCACAACUUGGUGUUCGACACCUCACCUACAACACAUGAGCGAUGCUCCAAAGUUAACAUAGGUGAUGAUGCUUCUCUUGUCCCACUAGUGGACUAUCUAACCAAUGAUUGCUUGCAUGAUGUUGACACACCUAUUACCAUGCUUCAUGCUAGUGCGGCCUCCUCAUGUCAUGACUUACCAAUUUAUGAUGAAUAUGAUGAUGAGCAUGUCAAGUUGCCUAGUUGUGAUGUUAUGCCCCAAAGGAUAUCAUGUGAAAAUUCUUUUGGUCACAUCAUGUUCGACAACCCUUUAAACUUGUCAUAUGCUAUGAGUGAGAUCUCCCAUAUUGCAUCAUUUCAAUCUCAACAUAGUAACUAUGCAUGCCCCAUUAAAAUAAAUCCCAUUUUCUCUUAUGGCAUAGAGGAUGAGAUGAUGGUCAUUGGCUUUUGUUUUUCAUCCGACAAUAUUGCCAUGCUUCCUUUACAUGAUUUGUGCAAUUCAUCUACUAUACCAUGCCAUGAUCACAUAGGAUGUUGUCAAUAUUCUCCAUGUGAUGUUUCCAUUAAUGCUCAUGAGGAGACCCCAAUAGUUUCCCAUACAUAUUACAAAAUUUUGAUGCAUUCCAUACAUUGCAUGAUUCCCAUGAUUGUGUGCACCAUAUGCAUUCCAUGAAUAACAAUGCUCUACAUAUUUCUCAUGAUGCAUUACACAAUUUGAGUCUCCAUUAUGAUAUACAUAACAACAAACCUAUCAUGAUGGAUGACAUGUUUCUAUAUCACACAUCUCAUUUAUUUAAGAAUUGGAUAUCUUAUGCUAACCAACACAUGCACGUAUGCAUCAUAAUGGAUGAUGUGUACAUAUACCACGCACACACAAUUUUCCCUUUGUCUUUGUUUUGUGUAGAUACUCACGAAUACUCGUCAACCUCUCAAUCCCAAGAGUUGAGAAACGAGCUCUUGGGAGCAAUGACAAUUUGGUAUCCCGUGGGUUAUCCUUACCACCGUUCUCUUCGCGAAAUGACUUUGCACAUUCCUUUUACUUGGCUCUCACACGGCUAUGGGCUAUUUACCACUUGUCACCCUAUGCCCAUACUAUCAUGUUCACUUUGCAUGUUAUGCUCAUUACUAUGCUUUCACCAUGCAUUUGUGACCCAUGCUUUGCAUUACACAUGAUGAUUGAUUCUAGUACUUGCAUGCGUAUUUGCAAGUUUGGUGGAGAUAUUGCUUGUUAUCGCCAUGUUUUUUUGUGCCCAAUGCCUAUGAUGAUCCUUUGAUCUUAUCUUGUUUUCAUGCUUGUACUAUGUCAUGCGCAUGACAUAUGCCUAUUAUUUGCCCACAUGACAUGGUUGCCAUGAUUUCCUCUAGUAUGUUGCAUCUUCGCACUACUAGUUUGCAUGACAUGAAUGGUACGCUUGCCUAUGUUGCAUCAUCGAUGAUUCAUACUUGCUCGUUUCAUGUGGUUGAUGGCAUCCAUUUCCUUGAUUGCCACAUGAUUGACUUGAUUGCCUCACACAUGAUGGACAAUUGCUCUUUCUAUUGUGUUGAGUGGCACACUAUAUUCACUACAAACCAUGCACAUUAAGCUUGGAUUGUCUUGCACUUUAGACACUUCAUUUAUUUUGGUGUUGUGAAUGCUUCAUAUGUAUGCAAUAGACCACUUGUUGAGCGCCUUAUGCAUGCUUGCUAUGAGCUUGAGGUAGAUUCUUAUUCUCUUGACACACAUAUUUGCAUCGCUACCUCACAUUUACAUGCUUGUUUCCAUGAUGUCCUUGAUUUUGCUCAAUUUAUGUGCUUACAUGACAUGUGACAAUCCCUUGUCACACCAUAUGUUAUGCUUGAUGAUGACACUUGUUUGGUGAAUCACCUCUUGAAUGCUUGAUUUUGCACCACUGCUAACCACAUUGGUUUUUCCAAGUGUUUGUUAUACUUGCACCUUUUGAAGGAAUCACAAGACGGUGCGACAUUCGAGAGUGCCCAUUUUGAGCUUCGAAAUGAUACGUGCUUGGUGGCUGUCCACUUCUACACGAGAUCGCGCUCUCUUUCCCAUGGUGAUGAAGAUCACGAUUCGUAGACGGAUCUCUCCCAAGGGGGGAAGAUGAUGCGGAGCAUCCCUCGUUCAUCCCCGUGGACGUUCCGUCACCACCGCAAGCAUGAAGAGUACUAAUGACAAGAGUCCGCACACGCAUCAUGGAAACCGAUGUUAACUCUUUCCUCUUCGAACUUCAUUCGGAUUGACAUGAGAGUUGUGCUCUAUCUCAAAUGGAUACAUUGUGCAUUCUUAGGUACCAAGGAGAAGACCGUAAGGAGGCAUGCAGGGAUCACCAAGUCCACAUGGUCGAGCCCCAAGGAGAAGAAGGAACUCCCACACAUGGAACAUCAGAGGCCUCGGACCACCCCGGGUGCCUGGCCUCCUACGCCCCGAGUUCCCGGACUGCGGGCCCCAAAGGGCUCCGCCCCUCUGUAUAGCUCGGGUGCCUGCACCCCGACCACCGGGUGCCCGCACUCCCGAGUGCCCGCACCCCAACCACCGGGUGCCCAGCCUGGUCUUCUACUCCCCAACGACCCCGGGUGCCCGGACCACUUUACUUCGGGUGCUUGGACUCCACCGAAAGUGCCUGCAUGAAUCUCGGGCUAAAUAACCAUUGUACCCCUGUUUUCCUCUUAUUUCGUCUCUAGACUAUAAGUACACUUGCCAUAGCUCAUUAUAGAGGUUAGCACAAUAUUUGAUAGACAAAGAGAGAGUUUUUCUCAUUUCCUCCUAUUGGAGAUCUAGACCUCCUCUUGGAGAAGCUCCUCUUGGAUAUCAAGCCCUCCUCUUGGAUAUCAAGCCCUCCUCUUGGAGAAGCUCCUAUUGGAGAUCAAGCCCUCACUACUGCAGGAUGCUGCUAAUGCGACACUACGAUCAGAGACCCUUCGACGAAACUGUGUGUGAUGCAAUAAUUGCAAAUGGUGGUGUAAAAUACCAUCAAAAAAAUGUGCAAAACAUUUGCGAUGGCAGAUGCAUCAAACACGAUUCACAUUUUAGUUGCGUGUGCGAUGCAGGGCAUAUGGUUCAGUUCAAUAACUGCUUGCGAUGAGGAGGAACAAAAGAAACGGGUAGCCAGAUGAAGGUGUGUGUGAUAUACAACAUACAGUUUGCUCGGAUGAACUGUUUUUUUAUUAAGCAACAUAAAAGAAACGGUCAGCGAGAUCAAGGUGUGUGCGAUAUACGGCAUGUGGUUCACUCAGAUGAACUGUUUCCGUUGAGACAAGAGAACAGAAAUGGUUCAACUUAACAAGAUGUGUGUGAUACACGGCAAACUGGUCUGUAAUCGGAAACGUGUGCGAAGACCAAUAACAACACAUCCAAUUGUUGCUAACAAGCCAUGUCUGUUGUGGGCAAAUUAUUGCUGGUAUACAAUUGUGAGUGAUUGAUGAAAACUUCACCAACGGGUUCCAUUGUUUAGUCCAUGUGCGAUGUGAUUUUCUUUGUCCGCACAACAUCUACACUCUGUCUACAGAGCAUCAACAUAUAUACUUAAAAAGACAACAUUGCAUAACCAAAUUAAGCAUACAAUUACACAAGUGACUACACACAUAAAAAUUCCACACACCAAAGUAAGCAAUUACAUGCAACGAAACUAGGAGAAACGAGGAUCUAAUCAUCUACUUAUUGUUGUGACGACGCUUGCCAUUGCUCUGCUUCCAGCUAGAUCCCUGGCCGUUUCGGGGAAGGAGGCACUUCCUCAUGUAAACGAUCUGCCUUUACAUGUCGUAGCUCAUGUACGGCUCCUUGGCCGCGUACACGACGUGAGCUUUGUCGAGUUUCUCCAUCCAGGCCGAGUGCUAGGCACGCUUGUCCUUGUUGCAGGAAUCCUUCAUGUCUCUGCAGUAGGGGUCGAUGAUGGCCUCGGUGAGGUGAACCAGUGAGUCCUUCUCUUGCUCCUUGCUGCCCUAGAUCUUGUAUUGGCCCUAGACGUCGACAAGAUUCUGGCAGGCGAUGCCCAAAUUCUCAAGCGCCUUUACAUCGUUGGUGAUGUUCACCGUACCAAACAUGUAGUGGGGGCCGUUGACAAACCUGGCGAAAUGCUCGCAAGGCCUUAUGGCCAGGUAGUAGUGGUAGACGAGGACGUGGUGGCGCACGCACAUCUGGGUGGCGGCGACCAUGGGACGAGACCCGGCACAAGUGUGGGUGUACUCAAGGUCGAACCCGACCACCUUGUACUUCUCCUCAGCAAGCAACAACUCCAUGAUGUGGAUGGAGUGCUCCACCCAGACCGGGUUAUUGGUGUACACCACCGAGAGGUCCAUGAACCUUCUGUGGGUGUCCACCAUGGCACGCAUGGUGAACUGCUGCUCAUCGGCGGCAGCCGCUCGGAGCGCCAUUGGAGCCGCACAGGAUACCCUCUAAGAAUUUAUUAUGGUGGGUGUGCUUCUUGCAAUGGUGGGGCGCGAUCGAAAUGUUGUAGAGACACAAGGGUUAAAUGGCCACUGUAAUAAAUGGGGGCCGGCCGGCCUAUAAUUGUCACGUCUUGUCACAGUUUUCAUAGCGGAGGAUUCCAGUGCACGCUUGACAACACCGCACUGCACGUGUUUCGUUUGACCACGCGUGGGCUUGAAGAGGCGCUAAAUUUAUCGUCAGUGAGCCUGUUCCCGCGCUACCGCGCAAUUUACCGUGCAAACUUCCUACCCGGCUAGUUUGGCCACGCGUCGGCUAGAAGAGGGAAAAAUCAUGGGCAUUUAUUGGCAAAAAGCUUUGUAAAAAUGAAGUGUGUGGAAUGACUUCGGUCAUAAGUUUACCCGUAGGUGAUGAGGUCAAAGUUACACAGAAGGGUGAUGAUGGACACUCAAGUGUGAUAAUUAAUUCUGCGCUCCACAGGGCACACGGUUGAAGAAAACAACUGUGUGCAAUAAUGUCAGAGAUUGCAGUCGAGUUAGCCAUACAGAUCGUGUGCUGUGAGACUAACAAGGUAAACAUAUUCGAGAAUGGUUAAUAAAAUCUGAGACAAUUGCAUAUUCAGGUCAAAAAAGUUCUACCAAUAUACGAGUCUCAUACGAUGCCAUUUCAAUGAUUGUACCACAAAAGCUCGAGAUAUUACAGGGUUCAAAUUCCAGAGUUAUAUGGCUCAAAUUCGAAGAUUACAAGGUUCAAACUGAUAUUAGAUAUGAAAUUCAGCUCAUCAGUUGCAAACGCUCGCGCUGAUCCGCUGAACAUGGAUAUCAGAGAGGUUCAAAUUAAUAUUACCACUUCUAAGUCUGGUUUCGAAACCUCAUAAUUUUUGCAAAGGGGUCAGCCACUGAGAAGUCAUGUAUGGGGUUGACACGAUGACUUCGGAUUACUCUGUCAUCUUAAGUUCCAAAAUUAAAUUCUGCAUUUUUGGACCCUAUUCCAUUCUGCCGUAGGCACCGGCGCUGAUCAACAAACCAUUCAUUUUUGCGAAAUAAAUGUAGGGAAAACCUCAUUACCUUCAGCACCUUUGCUCUAAAAACAAAGAACCUGGCGAAUAUAAUCUCCGGUAAGGUCCCUCAGUAGGAGUUCAAAGUAAUUUCUGAGAAAUGCUGAUCUAGGCAUUCGACGUGAUUUUCAUAUUGUAUCACAUUAUCCACAACUAGGCCUAAUCUUAUCUGCAAAAGAAGAAAACGUGUUAGUGCCUACAUGCAGUUUUGAACACUACUACAUGCCUAUUUGGUUUGCAGGAUUUGUAAAAUACACUAACAUGCCAUCUUCGAUCUGACAUGAUUAACAUGGGCAUUUGAUUACAUUAUAGAAAAAUGUAGCCUUCUUCACAAGAGGUUGGAGUGGAUGAAAAGUUCCCUAAGAAAACUAGUACAAACGAAUCCAAAGGAGAAAUACUUAUGGAUUGUAACCAUAUGGAUAAAGCAACCAAUAUGGGGGGACAUGUAUGCGCUGAAAUACUCCAAAAGAAUACUUCAGAAAUUAUAGUACAUUGUCAUUGUAAACUUGGAAAAAGGUGUCACAAAUUGAACUCCCUUAUGGUUAAAAUUUAAUAGGAAAGGAACAACACCUCGAUAAAUAGCUUCUCCAGGCAUGGAAAGCAUCUUAGGAAACUAACAACUUGCUCCAGGUUGGGGCCGAUAGAUUCUAGUGCCAAGACCUUCACUAUGCGCAGUUUCGGGGUCAAGCUUGUCGGAAUCAUUUUUUGGAUGACAGACGAACAAACAUCUUCAAAAUUAGAAAUAAUGUUAAUUUGUAGAAGGAGAGGUAGAAGGCGGUUGUUGUACCUGAACGGGUGUGGAUCCAAUAAGGAGAGGUAGAAGGCGGCUGUUGUACCUGAACGGGUGUGGAUCCAAUAAUAAGUUCAGAGUAUUUGUCAGACGAGUAGCCCACCACUAUCAAUUUCGGCGCAGAAAUGAAAUUGAUUCUUAUUGGACCUUCUUGAUCAACUACAAGUAAUAUCUCAAGUGCAGGUGUGUCCUCAAUGACAAUACCGUGGUACACAUCUUUUGAUGUCUUCUUGCCGCACCAGCAACACACAUAAAUAGUUCGAAGAGUCAUGUAGGUGAUGUGGAAGCUACUCAACCCAUUGAUCGCUUGAAGAUGAAGGUACUCGAGUGCAGUACAGCCACGGAGCAGGCGCUCCAUGUCACCGUUUGGGAGGCAGACGGCGACGAGCUCAAGGUGCUUCAGUCGUGGUAGAAUAAGAGGGGGUGCGUCAUUAAGGGGGGUGGUACACUAGUAGAAAAGGGGGCAAUGGCCAAGGCCAGUUCAGCCCAUUAGUCCCGGUUCAAUCCAGAACCGGGACCAAUGGAGCUAUUUGCCCCGGUUCGUGAGCCCAGGGGGCCGGCCGGGCCACGUGGGCAAUUGGUCCCGGUUCGUCCGGACCUUUUGGUCCCGGUUGGUGGGACGAACUGGGACCAAUGGGCCUGGCUCCUGGCCCACCACUAUUGGUCUCGGUUGGUGGCAUGAACCGGGACCAAUGGCUAGCCGUUAGUCCCGGCUCAUGCCACGAACCGGGACCAAUAGUGCUGCCUAUAUAUACCCCCUCGCUCGCGACCAGAGCACUCCAGUGCUCUGUUUUUCUCUUGCCGGCGAGGGGGGGCUUUGUGGUGCUCUAGCUCACCUCCAUAGCACAUGAGGUGUUCGAUGAAAUGCCCGAGCCACACUACUUAAGCUUUCUCCUCUCCAAGCUCGACCUUCAACCUCUAUUUUCCUCAAUAUUUGUCUAGGUUUAGCGGUCCAUCACGCCCCGUCCCCGUCUUCACCGCCGUCGAUCACCCGCACCGAUCUCAUCGCCAGCACCACCGUGGUGAGCCUCUUGUUCUUAUCUUCUUUCUGAAAGGAAAAAUAUUCUUACUUGUAUUAUUUUCUUACUUUUAUUAUUGCAUCUUAUAUAGUGCGAUGGUUUUGGUAUCCGCCCCCAUCGGCCCUCGUCCUGUCUAUGAUUCGGAUGUGGUAUAUAUUAUCUUUUCAUAACUAUUGGUUCAUUUAUUGUUUAUGAAAAUUAUGCCGACCAACGUGACAUAGAUUUUAUUUAUCUAGGAGGUUGUUGAACCGGAAAUUCCAACAGACCCUAUUGUCGAGAGGUUAAAUUUAGUUGAAGAAGAAAACAAUUUCUUGAAGGAAAAAAUAAAAAAACUUGAGGAGGAGAAGAUGAUAUUGGAGUUGCAUGUUGCGGAUGUCAUCGAUGAUCACAAGAUCAAGAUGGAUGCAAUGCGCUUGAAGAUGAGAAAGAUUAGAAAAUAUGCCAUUCAUACCGAGGCUUGGUAUCAUUAUGCCGUUGGAUCAGUUGUUACCUUGGUUGCGAUUAUGAUCGCAUUUGUUUUCGCAUUGAAAUGUUAUACAUAGUUUCAAUGUAUGGUUUAAUUAAUUUAGAUGCUCUGCAGAGCUUUAUGUUGUUAGAUGAGAACUAUGUAUGUACUUUGGUUUUUAUAUGAUGAUGAACUUCUAUUAAUUUGGUCACUUAAUUAUCUAUUCAUGAUGUUCGUAAUGAUUUUUGACACACUUAAUUAUAUAUAAUGCACGCAGAUGAACCGGCAAUGGAUGUACGGUGACAGACACACCUCCGAGUACAUUAAGGGCAUGCAUGAUUUUCUGGAAGUGGCUGAGGCAAACAAGCAGAAUGGUUUUAUGUGUUGUCCAUGCCCUAUAUGUGGGAAUACGAAGUCUUACUCUAACCGGAAAAUCCUUCACACCCACCUGCUUUACAAGGGUUUCAUGCCACACUAUAAUGUUUGGACGAGGCACGGAGAAAUAGGGGUUAUGAUGGAAGACGGCGAGGAAGAAGAGUAUGAUGACAACUAUGUGCCCCCUGAAUACGGUGAUGCUACUGAACAUCAAGAUCGCAUGUUAGAGGAUCACAAAAAGGGGUUGUACCCCAAUUGCGAAGAUGGCAACACAAAGCUCGGUACCAUACUCGAAUUGCUGCAGUGGAAGGCAGAGAAUGCUGUGCCUGAUAAAGGAUUUGAGAAGAUACUGAAAAUAAUGAAGAAGAAGCUUCCAAAGGAUAACGAAUUGCCCGACAGUACAUACACAGCAAAGAAGGUCGUAUGCCCUCUAGGAUUGGAGGUGGAGAAGAUACAUGCAUGCCCUAAUGACUGCAUCCUCUACCGCUGUGCCUACAAGGAUCUGGUGAUGUUGACGGUGAGCCUCCCAGGAAGAGGGUUCCUGCGAAGGUGAUGUGGUAUGCUCCUAUAAUACCAAGGUUGAAACAUCUGUUCAGAAACGGAGAGCAUGCCAAGUUGAUGUGAUGGCACAGUGAGGACCGUAAGAAAGACGGGAAGUUGAGAGCACCCGCUGACGGGUUGUAGUGGAGAAAAAUUGAGAGAAAGUACUGGGAUGAGUUUGCAAAGGACCCAAGGAACGUAUGGUUUGCUUUAAGCGCGGAUGGCAUUAAUCCUUUCGGGGAGCAGAGCAGAAAUCACAGCACCUGGCCCGUGACUCUAUGUAUGUAUAACCUUCCUCCUUGGAUGUGCAUGAAGAGGAAGUUCAUUAUGAUGCCAGUUCUCAUCCAAGGCCCUAAGCAACCCGGCAACGACAUUGAUGUGUACCUAAGGCCAUUAGUUGAAGAACUUUUACAGCUGCGGAAUGGAAACGGUGUACGUACGUGGGAUGAGCACAAAAAGGAGGAAUUUGACCUAAAGGCGUUGCUGUUCGUGACCAUCAACGAUUGGCCCGCUCUCAGUAACCUUUCAGGACAGACAAACAAGGGAUACCACGCAUGCACGCACUGUUUACUUGACACCGAUAGUAUAUACCUGGGAAGCUGCAGGAAGAAUGUGUACCUGGGCCAUCGUCGAUUUCUUCCGACCAACCAUCAAUGUCGAAAGAAAGGCAAGCAUUUCAAAGGCGAGGCAGAUCACCGGAAGAAGCCCGCCAUGCGUACCGGUGAUCACGUACUUUCUACGGUCAAUGAUUUACACGUAAUCUUUGGAAAGGGUCCUGGCGGACUAGCUGUUCCGAAUGACGCUGAGAAUCACGCACCCAUGUGGAAGAAGAAAUCUAUAUUUUGGGACCUACCCUACUAGAAAGACCUAGAGGUCCGCUCUUCGAUCGACGUGAUGCACGUGACGAAGAACCUUUGCGUGAACCUGCUAGGCUUCUUGGGCGUGUAUGGGAAGACAAAAGAUACACCUGAGGCACGAGAGGACCUGCAACGCUUGCACGAAAAAGAGGGCAUGCCUCCGAAGCAGUAUGAAGGUCCUGCCUGCUACGCUCUUACGAAAGAAGAGAAAGAAAUAUUCUUUCAAUGCCUGCUCAGUAUGAAGGUCCCGACUGGCUUCUCGUCGAAUAUAAAGGGAAUAAUAAAUAUGCCAGAGAAAAAGUUCCAGAAUCUAAAGUCUCAUGACUGCCAUGUGAUUAUGACGCAACUGCUUCCGGUUGCAUUGAGGGGGCUUCUACCGGAAAACGUCCGAUUAGCCAUUGUGAAGCUAUGUGCAUUCCUCAAUGCAAUAUCUCAGAAGGUGAUCGAUCCAGAAAUCGUACCAAUGCUAAGGAGUGAUGUGGCGCAAUGUCUUGUCAGUUUUGAGCUGGUGUUCCCACCAUCCUUCUUCAAUAUCAUGACGCACGUCCUAGUUCAUCUAGUCGACGAGAUUGUCAUUCUGGGGCCCGUAUUUCUACACAAUCUGUACCCCUUUGAGAGGUUCAUGGGAGUCCUAAAGAAAUAUGUUCCUAACCGCGCUAGGCCAGAAGGAAGCAUCUCCAUGGGCCAUCAAACAGAGGAUGUCAUCGGGUUUUGUGUUGACUUCAUUCCUGGCCUUAAGAAGAUAGGUCUCCCUAAAUCGUGGUAUGAGGGGAGACUGACUGGAAAAGGCACGCUUGGAAGGGACUCAAUAAUAUGCAGGGACGGAUAUUCUUGGUCUCAAGCACACUACACAGUUCUACAGAACUCUACCUUGGUGACCCCGUAUGUCGAUGAACACAAGAACAGUCUGCGCUCCAAACACCCGGAGCAGUGCGACGACUGGAUUACAUGUGAACACAUCAGGACUUUCAGCAGUUGGUUGGAAACACGUCUCAGAGGUGACAGCACUGUUUGUGAUGAGCUGUACUUGUUGUCCAGGGGACCAUCUUCGACUGUAAUGAUUUGGAAAGGAUACGAGAUAAAUGGGAAUACAUUUUACACGAUUGACCAAGAUGAAAAGAGCACCAACCAAAACAGCGGUGUCCGCUUUGAUGCAGCAAUCGACAAUGGAAAUGACACAUAUUAUGGUUACAUAGUAGACAUAUGGGAACUUGACUACGGAGUAGAUUUUAAGGUCCCUUUGUUUAAGUGCAAGUGGGUCAAUUUUCAGGAGGCGGGGUACAGGUAGACCCACAAUACGGAAUGACAAUAGUGGAUCUGAAACAUCUAGGGUACACUGACGAACCAUUCGUCCUAGCCAAUGAUGUGGCACAGGUUAUCUAUGUGAAGGACAUGUCUACCAGACCGACGAAAAGAAAAGAUAAGGAAGCGAAUACAUCAUACAAUGAGCCAAAGCGCCACAUAGUUCUUUGAGGAAAAAGGGACAUCCUGGGAGUGGAGGGCAAGACAGACAUGUCUGAAGAGUAUGAAAAGUUUCAUGAAAUUCCCCCCUUCAAAGUCAAGGCUGACCCAAGCAUCCUGAUAAACGAUGAAGAUUAUCCAUGGUUACGGCGCAAUAAGCAAACGACACAAGCGAAGAAAAAGUGAAGACUUUCUCCCGCAACUAUUAUGAUGAUACCAUGCCAACUUUGUAACAGACGAGUAUGAUACCAUUAUCCGUUUUGUACAUGCACAUGCUAUGCCAACUUUUUCAGAGUUCAUUUGAAAACUAUGAAUUUGAAAACCUCGCCAACCGAAGGGCGCUCACACCGGUUUAUAAGCCCGUCCCUCUACACGCCUUGUUGAGCUCACAAACUUGUGAUUCGCACAAAUUUCAAAGAGAACUAAUGGCACAAACAGAAAGUUUAUAAUUUUGCUGAACUAAAAGCAAAAAGAAUUAAAAAAUAAAGCAAAAAACCAAAAGAAAAUAAAUAAUGCAGAAAAGAAAACAAAAAAACUUGAAAAAAAAUCAAAAAUAGCAACAGUAAGUAUUUUGUUGUAAGUAGAAACAAAAUAAAAUAAAUAAAUAAAGCAAAAAAGUGUUUUCAAAUUUGAAAACUAAUGGCACUAAUAGAAAGUUUAUAAUUUUUCUAAAACUAAAAGCAAAAAGAAUUAAAAAAUAAAGCAAAAACAACAAAAAAUAAAUAAUGCAGAAAGCAAGACCAAAAAACUGGAAAAAAAUAAAAAUAGCAACAAUAAGUAUUUUGUUGUAAGUAGAAACAAAAUAAAAUAAAUAAAGCAACAAAGAAAACAAAAAAACAAAAAAAGUGCCACCUACUGGGCCCCCACNNNNNNNNNNNNNNNNNNNNNNNNNNNNNNNNNAAAGUUUAUAAUUUUUCUAAAACUAAAAGCAAAAAGAAUUAAAAAAUAAAGCAAAAAAACAACAAAAAAUAAAUAAUGCAGAAAGCAAAACCAAAAAACUGGAAAAAAAAUAAAAAUAGCAACAAUAAGUAUUUUGUUGUAAGUAGAAACAAAAUAAAAUAAAUAAAGCAACAAAGAAAACAACAAAACAAAAAAAGUGCCACCUACUGGGCCCCCAUGGCCUGAAUACGACUAGAAACCCUACCAUGGGCCAGGAUUCAGGCCCGCGGGAGGCCCAGUAGGCCCACAGGCACAGAUUCCACGGUCAGGCCCGAAAGCCUGCAGUUGAGAGGAGCUCGAGAGGGUGGGCGCAGCAGCGCUUAUAAACCACUCUCGAGCUCUCUCAACUAGCGAGGUGGGACUAAACUUUUCGGCGCGGGGCAGCACAAGGCCUUUGGUCCCGGUUGGUGGCACCAACCGGGACUAAAGGGGUCGUGGGUCCCGGGUCGUGGCACCAACCGGGACUAAUCCCCCCUUUAGUCCCGGUUGGUGCCACCAAUGGGGACCAAAGGCCGCCGCUUCCCGCCCUUUGGGCUGCUGAAAAUUGGCCUUUGGUCCCGGUUGGUGGCACCAACCGGGACUAAAGGUGGUCAUUAGUCCCGGGUCGUGGCACGAACCGGGACCAAAGCCUUUUCUAUAUAAGCAAAGACUUGGCGUUUUUUCAGAUNNNNNNNNNNNNNNNNNNNNNNNNNNNNNNNNNNNNNNNNNNNNNNNNNNNNNNNNNNNNNNNNNNNNNNNNNNNNNNNNNNNNNNNNNNNNNNNNNNNNNNNNNNNNNNNNNNNNNNNNNNNNNNNNNNNNNNNNNNNNNNNNNNNNNNNNNNNNNNNNNNNNNNNNNNNNNNNNNNNNNNNNNNNNNNNNNNNNNNNNNNNNNNNNNNNNNNNNNNNNNNNNNNNNNNNNNNNNNNNNNNNNNNNNNNNNNNNNNNNNNNNNNNNNNNNNNNNNNNNNNNNNNNNNNNNNNNNNNNNNNNNNNNNNNNNNNNNNNNNNNNNNNNNNNNNNNNNNNNNNNNNNNNNNNNNNNNNNNNNNNNNNNNNNNNNNNNNNNNNNNNNNNNNNNNNNNNNNNNNNNNNNNNNNAAGAAAAAAUAGAAAAAAAAUCUAUUUUUUCUUCUUCUCCUCUAUUCUUUUCUUCUUCUCCUCUUUUUUUUUCUUCUUCUUUUUCUUCUUCUUCUUCCUUCUUCCUUCUUCCUCUUUUCUUCCUUUUUCCUUAUUUUCCUUUCUCGAGGGAUAAGAAGAAAAAGAAGAGGAGAAGAAGAAAGAAAGGAAUAGAGGAGAAAGAAGAAACUUUGACACAAGGGGGGGGGGUACCGAUACCCCUCCCCGAUAACAUUAUUUUCCCAUGUAUAUGUAUGUUGCUUCGUUGUCGAUAUAACGAGGGUGUCGAGGAUCAGCAAGGGGUCGAGGGUCAGGAACUAGGGUAGAGGGUCGAGGGUCGUUAAGGGGUCAAGGGUCGAGGGUCGUUAAGGGGUCAAGGGUCGAAGGUUUCAGGGUCAAGGGUCGUUAAGGGGUCAAGGGUCGAAGGUUUCAGGGUCGAGGGUUCCUAUAGUGUCAAAGUAUUGAAGAAAUCCAUGGCUUCAUCAUUAGCCGGAAGUAACCAUGGCAUGAUGGUACGAAGUCCUCCAAAGUUAUUCUGGAAUGGAGUCCCGGAUAGGAUAAUUUGCCUUUUUGUAUGAAUCUCAGCAAAGGCCUUUCAAAUAACGAUAUUCGGAAGGUUCUUGCUGAACUUUGUACCAAAAAGCGAAUUAUCCUAUCUGGGACUCCGUUCCAAAAUAACUUUGGAGAGCUUCAUACCAUCAUGCACCUGUUACUUUCGCCUAAUGAUGAAGACAUGGUUUUGUUAAUCCUUUGACACUAGGCAACCUCCCGACCCCUCGGCGAUCCUCGACCCCUUGACCCUCGACCGCUCGGCAAUCCACGACCCUCUACCCUACCGCGGGCGUCGAUGCCCACGUCACUUGUGGGACAUAGAUGUAGUGUUCAACGCCGACCCCCUCCCGAUAGCUUCAACACGUGGGGAGGGUCGAUAUUACCCCCUCCUAGCUUGAAGCGUUGUCGAGGCCACCCCCUAACCCUUGAAGCGUUGUCGAGGCCACCCCAAACCCUAGAGAAGCAGCGUCGAGGCCACUAAUAUGAUUCCUUAUUGUGAUUAGCUAGCUAGUUCUACGUUUGCCACUAAUAUAUUGUCGGUGUACUAGAGUAGGGGUACCCUAUUACCCCGAACUCGUGCACGGGCAGUUGCAGCGCCCCGCAGCAAGGCCUUCCAGGUGACCGCCAGGACCCUCCGUGGUUCCCUUGAAGGCCAUUCAAGAACAAAGUAUUCAAGUUGAGGCCCCGGCAAGAGGAGCUUGCCGGUAAGAGAUGAGACCCCGGCAAGAGGAGCUUGCCGGGAAGGCCACUCAAGACAUACCAAGAAAGCUUGCUGCGAUGCGCCCUGCGUCCCGGCAACAUCCGGCGAGCGACAAGCUUCCGGACACGACAAGAUGACGGCCGCGGCAAGGAGCUUGCCGCGGGAAACCCCCACUGCGUGCCCGCGCUCCAGCUCACCUGCUAACGUGUCGCUCUGGGACUCUCCCAGAGCGCACGUGGCGGGAGGCCGUGCAGCUAGGGGUACGUGGUGGCAAGCGGAGAUGAAGAGAAGCCCAUCGUGGCAAACGGUGGCACUCCUAACGGUCACCUUUUGCACUGUUUAGGAGACUCAGAUAGGCUUUUAAUGCCCUUGUCCCCUGCCGUCAGAGUUAGGUAGGGCACACUGUAUCCACAGUAGAGGUAGCUGCACCUACCCAUCCUUUUCCAUUUUUACCCUUCUUGUCUACGUUGCCCCCUGUCGGUGACCCCUUGAGUAUAAAAGGAGGCCCAAGCGCAACGUAGAAAGGGUUCCGCAGGUCGGGGAGUUCAGGGACUCGGCUAGCUCGGCUCGUUGAACCCCAGAGACACUCUUACGCUCAGUCUGGCAGCGUCCAUCGCUCCUGAGAAAGAAUCCAAUAUACACCAAACAAGCAGCAGUAGGUUUUAUGCAUCCGUGCGGCCCGAAGCUGGGUAAAAUCCCNNNNNNNNNNNNNNNNNNNNNNNNNNNNNNNNNNNNNNNNNNNNNNNNNNNNNNNNNNNNNNNNNNNNNNNNNNNNNNNNNNNNNNNNNNNNNNNNNNNNNNNNNNNNNNNNNNNNNNNNNNNNNNNNNNNNNNNNNNNNNNNNNNNNNNNNNNCGAUCUUCUCUUUGUGCGCUCUCCGCCCCCCACUGAACCGAAAAGGGGCCCUGUCCCCAUAGGUGCUGGCGGGAAUCAGCAUCGCCCCCGGCAUCUCUGGCGCGCCAGGUAGGGGGCGUCGAGAUUGUGCGAACCCGAUCCGGUGCGCACGCAAUCUAGAUCUUCAUCAUCUUCAUCGACAUGCCACCAAAGAAGAAGAACUCGGAGGCAGCUGUUCCGUCCGCGUCGCUUCCACCGCCUCCGGAGCAAACGGAUGGUGGGUGGACGCCGGCGGAGGAAUGGGCGUCGACGAAGGUGCUCACAGCGCUGCUAAGUCCAAGGACAAGGCAGCACAGACCUCGGCGUCCAUGCGCGCUCCGCGUCCCUCUCAGGAGGCGCGGGACCAGCAGCGUCAUAGCGUUCGCAGCGCCAUACGUCCGCUGACCCAAGAUCAAGCUGGUGGUUCGCGCGGCGUUCAAGACCAGCCUGCACGCCAGCAUGCUGGCCCCAGCGAGGUACGGUCGCCGGCACGGGACGCUGCUCCUUCUAACUUGGUUAGGAGUCCGAGCACGCCCCUCUCCUCGCACCAUUCACCUCUGCCGCCCACCACCCCAGCAGAAGUCUUGGCGCGGGCCCAGCUGCUCCUGGACUAUCCUCCAACGGCGGACAAGACCGACGAAUGGAGGGCCACUAUCCAGAGCCUCAUCGGUUUCGCCAACGGCGACACUACGCGGCGACCAAGCACCUCGCUGCCGCGGCAGGACGACCAGACGCGAGCCGAUGGCAACAAGACUGAGUGAGGUGCGACUUCCAUGCACUCUCCACUACGAAGGCCAAAAUCGCCGACUCGCCGGGUCCACCCCAACAGCGGCUCCACCGCGUCGUCGGACCCACGAGCUCGUCGCGACCAGCGCCAAGUUCUCCAUGAACGGCAAAAAGAAGACGCCCGAACCCGCAUCGAGCGCCGAAGAGAAGCGCGACGUCAAUCCGACAAGCGUGUUGGGCUUACUGUUGACACGCAUGCGCCAAGGGAGCCAGGCGAUCUGCCGUACGCGGUAGGUUGUCCUGCGUUCACCCGUGAGCUGCGGCAAGUCCAGUGGCCCAGCACAAAGAAUUUCAAGCCAGACGUGCCAGAUAAGUACGACGGCAAGACGCAUCCGUCGGAGUUCCUCAGCAUCUACACCAUUGCAAUGCAAGCUGCCGGGGGACGAGAUGACAAGAUCCUUGCCAACUACUUCCCGCUGGUGCUCAAGCCCAAUGUCAGAUCCUGGCUCAUGCACUUGCCGGACAACUCCAUAUCUUCCUGGGCUGAUCUGUGCCAUCAGUUUGUCGGCGCCUUUACAGGCGGCCACAAGCCACAUGGCCAAGAGAGCGAUCUUCAUCUGCUCGCCCAGAAGGAAGGAGAGCCACUGCGCAAGUACAUUCAAAGAUUCAGCCGUGUGCAGCACAACAUCCCAGACGUCCACCCUGCCGCAAUCAUUAGCGCGUUCCAUCAGAACGUGCGAAAUCGAAGGAUGAGGGAGGAAAUGGCGAUGUGUAAGAUCAGGGACGUCAGCGAGCUUUACGCCCUGGCCGACAAGUGUGCACGCGCUGAAGAGGGGAGGAGGCUCCCCGGAGAGAGUACAGGAGCAGGAGGAUCUGACAGUGAGGAUGCCGCCCCGGCAAGGAAAGGCCGGCGGCGGAACUACAGAAGGAAUAAGGGUAAAGAAGUGCUAGCUGUUGAGCAGACCGGCAGCGGAGGUGGCGCCAAGGAAGCUAAGGUUGGUGGCUCCGACAAGGAGGCCCAUCCUGUGGCGGCCGCCGACAAGCAGGACAGCUCCGACAGGCAGUAUUGCAAGAUUCACCGCACCAAGGGUCACAAUCUCCAGAACUGCAAAAAGGUCGAACAGCUUGCUGAGCAGCAGAAGGCUGAGUACGAGCGACGCGACAAAGAGAAGGCCCGGGAAAGAACUGGUGAAUCCGGCAAGAAACGCCCCGGCCGGGGAGGACGCCGCGGCAAGGCUAAACAGCGGCUAGGAGACAGACCUCCCCGCGGCCGCGACAAGAAUGAAGACGACGACGAUGACGAAGACGUGGAUGAUGAUGAGGCCGAUGAGCAUGAAUUUCAAAAAGCCACAGAGGUCCUGUGCAUUGAUGGUGGCGCCUCUCUGCAUACUUCGCACCGCCAGCUAAAACAGUGGAUGCAGGAAGUGAAUGCAGCAGAGCCAUCCAUAGAGUCACGCAAGCCCCUGAAAUGGUCCAGCACGCCUAUCAUCUUCGACGUUGGGGAUCACCCUGAUCGCGUAACCGCGGUCGGAUGCUUGCCGAUGUUGGUCUCGCUCCGCGGUCAAGGUCACAAAGAUGCUAGUUGACGGCGGGGCCGGCUUGAAUCUCAUCUCCUCCGCGGUCCUUCACAAACUUCAGAUCCCUGACAGCGAGCUCGAAGAGACCGGCACAUUCCAAGGAAUCAACCCGGGAAGGAGCAAGCCGAAAGGGAAGAUCACGCUGCCGGUCACAUUUGGCAGCGAGCUGAAUUUCAGAACUGAGAGGGUCACGUUUGACGUUGCCGAUUUUCCAUUGCCCUACAAUGGGAUCCUGGGCCGUCCAGCGCUCGCCAAGUUUAUGGCAGCCUCUCACUAUGCUUACAACGUACUCAAAAUGCCAGGCCUGAUAAGCGUCAUCUCUGUCCCCGGCGACAAGAAGGAUGCCCUUAUCUGCGCCGACAAGAUCUACCGAGAAGCAGCAGCCGCAGCUAAUCACCAUACACUUGCCACUGAAGCUCCCGGGAAGAAGAAGAAGGACAAGUCCGGCAAGAGCUCUGAUGCCCACUCCGGCAAGCGCACCUCCUCAUAGUGCUGCGCUACCGUCGAGGACGCACCAUCGAACUCCACCGGCAAGUGCAAGAGGACGAUGGCAGCUCCACCCGAGACCAAGAAGGUGUCCGCCAAGGAGGACGGCACUGGUGGUACCUUCACCAUCAGUGCCACGCUUGACCCCAAAUAGGAAAGCGUGCUCGUUGCUUUCCUGCGGGCGAAUGUCGACGUAUUUGCAUGGCAACCGUCUGAUAUCCCCGGUGUUCCCAGGAGAGUAAUCGAGCACCACCUUGCCGUCUGUCCUCAUGCACGGCCCGUCAAGCAGAGAGUCAGGAAGCAAGCGGUGGAGCGCCAAGAGUUCAUUGCAGAAGAAAUCAGGAAAUUGGAAGCAGCAGGCCUUGUUAGAGGAGUGCUCCAUCCCACGUGGCUGGCCAAUCCUGUAGUCGUGCGCAAGGCAAACGGGAAAUGGUGGCUUUGUAUAGACUUCACUGAUGUCAAUAAAGCUUGUCCCAAAGAUCCAUUUCCCUUGCCACGCAUUGACCAGAUUGUUGACUCCACAGCUGGAUGUGAUUUUCUUUCAUUUCUUGAUGCGUAUUCAGGAUACCAUCAAAUCUUCAUGGCAGAAGAGGAUGAGGAGAAAACCGCAUUUAUCACCCCUUGUGGCACAUACUGGUUUGUACGAAUGCCCUUUGGGUUGAGGAAUGCUGGUUCAACAUUUGCAAGAGUAGCCUACAUCGCCUUUGAGCCACAGAUACACAGAAAUGUGGAAGCCUACAUGGAUGAUAUAGUGGUCAAGAGCAAGGACAAGGCUACCCUGAUUCAAGAUUUAGAAGAAACUUUUGCAAAUCUGUGCAAGAUCAACCUCAAGCUCAACCCCGAGAAGUGCGUGUUUGGAGUCCCUUCCGGCAAGCUUCUCGGGUUCUUUGUAUCUCAGCAGGGAAUUGAAGCCAACCCCGACAAGAUUAAGGCCAUCGAGCAGAUCGAAGCACCGAAGCGCGUCAAGGAUGUGCGAAGGCUUGCCGGUUGCGUGGCUGCUCUCAGCAGGUUUAUCUCUAAGUCUGCUGAGCGCGCCCUGCCAUUCUUCAAAAUAUUGAAAAAGGCAGGUCCAAUGAAAUGGACUCCGGAAGCGGAGGCUGCGCUGCAGGACUUGAAGAGGUACCUGUCCUCCACUCCAAUACUUGUCGCACCUAAGCCACAAGAGAAGUUGCUGCUGUACCUAGCGGCAACCAAUCAAGUGGUUAGUGCUGCGUUAGUAGCGGAGAGGGAGGCGGAUGAUGAGCCGGCAAUUGCAGCAAGUGAAUCCAACGACAAGCAGGGGGCUUCUCCAACAAGUUCUGGUCCGGCAAGCUCUGGUCCGGCAAGCUCUGGUCCCGACAAAGAAGAAUCUGCGCAGAUAUGCAAGGACGUGCAGAAGAAGGUGGUGCAGCGCCCAGUUUACUUUGUCAGCUCCCUUCUCCAGGGGCUAGGUCGAGAUACUCUGGCGUGCAAAAACUGCUUUUCGGCCUUCUCAUGGCCUCGAGAAAGCUGCGCCAUUACUUCUAGGCACACGAGAUCACAGUCGUCACUCGCUUUCCGCUGAAAAGGAUACUGCAGAAUCCAGAUGCAACAGGCAGGAUUGUCGAGUGGGCCUUGGAACUGUCAAGCUUUGGCCUCAAGUUUGAGAGCACUGCAACUAUCCAAAGCAGGGCAUUGGCAGAGUUCAUAGCAGAGUGAACGCCAACUCCAGAUGAAGAAAUUCCAGAGACGAGCAUCCCCGUCAAGGAGACAAGCAAAGAGUGGUUGAUGUACUUUGAUGGUGCCUUCUCGCUGCAAGGCGCCGGUGCUGGCGUGCUGCUUAUCGCACCCACCGGAGAGCACCUCAAAUACAUAGUCCAGAUGCACUUUCCCAAAGAACAAGCAACCAACAAUACUGCAGAGUAUGAAGGAUUGCUUGCCGGUCUUAGAAUAGCAGCCAACCUUGGGAUCAAGAAGCUCAUAAUCAGGGGUGACUCGCAGCUUGUCGUCCGCCAAGUGAACAAGAACUACCAGAGCCCGUUGAUGGAAGCAUAUGUUGAUGAAGUGAGGAAGCUACAAGAGCGCUUUGACGGCCUGCAAAUGGAGCAUAUCCCAAGAGCUCAAAAUGACAUUGCUGAUGGCCUGUCGAAAUGCACUGCACUAAAGUUGCCUAUGGAACCAGGGAUCUUUGUGCUCAAGCUGACUCAACCUUCCGUGGCACCAUCAACUGGGCAGAAUAAAAAGAGGAAGUUGGUUUCAGGUGACUACUUUCCGGCAGAGCACCCCGAAGCCGCCGCCAAGAAAGUCCCCAAGAUCAGCGCCAACGAUGCUGAGGGGCAGUCUGCUCCGGCAAACCUUGUGGUUUGUUCCGUCGAAGCAAACGCUCCCGACAAGUUUUGCUUCGGCAAGCUUGCCGGGGAACAUCACGCUCCGGCAGAAUCACAGGUUCUUGCCGUAGAAGCGGAUGUUCCUGCAGCAACAGGCAUGCCUUUAGUCCUUGUUGCCGAGCCGCAUGCUCCAGCAUGGGCGCAGCCGAUUGUCCGUUUCCUCCAGACAGGAGAGCUUCCCGAAGAGCAAGAAGAAGCUGAAAAAGUAGCCCGGCAGUCAAGUAUGUACAAGUUUGUCGACAUCACACUGUACAGAAUAAGACUCAACGACGUGAAAUUGAAGUGCAUUCGCCGGGAGGAUGGGCAACAGCUGUUGGCAGAAAUACAUGGAGGCAUAUGUGGUCACCACAUUGGCACAAGAGCACUUGUCGGCAAAGCAUUCCGACAAGGCUUCUUCUGGCCGACAGCCCUCCAGGAUGCAACUGCACAAGUAACCAAGUGUGAAGCGUGCGAGUUCCAUUCCAAACAGAUACACCAGCCAGCUCAAGCUCUCCAGACGAUCCCUUUAUCCUGGCCAUUUUCGGUCUGGGGGCUCGACAUCCUCGGCCCCUUCCCCCGAGAAAUCGGGGGCUUUGAGUUCUUGUACGUUGCAAUCGACAAGUUCACAAAGUGGCCCGAAGUGUAACCAGUGAGGAAGGUGACAGCACAGUCAGCAGUCAAGUUCUUCAGGUCGAUUGUUUGCCGUUUCGGGAUCCCGAACAGGAUCAUCACCGACAACGGCACGCAAUUUACGAGCCGCACCUUCAUGCAGUACGUCCAAGAUCUUGGCACCAAGAUCUGCUUCGCUUCUGUUGCUCAUCCAAGAAGCAACGGUCAAGCGGAGAGGGCAAAUGCUGAAGUGCUGCGAGGCCUCAAGACCAGAACUUUCGACAAACUGCAUAAGUGUGGAAGAAACUGGAUCGAGGAGCUACCGGUGGUUCUUUGGUAUUUCACUCUAGUCUAUGGAGCGGAGGCAGUUCUCCCCACGGAACUCGUAUACAGAUCUCCUCGAGUACUCGCUUAUGAUGAGCUCGAGCAAGAGCAGCUGCGCCAAGAUGACGCGCUGCUCCUUGAGGAAGACCGUCUCCAGGCUGCUGUGCGAGCCGCUCGCUACCAGCAAGCUCUGCGCCGCUACCAUAGCCGCAGAGUCAAUGCCAAGAGUCUCGAGGAAGGCGACCUUGUUCUUCGGCGCGUUUAGUCGGCCAAGAAUUCCAACAAGUUGACGCCGAAGUGGGAAGCCCCUUAUCGGGUGAAACGAGUCACUAGGCCCGGCGCUGUCCGCCUUGAGACCGAAGAUGGCAUUCCGGUGAGCAACUCCUGGAACAUCGAGCAUCUUCGUAAGUUUUACCCAUAAGGCGCGGUUGUCGGACCCUGUCCGGCAACCACCUUUCUGUACAAGUCUUGCCGCUGUUGCAUGUAAUCCUUUGUACAGAGCCGGGCGCAGACCCCGUGCACUAGUAAAGUUCAUGUGCACCGCACAUCUUGUCAGUUCCCUUAUGCUAUGAUCCUUUUUUGCAUGUAUUAUCUGACACUUUGUGCAGCACCAGACCCCGGUAAGCGAUAACGAGCCCAAGGCUCCAUAUCAUUGCUUUAUUUCUCUGUCACUUUCUCAAAAGAAGGAAGGUUCCCUCGCCCACAAGGUUUACCGGGGGGGAAGGAGAAGAUAAUGGUGUGGACCAGACCGUUCAAAAAAAAGAGUUUCUUCUUGCCGGGAAGCAGACGACAGAAAAGCUAAGUUGCUAAAGCUUGAGCAACCAGUUUUUCAGUUAUUUUCUUUGAAAGACCGUGCUUUGUAUGGAAAACCUGUGCGCGGAGGAACCGAUUCACAGCUAGCUGCGCCCUUAUUCUGUUUCGGGUCCGCUCAACAACUUAAGUGAGCUGCUAGCGCCCUUACUUUGCUUCGAGUCCGCUCAGCGACUUAAGUGAGCUGCUAGCGCCCUUACUUUGUUUCGAGUCCACUCAACAACUUAAGUGAGCUGCAACUAGUUGCGACAAGGUUGCUUGUCGGUAGCGGCCCCGCCAGCAGGCUGCUGAAGUUCCGCACUCGGCGCUCGCGGCAAGAAUGCCUACACCGACAAGUUUCCCUAAAAAGCGUAGGGCAGGACCAUACAAAGCCAAGAGUCGAGUAAAGGAAGUAACACAGCAAUGUUUUACCUAAGAUAGAGUUAUAUUACAAGAAUAACUUGUCGCACCCCUAAUAAAGUGUUCCCAUGACAUGACUGGCAGCGACAAGAAGAGAAGCAAACGGACGGCCUAAUCUAUGCGAUCGCCGUCAACCCUUUUGACCUCGUUCACCCUGUCGACGAUGGGUGCUACGAGGGCCUUAAGUGCAUCAAGAUCAGCGUCCGCCGGCAGCUUCCUGAGGACGUUGGUGAGGUUGAGGCCCGGAUUGCGGAAGGCCACCUUCACCAGCACCUUCUCCAGAACUCCGGCACAAAUCGAGCGUGACUCGUCGGCCAACUGCUUCGGGAUCCGUUCCCGGAGUUGCUAGAGGGCCACCGCCACGCCUUUGAAGAACAAAGUGAGCUUGGCGCUGGGUUGGAGGUUCUCGUCGGAGGAGUACCCGAAGCUUUCCACUCCCAAUUGCAGCAAUGUCCACGAGGCCCUCCGUCCAGAGUUCCACAGUAUCUCUGAGAAGAUUCUGGGUUUCGGCGGCCCUCGCAAGCAGCGCCUCGUUGGCCUCGAUGUCCUUAUUCAAGUCUGCCUCCCGUUUCCUGGCGCUGUCCAACGUCUCCGUCAAGGUGGCCAGCUUCAGCGUCAGAUCGGCGUUGGAACCCUUGGCAGCGCUCAAUUCCUUGCCCCUCUCGGCGAGCCGGCCCUGCAGUUCACCAUGGGCAAGGGCGUCCUUCUCGCACUCUAGCUUGAGGGCGGCAAGCUCUUCGCCACCAACCUUCAGAUCAGUUUCUAGCUGCGCCACCUUUGCCUCCAAUUCUUUCUUGGCGGCCUCUGCAGUCGCAGCCGCAUCCUUUGCCUCUUGGAGCGUCCCGCCAAGUGCCCGUUCGCGCGCGGCAAGCUCCUCUUCGUGGCUGUCGAGGUUCACUUUCCGCUGAGUCAGCUCGCCUUCUCGCGCGUACAGCUUCUCGCCGGUGAGCCGCUGCUGUUCUUCAGGUUCGGCCUUCUCAAGAAGGAAGGCCUUCCGUUCCUCGACAAGUUGCUCCCGCUCCUCCGCCAAGGCCCGGACAGUUUCUUGGUGAAGACCCCGGAGCUCCUCCGCACGUUUCUCUAUGUCCACGCUCGCCCUCGUGGCAAGCGCUUCCCGGGACUCCAGCUUGACUUGGCGGGCGCGGUAGAGCGCCAGCAGCCUCCGCAGCAGCCGCUCCUCCUCGGGCUCUUCACUGCUGCUUCCCGGCGCGUCGAUGAUCGAUAACCCGGCGGAGGCAAGCACCUCUCCAUCCAGAAUUUCUCCUUCCACCGGCGCCCUGGAGCUCGACGCCCAGGGGAGCUUGAUGAAGAUACCCUCGCCAGCCUUCAGAUAGGCGCCGGGCUGGGGCUCCUCGAAGCCUGAAGCUGCGGCAGCGGCGGAGGGAUCGGCGGUCGGUGCAGCGCUUGACGCUCCUGCGGCCUCCGGGCCGUCAGUGCGAUCGCCAGAUCCCCCGCCAGCUUCCUCGGCGGCAGCCUUGGCGGCCUCUUCGCCGGCGGGCACGUCAGCGCCGGCUCCUUCUUCGGUGGCCGCGGCAUCAUCAGUAUUGCCGCGUGCGUCUUCUUCGCCGACCGCCUCGGUCUCCAUCGGAUCCGUGGAGGGUGGGUCUGACGACCAAAUAAGAAGGAGAAAUCAAACAAGUGUUCGAGAAGAGAAAUCUAGCAGAAGACUACAAGGAAAGUCUCGGGCAAGGAGGGCUACCUGUACUAGGAUCUGCCGUCGUGGCCUCCACCACCGGCGGAUCGUUAGCACUGUCCCUUGCUGGAAACUCCUCCCUUGCCGGAGGCUCCUCCCUUACCGGAGGAUGCUCCCUUGCCGGGGAGUCCGCCCUUGGCGGCGUAGUCGAAGCAGACGACGAGUCGGAGGAGAUCACUACGCCCUCCUGGUCAAGCUGUUCUGCUCCUGCACAAGCAAAACAGAGAUCGGAUGUCAACAAAGGAAAAGAGCAACCACGCGCAUCCAGAAGCAGAAAGUAACCCGUAUGCUUACGCUGGGGGCUGCCCUGCGAAGUGUUGGCUGGGUCCGGCAAGGUAGUCUCGGGCGCACCUCCUGUCGUCGCAGUAGGCUCGUCCUCGAUGACCACCACUUGAGCCUUGGCCCUCUUCGCCGCCCUCUGGGCCAGAGUCCUGAAAAGGAGAGCCCAGGUUGGAUCAGAUCCGAUGCAAGAUAAGAUCAGCAAGUUGAAGAACUACAAGAACAAGCAAGGGAAUCUUACUCUUCUUCAUCUUCCUCAUCGGAGCUGAGCGCGGAGAGGUCGAAGUUCGGCCCACUCCCGGCGCGGCGAGGCGAAGAGGUGGGAUCCCUUGGCCGCUUGGCGGGGACCGCGGCGCCAGCCCGAGACGACCCCGCCCCAGUUGCCUCUGCGAUGGGAGGCGCCCCCGUGGCGACCGUGCUUGCCGCGGUGGAGCGCGUCGUGCAGCGCUGCGGCUGUUGACCAGCUUGCCGCCCUGCUGCAUCCCCGGUCCUACUGAGGCGCCUUCUUGGCUGCACUGGGGGCUGCGUUCCGGGUCCUGCUCUCGGCGAGCUCCCCAGAAGUGGCGGGCCGCCCAUACCCUCGGCGGGCUCGUUCGACUCGGCGUCGGGCACGGCGAGCUCUUCUUCCUCUUUAGGCUGCUCCCGUUCGGCAAUGCUCAUCGCCAACGCCGCGUCCGAUUCCUCCACUGUGAACCCGAAUUCACCCACGGCCGCAGCUGCCGCCGCCUCUUCCGCCCUGGUGGCGAUGCGCUCCAUUUCUUGCUCAGUGGUGUCGCGGGUGAGGAGCUUCUUCUCGUCAGCAUUGACCGCCACCUCCACGAGGCUGUCAAAGAACUGCUGCACGACGUCGCCGACGGGCUCUUGCCAAGUUGGAGCGAUCGCGUGCGAGUCACACAACGGCAUCAUUGCGCAGAUGCGGUCGCCCGAGGAGUUGUUGCACAGAGGAAUGACACCGGCCGGCAACCUGAACCACUCGGGGUGCUGUGGGUCAUGCUUGAAUAUCUCCUUAAGCAUCCCGUCCAAUUCUAGGACGGUGAAUUUGAAGUUAAGGCCUGGGCGCAACCUCAUUAUAUCCGCCGGGCCUCCAAAUUCCUAGGCAGGUCUCCCCCUCGCCUGCAGAGGGGCGAUGCGCCGGCGGAGGAAAUCUGCGCCGACAGCUCCUACAGUCAACCCGGCAAGCCUGAGACGCAAGAUCCGAGUGGUGGCGAUCGUCAGCUUGUCAUCAUCCAUGGACAGAGCGCUCCAGUCAUUGCCGCGCACUGCUGAGGCUUGGCGCAGGGCAGUAAACGGCUGCGGGCUCUCUUCUACAACCCAGCACCAAUCUGCUCUCCACUCGUCCCACUUGCUGCGGAGUUCCCCCUCCAGAUAGGUCUCCUUCUUGCCGGCCCGUGAGAUCCAGGCAAUCCCGCCGGCAAGAGGUUCCCCUCUCUCGACACGAGGCAUAAAGAAAUGGCGGAAGAGAGCUACGUUGGGGUGGACUCCGACAAAGUUUUCGCAUAGAUGGGCGAAAACUGCCAUGGUCAGAACAGCAUUGGGGGUAAAAUCAAGGAGGUGGAGUCCGUAGGUGUUCAUGAUAUCACAGAAGAAGUCAGAGAAUGGCGGGCAGAGCCCGCAGUAGAAGAACACGGCGAAGAAAGGAUAUCCAUUAGCUGGAGCUGCUCGUGAGGCGAUGGCGGAGAGUACCUUUGUGCGCGGAUGUGCCCGCGUCUCCGUCGACCAGAAGAGAUAGUACCACUCCCUCAGCUCCUCCGCGGAGAGCUCGGGGGGGAAGGUGGCCCGCUCCUUCCGCAGCGCCUCAAGUCGCUGCGCUUCGGUCGACUUCACAGCUUUCGCAGUCUCGGCCCUCGUGGCCUUCCCCUUCCCAGGCUUCGGAGGCAUGGCGGAGGCGGUGGGGGAGAUCGAUUGCGCUGGUGGUGGCGGCGGCAACGGGAGCGGAGCGCUGCUCUCUUUCGACUUUGGAAGCGGAGGGGGGCGGCGGAGGCUUCUGAGAUUGCAACGGCGAAUGGCGAAGAUGGAGGAAGUGCCCCUGUUUCCCCUGCUUAUAAAGAGGGACGGGGCGGACGUUUCGACCUCCCAAGUGAACAAACUUCCACGAUCUCUCCCACGACGCCGCGUUUGACGCGUGCCGUUCUGGGCGUGCGCGGUGGGAGCAGAGUUAGAUUCGGCGUGACCUAGGCCGCGCGUGCCCGUGCACUGUUUUGGGCCUGGCCCAACAGCGCUCGGCACCGUGUAUGGCCCAGGCCCGGGGGCUCCUGUCGGUGUACUAGAGUAGGGGUACCCUAUUACCCCGAACUCGUGCACGGGCAGUUGCAGCGCCCCGCGGCAAGGCCUGCCAGGUGACCGCCAGGACCCUCCGUGGUUCCCUUGAAGGCCAUUCAAGAACAAAGUAUUCAAGUCGAGGCCCCGGCAAGAGGAGCUUGUCGGGAAGGCCAACCAAGGCCCCGGCAAGAGGAGCUUGCCGGGAAGAGACGAGACCCCGGCAAGAGGAGCUUGCCGGGAAGGCCACUCAAGACAUACCAAGAAAGCUUGCUGCGAUGCGCCCUUCGUCCCGGCAAGAUCCGGCGAGCGACAAGCUUCUGGACGCGACAAGACGACGGCCGCGGCAAGGAGCUUGCCGCGGGAAACCCCCACUGCGUGCCCGCGCUCCAGCUCACCUGCUAACGUGUCGCUCUGGGACUCUCCCAGAGCGCACGUGGGGGGAGGCCGUGCAGCUAGGGGUACGUGGUGGCAAGCGGAGAUGAAGAGAAGCCCAUCGUGGCAAACGGUGGCACUCCUAACGGUCACCUUUUGCACUGUUUAGGAGACUCAGACAGGCAUUUAAUGCCCUUGUCCCCUGCCAUCAGAGUUAGGUAGGGCACACUGUAUCCACAGUAGAGGUAGCUGCACCUACCCAUCCUUUUCCAUUUUUACCCUUCUUGUCUACGUUGCCCCCUGUCGGUGAUCCCUUGAGUAUAAAAGGAGGCCCAAGCGCAACGUAGAAAGGGUUCCGCAGGUCGGGGAGUUUAGGGACUCGUCUAGCUCGGCUCGUUGAACCCCAAAGACACUCUUACGCUCAGUCUGGCAGCGUCCAUCGCUCCUGAGCAACAAUCCAAUAUANNNNNNNNNNNNNNNNNNNNNNNNNNNNNNNNNNNNNNNNNNNNNNNNNNNNNNNNNNNNNNNNNNNNNNNNNNNNNNNNNNNNNNNNNNNNNNNNNNNNNNNNNNNNNNNNNNNNNNNNNNNNNNNNNNNNNNNNNNNNNNNNNNNNNNNNNNNNNNNNNNNNNNNNNNNNNNNNNNNNNNNNNNNNNNNNNNNNNNNNNNNNNNNNNNNNNNNNNNNNNNNNNNNNNNNNNNNNNNNNNNNNNNNNNNNNNNNNNNNNNNNNNGAUCCGCUCUUUGUGCGCUCUCCGCCCCCCACCGAACCGAAAAGGGGCCCUGUCCCCAUAGGUGCUGGCGGGAAUCAGCAUCGCCCCCGGCAUCUAUCCAUAUCUGUCAUGUUUGAAUAAUAAUUGCCAUGUUGUAAAUAUUUCUAGAAACUAUGGACACCCCCCGAGACGAAGCACAAGAAGCGUUGUUGAGGGACAUAAUCGCACAAGGAAGUGAUGCCGUCUCCUCGCUGAUGUUUCUCAACGACAACGAUGGUCUGGAAGGAGAGGGUGAAGAAGCAGCUGGCUAUGAUUUACAUGGCUCCGAUGACCCAAUGCCGGUGCAAGAAGGAGAGGGUGAAGAAGUAGACCGUGAGGACGGCUCCAGUGAUCACCAAACCGAGUCCGUCCAGGUAUAUAUAUUAGUUAAGCCUGUGCUGAUUAGCUAAUUGAUGCAUUCAUUGUUUUGGUAUGUACACAUAUUAAUUAACUCUCGUCUUUGUUCUUUUUUCUAGCCCUCCGGAUCGAGCACAACUUCGGUAAAGAGACGAGGCCCGAAGAAAAAGUUGAGCUCGGAUGAAAAGUUUGAGAUCAUACAAAUCGCGCGCGACGGCCAACCGAUUGAACCCUACCGGACAAAGAAGGCAUUUGUUGCUCAGUGCGGGGUUCUGGUUAGGGACAAGAUCCCGAUCAGCAUCCAGCAAUGGUAUAAGCCUAAGAAUGAAGACCCUGAGGUGUCUUAUGUCAAUGAGAUGCAGAAAAAGAAUCUUUGGACUAAGCUGAAGUCAAAUUUCACCCUACCGCCGGAGGAUGAUCCGGAGAAGCCAGUUAUAGAGCCAUUAAUCAAGUCUUUUUCUCUGAGGAAGAUGGCAGACCUAUUCAGGAAUUGGAAGAAAGACCUCAAUAGGUAUGUCGAAAAAAAUGAGACACUAGAAUUCAUGGGCAAAUAUGAGAAGAUCAGAGAUGACUGGCCCGCAUUUGUGGCCCACAAGACAUCGGAAAAGAGUAAAAAGAUGUCGGCGACAAACAAGAGAAAUGCUGAGAAGAAGAAGCUUCACCACCGCACGGGGUCAGGUGGCUACCUCGUAGCCCGGCCUAAGUGGGCCAAGGCUGAGAAUGAUCUGCUUGAUAAAGGGAUCGAACCAGAGACAAUGAACUGGCCAGAACGUUGCCGGACUUGGUUCUUUGGGGCCGGCGGAUCCUUGGACCCUAUAACAGGGAAGUGCAUUUGGACGGACGAACAAUUGGACAUACCAGUCAAGAGGCUUCAGCAAUAUAUCGAAGCAGCGCAGCAAGGGACGUUCGUUCCAGACAGGGAGAAGGACGAGCUCACAAUGGCCCUCGGCAAUCCUGAGCACCCUGGACGGACACGAGGCACGCCAGGCUCCGUUUCGUGGAAGGCUGGAUUUCCGGACGCAGGGGGUUACAAAACCCAAGAGAGGAGGAAGAAACUGGAGCAGAGCCAACUGCAGGCGCUGCACGAAAGGGUAAUGGGGCUAGAGGAACGAGAAGCAGAUCGCAACAAACGACCUGCCGAAGCUUCCCCCGAAGCUACCCCGCCAUCUCAGCGGAGAAGCAGCAUGGCUUCCACCGAGCUGCUUCAGCCAGAGCAUGCCUUGACGGCUCCUGCCAGCUAUCCCGUGGAUGCUAUCACGGAUGCUAAAAAUUGCCACCUUAUGGCGCAAUGGAGCAAUUUGAAGGUCAAGGCGGCUGUUGGCUUUGUUUAUCCUACUAAACCCGACUCAACUUUUCACUGUCGGCCGAUUCCAGAAGGAUAUGCUAAGGUGAUGGUCGAUGAAAUAACGGAGGGAUUUGAGGACCUCCGGCUUGACCACCCUACCGGUGAAGGGGAGUAUCGGCUGGGUUCUGCUCUGAAGACUCCAUGCCUAUGGCGGAAGGAUCUCAUCAACCUUCCGAACUGGAUGCCUCCGCCUCCUCCUCCUCCUCCGGCGAGUCAGGGCACUCCGCCUCCUCCACCGCCUCCUCCUCCGACGAGUGACGAUCAGGGCACUCGGCCGGCUCCUUCUCCAGCGUGUGGCGGCACUCCGCCUCCUUCUCCGCCUGCGCCGGCGCGCCCGAGCAGCCAGCCUCCUCCUUCUCCGCCUUGUCAGCAAGGGCGGAAGAGACCCGCCGCCGCUUCGGCUGCUCCGGCGCAUCGCAGUCCUUGUCCUCCGCCUCGUAAGCAAGGAAAGAAGACAUCCGCUCUGUCUACUUUGCCGGCGUCUAGUAGUACAGCCAAAGGCGGGAGGAGAUACAGAUUCGGUCCUUCUCUGAAGACUCCAGAGAAGUUACCGUACGAGAGGAGCGAGGAGCAAAACGCGAAGAUCGCGCAGACCGAAGUGGAUGACUGGUUUCAAGGGUUGAAAGCAAAGAGACAUCCACCUCCGGAGGAGAAGGUAGAUCCGGUGAAAGCGAAGCGCACUCUUGCUGCCCUGACAAAACCACCCAAGUCUCCGCCGAAAGGCAACUAUGAGCGCAUUAUUGGAAAGGCAUUUGCCGAAGCGGAGAGGUCGGGAAGUACUAAAAGUGAUCAAAGGAUGAAAGAACGACGAGCUGGGAAACAAAUUGCCCAGCUCGGCGAACAAGCGAAGCAAUCGUGCCCCCCGCUCAAGGUGCCUGCUAGCGACAUCGUCGAUCCGAGGAUGGUGCCCGGUUAUGGCAAUCCUGCAGAUUACCUGACGAUGUACAUUAUGAUAUCUUGGAGGUGCAGAUACAAAGAUACGAGUACGGGAAGCCUCUCGUCAAAGAUGAAAGUUCUCUAUCAACGAUGAUGCGAAGAUUGCAUGAUUGGUACAUGAAAACCUACAAAGAGUCUGAGGGGAGGAGUACUUUGUAUGUGAGAGUUAAAAAGGAGCAUGACCUCCUUGGAAUUGAACUGUUGCCUAUUCCAUUUGAGGAGUUCUAUCAGCUUUUCAAUCAAUUGGCCAUCGAUAAAGCAACGGUCACCUCCUACUGUCUGUAAGUAGUACUACUUCCGUCAUUAAGUCUCUCUAUAUAACUCAGCCCUUUCAUUGCAUGUAUUUAUAAUUAUCCUCACUAUAUUAUGCAGAUUGAAGAUCGCCGAAUUAAAGAAAAGACAAGUGGGAGAUAUUGGGUUCAUUUACACGUAUCUCAUAGAUGCAACUGAGGUUCAAUAACGUGCCCAAGGAACCGAGGCCAACUUGCUACGAUCGUUGGAAAUAAAUGAACGCAAAGAUAUAAUACUCUUUCCUUACAACUUCAAGUGAGUGUUACUGUCUUGUGGCAUAUUCGGUUUCCUUAUUAGUCCAGGUUAUAGUAAUGUAAUAUUGAUGAGUUAUGCAUGUGUGCGCAACUACCACUAUAUUCUCCUAGAGAUUAAGCUUGAGAAGGGAGUAGUAACUGUCUUAGACUCCAAGCGAAAAGAUCCCAAGGAGUAUGCGGACAUGACUGAAAUGCUCGAGAAGUAAGCUAAAUCGAUCAUUAUCCACCAUAUCAGCAACUUUGUUCAUUUCUGAUAUCAAGUAAUUGUUUUCUUUGUAUGGCAGGGCUUGGAGAAAAUUCACCAAAAAAGCUCCGGGACUACCAAAGAAGCUGCAAUUUAGGCACCCGAAAGUAAGUACUAUAUAGUAGCAUAUUCCAAUCAUCUCCUAGUGAUUCAAGCACUAGUUUCAUCAAUACCAUUUAGCAUGCUUGCUAAUUAUCAGUUUGAUUGACCUCUAUUUCUUGUAAAGUGGUUGUGGCAGGAACAAGGGAAUGAUUUCUGUGGAUACUACAUUUUCGAGUCCAUCCGCCACAUGACCUGUGAGCGGGGCUACUCCGACAAACAAUAUGAAGUGCGUAAAUAACAAUAUUCACAAUUUUAUUUUAUUAUCAUCAUUUGUGUUGAGUUUCAUUCAUUCAUAUAUAUAUAUAUGUAUUGACCCCCUUCUUAAAAUUAGAUGUUUCGGAUGCGGGAUGAACUCCUAGCACCAGAUCGCAUGCGAGCAAUUCAAGAGGAAUUGGCGGCAUUCUUUCUUGACCACGUGAUCGCUGAAGACGGAGAAUACUAUGUGGACCACGCGUCCGUAUUUUAGGAGAUUAUAUAUUUGUAAAAGAUAAUUAUUGUAUAUAUGUAGCCGGUAGUGUCGGAUAGAUAUACGAGAACUUGUUGUUCGACCAAUCUCUCGGAGAAGGAGAGGUGGUCGAUAUCACUUCUCUCUGUAUGCAUAUAUGUUCAUGACGAUCUUCUGUUUGCUUACUAGCUAGCUAGCGUGUCUAGCUAGUCCUCUCACGGAUAAAAGAGAGGACACUUCUCUCUAUUAAUUAGCUAGCUAUAGCACAAUAUAUGAAACACCUAAAUUAACCCCCCAAAACCCCCCAAACCCCCCCCCCUUUUAAAAAAAACAAAAACCCCAGCCACAGAAAUGCUGACGCGUGGAUGCCUAUUGGUCCCGGUUGGUGCCACCAACCGGGACCAAAGGCCCUCCUGCCUGGGCUCAGCGGACAGGCCACGUGGAGGCCCAUCUGUCCCGGUUCUGGAUUGAACCGGGACUAAAGGGUCAGGGCAUUAGUACCGACCCUUUAGUCCCGGUUCAUGAACCGGGACUAAAGGCCCUCACCAAUGGGGACUGUAGGCCCUUUUUCUACUAGUGGUAGUUCCUGAACUUGGUGACACGCAGCGUGGGUGCGAGGCGGAGCACGGACGUUGGCAGCGAGCAAAUAUGCCCAUCAUCAAAAGUGAGCUCCUCGAGCUGAUCUAGGGCGGAGGAUCAAAACCAGUCGUCAUGCUUGGCUCGGUCCUUGCCGUUGGAACGGAACUUGUCAAUUCUAAGGCCUCUGGUUGGGCCAAGAUGACUGCCGAGGAUCUUGGAGAACACAUCCAGGAUUUUGCGACAGCCAUGGUAGAGCUCAUGGGUGUCGAUGAGGUCGAGAGGGGUUGAGUUCCAUAGGGGGCGCCACCGCCGAGAAAGGAUGGUUGUCUGCGCCCCAUAUUUUAUUCGGAGGAGGGAGAUGAUGAUUGUCAACAUAUCAUCGGGGAGGUUGCUGAUGAAGUCUAGGCCUGCUGGAGUCACUUGCGGUUCUUGCUCGCCCCGCCUCUACUUGUUGGCAGCCUCGUUCUCCACCUCCAGAGUCUCCUUGUCAGCAGCGUUUUCUGAUAGAAGUUGGAGUACAGGGAAUAUUUAGUUAAAACAGAGCAAUAGAUAAGUGUAUUGGUAACUAGAAGUUAUUAGGUAGGAAUAUAGUAAGAAAAUGGAAUAACAAUUGGUUGAUUAAAUACUACACAAUUCAUUUUAUAUUGCUGGGUAAGUCUACAUGCAGAUACUUGAAAAGAAAACUUACUUCGAACAAAGUCUGGACGGAUGAUAUCGUCGGGGAAGUUAGCAUAUAUCUCAUGACCAUGCCCUUUUAUGUGAAGUGCAAUUAUAGUGCCAGCUUUCAGUACAUAAAACUUAGAAGUUUCUUUCCAAAGGCCAGUGCCAAAAUAGGAUUCACCACGUUCAUCAAGUCUUAUAGUAGCAACGAUUGUAAAUCCAUGGUUUGUGUUCAGUAUGACAUCCCUGCAAUGUUGAUUUAUGUAAAGGGAAAGAUUGUGCACUACAGAUUCUGUUGCAUAGCAAGGGAUGCGCUAUAGAAAAUGGUAAGAUUGUUAUAAAAAAUAUGGUAACAUCACUAGUGCAGAACCGGGCAAUAGCACCGGUUCGUAAGGCCCUUUAGUGCCGGUUCCAUAACCGGCACUAAAGUGUGGGCACUAAAGCCCCCCCCCCUUUAGUACCGGUUCAGCACGAAUCGGUGCUAAAGGGCAACCACGUGGCACGAGCCAGCUCCGGGGGCCUGGAGCCCUUUAGUACCGGUCGGUAAGACCAACCGGUACUAUAAGGUUUGGGGGGUUUUUAGUUUUAUGAUUUCUUUUUCAUUUAAUUUUGUGUUUCCAUUUUAAUUCUUUUUCGUUUGCUGGUAUUUUACGAUACUACACAUUGUACACGUUAUGCAUAUAUAUAUAUAUAGAAUUUCUAGUAGAACCAAUCAUCGAGUUCAACAUGAUUGUCAUGAUAUAAGCAUUCAUAUAUAACACCACAAAAGCAAAUCACUUAAGUUCAGAACAAAGAACACGAACAUGAAAGGACAAGUACUAAUUAAGAGCAGCAUGAAGAACUAGCUAAAUCACUCUUGCUAGCUACUCUCUCUCUGGUAAAAUAGCAUAGAACAUGUAUAGCUCUCCUGAUUGAUCAUACUAGAGCAUCCCGAUGAACCUGUCUCCUAAUCAUGGGCUGCGCUUCUCAUUGCUGCCCCCUAGUACUUCUCUGCGAUCAUUAACAAUUUUCCUCCAUUCUUUCACUAUUAAGCAUUCAUCGCUUCUAGAAAUCUUGAAUGCAUCGGGAGUCCCUGUUGAAGAACAUCGUAUAGUACUUAAUUAAUAUACUUAGCAAUGAAAGUUUAGCAAAAAAAAUAUGUAUGCAAAAUAUGCACUGAGGACAAAUAGUAAAUAUCUUACCAUCAUUCCUAAACAGAUGUGACCGUAGUUCAAUACCAUCACUAUUGGUCGCACGUUUUGAGUGCUAACAUUUCUAAGUGCAGGAAGAAAAUUUGUCUUGACAGUAUGAAGAUCCUCAAGCCAUGAAACAUAAUGACUUAUUUCCUCGCAGUUUAGUUUAGCUCCGGGACAGUAGUAGGUCCUGUCUACCAAGCGCCGGACAUGUUUGGUUGAAUGGAGAUAAGCUGUCAAUAGAAAUUAGUUGUCAGUUAUUUUUGAAUAAGCAAUAUCAAAGACAAAAAUAUAGAUGAGAAGAACUCACAUAAUGGUAGAACUGGAGGCGUCUGCACAUCGACCCAUAUGUCUCUAUUACCUUCAAUAUCAUCUUCCGGACGAAUAUCAAAGGUGAUAACCAUACCAGGCUCAAAUGCAUAAGCCUUGCAUAGUGCUUGCCAAGUUUUGCAUUCAAAAUAUGUGUACGUGUGUGUAUUGUAUACUUUGACGUUGAAAGUAUAACCGUCAUGCUCAGUUUUCAGGUAAGCUCUCUUUACCUUCAUAGUUUCCAUAUCUUUGAAACCUAUCUUAUCCAAGACAAAAAUUCUUGCAUGGCACGGGAUGCGCUAGUAGAAUAGUGAAAAUUAAAAAUUAUAAGUCAGGCAAAUGAAGCAUAUAUAAGUCAUUCUUAAUUACGAAAACAGACUUUGUCGUUGUGACUUACUGUAUCGAAUUCGAAAGUCUCAUCCAGCUUGAUGCUGAAUCGCCUACCAUCAACAAGAAAAUUUCUAUCGCACUGGCCGCGCUGGUCUUCACAGUAAUCGCACAUAAUGAAAUUUUUUCCGUCGUCAGACGACAUUUCCUAUGCUCAUAUUAGGCGAAACAUUAAUCACUUACUAAUUCAAUUAAUUCAACUACUUCUAGUAAUUCAACUAUGCAUUUACUAAAAUAAACUAGUUAUAUUAAUUCAAACUAAGCAUAUACUAAAAUAAAGUAGUUCUAUAUAUUAAUUCAACUAGUUCAACUAAACAUUUACUAAAAAUAAACUAGUUCUCUAUAUAUAUUAAUUCAACUAGUUCAACUAAACAUUUACUAAAAAUAAACUAGUUAUAUUAAUUCAACUAGUUCAAACUAAGCAUAUANNNNNNNNNNNNNNNNNNNNNNNNNNNNNNNNNNNNNNNNNNNNNNNNNNNNNNNNNNNNNNNNNNNNNNNNNNNNNNNNNNNNNNNNNNNNNNNNNNNNNNNNNNNNNNNNNNNNNNNNNNNNNNNNNNNNNNNNNNNNNNNNNNNNNNNNNNNNNNNNNNNNNNNNNNNNNNNNNNNNNNNNNNNNNNNNNNNNNNNNNNNNNNNNNNNNNNNNNNNNNNNNNNNNNNNNNNNNNNNNNNNNNNNNNNNNNNNNNNNNNNNNNNNNNNNNNNNNNNNNNNNNNNNNNNNNNNNNNNNNNNNNNNNNNNNNNNNNNNNNNNNNNNNNNNNNNNNNNNNNNNNNNNNNNNNNNNNNNNNNNNNNNNNNNNNNNNNNNNNNNNNNNNNNNNNNNNNNNNNNNNNNNNNNNNNNNNNNNNNNNNNNNNNNNNNNNNNNNNNNNNNNNNNNNNNNNNNNNNNNNNNNNNNNNNNNNNNNNNNNNNNNNNNNNNNNNNNNNNNNNNNNNNNNNNNNNNNNNNNNNNNNNNNNNNNNNNNNNNNNNNNNNNNNNNNNNNNNNNNNNNNNNNNNNNNNNNNNNNNNNNNNNNNNNNNNNNNNNNNNNNNNNNNNNNNNNNNNNNNNNNNNNNNNNNNNNNNNNNNNNNNNNNNNNNNNNNNNNNNNNNNNNNNNNNNNNNNNNNNNNNNNNNNNNNNNNNNNNNNNNNNNNNNNNNNNNNNNNNNNNNNNNNNNNNNNNNNNNNNNNNNNNNNNNNNNNNNNNNNNNNNNNNNNNNNNNNNNNNNNNNNNNNNNNNNNNNNNNNNNNNNNNNNNNNNNNNNNNNNNNNNNNNNNNNNNNNNNNNNNNNNNNNNNNNNNNNNNNNNNNNNNNNNNNNNNNNNNNNNNNNNNNNNNNNNNNNNNNNNNNNNNNNNNNNGGGCGGCGAGGGCGACAGCAAGGCGGCGCGGCGGCGUCGGCGUCGUCGAGAUCGAGACUCACGCGCGCGAGAAAAGUGGAACGAACUGGCGACGAUAACUGAAUUUUCAUAAGUGCCAUAUAUAUAGGAUGGGCCUUUAGUACCGGUUGGUGCCUCCAACUGGUACUAAAGGUCAAUUUUGGCCAGCCCAAGCAGCGGGAAACGUGGACCUUUCGUACCGGUUGGUGGCUCCAACCGGUACUAAAGGGCAACACAUUAGUACCGGUUGGUACCUCCAACCGGUACUAAUACCCGUGCGCUGCCACCCACAUUUAUUUUUGAGUAAUUUUUUAUAUAGUUAUUUCUUUUCUGCUUUAUUUUUUUCUUCUAUUUAUUUCUAAAUAGUUUUUUUGCUGUAUUUAGUUUCUUCGUGAAGUUUUUUGCUUAAUAUAAUUUAUUUUCUUCUACUUAUUUUUGAGUAAUUUGUUUAUAUAGUUAUUCCUUUUCUGCUUUAUUUUUUCUUCUAUUUAUUUCUGAAUAGUAUUUAUUUUCUUCUAUUUAUUUUUGAGUAAUUUGUUUAUAUAGUUAUUUCUUUUCUGCUGUAUUCAGUUUCUUUGUGUAUAUUUUUGCUUUAUAUAAUUUUUUUCCUUUUCUGCAUUAUUUAUUCUCUUCUAUUUAUUUCUGAGUAGUUUCCUCUUCUUCUUCUUCUUCUUCUUCUUCUUCUUCUUCUUCCUACUCCUCCUCCUCCUCUUCUUCUUCUUCUUCUUCUUCCNNNNNNNNNNNNNNNNNNNNNNNNNNNNNNNNNNNNNNNNNNNNNNNNNNNNNNNNNNNNNNNNNNNNNNNNNNNNNNNNNNNNNNNNNNNNNNNNNNNNCUCCUCUUCCUCUUCUUCUUCCUCCUUCUCCUACUCUUGUUCUUCUUCUUCUUGUUCUUCUUCUUCUUCUUCUUCUUCUUCUUCUUCUUCUUCUCCUUCUUCUUGCUCCUCCUCUUCUUCUUCUUCUUCUUAUUCUUCUUCUCCUUCUCCUUCUUCUUCUUCUUCUUCUUCUUCUUCCUACUCCUCCUCUUUUCUGCUAUAUUUUCUUCUUUUCCGCAAAACUUGAUGGUCAAAGUCUGGAGUUAUAACUUAAAAAAAAAGAAAUGUCGACGUGCAAUUAGUUUUUGCCAUAACAGAAGAAGUCCGGAGUUGUAAUAAGUUAUUAAAAAUAAAAAAGAGGUGCAAUGCUCGUUAAUUUGCUUCAAGCCAUUCGGAAUAGUGUAAACUGCACUGCGCAUAGCUCCAUGUAGUCUACCGUAUUCCUGAAGGCUUGAAGCUAAGCAACGUGAGCAUUGAGCCUCUUGUUCAUCGUCUCUGCACUUAGGGCUUAUAAACCGCUCCUAGUCCCUCUCACUUCGCGAGGUGGGACUAAAAAACAGCUUCCCAUAACCUCAUAAACCCGAAUACUUCGAAAGAGAUUGUCCAGUUUGUAAACGAAGUGCAUCCAGUUUUUGCCGUAACCCUCUCUACUUUUUUGAACAUGAUAUGUGGGUGAAAUGAUGAUACCAUGCCAAGUUUCAACUUUUUCAGAGUUCAUUUGUAGUGCUUUUCAAUUUCCAGGUCAUUUAGUUCUCAAAACAAAUCAUUAAAUGCAUGAAAAAUAGCAAAUGAAGGCAUAAACGGUUGAAAGUUGAUGGCGUCGCUUUGAAUGGUGCAUACUGAACGCAAAAAAUAUAAGAGCAUUUAGAUCAUGAUCUUAUAUUUCUUUGCAGUCUAAAUUAUCAAUAUGAUCUUAUAACAUCAAAAAUACUUUGAUCAUCAAUGAUCUUUGUGUGUACAAUCUGAAUUGUCAAUAUGAGUCAUCAACGAUUUAUAAACCGAUGAAGACUCAUAUUGCGGCCACAAAUUCUACACAUGGAGUUCAAUGAAGACCAAGUGCUUGUGAUAGUUUGAGAAAUAACAUAUUUAAGGUGGUAAAAGGCUUGUUAGGGGAGCGAGGUGGGACUAAAACAGAUUGCAAUAACCUCAUUAGUACCGGUUCGUGGGACGAACCAGCACUAAAUGGUGAUGGUGGGGCCAUAGACUGACCGCAGGCUGACACAGCCUCUUUAGUACCGGUUCGUGGCAUGAACCGGUACUAAAGGUUCGCCAUGAACCGGUGCUAUUGAUCGCCGCCACGAACCCGCACUAGUGUACACAUUAGUGUCGGCUGAAAUUCCAACCGGCACUAUUAUGCUUCACAUUUGACCCUUUUUCUACUAGUGCAUGCAAAUAUGGGCCCAAAUUGAAAGAACUAUACAGCAGUUGAAAUCGAAGGACAAAAAUCUAUAAUUAAACAUAUAGGGUAAACAUGAUGUCACGGAAAUAUAAGAGUAAUCAAAAGAACAAUACAUCAUUAAUUUGCCUAAUAUAGAAAGAAGAGGGGGAAAUCCCCUUUGACAUAUAUGGUGCAUGUGGCACCUUUUAUCCAAAUGUAGCAAUAUUUAGAAUAUGUUCAGGAAAGUAGGCCACACCAACCAAUUUAAUGUGAGAUUGAACAUACUGUGCGCAUCCUGACGUCAUUUGGUACGGUGAGAUGGAAUGAAUGGUGGAGGACGCAAGGCCCUGAUGUGUCCGCGCACUAUACACUCUAUGAAUGGAAGAAAUGUUGGGGAACGUAGUAAUUUAAAAAAAAAUCCUACGUACACGCGAGAUCAUGGUGAUGGCAUAGCAAAGAGAGGAGGAGUGUAUCUUCAUACCCUUGAAGAUCGCCAAGCGGAAGCGUUUAUCAACGCGGUUGAUGUAGUCGUACGUCUUCACAAUCCGACCGAUCCAAGUACCGAACGCACGGCACCUCCGAGUUCUGCACACGUUCGGCUCGAUGACAUCCUCGCCUUCUCGAUCCAGCAAGACGGGCGAAGUAGUAGAUGAGUUCCGGCAGCACGACGGCGUGGUGACGGUGUUGGUGAAGAACAAUCUCCGCAGGGCUUCACCUAAGCACUACGGAAACUAUGACGGAGGAUAAACUAGAGGGGACGGGGUUGCCGGCACACGGCUUGGUGUUUCUUGAUGUGUCUUUGGUGCUAGCCCUGCCCCUCUAUUUAUAUGUUGAGCCUUGGGGUCGAAACUUGGAGUAAAAGCCUCCACAAAGUCGGUUUCACCCGAAAGGCAAGAGUCCUUCUCGGACUCCAGGGCCAGACUCCAGGGUUCCCGGCGUCUGGACCCAGACGCCAGGGACCAUGGCGUCUGGCCCCUGGACUUCGCAAAACUUCCUUUUGCACUUUCCAAAAACCUUGUGGGCUUUCCCCUUUGGCCCAAAUAACGUGUUCUCGUUCCCAAACAUUUCGGGAAACAUCCGGAACCCCUUCCGGUGAAUUCCGGAACUCUUCCGAAGAUCAAACACUAUUAUCCCAUAUAUCAAACUUUAUCUCUGGACCAUUCCGGAGUUCCUCGUCAUGUCCAUGAUCUUAUCCGUGACUCCGAACAACAUUCGGUUACCAACAUACAUAACUCAUAUAAUACUAUAUCGUCAACGAAACGUUAAGCGUGCGGACCCUACGGGUUCGAGAACUAUGUAGACAUGACCUAGAACUUGUUUCCGGUCAAUAACCAAUAGUGGGACCUGGAUGCCCAUAUUGGCUCCCACAUAUUCUACGAAGAUCUUUAUCGGUCAAACCGCAUAACAACAUACGUUGUUCCCUUUGUCAUCGGUAUGUUACUUGCCUGAGAUUCGAUCGUCGGUAUCCAAUACCUAGUUAAAUCUCGUUACCAGCAAGUCUCUUUACUCGUUACGUAAUGCAUCAUUCCGUAACUAACUCAUUAGUUACACUGCUUGCAAGGCUUAUAGUGAUGUGCAUUACCGAGAGGGCCCAGAGAUACCUCUCCGACAAUCGGAGUGACAAAACCUAAUCUCGAAAUACGCCUACCCAACAUGUACCUUCGGAGACCCCUGUAGUACUCCUUUAUAAUCACCCAGUUACGUUGUGACAUUUGCUAGUACCCAAAGUGUUUCUCCGGUAAAUGGGAGUUGCAUAAUCUCAUAGUUAUAGGAACAUGUAUAAGUCAUGAAGAAAGCAAUAGCAACAUACUAAACGAUCAAGUGCUAAGCUAACGGAAUGGGUCAAGUCAAUCACAUCAUUCUCCUAAUGAUGUGAUCCCAUUAAUCAAAUGACAACUCAUGUCUAUGGUUAGGAAACUUAAACUUCUUUGAUUAACGAGCUAGUCAAGUAGAGGCAUACUAGUGAUACUAUGUUUGUCUAUGUAUUGACACAUGUAUUAUGUUUCCGGUUAAUACAAUUCUAGCAUGAAUAAUAAACAUUUAUCAUGAAAUAAGGAAAUAAAUAAUAACUUUAUUAUUGCCUCUAGGGCAUAUUUCCUUCAGUCUCCCACUUGCACUAGAGUCAAUAAUCUAGUUCACAUCGCCAUGUGAUUUAACACCAAUAUUCAUAUCUGUAUAUGAUUAACACCCAUAGUUCACAUCAUCAUGUGACCAACACCCAAAGGGUUUACUAGAGUCAAUAAUCUAGUUCACAUCGCUAUGUGAUUAACACCCAAAGAGUACUAAGGUGUGAUCAUGUUUUGCUCGUGAGAGAAGCUUAGUCAACGGGUUUGUCACAUUCAGAGCCAUAUGUACUUUGCAAAUAUUCUAUGUCUACAAUGCUCCGCGCAGAGCUACUCUAGCUAAUUGCUUCCACUUUCAAUAUGUAUCCAGAUUGAGACUUAGAGUCAUCUGGAUCGGUGUGAAAGCUUGCACCGAUGUAACUCUUUACGACGUGCUCUUUUAUCACCUCCAUAAUCGAGAAAUAUUUCCUUAAUCCUCACUAAGGAUAUUCUUGACCGCUGUCCAAUGAUCUACUAUUAGAUCAAAAUUGUAUUCAUUUGCCAAACUCAGAGCAAGGUAUACAAUAGGUCUGGUACACAGCAUAGCAUACUUUAUAGAACCUAUGACUGAGGCAUAGGGAAUGACUUUUCAUUCUCUUUUCUAUUUUCUGCCAUGGUCGGGUCUCGAGUCUUACUCAACUUCACACCUUUGCAUCACAGGCAAGAACUCCUUCUUUGACUGUUCUAUUUUGAACUAUUUCAAAAAUUUAUCAAGGUAUGUACUUAUUGAAAAAAUCUUAUCAAGUGUCUUGAUCUAUCUAUAUAGAUCUUGAUGCUCAAUGUGUAAGCAGCUUCACCGAGGUCUUUCUUUGAAAAACUCCUGUCAAACACUCAUUUAUGCUUUGCAGAAUAAUUCUACAUUAUUUCCGGUCAACAAUAUGUCAUUCACAUAUACUUAUCAGAAAUGUUGUAGUGCUCCCACUCACUUUCUUGUAAAUACAGGCCUUUCCAAAAGUCUGUAUAAAACCAUAUGCUUUGAUCAACUCAUCAAAGCGUAUAUUCCAACUCCGAGAUGCUUGCAUCAGUCCAGUGAUGGAUUGUUGGAGCUUGCACACUUUGUUAGCAUCUUUAGGAUUGAAAAAACCUUCUGGUUGCAUCAUAUACAACUCUUCUUUAAUAAAUCCAUUAAGGAAUGCAGUUUUGACAUCCAUUUGCCAGAUUUCAUAAAAUGUGGCAAUUGCUAACAUGAUUCGGACAGACUUAAGCAUCGAUACGAGUGAGAAAAUCUCAUUGUAUUCAACAUCUUGAACUUGUCGAAAAACUUUUUUGUGACAAGUCGAGCUUUGUAGAUAGUAACACUACUAUCAACGUCCAUCUUCUUCCUGAAGAUCCAUUUAUUUUCUAUGGCUUGCCGAUCAUCAGGCAAGUCCACCAAAGUCCACACUUUGUUCUCAUACAUGGAUCCUAUCUCAGAUUUCAUGGCCUCCAGCCAGUUCGCGGAAUCUGGGCUCAUCAUCGCUUCCUCAUAGUUCGUAGGUUUAUCAUGGUCUAGUAACAUGACUUUCAGAACAGGAUUACCGUACCACUCUGGUGCGGACCGUACUCUGGAAGACCUACGAGGUUCUGUAGUAACUUGAUCUGAAGUUUCAUGAUCAUCAUCAUUAGCUUCCUCACUAAUUGGUGUAGGAAUCACUGGAACUGAUUUCCGUGAUGAACUACUUUCCAAUUCGGGAGAAGGUACAAAUUACCUUAUCAAGCUCUACUUUCCUCCCACUCACUUCUUUCGAGAGAAACUCCUUCUCUAGAAAGGAUCCAUUUUUAGCAACGAAUAUCUUGCCUUCGGAUCUGUGAUAGAAGGUGUACCCAAUAGUUUCCUUUGGGUAUUCUAUGAAGACGCAUUUCUCUGAUUUGGGUUUGAGCUUAUCAGGAUGAAACUUUUCACAUAAGCAUCGCAGCCCCAAACUUUAAGAAACGAAAACUUGGGUUUCUUGCUAAACCACAGUUCAUUUGGUGUCGUCUCAACGGAUUUAGAUGGUGCCCUAUUAAACGUGAAUGCAGCUGUCUCUAAUGCAUAACCCCAAAACAAUAAUGGUAAAUCAAUAAGAGACAUCAUAGAUCGCACCAUAUCCAAUAAAGUGCGGUUACGACGUUCGGACACACCAUAAUGUUGUGGUGUUCCAGGUGGCGUGAGCUGUGAAACUAUCUCACAUUGUUUUAAUUUGAAGACCAAAUUCGUAACUCAAAUAUUCGUCUCUACGAUCAGAUCGUAGAAACUUUAUUUUCUUGUUACGAUGAUUUUUCCACUUCACUCUGAAAUUCUUUGAACCUUUGAACUAUUUCAGACUUAUGUUUCAUCAAGUAGAUAUACCCAUAUCUGCUCAAAUCAUCUUGUGAAGGUCAGAAAGUAACGAUACUUGCCACGAGCAUCAAUACUCAUUGGUCUGCAUACAUCAGUAUGUAUUAUUUCCAACAAGUUUGUUGCUCGUUCCAUUGUUCCAAAGAACGGAGUUUUAGUCAUCCUGCCCAAUAGGCACGGUUCGCAAGCAUCAAAUGAUUCAUAACCAAGUGAUUCCGAAAAUCCAUCUUUAUGGAGUUUCUUCAUGCGCUUUACACCGAUAUGACCAAAACGGCAGUGCCACUAAUAAGUUGCACUAUCAUUAUUAACUUUGCAUCUUUUGGCAUCAACAUUAUGAAUAUGUGUAUCACUACGAUCGAUAUCCAACAAACUAUUUUCAUUGGGUGUAUUACCAUCGAAGGUUUUAUUCAUGUAAACAGAAUAACAAUUAUUCUUUGACUUUAAAUGAAUAAUCGUAUCACAAUAAACAUGAUCAAAUCAUAUUCAUGCUCAACGCAAACGCCAAAUAACAUUUAUUUAGGUUUAACACUAAUCCCGAAAGUAUAGGGAGUGUGCGAUGAUGAUCAUAUCAAUCUUGGAACCACUUCCAACACUCAUCGUCACUUCCCCUUCAACUAGUCUCUGUUUAUAUAACUCCUGUUUCGAGUUACUAAUCUUAGCAACUGAACAAGUAUCAAAUACUCAGGGGCUACUAUAAACACUAGUAAGGCACACAUCAAUAACCUGUAUAUCAAAUAUACCCUUGUUCACUUUGCCAUCCUUCUUAUCCACCAAAUAUUCAGGGCAUUUCCGCUUCCAGUGACCAUUUCCUUUGCAGUGUAAGCACUCAGUUUCAGGCUUUGGUCCAGCUUUGGGCUUCUUCGCGGGAGUGACAACUUGCUUGUCAUUCUUCUUAAAGUUCCCUUUCUUUCCCUUUGCCCUUCUUUUGAAACUAGUGUUCUUGUCAAUCAUCAACACUUGAUGCUCUUUCUUGAUUUCUACCUUCGUUGAUUUCAACAUGACGAAGAGCUUGGGAAUCACUUUCGUCAUCCCUUGCACAUUAUAGUUCAUCACGAAGUUCUACUAACUUGGUGAUGGUGACUAGAGAAUUCUUUCAAUCACUAUUUUAUCUGGAAGAUUAACUCCCACUUGAUUCAAGCGAUUGUAGUACCCAGACAAUCUGAGCACAUGCUCACUAGUUGAGCGAUUCUCCUCCAUAUUUUAGCUAUAGAACUUGUUGGAGACUUCAUAUCUCUCAACUCGGGUAUUUGCUUGAAAUAUUAACUUCAAUUCCUGGAACAUCUCAUAUGGUCCAUGACGUUCAAAACGUCUUUGAAGUCCCGAUUCUAAGCCAUAAAGCAUGGUGCACAAAACUAUCAAGUAGUCAUCAUAUUGAGCUAGUCAAACGUUCAUAACGUCUGCAUAUGCUCCUGCAAUAGGUUUGUCACCUAGCGGUGCAUCAAGGACAUAAUUCUUCUGCGCAGCAAUGAGGAUAAACCUCAGAUCACGGAUCCAAUCCGCAUCAUUGCUACUAACAUCUUUCAACACAGUUUUCUCUAGGAACAUAUCAAAAUAAACAUAUGAAAGCAACAACGUGAGCUAUUGAUCUACAACAUAAUUUGCAAAAUACUACCAGGACUAAGUUCAUGAUAAAUUUAAGUUCAGUUAAUCAUAUUACUUAAGAACUCCCACUUAGACAGACAUCUCUCUAGUCAUCUAAGUGAUCACGUGAUCCAAAUCAACUAAACCAUGUCCGAUCAUCACGUGAGAUGGAGUAGUUUCAAUGGUGAACAUCACUAUGUUGAUCAUAUCUACUAUAUGAUUCACGCUCAACCUUUCGGUCUCCGUGUUCCGAGGCCAUAUCUGUAUAUGCGAGGCUCGUCAAGUUUAACCUGAGUAUUCCGCGUGUGCAACUGUUUUUGCACCCGUUGUAUUUGAAGGUAGAGCCUAUCACACCCGAUCAUCACGUGGUGUCUCAGCACGAAGAACUUUCGCAAUGGUGCAUACUCAGGGAGAACACUUCUUGAUUAUUAGUGAGAGAUCAUCUUAAAAUGCUACCGUCAAUCAAAGCAAGAUAAGAUGCAUAAAGGAUAAACAUCACAUGCAAUCAAUAUAAGUGAUAUGAUAUGGCCAUCGUCAUCUUGUGCUUGUGAUCUCCAUCUUCGAAGCACCGUCGUGAUCACCAUCGUCACCGGCGCGACACCUUGAUCUCCAUCGUAGCAUCGUUGUCAUUACGCCAUCUAUUGCUUCUACGACUGUCGCUACCGCUUAGAGAUAAAGUAAAGCAAUUACAGGGCGUUUGCAUUUCAUACAAUAAAGCGACAACCAUAUGGCUCCAGCCAGUUGCCGAUAACUUCGGUUACAAAACAUGAUCAUCUGAUACAAUAAAAUAUAGCAUCACGUCUUGACCAUAUCACAUCACAACAUGCCCUGCAAAAAAAAGUUAGACGUCCUCUACUUUGUUGUUGCAAAUUUUAUGUGGCUGCUACGGGCUUAGCAAGAACCGUUCUUACCUACGCAUCAAAACCACAACGAUAGUUCGUCAAGUUAAUGAUGUUUUAACCUUCGCAAGGACCGGGCGUAGCCACACUCGAUUAAGCUAAAGUGAGAGAGACAGACACCCGCCGGCCACCUUUAAGCACGAGUGCUCGUAACGGUGAAACCAGUCUCGCGUAAGCGUACGCGUAAUGUCGGUCCGGGCCGCUUCAUCUCACAAUACCGCCGAACCAAAGUAUGACAUGCUGGUAAGCAGUAUGACUUGUAUCGCCCACAACUCACUUGUGUUCUACUCAUGCAUAUGACAUCUACGCAUAAAACCUAGGCUCUGAUACCACUGUUGGGGAACGUAGUAAUUUCAAAAAAAAUCCUACAUACACGCGAGAUCAUGGUGAUGGCAUAGCAACGAGAGGAGGAGUGUAUCUUCAUACCCUUGAAGAUCGCCAAGCGGAAGCGUUUAUCAACGCGGUUGAUGUAGUCGUACGUCUUCACGAUCCGACCAAUCCAAGUACCGAACGCACGGCACCUCUGAGUUCUGCACACGUUCAGCUUGAUGACGUCCUCGCCUUCUCGAUCCAGCAAGACGGGCGAAGUAGUAGAUGAGUUUCGGCAGCACGACGGCGUGGUGACGGUGUUGGUGAAGAACAAUCUCCGCAGGGCUUCGCCUAAGCACUACGGAAACUAUGACGGAGGAUAAACUAGAGGGGACGGGGUUGCCGGCACACGGCUUGGUGUUUCUUGAUGUGUCUUUGGUGCUAUCCCUGCCCCUCUAUUUAUAUGUUGAGCCUUGGGGUCGAAACUUGGAGUAAAAGCCUCCACAAAGUCGGUUUCACCCGAAAGGCAAGAGUCCUUCUCGGACUCCAGGGCCAGACGCCAGGGUUCCCGGCGUCUGGACCCAGACGCCAGGGACCCUGGCGUCUGGCCCCUGGACUCCGCAAAACUUCCUUUUGCGCUUUCCAAAAACCUUGUCGGCUUUCCCCUUUGGCCCAAAUAACGUGUUCUCGUUCCCAAACAUUUCGGGAAACAUCCGGAACCCCUUCCGGUGAAUUUCGGAACUCUUCCGGAGAUCAAACACUAUUAUCCCAUAUAUCAAACUUUAUCUCCGGACCAUUCCGGAGUUCCUCGUCAUGUCCAUGAUCUUAUCCGUGACUCCGAACAACAUUCGGUUACCAACAUACAUAACUCAUAUAAUAUUAUAUCGUCAAUGAAACGUUAAGCGUGCGGACCCUACGGGUUCGAGAACUAUGUAGACAUGACCUAGAACUGUUUCCGGCCAAUAACCAAUAGCGGAACCUGGAUGCUCAUAUUGGCUCCCAGAUAUUCUACAAAGAUCUUUAUCAGUCAAACCGCAUAACAACAUACGUUGUUCCCUUUGUCAUCGGUAUGUUACUUGCCCAAGAUUCGAUCGUCGGUAUCCAAUACCUAGUUCAAUCUCAUUACCGGCAAGUCUCUUUACUCGUUACGUAAUGCAUCAUUCCAUAACCAACUCAUUGGCCACAUUUCUUGCAAGGGUUAUAGUGAUGUGCAUUACCGAGAGGGCCCAGAGAUACCUCUCCGACAAUCGGAGUGACAAAACCUAAUCUCGAAAUACGCCUACCCAACAUGUACCUUCGGAGACACCUGUAGUACUCCUUUAUAAUCACCCAGUUACGUUGUGACGUUUGGUAGUACCCAAAGUGUUCCUCCGGUAAACGGGAGUUGCAUAAUCUCAUAGUUACAGGAACAUGUAUAAGUCAUGAAGAAAGCAAUAGCAACAUACUAAACGAUCAAGUGCUAAGCUAACAGAAUGGGUCAAGUCAAUCACAUCAUUCUCCUAAUGAUGUGAUCCCAUUAAUCAAAUGACAACUCAUGUCUAUGGUUAGGAAACUUAACCUUCUUUGAUUAACGAGCUAGUCAAGUAGAGGCAUACUAGUGACACUAUGUUUGUCUAUGUAUUCACACAUGUAUUAUGUUUCCGGUUAAUACAAUUCUAGCAUGAAUAAUAAACAUUUAUCAUGAAGUAAGGAAAUAAAUAAUAACUUUAUUAUUGCCUCUAGGGCAUAUUUCCUUCAAGAAAAUCCUCAAAUCAGCUCAAAUGAAAAUGAAUUCAUGGCGAUUUCGGCCGGGUGAUUAAAAGAGCGAGAUGAACUGGAUAAGAGAUGAGAUAAUAUCUCAUCAAAUUAGUUACCUUGUUGUCCAUAAGAAAGAACCCUCAGUACGGCAGAUUCCCCAACCGAGCGGAGCUGGGUCGACCGCGAGGAGCGUCGAGAAAGUCGAUGGCGAUAGGCGGCGGCAAGCGGAUGUGGCGAAAUGCGGUGGGCUUUGCCGGCAGCCUGGCGGCGGUGGCAGGCGUCGAGCUAAGUGGUUACCGCCGCAAUAGGCGGUGCCAUGCAUAUGCGUGAAGGAGCUUGUGCAGGUGUGAAUGGCGACCGGAGGGGGUGGCGGGUGGGGUGUGGGUUUCAUUUUUUCUUUUUUGAAUUUGGUGAUGAGGGUUUUCUGUCCCACAAAGAAUUUUGGAGGUGACGGUUUGCUAGAGCCAACCGUGUGUGACGCAAGAGGCAAAAUGAAACUCAUUGCACACGGUUCCAAUUUCGGGAACCGUGUGUGAUUGACGUACUACCUCAGUCCUGGUUUAUUGGUCCCCUUUGUAAUUUUUACCAAAUUUUGAAGAAAUAUUUAACUAAGAAAUGUUUAUGCAUGUCACUACAAAUUAUAUCAUUGAACACUAUGCUCAAAUACCCAUCCAACGAUAUAAUUUUUGCUGACCUGCACUAACAUUUCGUCAGUUAAAUCUUGAUGAAAAUUUAACACAAAUUACAAAGGGGACCAAUAAACCAAGACGGAGGUAGAUUCCAUCAACCGAACUGAUUGCAUCCAUAUCCCACAGUUAGACAUAAGUAAAAUAGAUUAAACAUACUUAGACAUAGAUAAUAAGCGUACACAUACACAAGCAUAGUUCAACCAUAAGUACACAGUUCAACCGUCAUUAAGUCUACUCAAGCGUACAUAGUUCGAUCCCACGUCUCAUCUCACAUGCCGGCACGAUCCUGAAGCUUCUCCAGGAACUCGGCAUACACGCAGUGUGUCACCCUACGAGAAUACUUCUGCUUGAAGGAGCCAACGGUCCGUCCUCUUGCAUGCGCCAGAACACUUAGAUACACGUCAUGAAGCUUAUGGUUGCAAAAUUGGCAUCUAUAUCCAUCGUUCCACAUCCUAAUACGCCUAUUAUGCUUUCACGCAUAAAGCUCCCUCAGGAUUUGCCUCUUGUACCUCCUCUGGCCAUCUUCAUCGUCGCUGUCCACAUCGUCAGACAGCACAUAUACAAAUAGUAAAACAAAUUUGGCAUCAAAUAAAUGUUUACAUGUCGUGAAGUAGGAUUAGGAAUUUAUGGCUAUUUAUUUAUACCUAUCCUGAGAUUAUGGUUCAAUUUUUGAACACAGUCGUCUAUGUACAGACCAAUCUUGAAGAAAAUAAUGGCACAAACAUAUGUAGGUCAUUCAAAAUCAAUUGUUAUGUCCUCGCUAGGAAUUAUUAACACGAACACUAACCCUAGUCGGAUUACUAGCAGAAAUUAUUUGCACAGAUGAAACAACUAAUCACUUAUCACUUGUACCAUUCAAACAAUUAAUACACUACACGGAUCUAACGAAACUUACUCAGAUUUCAUGGAUUGGAAGAACAUAACCAUAGGAUUUCUAUUCUAAAAGGGGGGCACAGGAGUAACCAGACAAACCCUAGGAUCUAUUCGACACAUAAAUGGGUAUAGAUGACUAACCAGUUGUCCGUCGUCGUCGAAGUCAUCGCUGGAGUAGUCGUCAGAGUCAUCGCUGGGGUCGUCGCCUGAGUCGUCACUAGAGUCGGUUUGGGACUCCGCCUCCGGCUGUGGAAGCUCGACGCCGUCGACGACAUCAGGGUGCAGCAAUAACUCGCCGCUGGUGACAGCAACCUCUAUCUUCAUCUCCAGGCCGUGCUCCGUGUUUCUGCAGCCCCGGCAUCGCCACUCCCUCUGGAGGGUGCUUUGGUGGCAUCCUCAUACACUGACGGCUUUGAGGACUGAGAACGGCAUCGAGGAUGCAAGCGGAGAGAGAGGAUUGUGUGUGCGGCGAGGAAGGGGGGUGGCCGCUCGGGCGCACCAUUAAUAUGGAGUGGUGGGAGAGAGGCAGGUGGCGGUCAAACCGCUGGCUCGCCUCUCGGUGAGCCUGCGCACCGGACUGCUGGCAUGUCUACCAUCGUUUCACAUAGCUACUCGCACGCCUCCCGAUGACACUGCGUAGCGAGCACACCUCCGUCAAUUCAAACACCUACACGCAUGCCUCACGGUCUGCAUGCGCGAUGGACUGCUCGCAUGCGUCCCAUCAACUCACGCCUGCUCGCACGGCACACGGGUCGCGUGGCGGCACACAUAUUGUUUUUCUUUUUGGAUGAUUAAUGCCGCUGCUUUAUUGCUUAACCGAAGCAUGGCACGUAUCCAUUGUUGGUCUAACGCUCAUGGUUCGAAUAAAUAAUUCGUUUGGGAUAUUGGUUCCCAAUUAUUAAUAAUCUACCAUUUGUAAUUAGAUAAAGAUUACAUCGAAACUGGUCUCAAAUUUGACAAAAAUAAAGUACAAUGCCACUUUGUAUUGGUGUCCAUAUGACAACACGAUAAGUUUCAUGAACUUAAAAUAAGCUUUGGAUGUACUAGAAUUUAAAAUUCAAGAUUCUCAAUGUUUAAAAUUUCUUGCACGGGGAGUAAAACAUGCACCCAAUGAGACACACGUGUUUUUGCAAUCCAUUUAGGUGCACUACCACAUGUGCAUGUAGCUCAAAUUUGAUUUUUGCACAUUAUACCUAUAGAAAAUCGAUCAAUUAAUGUACUAAAAUGUCUUAAUGAUCUUUGUUUAUUUUCAAAAUUAAAAUGUCCCUCCAUAGGUAACAUAUGUUCACCGCGGGAUAAUUUAACAUGCAUCGUAGUUGCGGUGGAUUCGCGGUGUGUGUGGGUGUGUGCGUCUAGGGGGUGUGGCGGGUGGCUCGCAGUACAUGUUGUGAGUCACCGUGUGGGUUGGCCAUUUUCUUAGGCAGGUGCCACAUCAGAGUCGUGAAUUUGUUAUUUAAAACAUUACACAACCCUUUCAUACAUACAUGUUUUGGCCACAUGCAGUCGAUGGUUGUCCUAUACGACACUCGAUACUCGCGUCUGACGCUUUUUAUGGGCCCGCGAGGUCGUCGUCCAUCACUUUGACAAACAGCCGACAGUGAGGUUAAUUUGACCAGCACGGUAGAAUCUUUUUUAUUUGUGUUAUCAUGGUAUAUAGUACGCAUCGAAGAGGUGGGAGGGGACAAGCAUAUAUACUAUAUGUACGCGUCCGUGAACAAGUACACCUCACUUAGUGUCAGGACUUUUUGGUUUCCGAGGCACGUGCCACAUCAAAGUUAUGAAAUUGGCUAUUCAAACAUCACACAACACCUCUUUGGCCCACAUGCAUGCAGGCGAUGGUUAUCCUAGCUAGGACACUCACAUGUGACGCUUCCAUCUGUUGGCCCACGAGGCCAUCAUCAAUGCGUGCAUCACUUUAACCUAUGUCGGGAGAGGUUAAUUAAUUUCACCAUUGAGGAGGAUUCUUUUGGGAUUGUAUUAUGGUAGGAGCAUAUAGUAUGCGUCGAAGAGGGGGAAGGGGACCAUCAUAUGCAGUACACUUAAUGAACCUCGCUCUGUGUGGGGGGUUUACGGUUUUUUAGGCAUGUGGCACAUCAAAGUUGUGCAUUUUGGGUAUUCAACAUAUGUUCAUGCAAAGUGAUGGUGGUUGUCCUCUCGCACCCAGUUAAGAGGUUAUCAGCGAUAUUGAUGAUUUCCAUAUGUGGGCCCGCUUGGUCCAUCACAACUUUUUGCCUAACAAUGAGGGAGGUUAAUUUGACUUAGGAGGGAUUAUUUUUUUGCUUAUAAUACGAUAUAUAUAUAUAGGUCAUGCUCUGGGAUGACAUGAUAUAGUUUGAGCACACACACACAAAUGCAUAUGUAUGCAUGAAUCCCUCCCAUCAAGUCGAAGUGGCUAUAACUACGAGACGUCAUGAACCGGUCUUGCUCUGUGUGAGGGUUGUAUGAUUUUCGACGCACGCGCCACAACAAUGUUGUGAAAUGGUAUUCAAACAUGCAUGUAAUGGUUGUCUUUGAACAGUACACUCCCUCGCGUGGUUAUCGGCGACAAGCCUAUAUAUUCGUGGGCCCACGUGGACAUCCAUGACCACCUUGGCCGACAACAAGAUUGGUUGCCAUGGAGGAUUCUUUCUUUGGUUCGUGUUAUCAUAGUAUAGGUCAUGGUGAGAUUCAGACCUAGUUAUGUUUGAGCGCAUAUACUAUGCAUGCAUGCAUGCAUGCAUGAAUCCCCGUCGUCGACUUGAAGUGUGGUGUAACAUACACAUGCAUCGUCAACCUAAUAACCCUCACUCAUGUGGGGAUUUCUAGUUCGAAAUCACGAUGCCACAUCAAAGUCGUUUCAUUGUGUAUUUAAAAACACACAUCUUCAUACAUAUAUAUGUUUGGGUCACAUGCAUGCAGUGGUUGUCUUCGGGGACUAGCUACUUGCGUGAUUAUUGGCGAGCUAGCCCAUCUCCGGGGUCGCAUGGACGGCCAUCACUUUGACCAGCAAAAAGAGAGAGGUUGUACGACCAAGGUGCAUUAUUUUUGGUCCAUUUUACGAUCCAUCUCGGUGAGAUGCCUCUCUGGCCUGCCGACUGAAAGUGUGUGUGUGGGGGGGGCUGCUACUUCUCACUUUGCUAGGUGAACCUCGGUUGGGGGGUGCAUGCAUUCAUAGCUUAGGAUUCCUUUCGUGCCGACCCNNNNNNNNNNNNNNNNNNNNNNNNNNNNNNNNNNNNNNNNNNNNNNNNNNNNNNNNNNNNNNNNNNNNNNNNNNNNNNNNNNNNNNNNNNNNNNNNNNNNNNNNNNNNNNNNNNNNNNNNNNNNNNNNNNNNNNNNNNNNNNNNNNNNNNNNNNNNNNNNNNCCGAUGGGGGGGGCUUCUAGCUACUUCGCACUUUGCUAGGUGAACCUCGGUUGGGGGGGCAUGCAUUCGUAGCUUAGGAUUCCCUUCGUGCCGACACGAGGGGGGUCUGCUAGCUACUUUGCACUUUGCUAGGUGAACCUCGGUGGGGGGGCAUGCAUUCAUAGCUUAGGAUUCCCUUCGUGCCGACACAGGGGGGGCAAGCAAUACCACGCGCUUUGCGAGAUAGGUGCCACAUCGAAGUUGCAUUUGGUAUUUGAACAUCAAGCCACCCUUUUUAGACAUAAAUUUGGUCCACAUGCAAGCGUGUUCGUGUUCUGACCCUCUCCCGCGUCAUUUUUCGCCAAAUUUAUGUACAUUAGACAAGUCGGAUGACGCAACAGACACGGUUCACUCAAACUAAUUGUGUGCCAAGCCGGUGCCCCUGUCACGCACACAUCCGCACAGUACAUUGGGCUCCACGAGGGCAUGAGGAUUCCCCUCUCAAAAAUAUCUACCCGCUGCACCUUUUUUCUAUUUGAUAGCACACGGUUAUUAUGUUUCUUGUUCCCAAUCCCGCAUGCAUCCCUCAAAAAUAUCUUCCCGCCUCGAGGGUUUUUCUGUUUCAUAACACACGUUUAUUAUCUCCGGACUGUGUGCGAUGCACCAUCAUAAAAAAAAUUAAUAGCCCCGGCAUUUCACUACCGCGUUUCACUCCCGUAGUAAAAUUUUCAAUACCCGCGUCAUUUCCUCAAACACACCCCCGCCCCCCUCCACACACACACGCACACACANNNNNNNNNNNNNNNNNNNNNNNNNNNNNNNNNNNNNNNNNNNNNNNNNNNNNNNNNNNNNNNNNNNNNNNNNNNNNNNNNNNNNNNNNNNNNNNNNNNNNNNNNNNNNNNNNNNNNNNNNNNNNNNNNNNNNNNNNNNNNNNNNNNNNNNNNNNNNNNNNNNNNNNNNNNNNNNNNNNNNNNNNNNNNNNNNNNNNNNNNNNNNNNNNNNNNNNNNNNNNNNNNNNNNNNNNNNNNNNNNNNNNNNNNNNNNNNNNNNNNNNNNNNNNNNNNNNNNNNNNNNNNNNNNNNNNNNNNNNNNNNNNNNNNNNNNNNNNNNNNNNNNNNNNNNNNNNNNNNNNNNNNNNNNNNNNNNNNNNNNNNNNNNNCACACACACACACACACACACCAAAACCUCCUCGGGCGCACACACACACACCCUCUCCCUUGCUCGAAACCCUACCAAGAUCCCCGCCCGCCGCCGCAAGGCCUCCGUUGUCAACAUCUGUCGGUUUGCCCGUGCAGCUUACCGAUCGAUCUCCACACCCAGGCCGCCCUGAGUUUCUUAGAUGACGCCUGCCAAACACCCCCUUUCCCACAUAUCCCCAUCCCCAUCCCCCACACUAGAGCGUCGCAACCUAAGCCCAGCUAUGCUUCCCGUGGAGCUCGACGAGCGACUGGCCCAAAAGAGGUGUAUCGCGGUCUCUUCUCCCGACUCGCCAAGGAAGUUGGCAACCAUUACUGGCUACAGGCACUCAAGCAGCGGGCUAGAGUAUGCGGGUAUGUCUCGGAUGCUGGCUACGACAUCGAGGUCAUCGACAGCGACGACCUGAGGCGGACUAUGUCACAGGUUAAGUGGCCCACCCCCAACCCAUCGGGUUGAACCGUCGUCCAUCUUAUCCAUGGCCCCGCCGCUGAUCUCCUCUGGCUCGCUGUCAACAUUUUGCCAUCCUACAUUGCCAUCGAGCCCCUUUUGUCAUUACUGAAGGACACGUUCUGCGACGCAGUCUUGGGAUCCAUAGCUUCCAAGUCAGACCUCAUCGACGACGAUCACAAGGAGGGCACCCUCUCUGGCUCUUCCAAGGGAAAAGAGCUCGUCUGCUCUUCCAAGGGGAAAGAGCCCGUCUGUGACAACAGGGAGGGCACCCUACAACCGUGCUCUUCCAAGGGGAAGGAGCCCAUCUACGACAACAUGGAGCGCAUCUAGGGUCCGUGCUCUUUCCACGGGAACGAGCCCAUCUGGGACAAGUGAGGAAACCCAUGAUUUGUUUUUCCGUGCCUCUUCACAGGGGAAACUCAUGAUUUGUUUUGUCCAGUCCCUUUUGUAGUGUAGUGAGAAUAUGUCCAGCUUUAAUUGCUAUAUUUGGUUAUUUGCAGUGUGCCUUGUUUAUUUCAGUUGUUCACAAUGUGAUGCUCUAUGUGCAAUUAUUUAAUGUGCAGUACAUUUCAUCAAUCUAGUUUUAAACAUACCGAUAGGAAUCCAUAUAUUUGGUUGUUGUUAAGCCUGUUAUAGCUAGCAUAUGCCUCUUCUAAAGUUUUUUGAUUGUUCGGUUGUUUGUAGUUAGCAUAUGUCCAGUUUCAAAUGCUAUCUUUCAUUGUUCGUAGUAUGCCUUGUUUAUUCCAGUUAUUCCCAAUGUGAUGUUCUAUAUGUGCAAGUAUGAGCUGUGCAGUUCAAUUUCAUCAGUACCAGUUUCAACAAUACCACUAUGAAUGACUAGAUUUGGUUGUUCCAUCUUGUAGUUAACACACCUUUCUUUUUUUAUUUAACAAUAACUAGUGUACUUAAACCGGCACAAUACCAGUUUGAAUGACUAUGUUUGCUUGUUGUUAAAUGUGAUGCCUGGAUAAUUAAGCUACAGUAAUCCUCUGCUAAUGAUGCCAUGUCACCAUGAUUACUGUUGAUAAACUUGUGUGGGUUCGAGACUGGUUCAAAUUUCAAAUUCAAAUUAAAGUCAAAAAUAAAAGUUUUCAAAUACAGAAACUAAAAUGUACAAUCUGUGGCAAAUAUUCCAUAAGUAGUUAUGGUGGUGAACCAACAUUUUUGUAAAGUGUUUUACUGCACUAAAAUUCAAUAAACCCGUUCAAAGAAUAUAAUAGAAGGAAAAUCUUCCCCCCUCACCCUGGGCCGCUUGGCCACCAGAUCCGCCAGGUCGGCCCAGCCGGCCAACCAUGUCCCCCCGGUCACUUCCCCCUUCCUCCCUGUUCCUUGGACUCGGCCGCUAGAGGGCGCUCCCGCCCACGGUCGGCACCACACCACCUCGUCGACGACGCGGGAGGCGAUAAGGCCUCCACCCAUGCCUCCCCUCGAGAUAUUUUCUCCCCUCCCCACUUGCCCUCGCGCUUCCCCUCAUCCUCUCUCUUCCUCUCCACUACGCUCCCAUCUCCCCUCGAGAUCCAUGGCGUUGAGUGUGCCCGUGUCCGUGCCGCCAAGCUGACCGCGACCAUCGAGCCCCUUCAACCACGCCAAGCUAUCCACCCGCUACGCCUCCGUCAUCUUCCCUUCCCCGUCGAGUCACACGGCACAGGACGGCCCCGUGACGCCGCCCCCAACCUCGACUUCCUCCUCGAGCUCCGACGGCCACCGCAUCGAUUCACGCCACCUCGAGCGCCUCCGGCUUCCCCGAGACCUCCCUGACGCCCGCUGUGGGCUCACCAUGCUCAUAAGCUUCUUCCCCUCCCUCUCUCGCUCGGCAUCGCCGUUGCUUUGUCGUCGUAGGAGCGCCACCGCAAGGCUCGUCGUUCUCGGCGAAGCCGUGAACCCCAACACCUCCUGCGAACCCCCUGGAUGCGCACGACUACGGGAUCCAACCUCAUCCGCCCUCUGUCGCCCGCGCCCAUGCUUAUCGCAGCCCACCCUAGUAGGAGCUCUGCUACUGCGUGCUCGCCCGCGCCUGCCUCUUCCCCGCGUCCGCUCGCCGGCCUUCGCCCGCGCGGCCCCUGGCCACCGGCGCCGGCGCUCGCGCUCCUCCCUCGCUAUCCACUGUCGCCGACAUGGCACUACCCGGUGCCCGCCCCGGGUCGCUGCCAUCGGGCCCCAGGCUCUAGUUGACUGGUCAACUUGCCUAGUUGACCAGCUGACUGGGCAGUUAACUAGGUCAACAUGGCCCAACCUGUCAGCCUCUGGAGCACCCGUGGGUGCACUGCACCGGGUGCGCCCAGUUUUUAGCUGGUGAAUUUUUGAAAUAAAAAUAAAUAAGAAAAAUUGAGAAUAUGUUUAAAUACUUUAGAAAUUCAUAGAAAUUAAUCCGUAGCUCGGAUGGAAAAGUUUUAUACAUGAAAGUUGCUCAGAAUGGCGGGAUUCGGUGGUCCGUUUGUCCGCCACACGUCCCUAGCAUAGCGAACAUGCAACCUUUCCACUCCGGUUCAUCUGUCUGACAGACGUCCGGAACCGGGAAAACUUUCCCGGAUGUUUUCCCCCUUCGCUAGUAUCGCCUAGAGCUGCGUUAGAACACCUCUAGCCCCGCUUUGCAUAUAUUUGCGUGUAUUUACUGUUUCUUCCCCCUCUUCUUCUCCGAUUGACCUCGAGACCAUUGUUGAUGCCCGUGUGAUCGACUACGUCGACGACGACCCUCCUUCCUGUCUGAGCAACCAGGAAAGCCCCCCCUUUGAUCAUCCUGAUAUCGCCCAUUCCAUUAUCUCAUGCUUGCAUUAGAUUUUGCUAAUGUUAUUGUUUGCUCCUAUUCUGAUGCAUAGCCUGCUUUUGUAACUUGCUCAUCGUUACCUACCUGUUUAUCCUAAACUGCUUAGUAUAGGUUGGUUAGUGAUCCAUAAGUGACCCCCAGUACUUGUCCUUGUUGCCCCUGCUUCAUCAUCGACGACUCGAUCAGCGUGAUCAACGACUAGAGCCUGACACCUCACAUCACAUCACGCCCUUUUGUUGCUCAACUCUGCAGAGCUACUAUCGAGUGUCGAGGGUGAUCCCUCAUAACGCACUCCUGAUGAUAAUUCUGUAGUGUAGCUAUUCGGUCAUGGCCAUCGAGGGUGAUUUCCUCUUUCACCAUUCCCGAUACGGCUCUGUCGUUCAACACCUCAAGUGUGAACCUCGAGGGUGGUCCCUCUUACGUUCACCUUGAUGAUUACAUUGAGUGGAAUCCUCCUGUUGGGGAACGUAGUAAUUUCAAAAAAAUUCCUACGCACACGCAAGAUCAUGGUGAUGCAUAGCAAUGAGAGGGGAGAGUAAUGUCCACGUACCCUCGUAGACCGUAAGCGGAAGCAUUAUGACAACGCAGUUGAUGUAGUCGUACGUCUUCGCGAUCCGAUCGAUCCAAGUACUGAACGUACGACACCUCCGAGUUCAGCACACGUUCAGCUUGAUGACGAUCCCCGGACUCCGAUCCAGCAAAGUGUCGGGGAUGAGUUCCGUCAGCACGACGGCGUGGUGACGAUGAUGAUGUUCUACCGGCGCAGGGCUUCGCCUAAACUCCGCGAUGAUAUGACCGAGGUGGAAUAUGGUGGAGGGGGGCACCGCACAUGGCUAAGGAACGAUCACGUAGAUCAACUUGUGUGUCAUGGGGUGCCCCCCUGCCCCCGUAUAUAAAGGAGCCAAGGGGGAGGGGGUGGCCGGCCAAGGAGGGGUGCGCCAAGGGGAGUCCUACUCCCACCGGGAGUAGGACUCCUUACCUAGUCCAACUAGGAGAAGGGGGGAAAGGAGGGGAGUGGAGAAGGAAGGGAGAGGGGGGCCGCGCCCCAAACCCCUUGUCCAAUUCGGACUGGGCUUGGGAGGGGGGCGCGCCACCUCCUGGCUCCUUCCCACUAAGGCCCGUUAAGGCCCAAUACUCUUCCCCGUAUUCCCGUAAUUCCCCGGUACUCUGAAAAAUACCCGAAUCACUCGGAACCUUUCCGAUGUCCGAAUAUAGUCGUCCAAUAUAUCGAUCUUUACCUCUCGACCAUUUCGAGACUCCUCGUCAUGUCCCCGAGCUCAUCCGGGACUCCGAACUCCUUCGGUACAUCAAAACAUAUAAACUCAUAAUAAAACUGUCAUCGUAACUUUAAGCGUGCGGACCCUACGGGUUCGAGAACUAUGUAGACAUGACCUACAAUUGUUUCCGGUCAAUAACCAAUAGCGGAACCUGGAUGCUCAUAUUGGCUCCCAGAUAUUCUACAAAGAUCUUUAUCAGUCAAACCGCAUAACAACAUACGUUGUUCCCUUUGUCAUCGGUAUGUUACUUGCCCAAGAUUCGAUCGUCGGUAUCCAAUACCUAGUUCAAUCUCAUUACCGGCAAGUCUCUUUACUCGUUACGUAAUGCAUCAUUCCGUAACCAACUCAUUGGCCACAUUACUUGCAAGGCUUAUAGUGAUGUGCAUUACCGAGAGGGCCCAGAGAUACCUCUCCGACAAUCGGAGUGACAAAUCCUAAUCUCGAAAUUCGCCAACCCAACAUGUACCUUCGGAGACACCUGUAGAGCUCCUUUAUAAUCACCCAGUUACGUUGUGACGUUUGGUAGCACACAAAGUGUUCCUCCGGUAAACGGGAGUUGCAUAAUCUCAUAGUCAUAGGAACAUGUAUAAGUCAUGAAGAAAUCAAUAGCAACAUACUAAAUGAUCAAGUGCUAAGCUAACGGAAUGGGUCAAGUCAAUCACAUCAUUCUCCUAAUGAUGUGAUCCCGGUAAUCAAAUGACAACUAUUUUGUCCAUGGCUAGGAAACUUAACCAUCUUUGAUUCAUGAGCUAGUCAAGAAGAGGCAUACUAGUGACACUAUGUUUGUCUAUGUAUUCACACAUGUAUUAUGUUUCCGGUUAAUACAAUUCUAGCAUGAAUAAUAAACAUUUAUCAUGAAAUAAGGAAAUAAAUAAUAACUUUAUUAUUGCCUCUAGGGCAUAUUUCCUUUAGUCUCCCACUUGCACUAGAGUCAAUAAUCUAGUUCACAUCACCAUGUGAUUUAACACAAAUAUUCACAUAUGUAUGUGAUUAAUACCCAUAGUUCACAUCGUCAUGUGAUCAACACCCAAAGGGUUUACUAGAGUCAAUAAUCUAGUUCACAUCGCUAUGUGAUUAACACCCAAAGAGUACUAAGGUAUGCUCAUGUUUUGCUUGUGAGAGAAGCUUACUCAACGGGUCUGUCACAUUCAGAGCCGUAUGUAUUUUGCAAAUAUUCUAUGUCUACAAUGCUCUGCACGAAGCUACUCUAGCUAAUUGCUCCCACUUUCAAUAUGUAUCCAGAUUGAGACUUAGAGUCAUCUGGAUCAGUGUAAAAGUUUGCACCGAUGUAACUUUUACGACGAACUCUUUUAUCACCUCCAUAAUCGAGAAACAUCUCAUUAGUCCUCACUAAGGAUAUUCUUGACCGAUGUCCAGUGAUCUACUAUUAGAUCAAAAUUGUAUUCCUUUGCCAAACACAGAGCAAGGUAUACAAUAGGUCUGGUUCACAGCAUAGCAUACUUUAUAGAACCUAUGACUGAGGCAUAGGGAAUGAGUUUUGAUUCUCUUUCUAUUUUCUGCCAUAGUCGGGUUUUGAGUCUUACUCAACUUCACACCUUGCAACACAGGCAAGAACUCUUUCUUUGACUGUUCCAUUUUGAACUACUUCAAAAAAUUUAUCAAGGUAUGUACUCAUUGAAAAACUUAUCAAGCGUCUUGAUCUAUCUAUAUAGAUCUAGAUGCUCAAUGUGUAAGCAGCUUCACCGAGGUCUUUCUUUGAAAAACUCCUUUCAAACACUCCUUUAUGCUUUCCAGAAAAUUCUACAUCAUUUCCAAUUAACAAUAUGUCAUUCACAUAUACUUAUCAGAAAUGUUGUAGUGCUCCCACUCACUUUCUUAUAAAUACAGUUCUUUCCAAAAGUCUGUAUAAAACCAUAUGCUUUGAUCAACUCAUCAAAGCGUAUAUUCCAACUCCGAGAUGCUUGCACACUUUGUUAGCAUCUUUAGGAUUGACAAAAACUUUCUGGUUGCAUCAUAUACAACUCUUCUUUAUUCCAUUAAGGAAUGCAGUUUUUGACAUCCAUUUGCCAGAUUUCAUAAAAUGUGGCAAUUGCUAACAUGAUUCAGACAGACUUAAGCUUCAUACGAGUGAGAAAAUAUCCUCGUAUUCAACACCUUGAACUUGUUGAAAACAUUUCGCAACAAGUCGAGCUUAGUAGAUAGUAACACUACUAUUAGUGUCCGUCUUCCUCUUGAAGAUCCAUUUAUUUAACAUGGCUUGCUUGAUCAUUGAGCAAGUCAAUCAAAGUCCAUACUUUGUUCUCAUACAUGGAUCAUAUCUCAGAUUUUAUGGCCUCAAGCCAUUUCAUGGAAUCUGGGCUCAUCAUCGCUUCCUCAUAGUUCAUAGCUUCAUCAUGGUCUAGUAACAUGACUUCCAGAACAUGAUUACUGUACCACUCUAGUGCGGAUCUUACUCUGGAAGACCUACGAGGUUUGGCAGCAACUUGAUCUGAAGUUUCAUGAUCAUCAUCAUUAACUUCCUCACUAAUUGGUGUAGUAAUCACUGGAACUGAUUUCUGUGAUGAACUACUUUCCAAUAAGGGAGAAGGUACAAUUACCUCAUCAAGUUCUACUUUCCUCCCACUCACUUGUUUCGAGAGAAACUUCUUCUCUAGAAAGGAUACAUCUUAGCAACGAAUAACUUGCCUUCGGAUCUGUGAUAGAAGGUGUACCCAAUAGUUACCUUUGGGUAUUCUAUGAAGACGCACUUCUCCGAUUUGGGUUCGAGCUUAUCAGGUUGAAAAUUUUUCACAUAAGCAUCGCAGCCCCAAACUUUAAGAAACGAAAACUUUGGUUUCAUGCCAAACCACAGUUCAUAAGGCGUCGUCUCGACGGAUUUUGAUGGUGCCCUAUUUAAAGUGAAUGCAGUUGUCUCUAAUGCAUAACCCCAAAACGAUAGUGGUAAAUCGGUAAGAGACAUCAUAGAUUGCACUAUAUCCAAUAAAGUACUGUUAUGACGUUCGGACACACCAUUAAGCUGUGGUGUUCCCGGUGGCAUGAGUUUGUGAAACUAUUCCACAUUGUUUUAAUUGAAGACCAAACUCGUAACUCAAAUAUUUGUCUCCGCGAUCAAAUUGCAGAAACUUUAUUUUCUUAUUACGAUGAUUCUCCACUUCACUCUGAAAUUCUUUGAACUUUUCAAAUGUUUCAGACUUGUGCUUCAUUAAGUAGAUAUAUUCAUAUCUGCUCAAUUCAUCUUGUGAAGGUCAGAAAAUAACGAUACUUGCCACGAGCCUUAACACUCAUCAGAUCGCAUACAUCGGUAUGUAUUAUUUCCAAUAAGUCAGUAGCUCGUUCCAUUGUUCCGGAGAACGGAGUUUUAGUCAUCUUGACCAAAAGGCACAGUUCGCAAGCAUCAAAUGAUUCAUAACCAAGUGAUUCCGAAAAUCCAUCUUUAUGGAGUUUCUUCAUGCGCUUUACACCGAUAUGACCCAAACGGCAGUGCCACAAAUAAGUUGCACUAUCAUUAUUAACUUUGCAUCUUUUGGCAUCAAUAUUAUGAAUAUGUGUAUCACUACGAUCGAGAUCCAACAAACUAUUUUCAUUGGGUGUAUGACCAUCGAAGGUUUUAUUCAUGUAAACAGAACAACAAUUAUUCUUUGACUUUAAAUGAAUAACCGUAUCGCAAUAAACAUGAUCAAAUCAUAUUCAUGUUCAACGCAAAUGCCAAAUAACAUUUAUUUAGGUUUAACACUAAUCCCAAAAGUAUAGGGAGUGUGCGAUGAUGAUCGUAUCAGUCUUGGAACCACUUCCAACACACAUCGUCACUUCACCCUCAACUAGUUUCUGUUUAUUCUGUAACUCCUGUUUCGAGUUACUAAUCUUAGCAACCGAACAAGUAUCAAAUACACAGGGGUUACUAUAAACACUAGUAAGGUACACAUCAAUAACCUGUAUAUCAAAUAUACCCUUGUUCAGUUUGCCAUCCUUCUUAUCGACCAAAUAUUCAGGGUAUUUCCGUUUCCAGUGACCAUUUCCUUUGCAGUGUAAGCACUCAGUUUCAGGCUUUGGUUCAGCUUUGGGAUUCUUCGUGGGAGUGACAACUUGCUUGUCAUUCUAGUUGAAGUUCCCUUUCUUUCCCUUUGCCCUUUUCUUGAAACUAGUGGUCUUGUCAAUCAUCAACACUUGAUGCUCUUUUCUUGAUUUCUAACUUCGUCGAUUUCAGCAUCAUGAGAGCUCGGGAAUUGUUUUCGUCAUCCCUUACAUCAUAGUUCAACACGAAGUUCCAGUAACUUGGUAAUGGUGACUAGAGAACUCUGUCAAUCACUAUCUUAUCUGGAAGAUUAACUUCCACUUGAUUCAAGCGAUUGUAGUACUCAGACAAUCUAAGUACUUGCUCACUAGUUGAGCAAUUCUCCUCCAUCUUUUAGCCAUAGAACUUGUUGGAGACUUCAUAUCUCUCAAGUCGGGUAUUUGCUUGAAAUAUUAACUUCAACUCCUGGAACAUCUCAUAUGGUCCAUGACGUUCAAAACGUCUUUGAAGUCCCGAUUCUAAGCCAUUAAGCAUGGUGCACUAAACUAUCAAGUAAUCAUCAUAUUGAGCUAGCCAAACGUUCAUAAUGUCUGCAUCUGCUCCUGCAAUAGGUCUGUCACCUAGCGGUGCAUUAAGGACAUAAUUCUUCUGUGCGGCAAUGAGGAUAAACCUCAGAUCACGGAUCCAAUCCGCAUCAUUGCUACUAACAUCUUUCAACACAAUUUUCUCUAGGAACAUAUCAAAAUAAACAUAUGAAAGCAACAACGCAAGCUAUUGAUCUACAACAUAAUUUGCAAAAUACUACCAGGUACUAAGUUCAUGAUAAAUUUAAGUUCAAUUAAUCAUAUUACUUAAGAACUCUCACUUAGACAGACAUCUCUCUAGUCAUCUAAGUGACGUGAUCCAAAUCAACUAAACCUUGUCCGAUCAUCACGUGAGAUGGAGUAGUUUCAAUGGUGAACAUCACUAUGUUGAUCAUAUCUACGAUAUGAUUCACGUUCGACCUUUCGGUCUCCGUGUUCCGAGGCCAUAUCUGUUAUAUGCUAGGCUCGUCAAGUUUAACCUGAGUAUUCCGCGUGUGCAACUAUUUUGCACCCGUUGUAUUUGAACGUAGAGCCUAUCACACCCGAUCAUCACGUGGUGUCUCAGCACGAAGAACUUUCGCAACGGUGCAUACUCAGGGAGAACACUUCUUGAUAAUUUAGUGAGAGAUCAUUUAGAAAUGCUACCGUCAAUCAAAGCAAGAUAAGAUGCAUAAAGGAUAAACAUCACAUGCAAUCAAUAUAAGUGAUAUGAUAUGGCCAUCAUCAUCUUGUUCUUGUAAUCUCCAUCUUCGAAGCACCGUCGUAAUCACCAUCGUCACCGGCGCGACACCUUGAUCUCCAUCGUAGCAUCGUUUUUGUUACGCCAUCUAUUGCUUCUACGACUAUCGCUACCGUUUAGUGAUAAAGUAAAGCAAUUACAGGGCGUUUGCAUUUCAUACAAUAAAGCGACAACCAUAUGGCUCCUGCCAGUUGCCGAUAACUUCGGUUACAAAACAUGAUCAUCUCAUACAAUAAAAUAUAGCAUCACGUCUUGACCAUAUCACAUCACAACAUGCCCUGCAAAAACAAGUUAGACGUCCUCUACUUUGUUGUUGCAAAUUUUACGUGGCUGCUACGGGCUUUAGCAAAAACCGUUCUUACCUACGCAUCAAAACCACAAUGAUAGUUCGUCAAGUUAAUGUUUUUUUAACCUUCGCAAGGACCGGGCAUAGCCACACUCGAUUCAGCUAACGUGAGAGAGACAGACACCCGCCAGUCACCUUUAAGCACGAGUGCUCGUAACGGUGAAACCAGUCUCGUGUAAGCGUACACGUAAUGUCGGUCCGGUCCGCUUCAUCUCACAAUACCGCUGAGCCAAAGUAUGACAUGCUGGUAAGCAGUAUGACUUGUAUCGCCCACAACUCACUUGUGUUCUACUCAUGCAUAUGACAUCUACGCAUAAAACCUGGCUUGGAUGCCACUGUUGGGGAACGUAGUAAUUUCAAAAAAAUUCCUACGCACACGCAAGAUCAUGGUGAUGCAUAGCAACGAGAGGGGAGAGUAAUGUCCACGUACCCUCGUAGACCGUAAGCGGAAGCGUUAUGACAACACGGUUGAUGUAGUCGUACGUCUUCACGAUCCGACCGAUCCAAGUAGUGAAUGUACGGCACCUCCGAGUUCAGCACAGUUCAGCUCGAUGACGAUCCCCAUACUCCGAUCCAGCAAAGUGUCAGGGAUGAGUUCCGUCAGCACGACGGCGUGGUGAUGUUGAUGAUGUUCUACCGGCGCAGGGCUUCGCCUAAACUCCGCGACGAUAUGACCGAGGUGGAAUAUGGUGGAGGGGGGCACCGCACACGGCUAAGGAACGAUCACGUAGAUCAACUUGUGUGUCAUGGGGUGCCCCCCUGCCCCCGUAUAUAAAGGAGCCAAGGGGGAGGAGGUGGCAGGCCAAGGAGGGGCGCGCCAAGGGGAGUCAUACUCCCACCGGGAGUAGGACUCCUUCUUUCCGAGUCCAACUAGGAGAAGGGGGGAAAGAAGGGGAGUGGAGAAGGAAGGGAGAGGGGGGCCGCGCCCCAAACCCCUUGUCCAAUUCGGACUGGGCUUGGGAGGGGCGCGUGCCACCUCCUGGCUCCUUCCCACUAAGGCCCGUUAAGGCCCAAUACUCUUCCCCGUAUUCCCGUAAUUCAACGGUACUCCGAAAAAUACCCGAAUCACUCGGAACCUUUCCGAUGUCCGAAUAUAGUCGUCCAAUAUAUCGAUCUUUACGUCUCGACUAUUUCGAGACUCCUCGUCAUGUCCCCGAUCUCAUUCAGGACUCUGAACUCCUUCGGUACAUCAAAACAUAUAAACUCAUAAUAAAACUGUCACCGUAACUUUAAGCGUGCGGACCCUACGGGUUCGAGAACUAUCUAGAAUGACCUAGAACUGUUUCCAGUCAAUAACCAAUAGCGGAACCUGGAUGCUCAUAUUGGCUCCCACAUAUUCUACGAAGAUCUUUAUCGAUCAAACCGCAUGACAACAUACAUUGUUCCCUUUGUCAUCGGUAUGUUAUUUGCCCGAGAUUCAAUCGUCGGUAUCCAAUACCUAGUGCAAUCUCGCUACCGGCAAGUCUCUUUACUCGUUACGUAAUGCAUCAUUCCGUAACCAACUCAUUGGCCACAUUGCUAGCAAGGCUUAUAGUGAUGUGCAUUACCGAGAGGGCCCAGAGAUACCUCUCCGACAAUCAGAGUGACAAAUCCUAAUCUCGAAAUACGCCAACCCAACAUGUACCUUCGAAGACACCUGUAGAGCUCCUUUAUAAUCACCCAGUUACGUUGUGACGUUUGGUAGCACACAAACUGUUCCUCCGGUAAAUGGGAGUUGCAUAAUCUCAUAGUCAUAGGAACAUGUAUAAGUCAUGAAGAAAGCAAUAGCAACAUACUAAAUGAUCAAGUGCUAAGCUAACAGAAUGGGUAAAGUCAAUCACAUCAUUGUCCUAAUGAUGUGAUCCCGUUAAUCAAAUGACAACUCUUUUGUCCAUGGCUAGGAAACUUAACCAUCUUUGAUUCACGAGCUAGUCAAGAAGAGGCAUACUAGUGACACUAUGUUUGUCUAUGUAUUCACACAUGUAUUAUGUUUCCGGUUAAUACAAUUCUAGCAUGAAUAAUAAACAUUUAUCAUGAAAUAAGGAAAUAAAUAAUAACUUUAUUAUUGCCUCUAGGGCAUAUUUCCUUCACCUCCGUGGGUGAUUCCUCGGGUUUUCCCCUUGAUGUUUGGACACACAGUUACCUUGACUUACUUGAGACCAUUGUUGAAGUUGGGUCGGCCCUGAGGGGUACCCGUGAGUUGAUUUGAAAGUCAGGCGGGCCCGUAGAGCACCUGCGAGUUUUCCACAUGGCACGGCCGGGCAGUCUGGGCCAUUGCCAUAAGUCUGUGAGACGGGGCGACGGGGUCACCUUAUCGUGAGUCUCUGCUCGUCUCCGCGAGCCCCCAAUGCACUAACAGGUUUGGGUAUUUGUUCUGAGUUGGCCUCUGGCCUUUACGCACUAACCACCACGCGAGAAUAGAUAUGGGCCUCGAUGUCGCAGUAUCAGCUGAAGCUUUGUCAGACGUCCAGUUCAGCAGUGCGGCACGGUCGGAUCAUGCUGGCCAUCCGAGGCGGUGCUGGUAUUCACCCUGCUCGCAACGACCCGGAGAGCUGCGGGCGAUGGGCCCAAGACCCCGGAGUGCUUAGGAUGUAGACCGGCGGGGACCUCCGUGACGUGUUGAUCUUCCGAGGCCGGGCAUUGACCCCAGAAAGGUGUGUCCGGCCAGAGUGAUCGAGCGUGUUGGGUAACACGGUGCACCCCUGCAGGGAAGAUAUAUAUUCGAAUACCGUGUCCACGGUAAUGGACGUUCAGACUUGUAUCCGGAUAUUAUAUAACUAGAAAUAGAUACUUGAGAUAUGUGAUGGAUAUGUGGCUCCGGGAUUGCUUUCUCGCAGGGAGUCGAGGAAGAAUCUCUGGGCAUUAAUGUUACAAAAUGUUUGUUAUUUAUAAACUGCUAUUCUUUACUCUUCUACAUGCUGCAAGAUGCUUGGAGCUGCUUGAAAACGCUAGUCUUCGAUAGGCUAGGACUUCCCCUCUAUUCUGGCAUUAUGCAGUUCAGUCCACUGACACAGCCCUUCCAUUGGAUACCAAUGCAUACUUAGUAUAGAUCUGAUGCUUGCGAGUACUUUGGAUGAGUACUCACGGUUUCUUUGCUACCCCUUUCCCCCAUCUUUCUUCUUUCCGGUUGUUGCAACCAGAUGGUGGAUCCCUGGAGCCAGAUGCCACUGCCGACGGAUACUACUACAUGGAGACCGCCGACGAACAGGAGUAGUUAGGAGGUCCCAGGCAGGAGGCCUUGCCUCUACGAUCGUUGCUGCUUUUGUGCUAGCCUUCUUAAGGCAUCCUUGUUUAACUUGUGUCUAUACUCAGAUAUUGUUGCUUUCGCUGACUCUUGUGUAUCGAGCUAUGUAUUCGAGCCCUCGAGGCUCCCGGCUUGUAAUAUAAAGCUUGUAUUAUUUUAUUUGUGUCUAGGGUUGUGUUGUGAUAUCUUCCCGUGAGUCCCUGAUCUUGAUCGUACAUAUUUGCAUUUAUGAUUAGUGUAUGAUUGAAUCGGGGGCGUCACAAGUUGGUAUCAGAGCCAACUGCCUAUAGGAUCACCCUUUCCAACUCCUUGGCCAAAGUUGAGUCUAGUUUUGAAAAACGGUUUUGCUAACAUGGUUGUGUGGCUUACGGUCCCACAUUGCCAAUUGGGUGGUAUUAGGAUCUUUUAUUCCUCGUCUAUACUCUGGGAAUCUGAUCUCUCUUCUAUUCGAGUUAAAUGGUUUUGCAAAUUAUAACUCUAGGUUCUCGUAAAUACUUCUCCCGGAGAGCCCCUUCAUUCCAGAUGAUGGCCCGCUUUAACAGAAGAUUCUGAAGAUACUAUCCGAUGCUUUCUCGAGACCCUUGUGCCCUUCGCCAUUGCAAUCCCUACCACCGAUAACUCCUUAUGGGUAACUACCUACAAUUGCCGUUCAUACCUUCAUCCCCAGUUGCUCUUAUUAUUACAAGAUGUCCUGAAAUACUCUUCGAUGUUCCGAGAAUUCUCUAUGCUUACUGCCCUGCAGUUCCUUGCCGCAUGAAUACCCCUAUGGAUAAUUACUUGCUCUUAUCGAGUGUCCAUUCAUCCCCAGUUAUUCUUAUGCUUCAUAAGAUACUUUGUAAUACAAUCCGAGCUUUUGAGGACCUCUGUCACCAAUUGCUCUAGAAGGGCUUACAUGCCCACACUCUGGCUAUUUCCAUAUGCCUAGCUGUAUCCAUUGACGUCCUUUCUCAUUAUCAUUUGGAGUCUUUCAAUUUGAUAUGUUUGUGAGUAGUCACAAUCAUCAGUUGGUCCUUAAAAAUUAUCAUUCCUACUUAAACGUCUUCCUGAACAUGAGCUGGUUCUCGUCCAAUCAGAUUGCCAUCGGUUGUGCCCUAAGUCUAAUCAACUUAUCCAUUCUUGAUCAGAGCGUUUGCUUCUGAUCCCUUGAUUUGGGAAUCAUAAUUCCUUUGUAUUUGAGAUUUGAAUUAGUUAGUUGUUUCUAUAAUCUGAUAUCCUUGCAUUCUUUCUACUUCUGGUUGAGUACUGAUGCUUACAUCAGAUCCCUUGUGAACCACUAGAUCCUUUGUGGGGUUCUGUCCGACAGCGUCUUUCAUAUACAGUAACCUUGUGAGCUUUUCCUCGGAUACAUAAUGCCUUUGGUAAAUUGUAUCUUCUGCUUCCUCAACCAUGCUCUACUCUCGGGAUUGAGUUAUUUACUCGUGAAGUUUGUGUUGUAUGUUCCUCAGAUGCCCCGAUGGGUUGAAUCUUUGUCUCACCUAAAUCCUUGUGAGCCCGAAGUUUAUUCGAGUUAUAUCUAUUGGUGUUUCUUUGGAUAAAUUUUCAAUUCUACAACUUCUUCAAACACGAGAGGUGAAUGGAAAGUUGUGCAUUAGAGAAGUGGGAGUCGACCUUGAACCUUUGUGUUCAUGCCCAUGGACCCUAUGUGGAACUUACCAUGGAAGUUUCUUGUAAUAAUAAUCCCCUUGUGAUGAGUUCAUAUUGUAUCUAUGCUUGGUCCUUGGCAACCAUGGUUCCGACCAUGACCGUUAUCCUUCGAUUGCAUUUCUAGGACGAGUUAAAGUACUUGUCUUCUUCAGAUCAUUUCACCUGUCAAGACUCUACUUUGAUCAACCUUCGAGUGUUACCCUCUGGUAUCUCAAGAAUAUCACGGAACUACAUAACUUCUUAUGAGUUUUUCAUCAACUAUUAUUCUCGCCGAUUCAUAUUUUCCAGGGGUUUCGAGUUGUUAGACACUCGAGAACACCAGUAAUUGAUUCAGGUCUCCAUUGCUUUGUUUAACCUUUCUUGUAACCUAACAUAUCUGAGCAGUGAUAAUUCCCUCCUUAUGUAAACACCUCGGUGUACAAACUCUGUCAGUAAGACCUUGUUACUAUUGUUGAUGACAUGUUGGUAGCCACCGAUGGACGAGAACUUUGCAUAUUGGUCUGCCUUGUCUUAACGAGCAGGAAAAUGGUUCUCUUCGUCCCUCGCCCUUGGUACCAACAUUGUUGCCAACUUAACUGACACACUAUCUCUAACACACCUUACUAUCAUGACCGUGCAAAUGUUAGCACCCUUCCUGCUUUUAAACCCACAUGGUGGGCCCAUAACCCACAGUUUCACAGGAUCGAAACCUGACACUCUUGUACAUCCCUGUUUUCCAAAAUUGUUCCUCGCGCUUGGCUUCAUAUGUACAUCACGAGCCACCCACCUAGUGAUCUAUUCUGGUAUCAAAUGCAAUACUUAUUCCCAUUGCUCUGAACCCCUUUCAACCUCUGUUUCAGGCAACGAACAAUUGUCUACCCGGUUGAAGCUUCUUAUUGCUCCUCCUUACCUUACUCUCGAUGACUUUCUUGAAUUUCAACUCGAGAGAUGCCCCUAUGCCACGUUCACCGAGAUAGCCCUAGGUACCUAUCUUGUGUUGAGCUCCGUCCUUCCCUAGUCUUUCCACCCCUUAAAUCUCGUGACGAGAUUUCUUGUAGUGGAGGAGAAUUGUGACACCUGGAUAAUUAAGCUACAGUAAUCCUCUGCUAAUGAUGCCACACCACGAUUACUGUUGAUAAACUCGCGUGGGUUUGAAACUGGUUCAAAUUCCAAAUUCAAAUUAAAGUCAAAAAUAAAAGUUUUCAAACACCAAAACUAAAAUGUACAAUCUGUGGCAAAUAUUCCAUAAGUAAUUAUGGUGGUGAACCAACAUUUUUGUAAAGUGUUUUAGUGCACUAAAAUUAAAUAAAACCGUUUAAAGAAUAUAAAUAAAAGGAAAAAUCUUCCCCCUCACCCUGGGCCGCUUGGACAACUGACCCGCCAGGUCGGCCCAGCCGGCCCACCAUGUCCCCCCAGUCGCUUCCCCCUUCCUCCUUGUUCCUUGGACUCGGCCGCUAUAGGGCACUCCCGCCCGCGGUCGGCACCACACCACCUCGCCGACGAUGCGGGAGCCGAUAAGGCCUCCACCGGUGCCUCCCCUAGAGAUAUUUUCUCCCCUCCCCACUUGCCCCCGCGCUUCCCCUCAUCCUCUCUCUCCCUCUCCACUACGCUCCCAUCUUCCCUCCAGAUCCAUUGCGUCGAGCGCGCCCGUGUCCGUGCCGUCAAGCUGACCGGGACCAUCGAGCCCCUUCAGCCACGCCAAGCUGUCCACCCACUACGCCUCCGUCGUCUGCCCUUCCCCGUCGAGUCACACGGCGCCGGACGACCCCGUGACACCGCCCCCAACCUCGACUUCCUCCUCAAGCUCCGACAGUCACCGCAUCGAUUCACGUCACCUCGAGCUCCUCCGGCUUCCCCGAGACCUCCCCGACGCCCACUGUGAGCUUCCCGCGCUCAUACGAUUCUUCCCCUCCCUCUCUCGCUCGGCAUUGCCGUUGCUUCGCUGUCGUAGGAGUGCCACCGCAAGGCUCGUCGUUCUCGGCGAAGGCGACAACACCAACACCUCCCGCGAACCCCCUGGAUGCGCACGAUUGCAGGAUCCACCCUCGUCCGCCCUCUGUCGCCCGCGCCCACACUCGUCGCAGCCCACCCUAGUCGGAGCUCUACUCCUACGUGCUUGCCCGUGCCUGCCUCUUCCCCGCGUCCGCUCGCCAGCCUCCGCCCGCGCGGCCCCAGGCCACCGGCGCUGGCGCUCGCGCUGCUCCCUCACUGGCCACUGCCACUGACGUGGCACUGGCCACUGCCCGCCCUGGGUCGCUGCCAUCGGGCCCCACGGCUCCAGUUGACUAGUCAACUUGCCUAGUUGACCAGCUAACUGGGCAGUUAACUAGGUCAACGGGGCCCCACAUGUCAGCCUCUGGUGCACCCGUGGGUGCACUGCCCCGGGUGCGCCCAGUUUUUAGCUGGUGAAUUUUCAAAAUAAAAAUAAAUAAGAAAAUUUGAGAAUAUGUUUAAAUACUUUAGAAAUUCAUAGAAAUUAAUCCGUAGCUCGGAUGGAAAUGUUUUAUACAUGAAAGUUGCUCAGGAUGGCAAGAAGAUUCCGGAUGCACGGUCCGUUUGCCCGCCACACGUCCCUAGCAUAGCGAACAUGCAACCAUUCCCCUCUGGUUCAUCUGUCUAACAGACGUCCGGAACCGGGAAACUUUCCCGGAUGUUUUCCCCCUUCGCCAGUAUCGCCUAGAGCUGCGUUAGAACACCUCUAGCCCCACUUAUUGUCUUGUUGUGCAUAUAUUUGUGUGUAUUUGCUGUUUCUCCCCCCUCUUCUUCUCCAGUAGACCUCGAGACCGCUGCUGAUGCCCCUGUGAUCGACUACGUCAACGACGACCCUCCUUCUUGUCUGAGUAACCAGGCAAGCCCCGCCUUUGAUCAUCCCGAUAUCGCCCAUUCCAUUCUCUCAUGCUUGCAUUAGAUUUUGCUAGUGUUAUUGUUUGCUCCUAUUCUGAUGCAUAGCCUGCUUUUGUAACCUGCUCAUUGUUACCUACCUGCUUAUCCUAAACUUCUUAGUAUAGGUUGGUUAGUGAUCCAUCGGUGACCCCCAGUACUUGUCCAUGUUACCCCUGCUUCAUCAUCAAUGACUCGAUCAGCGUGAUCGACGACCAAAGCCUGACACCUCACAUCACAUCACGCCCUUUUGUUGCUCGACUCUGCAGAGCUACUAUCGAGUGCCGAGGGUGAUCCCUCAUAACGCACUCCUGAUGAUAAUUCUGUAGUGUAGCUAUUCGGUCGUGAUCAUCGAGGGUGAUUUCCUCUUUCACCAUUCCCGACACGGCUCUGUCGUUCAACACCUCAAGUGUGAACCUCGAGGGUGGUCCCUCUUACAUUCACGUUGAUGAUUACAUUGAGUGGAAUCCUCCGUGGGUGAUUCCUUGGGUUUUCUCCUUGAUGUUUGGACGCAUAGUUACCUUGACUUUACUUGAGACCAUUGUUGAAGUCGGGUCGGCCCGGAGGGGUACCCGCGAGUUGAUGUGAAAGUCGGGCGGGCCCGUAGAGCACCCGCGAGUUUUCCACAUGGCACGGUUGGGCAGUCUGGGCCCUUGCCGUAAGUCCAUGAGACGGGGUGACGGGGUCACCUUAUCGUGAGUCUCUGCUCAUCUCCGCGAGCCCCCAAUGCACUAACAGGUUUGGGUAUUUGUUCUGAGUUGGACUCUAGCCUUUACGCACUAACCACCACGCGAUAAUAGAUAUGGGCCUCGACGUCGCAGUAUCAGCCGAAGCUUUGUCAGACGUCCAGUUUAGCAGUGCGGCACGGUCGAAUCGUGCUGGCCAUCCGAGGCGAUGCUGGCAUUCACCCUGCUCGCACGACCCGGAGUGCUGCGGGCGAUGGUCCCAAGACCCCGGAAUGCUUAGGAUGUAGACCGGUGGGGACCUCUCUGCUGAGCCUAGGUAGGCUACGACGUGUUGAUCUUCCGAGGCCGGGCAUUGACCCAGAAAGGUGUGUCCGGCCAGAGUGAUCGAACGUGUUGCGUACCCCUACAGGGAAGAUAUAUAUUCGAAUACCGUGUCCACGGUAAUGGACGUUCAGACUUGUAUCCGGAUCUUAUAUAACUAGAAAUGAAUACUUGAGAUAUGUGAUGGAUAUGUGGCUCCGGGAUUGCUUUUUCGCAGGGAGUCGAGGAAGAAUCUCUGGGCAUUAAUGUUACAACAUGUUUGUUAUUUAUAAACUGCUACUCUUUACGCUUCUACAUGCUGCAAGAUGCUUGGAGCUGCUUGAAGACGCUAGUCUUCGGUAGGCCAGGCCUUCCCCUCUAUUCUGGCAUUCUAUAGUUUAGUCCACAGACACAGCCCUUCCAUUUAAUACCAAUGCGUAAUUAGUAUAGAUCUGAUGCUUGCGAGUACUUUGGAUGAGUACUCACGGUUGCUUUGCUACCCCUUUCCCCCUUCUUUCUUCUUUCCGGUUGUUGCAACCAGAUGGUGGAUCCCUCGAGCCGGAUGCCAGCACCGACGGAUACUACUACAUGGAGACCGCCGACGACCAGGAGUAGUUAGGAGGUCCCAGGCAGGAGGCUUUGCCUCUUCGAUCGUUGUUGCUUUUGUGCUAGCCUUCUUAAGGCAUCCUUGUUUAACUUGUGUCUGUACUUAGAUAUUGUUGCUUCCGCUGACUCUUGUGUAUCGAGCUAUGUAUUCAAGCCCUCGAGGCCUCCGGCUUGUAAUAUAAAGCUUGUAUUAUUUUAUUUGUGUCUAGAGUUGUGUUGUGAUAUCUUCCCGUGAGUCCUUGAUCUUGAUCAUACACAUUUGCGUGUAUGAUUAGUGUGCGAUUGAAUCGGGGGCAUCACAUUAAAUGUUAGGCCCAUUGUAGUUAGCACAUGUUUCCACUUGUUUUGCUUUACUAGCAUGCUUAAACCUGCACAAAGCUAUCUUUUGGAGAUUAUUUUGUCUGCCACGGAUAAUUUUGGUUGAUGUUUAGCUUUGUGCUUAACAUACCACUCGAUGUACCUACACAGGACAAUUUUGGGAACGACUCAUGUUUUCCAUCGAGGUUAUGUUUCAUCCCAUGGCUUAUAUAUACUCACUAUUCAGGAUAUCGGUAGCUGGUACCAUACAGGCUGGGGGCUGAUAAGGGACUAAUUGGUGAAUCAGACUUUUAACUGAAUAUAUCUGUAACCCAUUUAUCAUUAGGUUAACUAGGGCCAUACGUAAUAUAUCUUAGGCUACAUAGUGACAUGCAUUGUACUUAAUGUCUAAAUAUGUAAUCCUAUGCUACAUGGCAACAAGGAAUGGUGUUACCUUAAUGUUCUGAUGAUGUCUAGAUAUACGUAGAAGACAGAAGCAACAACAACAACACAACCAUGUUUGAAUACUCAACUUAGCUAGAGGUUAGAGUUAGUUUCUAGCUCAUGACUAACCCUGAACUAACUCCAUCCAAAGAGGUGUUUGGAUGAAAGGGUUAGAUUGACAAUAAACACACUAGGAGAACUAGCUCCAAUUAGCACCUCUUGGGUUGGAUAUUUUUUUUGGGUGGGUUUGAUGCAACUAACUCAGACUAGCCCUCAUGUUUGGAUAACUUUAGGGCUAUUUGAGCCCGAACUAGCUCAAACAAACUCUAACCUAUGGAUACAACAGCAGUUAAUGAGCCGAUAAUUUGUAAGAAUGCAAUAAACUCCUUCCGGCUCAUAAUAUAAGAUGUUAAUUCAUCUAAUAUGUGAGUAUAUUGGAUGUUAUAAGAUAUUAUAAAAGAGUGGUGUACUACAUCAUUGUGCAAUUGUUGUUUAGCUUCUAAUAUUAACUUGGUGUUUUUAGGUACAUAUGUCAUUGGUAAAGAUCUACGCUUUGACCCAUUUUGUGUAUGGGGCAAUGAGAUAUCGAUGAACCAGCAUCAAGUGAGGAAGUUGAUAAAGAUUGUUAGUAAAAUGGGUCCAAAGAUGGUAAUUAAACUAUUUGUUUACACUUUAGCCAAGACAACAUCGAACUGCAGGAUGAUAAGUAAGAACUCUGCAGCCUUCUUUUUACUGCCCAUAAUGAGUUGUGUUAGAUUACAAUGUCUGAAUUUUUUUAUUUUGUAGUGGUUGCCAAAGCAGUUUACUCAAGAUUACCUCUCAAACUACAUGAUUUGUGGGCAUGCAAAGGUUAAAGUAUUUCUACCAGAACACGAUGAUUAUCUAGAUAUUUUCAUGAAGACCGUGAAGGAUGGGUGGUCGACCAUCACAAGGGGUUGGACUAGAGUCGUGCGUGCCUUCUGCAUGGAGGAGGGCACAAUAUGGGCAUUCCGCUUCACCUUGUUCAGCAACCAGAAUGUAUUUCACAUAUUUCUUUACCAUCUUUAAUAGUAUAAGUAUACAACUGUGGUUCAUCAUUCUUUAUUUGGUUCUUAUGUAAUUGUUGAACAUAUGUACCUAUGAAUCGAAAAAUGCAUUGGUUGUUUGACCCUGAUGGGUAUGAAUAAAGCUACAACAUACAUUCAAAUUCAAAUCCAAAUCCAAAUCCAAAUCCGGUACAAUUUGAAAUAGCAGCAAUUAAAUUACGGUGAAAUUAUGCCCUUCAGGUCGUUACAGCACACAUGGUGGGUAAAACACAAAUGUUUGUGAUAUACAUCAUAUAAUCCGACACGGUUCAUAGAGAUAAAAUGUGUGCAAGCAUCCACACUGUUGCCAUUUGCAAAGCAUGUCGAUGUCAGACAGUAUCCCAAAUGGUGCGGGCAAACUAAACGUCUGUGUUAGUUGCCUUAUCAUACAUGAUUCGCAACCAUGAACUGUUUCUGAUGAAGUAUGCAUCGUAAAAGUUGCACCACAAAAUAGCGUGUACAAUAGUUGUCGUCUACGACGAUAUUAGGACGAUCCGACGUUUCGUAAUCCUGUCCGACACUCAUACGACGAUUAGCUAAUCUUCUUAAUUAGUUAUCGCAUACGGUUUGGGAAAAGCGAAUGUGUGUGAUUGUAUGCUUAUCAUACACGUUUUAUAAUAGUGAAACCGUUUGUGAUGAACCGCGCAUCGUAAAUGUAGCACCAUAGAAUACCGACUGUGAUGGCAAUGCGAGCACAAACGAGUAGGAGUACUGUAUAUGCAUCUUGGCUCCCUAUCCCCGACGGUUUCUGGGUCGUGAGGUAAGGACCCCCUAUCGCCCACACUCACUUGGCGACGGUUCCAAAUGUUGUCGCGGAAAGGGGUUAAAAACCGUUUGUAUAGCACUAACGCGUACUAGUGCCUCCUCUUGGAGAAUGAUCCCCAUCAUAGGAUCAUCAAGACCUCUUUCCUCAUAGAAUUGGGAUGAACUAGUUACCUCUUGUAUCUUCUUGUGUUGGAUUUGGACCUUUGUCUCUCUUUGUGUGAUUGGAUCUAGCACAUGUGUGAUUGGAUCAAGUCAAUUUGAGUGUUCCGCUUUUUCCCCCUUUGUGUUCUUCUUGUUCUUGAGGAUUUCCUCUCCAAUUCGCGAAAGAUCUCCAUCUAGGGUUCCACUCUACAACAAUUUUGCUGAGAUUUUGGAGAAUUUUAAAAAAAUUGCGCGAGAAAUGUGUUUUUUUCUUUCACGAGAACGCGUUUCUUUUCGCUACCAUGAGAUGCAGUGAGGCACAGGUGUGCUUCCAUGAGAGUCACAGUUAUGCCUCUUCAAAAAAGAGAAGAACACGCAUUUUUGCUACAAGAAAGGCACAUAUUUGCUUCUGCAAGAGGCGGAGUUGUGCCUCUCGAAAAUGAAAAAAAAACAUGUUUUUUUUCGUCUUUGAGAGUCACAGGUUCGCUUCCACGAGAGGCACGGGCUUGCUUCUCAUGGAGGCACAGGUUAACUUCCGCGAGAAGCAUAUCUAUGCCUCUCGGAAGGGGAAUAAAUUAUUAAAAAACUUGUUUCCGGCUAUGGUUUGUCUAUCGUUUUUUCUAGAUUUUUUCAUAAAUAGAAGUUCAUAUAAAUAUAUUAACAUGAGAUCAUGCUUCAAGGAACUCGAUGCGAGGAAUCCAACAGUGAAAACGGUUUGGGAUGUGGACGCGUGGUUAAAGAGAUAAAACAUUUCGAAAAACAAAUCUAUGAAAAAAAAAGGAAAACUCUCGGAUUGCCACUUGUUAGCCUCAAAGGAGGUGGGAGUGAUCUUUACAAAGGAAAACUCCCUCAACUAGUGAUUUCGCUGAAACGACCCACCGAUCGGUUGGCUUUGCUGUUGUUGCAUCGUCCUCCGCAAAGAAAAAGAAAAGAAAAACGAUUGACCCUGCUGCAUGCCAUGCAUGUGAAAAGCUAAGGCCCAAGUCCGGUCCCAGGAGAUCGAGGCACUCGCUCCGGAACUCCAUGGUUUCCAGCGAAUCCCUAGGAUCUACCUAAAAACAGCCCAGAUUUAGGUAGAAAAUGACAAAACUGGUCGUUGCGGUCGCGGGAACUAUAUCUCGCUUGUAGCGCGAUAUAUGCUGCACACGCCUAAAAUGUUUUAUGAUAAAUUGUAGCAAUUGAGCCAGCCCAAUUUGUCUGGGUAUUUUUUCCAGUCAAUAGGGUUUCCAUCAAGGCGAGGCUGUGUUCCCUCUACCUUCUUCCAUUUUUUUCUUCCUUUUUUGUUUCUUUUGUUUCUUCAACGAUUUUCUCCAGAUUUUUCAUUUCUAUGAUUUUAAUUGGUUUCUUAGUUUUCCAUUUUUUUCCUUUUUGUUACCUGAGUUUUUUUACUUUUCUUUGAUUUUUUAUUUUCUUUGUUUCCUUCUCUUUUUUGCCCUGGUUAUUCUUUGGUUUUCUUUUUCCUUUUCUUCAAUUCUCUUUUGUUUCUUUCAUGGUUUUCAUCAUUUUUUUCAUUUUCCUUUUUUUGAUUUUGUUUCUUUCUUUGUUUUCAACAAGGUUUUUUUGUUUCCUUUGUUCCUUUAUCGGUUUUCAUUCAAUUUGUACUUGCUUAUUUGGUUUUCUUUUUUGUUUACUUUUUCGCUUGGUUUUUUUGUUUAUUUUUCGGCUUUCAUUCUUUUGUUUUUGCUUGUUCCUUUUACUUUUCAUUCUACAUUUUUUGCGUAUGUCAAGAACAUUUUUCUAACACAUUCUUAAUAUUUUAUACACAUUUAACAUUUUCCAAAUAGAAGUUCAACAUUUUUUAUCUACACAUUUUUGCAUUUUCAAAUUCUUAAUUAAUCCCGGGAUAAUAAUGCAUGUAGAACAUUUUUCAAAUACUAGAUAAUUUUUUAUUAAUAUGUGGUCACCAUUUUAUCCAUAAAUAUUUUCAAAUGCUUCAUUAAAAUUCUUCGAAGAAAACAUUAACAUUUUUAAUAGAUAAUCAACUUUGUUUCAAUACACACUAAAAAAUUUCAAAUACUUCAUUAACAUUUCUAAAUACUUGUUUAACCUUUUUUUCAAAUGCUUGUUGUAUAUUUUCUAAACACAUGAUCAAAUGUUUUGUAUAAAUUGUUUCGUAUACAUCUGAAAUAUUUUAUUUCUACAGAUUUAAUAUUUUUCAAAUGCCUAGUUAACAUUUUUUCUAUACACAUUUUUCAAAAAAAUCAAAUAUUUUAUUAUCAUUUGUUCGAAUACAAGGUUAACAUUAUUUAUUACAUGGUCAACAUUGUUUUAUAUUCACAUUUUAACAUUUUCAAAUAGCUCAUUACCAUUUUUCAAACACAAGUUAGACUUUUUUGGAAUACAUGGUAAAAAUUUAUUGUAUACACAUUUAAACAAUUUUUAAUGUUUUUAACAUGUGUCGAAUACUUUUUUAACAGUUUUUUUAAUUUGUUUUACCAUUUUUUAUAUACAUGAUAAAAAAUUGCACAUAUUGUCCAUUUUUAUACAUGAGAAACAUUUUUUUACACAUUUAACAUUAUUCAUAUUUUUGUUUAACUUUUUUCAAUUUAUCAUUUAAAAACAACUGUCACAUAUUUAUUAAAAAUAUUUGGAAGUAUAAAUGAAAGUAAAAAAUGUGAAAAAAACAAAGGCAUGGCCUCCUGUGCAACUAGGCAGGCCCAUUUUUGGACUAGCCUCGUGCAUGAGCACACUAGGUCUUGCUUUAAGCGAGGCAUAGCGCUGGCCCGCAUCAGUUGCCUAGACAAGCGGUAAAUGCGCAGCCAGCAGGGCCCGGUGUCCAAUGUGGGCCAGUCAGCCCGCUGUGUUCUACUCUUCCUCGCCAGAGACCGCACCUUCACACAAUCGGUCUUGUAGCCGGUGCUCAUGGAGAUGGCGGAUGGAGGACGACACAGGCUUCCACGCCGGGUGCCGCCACCAUAGGAUAGGUUUAGGGUCAGGUCUUUUUUUAUUCUAAAUAUUCGAAACGUAAUGAAAAUUUGUCGUGUUUCCGUCAUUUUUAUGAAAUCCGGCCCUGUUUGCACGAGUUUCAUCCGAUUUUCUAAAAAAAAGUGUUUGACAUGUAUGCGGCUACGGUUGGAUAGCGACCUCCCGCAUCUGUAUUCGCGGACUAGUCCCUCCUUGUCCGUGGACGGAUGCGGGGGGAAUUUGCGGGUUACCAUUGAAGAUACCCUUAGGCCGAAACGUCAAACAACUAUUUGACGAAUGUACCCUUUUAGACUGAACACGUUAAAUCCUAGUUGACGAGAUUAACUAACCAACAGUUACCCCUUCAAUGGCUUCUACAAAGGUCACGUUUUUUCCCUAGGAGCACACCAAUUGAUGCAUCCAGCCGUCACCACAUAUCGCGUGUUGGGCGCUUCCUUUGGAUUUCGACUUUUUAUUUUAUUUUAUGUACACAUUUUCGUAUGUUAAAUGAUUUAAUUUUUCGCUUGAUUGUUUUGGGUUUUCUUAAAAAAUCCUGGUUUUUCAUAGGUUUUGAGAAAAAAAUGUGUAGAAAAAAAGAGAAACAAAUUGAUGCUUCUACCGUGAGAAGUACCAACUGUGCUUCCAAGAGAAGUACAAUUGUGCUUCUCGAAUAGGAAAGAGCUCAACUUGUGCUUCUACAAGAAGCACAACUGUGUUUCCCCAAGAAAAAACGCACAUCCCGUUCGUCCAAAAUUGAAGUAAAAACUGCAACCAUGCUUCUAGGCUCCUUCUUUUUCAGAUUUUUUUGUGAAGAAACAUUUGUCGACACCUAUUAAUAUGGGAUCUUCUUUUAAAGAUCUCGACGUGAGAAAUCUAACUGCGAAAACAGUUUGGUCUUUGGACGGAUUAUUCAAGAGAUAAAAUGUUUUGAAUCAAUAAAUCUACGAAAAAUGAAAAACUCACAGGUUACAACAAGUUAGCACCUACGAAGGUGGGGAGUGACCUUUGCAAAUAGUAGCGAUGUAGGCCGGUCUAGUUCUGUGUUCUGCUUCUUUUUUAGUUCUCUUUUUUGGUUUUUCUAGUUUUUAUUUUGGGGUUUUAGUAUCCUUUCUCUUUUCUUUUUUAAAAACAUUUCUUUUCUAAAAAAUGUUCAGUGAAUUUAAAAAAUAUUUAAUAUUUCUAAAAAUGUUCAAAUUCUCAAAUAAUGUUUCUGUUUACAUUACUUUCAGAGUUUAAAAACAUUGACAUUUCAAAAAAUUAUUCACAAAUUCAAAUUAUGUUCUACAUAAAUUGAAUAAUAUUCCUGUUUUUUUAAUAUAUUUUUUGGAAAAACAUGUUCGUGUUUCAAAAGAUGAUUGGAACUUUUUUCCUUUUUCUUUUUUAUCACAUGGUGAAAUAAUUUAAUACACAUUGAAGAGUUCUUCAAUAUGCAAUUAACUUUUUGAAAUAUAUACUAAAUACUUCUGUAUAUUUGUUUAUCAUUUUUUAUUACAUAUGAAGUUUCUGCUAACAUAUAGUGAACUUUGUUUUAAUAUACAAUUAGUGUUUUUUUUCAAAUCUGUGAAUAUUUUUAAAAUUUUGGACUAUGUUUUUCAAAUUCAUGAAGAUCUUUGGAUUUUGGAAUAUAUUUAUGAAAUCAAGUGAAUAUUUGUAAAUUUAUGAUUUUUUCAGAAAAAUCUCAAACAUUUAUUGAAAUUUUGAACAUUUUGCAAAAAUGAGGAAAUUAAUAAAAUAAAAAAUGAAAGAAAAAAUUGAAAUCACAUGAGAGUGAGUCGGCCCGCUGCCGAGUAUGAGCAAGCAGACCAGGGUUUUCACCCGGAUCCGUGGCAUAGGGACGAGGCCUAAUACGAUGUCUUUAGGAAGAGCAUCGCGGGCACCGCCAUCGCCAACGCCAAAGCAUGAAGCUUUCACUCAGAAACUCAGCUGAACCACUAGGAGGCACCCCGAUCACCACCACAAUGACGGCCAAUAUGCAUCCACACAAGAUCUGGGAACCGUCAGAGCAGGCUAGAGCCUCUCAUAGGUACACCGCUUUGCCUCCCACACAACCAAGAGGUGAGGCCACAACUGAUGGAACCUGUUGUAAAAGCCAUCCAUGUAGGUGUAGUCUAUCAUCCGGGGCCAUGUCGGGGCCGUUGCCGAGACAUCCUCAGACGAACUCAUCACCGACAUGGUAACACGCGGUCGCCACCCUAACCAGUACACAAGUCAGUGCCCUACAUGAGCAAUGAGUGAACACAUCACGUGCAAGGAGCAACUAGCCCUCUGUAGGGGGCCCAAGUCCAUCCCCUGCACCAGUAGCUAACACACGCAUGCUGCCAUCNNNNNNNNNNNNNNNNNNNNNNNNNNNNNNNNNNNNNNNNNNNNNNNNNNNNNNNNNNNNNNNNNNNNNNNNNNNNNNNNNNNNNNNNNNNNNNNNNNNNNNNNNNNNNNNNNNNNNNNNNNNNNNNNNNNNNNNNNNNNNNNNNNNNNNNNNNNNNNNNNNNNNNNNNNNNNNNNNNNNNNNNNNNNNNNNNNNNNNNNNNNNNNNNNNNNNNNNNNNNNNNNNNNNNNNNNNNNNNNNNNNNNNNNNNNNNNNNNNNNNNNNNNNNNNNNNNNNNNNNNNNNNNNNNNNNNNNNNNNNNNNNNNNNNNNNNNNNNNNNNNNNNNNNNNNNNNNNNNNNNNNNNNNNNNNNNNNNNNNNNNNNNNNNNNNNNNNNNNNNNNNNNNNNNNNNNNNNNNNNNNNNNNNNNNNNNNNNNNNNNNNNNNNNNNNNNNNNNNNNNNNNNNNNNNNNNNNNNNNNNNNNNNNNNNNNNNNNNNNAGCCCUAGCCACCUCAUAGCCCGUGCCAUCCACAACUCUUGUACAUUUUUGCAUUGUACAAUUUUUUUUUUGAAAUUGCGUAAAUUCGUUCUGGAACUUGUGAACAACUUUUUAUAAAUAGGCAGACAACUAUUGAAAUUUGGGAACAAUUUUUUAAAUUCAGAAACAUUUUAUGUCUUCGACGAACAUUGUUUGAAUCAGCGAACAUUUUUUGAGUUUUGUGAACAUUUUUAGGAAAAAUUGGAAUUUUUCGCUCAAAAUUCGAGAAAAUUGUUUUAAAUAUUUUUGAAAAUUAACUCAUGAAUAUUUUUGAAAUUGUGGACAAUUAUUUGAAAUCACAAAACUUUUUUGAAUCAAUGAACGUUUUUUUAAAUUCAUUUUUUUAAUUCACGCAUUUUUGUUCAAAUUCACGAACAUUUUGCCAAUACGUGAACAUUUUUUAAGACACGGACACUUUAUGAUUUCUGCAACAUUUACAAAGGUUCACUUUUUUUUUUAGGUUCGAACUUCUUUUGUAUUACAAAUUAUUUUAAAGAAGAUAAAAACAUAAAAAGAUGGUGCUCGUGCAGCCCUGCCCAUGGGCCGGCCGAAUAGGCGGGAGGGGAGGGUAUGCGAGCUGGCUUGUUCGCAGAAACAGAAAGGGUUCACCACAACCUAUUUACCAUAUAAAUCUUAUUUAUAACAACCACAACUUUUUGGUGCUUGACACAGGACUAGUCACUCAAACAAGCACGGUUCUUUCUGUAAAAUGCACCUAAUCUGGAUAAAGUCUUUAUGUUUAAAAAAAACAAGCAUGGUUCACUGUCAGGGACUGGGUAAACCGAAGAUGAAACGCACAACCUACAUACUUACACACCAUCACUUAUUCACCAUUGCGACAAUGAAACGCACCGCACAGGACAGUCAUAUGUUCUGCUAUUCACCACUCAACCAAAACAAGCACUAUAGAACCCUAAGGUUGGUAAGGAAGGCCGCACAAAAUUCCAGGAAGAGGAGCUGGGGUCCAGUGACUCUCUGCAUGUCGAGCAGGUACUUGUCAUCCUUGGUCUUGUAAAGCUGGAGAAAAAAGUAAGAGAAAUUUAGAGCCAAAUAGACACCAUAUACAGUACCAUGCAUGCCCGCGAAAUUGUAAAACCUCAAGCAUAGACUGGAUGACCAACCAAUACUGUGCAGCCUUAAAACUUGGGAAUUUUGUUUUGUCAAUGUGAACCAGCAGACAUUACUUGCAGACACGUUAUUUUAUCUAGUGAUCCGACUGUGAAGGCAACAUUGAGUACAAAAUCCCUUUUUUUGUUAUUGCAAACAAAUACAUU